rnacentral:lncRNA from 1 species
CCUAUGGAUAUGGUUCAAGCAACCUUCCACCUCCACCUUUACCUCCACAUAUGCCAAUGGGAUUUGCUAGGCCAGCUCCUUUACCAACUCAGCAACCACCUCCUCAGCAGCUUCAGAACCAGCAGUCUCAGCAGCAGCAGCAGCAGGCAGCUGCUGGUGGAUAUUAUCGGCCUCCAGGUAUUGGAUUCUAUGCCCAAGGUCAUCAGUCAGCAACUCCACCUGUACCCCGGCAGUGAGCAGUCAUUGUGGAAAGAUUAGACCUCUUUUUGUAUAUUAAUAGGACAGUAUUGUUAAACACUAGGAACAACUAUCUUUACUUUUACUUUCCUUUAGUAUACCAGCUUACCCAGGAAUCUUCCUUUUUCUUUGAUUUUUUUUCUUUUCUGUCACUCCAUCUGCAUAUGAGCCAAAUGUUACUAGGUACUUUGUGUAUUAUUAGCUUAUAUGGAAGGUAGCAUUUUGUAGAAUUAUUCAUUGCUUCUGCCUUCUUUUUUCUGUUGAAGUAGGCUUUGUGUCCCACUAGUGCCAUAAAGGCUAUUGGUGGUCUUAUUGGCACAUACCACGGUAGGGUCUUCAACUGGGGUGAAGUCAUAACAAGGUUUGUGGUAGGGGAACCUGUGGCUGGAUUGAAUCCUUCACGAAGGAAAUGCCCCCUUCCCCCAACCAACAUAGGGGGCUAGCUUUGCUUCCAUUGGUGGCGGGCGGGUGGGUGGGUGAAGGGUCCAAAGGACAUGUAGCUGGGGGCAAGUAACAAAGGAAGAGUUUCACGGAAAUCAAGAUAAACUGGACGCUACGGUGAGAUGUGAAAACACUCGAUCCCAUUCUGACAUCCAAAUGUGGAAUCGUCUUUGCAUCAUUGUGUACUGAGAUUGUUGGUGAGAUGUGGUUCAAGCUUGGUUUAGUUUUUUAGUCUGAAGUUGUGUUUGAACUUUCAUUUGCUUGAUGAACUCAUCAAACUAAUAUAAGCUUCUGUCAAGGUGAGCUCAAUGUGCUGCACCACUUGAUUACUCUCCUGGUAAAAAUAAAUUUAUGCUUAUAGACCCAAGCUUGAAAAGUUCAUUGACAACCAAAAGUUUUUCAAGCUUUGGCUGAGCUGGUGUGAAUUUAUGUAGCGGACUUUCUGAUAUCCUUGGUUUGUGUUCGGCUCAUCCUCUGCAUCAGCAACGCUAAUUUCCUUCUUGAAUUGCUCUUUUCUUUUUGCAAUUUUUUUCCAGAAGAACUAAACAACUAAACAACUUAUCAAAACUUUUAUUGGUAUUUAAUUGAUGGUAAAAGGGGCACAUAAAUUAUGUAACUAAACAACUAGAUUUUUGUGCAAGGAAAAAUGGGUCACUUAUGUCCAAUUACUCUGGGGCUAAGAUUAGAAGGGAGGAUUUGGAUUAUGUGACGAAUUUCAUAUGAAUAACUGAGAAUCUUCAAUAUCUAAACCUUCUCUAAUUGGAUCACUUUGUUUGGGUAAAAAGGAAACUAAUGGAAACUAAAUAGUUGGAAUAAAAUCCUAAGUAUCCAAGUCUUCUAAUUGCCCGUGUCUUUUAGUACAAGGGAGUAAUAAUUCCAAGUCUAUAUGGCCUGCUAAUAAAAAAAGGAAAAUUUGAUUUAACACUUGCAUUAAAAAACGGUCAAUAUAAAUUAUCUACAAGAAUCAAACUUUUUCUUUAGAAAAGGUAAAUUUUAGGUGUAAAAUACAAACAAAUUUCCUUGUGAUUUGAGCAAAAUUCAUUCCAAUCUACUAUAGUUCAAAAAAAAUCAUAAGACCACCUUAUAGUACUGAUGUGAAAAAUGGAUGAAAAUCAUUCAAAUCGACAUAAAGAUUUGAAACAUAUUUAUUGCCCUUCUUCUUAUUACUCCCUCCGUCCCACUUUGAUAGUCCUGUUUCUUUUUUCACACAGUUUAAGAAAAAGUAGUUAACUUUAUUGAAAAAGUAAAUUUAAAUUGCUAUUUUUCUAAUAUACCAUCACAUUAAAUAUGGUACAACUUUAUGGAAACUUGAAUUGAUGGUAAAAAAAGAAUCAACUUUCAUUAAAUGUGGUAAGUUUAUAGUAACAACUACUUACAUUGAAUAAGGGUAUUUUAGAAAAAUUAAAAUAUAAUUACAUUAUUCAAUUGGAAAGUGGACUAUAAUUUGGGACAGAUGAAAAAGGAAUACAGGACUAUCAAAGUGGGACGGAGAGACUAACACUUUUCCUUUUCUUCACUUUUUCAUUUUAUUCACCCUCUCUCUUUUUUCUUUUCCUCCUUCCUCAUUUUCUGGUCAAAACGUUCAAGCGCCAUUGGUAGAAUCACAAACCUUCACGGCCGCCAAUAUCAACCACUAUCCACCGUCAACCAGUGGUAAAAUUUUGUAGAAAUAUCAUUAAAAACUUUAAUUUUCGUGCACAUCAUGAUUUCAAAGUUAAAUUUAAAAAAUGGUUGAAUAAAUGUGAUCCUCCUACAAAACCAAAUGGGUCUAUCUCUUUUUGUCUACCAAAAUUCCAUGUAGAAAAUCUACUAAAACAAUCCUUAGGACCCUUGGAACAACAUUAUACCACCAAUUUAAUAAGGGAAAGGGUGGAUGAACAUGAAUCCAAGCAAAUCAACGCCCACUUUUAUUUAUUUAUUUAUUUUGCUUUCUUUCGGCAGCUACAGUGAUGCCAAAGCAACAAUGAGGACAAUGACGAUGAAACUCUUCACGAUUUGGAGGAAGAAUCUUAUUUCAGCAUAAGAAAAGGCAGAGAGAGAGAGAGAUCAGAUGGGUUUAAAUUUGGUGGACAAAUAGAAGAAAGCAAGUGGAAAAAAGAAGAAAGGAAGAAGCCAAAUAGAAGAAAAGAUCUAAAGAAGAGAGGAAGGAGCAAAAUAGGAGGACAUGCAAGAGAGAAAGGAAAGGGGAAAAUACUGUAAAAAAUGAAAUUGAAAAAAAAAAGGAAACGACUGGAAAAAGAGAAGGAGAAGUGAUACAGUAGAUAAAUUAAAAAAAAAGAAAAAAUUAUUUAAAAUGUCUCUCAUAUUCCAUAAAAUGAAUCUUUUUGUCAUUCACUUCUAAAAUGUUAAAUUUACGUCAUUUGCAAACUUAAGUUGAUAAAAUUUGGUUACAACCUAUGUUUUUUACCAUUAUUUAUCUUGAAUUUGUCACGUGAAUCAUACAUCGUCAUUUUUCUAAGGUAAAAUGAUUAGAUGCUAUUUAUAGUUAAAUGAAUCCAUGUUCAUUUUUACCCUGAAAAAGGCAGAUUUUAAUCUAAACUAUAUUCAUUUUUUUCUCUAAAAAGGAGUAAUCGGACCCAAUUCAUAAGCAUUUUUAUUACUAAAAAAAAUGAAAUCUAACAUUUUUGUACAUAAAAUAUGACUGCAUAUAGGUCACAUGGAGAUUUUAGGCUAAGAAAUGGUUAGAAAUUUAGUUUUGGACCAAAAUUUGUUAACUUGAAUUUGUAAGGGAUGUAAAGCUAACGUUUUAGAGUGAAACGAAAUGUGAGGAACAAUUUAAAUGGUUUUUUCAAAAAAUAAAAUAAGGAUACUCUUGGAAAAAAGUUGACUAUUUUAUGAAAAAAAUCGUGUUUGAUAAUUUACACUUGAAUAGAAGCCAAGUGGACUACACUCUUUCUUGAUUUGGAUGGUUUCCAUCCAUUUUCUAUUCAUCAGUUAGGAAUCAUAAACGGCACUUGUAGAAAUGUCCAAACCACGGAGGAUUGGGCUAACUUUACCGCAAACCCCAAUGGGUUUCACGUAUUUACCCUAAACAUUAUGAGGAUUAUUCUUUUUUGUCAUGUUGAACGCUGGAUUUUAAUCAAAGUAAGGUAUGUUCAUAGGAAUUAAAAAUUUCUAUUUUUUGUUAUGUAAUCAUAUUUGAUUCCUUUCUUGACUGUGUGGGCACGCUAUAUACUUAUGAGUAAAUGGAUAACAAUUCUCAAUAGAAGAGAACAAGUGACAUGUGUAAUUUAUCACUCUAAUUGUCAAUGAUGACAGGUAUAAUAUUUGAUGCUUAAUUAAGAGUUACUCUAAUGAUUCUUAAGGCACCAGUGGUUCUGGUAAUUUUUUUUUAACCUUCCUACCCCUUUUCACACUUUUUCUACCUCCAACUAUUUUAUAUAGGAUUCAAGCUCUGAACAUAACAACGGGAAAGACUCUAACAAUUCUUCCUUGGCCGGUUUUGAUAAGUUGUUAUUGAAUAUUUAUCUUGUAUUUGUUACUACUUGCAAAGUGAAUAUUUAGCUUCUAGAUGCAAAUACUAUGGUGACUCGGCCACGGACCUUUAUGGUAUUUAUUUACAUAUGCUGAUACUGUGAAAACGUAGGGAUAAAAAUUUCUAGUUGGCCGUGUUGAGGGUUUUAGAUAUAUUUUUUUUUCAUGGUGGCAUGUUCCUUUGUGUGUUGGUUCAAAUGGAGAAGGAAGAAAUUUAAAACCACACAAAUCAGAGGCUUACAUGCUAUAGAAAAUUUAUCAAUUGAGCGAGAUCAGUAAAAUAGAUUAUAGUGUUAAAUAAAGAGAAAAAAUACUAUUUAAUUUUCAUGUGAGCAAGAAGGAUGAAUUUUAAACGCUAUUAAGCAGUUAAAAUUGGGGAUUUAAAAACCCUAUAUCUAAAGAAGAAUUGGAGGAGUCAUUUCUUAUCAAAAUUUGUAGUAGUAUUGAAAUAUAACUGCGUUCGAUCUUGGAUUUGAGUUCUCAAGCCAUUUUGAAGAGCAAUCGCAUAUAGUCAAAUAAAGUAGGUACCUAGUAUUCACAAAAUAAUUCACAUGCAUCCGUUCUUUUUUCCUUGUUUGAAAUGGCUUGGUAACAAUGUAGGUUCAAGAGAUAUCACAUUCAAGGUUGAAUGAUAAUUUUAUGUGAAAGUAUCGAGUUAUUGACAAUAUGUUGCGAAUAAAACAAAUUAUAAUGAUAAAAUUCUUAAUUUUCUACUGCUAUAUGUUUCAAAUAAAACAAAUUAGAAUGAUAAAAUUUUAAUUUUCCACUAUAAUUAAGAUGUCAUACUAGAGAGAUUGAAUGGUAUGCACUAGGGAUGUCAAUAGGUCAAGAAUUAUUUAGAUCUACUCUAGGCACAUCAUAUUUCUUAGAUUUGGGUUUAAUUUUUCAAAUUCAGACCAUUAAGCCAAAUAUAGAUCCUAUAAAAGAAUCGUGAGUUUAGGUAACGUCUGAUUCACCACUUUGAGCCAUCAUUUUCCUAAACUUAUGCCCAUAACAAAACUUGUGUACAAUACAGAUUAGCGAACCAAGAUUGUUGGUAGAACAACGCCACAAUUCAACAUGAUUUUAUUUCCAACCUUAGUCUUGUAUGGAAGGAGGUAAGUUGUUUUCUUGAUAGUUUGUUGCUGGAAAAUUUUCAGCUUUAUGUGUUUGGUUCGAUCAUUAGUUUACAAAGUAAUUUCAAACACUCGGUUGGAGUCAUAAGUGAUGGUAGUCUUGCCAUGUUCAAACGGAGGCCCAUCAUUCUUAGCACCCAAAAAAUCAGAUAAAAAUUGCCGAGUGAGAGUUAUGCAUUCCCCCCUAAGCUUAUCCUUAUGCUUUAUGUUUGCAUAAAAUUGAUGAACAAGUCCAGGAUAAUAGUCAAUAGGUAAAUCCAACAUUUGACUGCAACCAAACUCAGCAAACAAGUCACAAACGUGAUGUACAUUAUUAAAAUUAGCACCUAAGUCCACCUCAACUAACACAGAAUUACCAAUUCUAUCCCAAUACAAUUGCUCAUUUUUGGCACUCAAGAAAUGAGAAUUGUCAAACUGAGGUGGAGUUGUACUAGAACUACCUCCACUCAUGGUUGGCCUCACCCGUUUUCGAGAAGCGGGAGCCCCACUAACAUUUUUGGUACGCGGAGGCAUGGUCAAAAUCACCACAAAAUAAAGAUGUACCCCUCAAAAUCAAUCCAAAAAUAUUUGCAGAUAAUCCGCCAAAAGAAUACCCCACAAACCCCCAGUAUACCAAAUCAAUAUGCAAAAUGCAACUAAGGAGCUUGAAAAUACACUACAAAAUACUGGAAAAUUCCCAUGAAGGUCAACAAGAUGUCAGCCAAAAAUCACAAAAAAAAAAUCCACCAUUGCAACCUAAUAUCACAAGCAAAGCUUCAGUUCAGCCCUAUAAGUAGCCUUAAUCAAUCAAGAGGAGUAAAAGCAACCUUCUAACAUUUGUAGAAUCAACCAGAAAAUGCCUAGCUAAUAUGUCCAAAAAUUACAAAAAAUUUACUUAGUACACCAAGAACAUGCAUUGGCUAUUUCAACAAAUUUAACCCAUGAAAGUGUGUUUAAAUGGUGCAAUUGUGACGCCCCCACUUCUCCCAAGGGUGAACCCAAGGGUAUCUGCGGAACGCCUGCCCAACUCUCGCCAGGACUCACUACAAUCUAUAAUUUAAAAGCUAGAAAUACUUCAAAUAUUUUCAAUAUACAUUUAAAGUACUCCAAAAUAUUUCAUACUUACCAAUAGUUAACUUUCAAACUUAAAUACAACCCAAAAGAAUAUGUACUACAACCAUCUGCUAUAACACAACUUAAAGUCUCUAAAGAAAACAACUUAGUACUAUUCGCAAACACUUUCGGUCUUGAACCCUGUUAAGGAAAACAAAAGCGUGGAAUGAGCUAAACAGCCCAGUGAGGUUCUAAAACUCCUAAGCAUUUCUAAUAAAUCAAGUAAUUUAACCAUAAUAUAUAUAUCGUUCAAGAUUUCACAUUGGCACAUUAAAAUGAGACUGACGAGAAUAUGAAGAUUUGGAUUCCCUUCAAAUUCAAGGAAAUUCAAUUGAUGGUUGAUGAUGUAAUCGGGUUCAAGAAUCAUUGAAGAUUUGUCAUGCUUAUUUCUUGUUAUUUAUUUAAGUAAGUUUCCAGCAAUACUUGUUAGUUAGUCUUGAGUUAUUAAGAGAAAUAAAGGCUAAGGUCAUGUUGACUAUAGUUAAGCCAAUUGAGUCAGUUAGUUUCCUAUUUUAAUUGAAUUAGAGUUUUAGGAAAGUAGUUAAUUGCUUUCAAAUUUAUUUAGGAAGUUGUGUCAAGUCAAAUAAGGAAGCUUGUAUUGUUUCCAAGUUUAGAUUAGGGUUUUGAGUCUUGUAAGGCUAUAAAUAGUCAACUUUAUUUAACUAUUCAGAUACAUGAGAUUGAAGAUGAAUUAAUAAAAAGAGAGUGGUCUCCUUUUAUGAAGUUCCUUGAUGGAACUUGAUUUUCUUCUUGAACAGUAUCAAGUAUUUAGUUUGGAUACUUGUGGUGUUCAAGGCAAGAUGAUCACAUCAUCUUGUUCUUUCAAGCCAAUAACCAAUCCACCAGGUUUUUAGAGACGGGUUCUCUUUAAGUCUAGUAAGGUAGUUAUUGUUCCAUAACCAGUAACCAAUCCACUAGGUUUUGAGAGACGGGUUCUCUUUAGGUCUAGCAAGGUAGUUAUUGUUCCAUAACCUGGUCAAGAUAGAUCCUUCCGCUGCCUAAUCGACUUGGUUCGUCAAGACAGGUUCUUGCUAGGUCGGGUUCGUAUCAUCUGGUAUCAGAGUUUCAACUCUUGAUUCAGGUUAAUAUCCUUUUCUUUUCUUUUUUUUCUAUUUAUUUUUCUACCAAAACCCUUGCCGCCUUUUGAUUUAAAAGAAACAAAAAAUAAAUUUUGAUUCUUAUUUUCUUGAUUUUAUCACUUGAGUCUAACCUAUCCCGUGAUUGAUCGAGGUUAGAAUUUUUUGAUGUGAUUACCUUAUUGAAAACAGGUUUUUCAAGGGUUUAACUCCCAUUAAAUUUCUUCCAAAUGAAGUCGUAACCUUGUGUUGAGUUGUCAAAAGAAAAAAAAAAUUUCGGAACUGUUCGCGGCGGUACUAUUCAUUGACACUGUUCAUGACUGUAGCAGUACUGUUCAUCCGACGCUACUGUAGCAGUACUGUUCAUCCGAAUUUUUUUUUUUUUUUGACCUUGUGUUUGUUUCUUGUAGUUGGUUUGGUAAUUUCUUGAAGUUCUUGGAUUGCAUAGUGGGUUCUUGAAAAACAAAAUCUUUAUACUUUGAAAACCCUAAAAAUCAUCAUCUUGAAUCUUGAAGUGCGGCUACCUUAUUUUCUUGAAUUGGCAAGUUAGAAAAACAAAAAAAGGAAGAAAGAAGGAAAAAAAAAAGGCAGCCUUGCCUUGAAUGGUUUCCAAAUCUUGAUUGAUUUCCAAAUCUUGAUUGAUAUCUUGAUUGAUUGCCAAAUCUUGAUCGAUUUCCAAAUAUUUGUUGACUUCCAAAUUCUAGCCAAGUACAAUUGGGUGAAGAUAUUCUUGACAAAUGGAGCAUGUGCAAUGGUUCGCGUUCAUAAUCAAGUUGAGUUGGCGACAUGGUUCUUUGAUUGCAUUUAUCAAGACAUUCUCCGAGUUACUCCUUUGUAAGCAAGCACUCGAUUUGAGGACAAAUCGUCUUUCAAGAAGAGGGGAAUGACGAGAACAUGAAGAUUUGGAUUCCCUUCAAAUUCAAGGAAAUUCAAUUGAUGGUUGAUGAUGCAAUCAGGUUCAAGAAUUAUUGAAGAUUUGUCAUGCUUAUUUCUUGUUAUUUAUUUAAGUAAGUUUCCAGCAAUACUUGUUAGUUAGUCUUGAGUUAUUAAGGGAAAUAAAGGCUAAGGUCAUGUUGACUGUAGUUAAACCAAUUGAGUCAGUUAGUUUCCUAUUCCAAUUGAAUUAGAGUUUUAGGAAAGUAGUUAAUUGCUUCCAAAUUUAUUUAGGAAGUUGUGUCAAGUCAAAUAAGGAAGCUUGUAUUGUUUCCAAGUUUAGAUUAGGGUUUUGAGUCUUGUAAGGCUAUAAAUAGCCAACUUUAUUUAACUAUUCAGAUACAUGAGAUUGAAGAUGAAUUAAUAAAAAGAGAGUUGUCUCCUUUUAUGGAGUUCCUUGAUGGAAUUUGAGUUUCUUCUUGAACAGUAUUAAGUAUUUAGCUUGGAUACUUGUGGUGUUCAAGGCAAGAUGAUCACAUCAUCUUGUUCUUUCAAGUCAAUAACCAAUCCACCAGGUUUUUAGAGAUGGGUUCUCUUUAAGUCUAGCAAAGUAGUUAUUGUUCCAUAACCAAUAACCAAUCCACUAGGUUUUGAGAGACGGGUUCUCUUUAGGUCUAGCAAGAUAGUUAUUGUUCCAUAACCUGGUCAAGAUAGAUCCUUCCGCUGCCUGAUCGACUUGGUUCUUCAAGACAGGUUCUUGCUGGAUCGGGUUCAUAUCAGAGACAUUUAUCAUUUUACAGAAAUAAACACACAUUAAAAGGAUACGGUGUUCACGUGGAACUGUUUCGGUCAGCUUCACCUUAUAACUCCAAUAAUUUCUCCGAUUUAUCUGGCCAUCGCCUUAUUCCUCCAGUGGUAAUAUUCGAGUAUACCGAUACGGUGGUCCAGGAUUCCAACCUACCCGACCGAGUCUAGUCUUGGCUCGAGCAGGUUAGCAACCAAGGGCAGGACCCAGUUUAGCUAAGAGUGUACAACAUGCGCAAAUAAUUAAGUAAACCGGUAAACAGUAGAAAUUCAUGGUUAAACGGUAGAAAUUUAUUAUUUUCGUAGAUCGAGUGUGAUAAAGUACGCACUCGCCUUAAAACGGUGGAAAAUUACAUAGGAGCAAUUAUAGAUAACACUUAACACUCAAACACACAAGAAAUAUGUGGUAAACAUGUAGCAAAACUAUUCAAGUCACAAACACCUACAAGAAACACUCACCAAUUCAAAAUAUGUGAGUAAAUACAAAUAAGAUAUUUAGUAGUCGGCUCCGAGAUUCUCUUCAAGAUCCUGUUGAGCGUCUGAAGAAAUAACAAUUAUCUAUCACUUACCAAUACUUACAAACCCCUUGCCAAAUAAGGAAGAAUGUACACUUGCGUAAUACUAAGACAAUGUCUUAAAAGAGCUUCAUUCUAGUGAAAUUCAAGAUUCAAAAGUGAGAGUUCAAAGUCACAAGGGAUAACUCGUAUCCUCCAUGAAACCAGAUUCAAAACGAACUAUCAAUAGCAAAAGGAAAUGAAAAGUUCUUAAAAACUCAUUUCCUAAGAAAUAAAAAAUUUUCAGCUUUGCGCAACAAACUUGGUAAAAUCUGAUCUUGAGUUUGGUACGUCUAAAAAUGGAAAACUUUAUACCGUUGGAAACUAGAUCCAUAGUACUAAAAGUUUCUAGAACACACUUUUUUCAAGGUUCCAAACAGAAAGCAUUCAUUUUUCAGCUCAAAGUUCCAAUUCCAAGAAGACAGGUUUGAACCAGUCUUGGUUUUCUUGUAAUCUUUGGAAAUUCGGAAAAAUUCACAGAAAGUGAACUAACCUUUAAAAUUUGUAACACAAUAAGAGUCCCAUACAAAGUUUCAAACACCACAAGCGGAACCAAAUUUGGAGUUUCGAGCAACAAGAUACAACAGUUGGAAGGUGGUUGGUUUUUGUACCCUGUUUAGUGAUUUUCCAGAUUUGAAGAGAAAUCUUUGGGGCAUUAUUUGAGUAUCGAAAUGGCAUUGAAAUCGCACCAAAUCUAGUACACUUAAACUUCCAUAUAUGAACUACUUCUCUAUCAAAUUUUAUACAAGAACUCCCGCGGGAAGGCAGUUAACGAAACAACCAAAGUUCGUGAAAUUUCCAAAACUAAUCUGCCACCCUAUCUCUCUUUCUCUUUUCAAAAGUUUUGUACAAUGAAAUCAGCUCCAAAUCGAUCCAUUUUUGAAACCAAGGUUCUAGAAACAUUUAUUAAACAAUUGAUGGUUAAAUGACACUAAAAUUUUUGAAAUAUAACCUCCCAAAACAAGUUUGACCAUUCGGUCAACAAGAAAGGAAAAACUUCCAGUUUUCCAGCUUUGUUGCACUUUUAAAAUCAGACCAUAUCUCACUCUGUACAACUCCAAAUUGAGAUUCGUUUAUGGUGUUAGAAACUAGGUUCCAUAUACUACAAUUCAUCAGAAGACAUCAUUUUGAAAAUCUUUUCACAAGUGGGACAAAAUCAAGCCACAAAAUGCAGCUUCCAGUUUCAUUCGUAUGAACAGUCGAAACAGAACAGCUAAUUUUGCCAACUCACUGCGGUUCACUCAAAAUGAACCAGUAGGAGAUUUUUAUACCGUUGGAAAGAUAUGAAUGUCUAGUUUUGAAUGCCGUUCACAGCACUCAAUUUUGACUUUUAUACAAAAAUUUAUGUUCGAACAAAGAACACUGUCCGAGAACCCCUGCUAUACGUUUUUUCAGAUUUGAUUCUUGCCAAAACUCAAGUUUUACGCAACCAAAUGAAACGAUUUUUGGUAGGCACUUUCUACACACACUAUACAACCUAUAUCCAUCAAUUUCACAGUCAAUCAAGCGUAAAAUUUUUGAAACUAAAACAGAACAACAUGAACAGAAAUUUUGGACUGCACCUCUUCCUCACGGUUUCUCUCUUUCUUUUUCCUCUUCUAGUUUCUUCCAUUAAAACUCAUCACAAACACACUAACACACACAUAAACAUCAUGGCAUCCCUCAUAUAACCAAGGUGGGAGUUCAUAGAGCUCACUUCAACCAACCAAAUCCAAGCAACAACAACAAUAAGGAAGCUACAAGCUUCAAAACCAAGAAAUAAAACAAGAAAGCAAGAGUUUUGGUAGGAGAUAUUUAUACCUUCAAACACAAGAGGAAACCCUAGAAUUUUGGUGUGAAAAACUCCUUAAAACAGCCCCUAACCAGCUGCCCCUCUCUUCCCUUCAAGCUAGAGCAAGAACCCAAGGAGGUUAAUGGUUGGAUGAUGAAUUUCAAGCAAGAUUGAAGAGCAAAAGUUGGAGUUUUCUCCUCCCUUUUUGUGUUGCUAUGGCUGGCCAAAAAUGAGAGAUGGUGAGGGAGUGUUGGUGGUUUGAAUAGUGAAACUUGGAGAGAAAGAAUGAAGAAAAGUAGCCAUUAAGUUUUGUGAAAAAGUCAAAUUUUCAAUAGUGACUCGAUAGGGUUUCGUACCACCAAUUUCUCUCGGGUUUGAUACACUCAUGCACUAAUCCUCCAAGGUACUUCCUUUAACACUGUAAUUACUCACUCUUACUAGUCUAAUAUUAAUUUCUCAAAUCUCCAAAUAAAUCGCGCAGUGCGACUUUCGAGAAACUAUUGACGCGCGCGCGGUAAAAGUUUAAUUUAAACUUACUCACAUCUAAUCCCUCAAUUAACUUUUCUUAGUCUACUAUUAAUUAUCCUUAGUUCUCCAAGACUAAUGUACUCUCGGAUCGAAUUUACCUCGAAAAAUGUGUAUUCGCUAUUUCUCGCCAAACGAGCCGUAGAAAAAUUAAAUUUGCUAACGAAACGUUUUAAAAUUAUAAAAGGGACAUUUUUGCAUACAAAUGGACUUAAAACGGAUGAAAUAAAUUAUUUGGGUAAACGGGUGAUUAAAUACUUAAAUAAGCCAGUAAAAUAAAAUAAAAAUAAGAAGAAAUUUGGGUCCUCACAGCAAUAUAAGUACAACUUACCCUUGUGGGCAAAAACAACAAAAGCCCUGUGAUUUCAUGCUUCAAUUUGAACAAAUCGAUGAGUUUUGAAAGGCUAGGUUUUGAGCACAAAAUUUGAAAACACACAAAUUUCUCUAGGUUUGUAGCCUUCAAUCCGAUGUUGUGACACCUGCACAAGUUGGAAGGACUGCAUAAAUCAUUGUUAACACAAAAAAGUAGAGAAAAGGUGGUGCAGGGAAUGUUUCAUUGAGAGGAAAAGAAAGAAAACAAGGGUAAAGAAGAAAGAAAAGGAAAAGAAGCAAGAAUGAAGAAGCCAUGUAAAAUUUCUUCUUUAAACGACGAUGUCCGGCGUGGGACAUCACACCGGUCUUCAUGCGGGACAUCACCAGAUGGUUAAGCUGGUGCUAUUUCCUCCUUUUUUCUUGAAUCUGUCAAUGUCUAGCAUGAAGUCCAAUCUAAAGACUGGCACUGGUCAUUACUUCUCCAUUUUUUUAAAAAAAAAACUGGAAAUGAAUCAAAUAUAAACUUGCAAAACAAACAAAAAUAAAAUCAGGAAAUCAUAGAAAUAGCAUAACACAAGAUGACAAGAAAGUUAAAAACUUAUAAAGGAAUUCAGGUUGCCUCCUGCAAGCGCCCAGCUUAAUGUCUUUAGCCAGAUAGAGCUAAGCCAAUUAUUCUAAAAAGUGCACUAGCUCCACCAUCCCGACUUGAUCACCCUCAAAAUAUAACUUCAAAUGUUGACCAUUAACCACAAUUGCCACAUGUCUAUCUCUUUGAAUCUCUAUACUACACAUGGACCAACUUAGGUAACAAUGAAAGGACCUAACCAUCGGGACUUUAACUUGCUAGGAAAUAAUUUAAGAUGAGAAUCAAACAACAAGGCAUUUUGUCCAACUUGAAACUCCUUCCUAAUGAUAUGCUUAUCAUGCCAUGCCUUUGCUCUUUCCUUGUAGAUACGAGCAUUCUCAUAAGACUCAGGUCAAAUUUCAUCUAGCUCAUUCAGGUGGAGCAAUCUCCUUUCACUAGCAUUUUAAGGUCAAAGUUCAAUGUUUGGCCACCCAAUAAGCUCGAUGCUCCAACUUCACUGACAAAUGACAUGACUUCCCAUAGACGACUAAUUGAUAUGGAAACAUAACCAAUACCAUUUUAUAAGUAGUCUAGUGUAUGCAUCAUCGAGCUUAAGUGCCUAAUCUCUCCUAGACGGAUUCACCAUUUUUUUCAAAAUUUACUUUAUCUCCUGAUUGGACACAUUUGCUUGAUCAUUAGUCUAGGAAUGAUAUGUAACACUAGCAUGGAAUUUCACUCCAUACUUAGCCAACAGUACCUGAAAUUGACCAUUGUCAAACUGAACACCAUGGUCACUUGAAAUCGCAUGAGGUACUCCAAAGCGUGUAAAAAUAUUUAUCUUGACAAAUUUCACCACACUUUGGCUUUUGUUGUCAGAGAAGGCCACCAUCUCUACGCUGCAACCAAAAUGUAUGAAUUACCAUAUAAAGGUGGAAGUAGUCCCAUGAAGUCCAAACUCUAGAAUCGAAAGGUUCAACUUCCAAAAUCCCCGUCUGUGGCAUCUCUUGAUGAUGACCUAUGUUACCCAUAUGCUAGCAUUUAUUACACAUCAAUACAAAGGUCCUGGCAUCCUUGAACAGUGUCGUCCAAAGGAAUCCCAAUUGUAGCAACUUAGUUGUAGGUCUUUCUAACCCAUGAUGACCACCACAAGGAGACGCAUGGCAAUCUCGAGAAUCAAACUCAUCUCCUCCUCCGGUACAUAUCUCCUUAUGACUUCAUUAGCACACUUUUGAAAUAAUAGAGAAUCCUCCCAAAAGUAAUGUUUUACCUCAACAAGGAAUGUCUUCUGUUGCUAAAAAGUCAAAUUAGAGGGCAUAAUAUUAGUAACAAGAAAAUUGUCAUAAUCAACAUACCAAAAUUGUGACGCCCCCACUUUUCCCUAAGGCGAACCAAAAGGUAUCCGCGGGACGCCUGCCCAAUUCUCACCAGAACUCAGUACAAUUCCAGUUCAAACUUAAAGUACAAAACUAACAAUGAAAUCGGAAUAAAGGUACGAAGUCAUUCCCAUACAUAAAUAUUCAAUCUUACAUCACAAGUUCAAGAUACAUCCCCUUUCCAAAAUAUACAACUUCCCAAAAGGAUGUUUAAACAAAAUACAUUCCAAAAUUUAAGUCCAAAGAGCCAUCAAGUAGGAAUAUCCAUAAUUCCUUCCAUUUCGGUUCCUGUUAAGGAAAACAAAUCUAACGGGGUAAGCGGAUGCUCGUGAGGCCAGGAAAACAUGCAAAACACAUAUUUCACAUAACAAUAACACUUGAACAAGAAUGAAAGCUGUAACAUUCGAGUAAUUCACUUUCAACAAUAACAUACACUUGAUAAGGAUACAGGAGCUCUCAGGAGCUAUAUUGCACUUGCACGAUCCAAAACCUCCUCGAGUUGACACUCCGUCAAUCGGGUAGGUUAUACGUCCGCAGAUAUUACUUGUUCUUCCCUGUUCACCGUUACUCCCCCUGCUCCGGGCUUGCACUUCUUUUAUAUAAGGCGAUAUUACUUGAGUAUGCCAAGCGAGAUCUUUCCAGUAGAUCAUGCUUUUACAUUUUUCCCAUGGCUCACCAAGGUUCCCGACCAACCUCAUGCCGGCUCGAAUCGAAGGUCGGCCAAUGAGAUUUGGGCGUCCCCCACUAUUACCACUAAGAGUCGAGGAGAUUCACUCCAACCGACAUAUGCAACCAUAGCAUAAUUAACCAUUGAAACACUUCACUUAAAUAUUCACUUCAAGUAAUUCACUUCAUGUAAUUCAAGUACACUUCACUUAAAUGAGAACGAGUGCGAUAAAGUACACACUCGACUUGACAUUUUUAAAAUAUUCAAUCACUAAUAACAAUUAAGCACAUAACAAUUUUUUUUUCCGCACACUUGACACUCACCAAUCAAAAACAAGGGAGUAGUGCUCAAUCAAGCGUUUAGGCGUCCGCUGUUAGGUCCUCUUGAAGGUCCCCUUGAGUGUCUGAGCAAAUAAAAAUUUACUAUCACACACUAUCACUUAUAAACCCCUAGCUAUCAAGGAAGAUUGUACCCUUGUACAAUACUAAGAAAAUGUCAUGAAAGAGAGCCUUAAUUACGUGUAAAUCAAGGCUCAAAAGUAGGGUUUAAUAACACAAGAAAAAACUGAUUUUUCCACUUUGAAAUCGAGUGUAAAACAGUCAAUCAAUAUCGAAGGGUAGUGAAGAGUUCCUAAAACUCAUUUCUCCAACAAGUUCGAAAAAUUCAGUUUUAAGUGUCAACUUUGGAAAAUCAUAUCUUGCACUCAGUAGGUCCAAAAUUGGAAAACUUGAUACCAUUGGAAACUACUAGAAGACACUUUUCUAAGAUUAUGAGCGGAAGACAUUCAAAUAUUAGCUUAAAGUGGCUGACUUAUACUUACUAGACAGUUUCAGUCUUAGUUUUCGGUAAACUUUAGAAAUUCAGUAAAAUUCACAGAACGUGAACUAGCCUCCGAAAUUCGUAACAAAAUAAGAAGUCCAAUCAAGGUCUCAAACAGAACAAAUGGAACAAGAAUCGGAGUUUUGAGUGUUAAGAUAUAUUAACUCAAAGUUGGUCAAAAUAAGGAUUGUUCGGUCCAUUUUCUAGAUUUGAAGAACAAUUUUGGCACAUCAUUUGUAUAUUGAAAUGGUCUUAGAAUGGCAUCAAAAUUGGUACAAUUCAACUUCCAUAUGAGGACUACUCCUCUAUCAAAUUUCAUUUGAAAAUUCACACGGGAAGGUAGUUAACAAAACUACCAAAGUUUAAGGAAUUUCCAAGACAAAUCUGUCUUCUUGCUUUCUUUUCUCUUUUCAAACAUUUUGCACCACGAAAUCAGUCCCAUUUUGGUUCAUUUGUGAAACCACGGUCCAAUAAACAUUUCAUAAGCAGUUCAUAGUUGGUUGACAUCAAGAUUUUCAAAGCAAAGCAUCUCACAAACAACCAAAUCAGUUGGCCAGAAAAAAGUAGGGUUUUCCAGCUCUGCUGCAGUUUACAAAUUCACCAUAUCUCACUCAAUACAGCUUGGAAUUGAGAAUGGUUGGUGGAAUUAAAAACUAGAUUCAAAAGGCUACAUUUCAUCUGAACAAAUCAUUUUGAAAUUCAAUUUGCAAAGGAGAGAAAAUAGAGUCACAAAUUGCAGCUUCUACCUUUCUCUCGGAUAGGCUAACAGAACAGGGAAGCCAACUUUGAUCAAUCACUACAGAUGACUCAAUUCGAAUUAGAAGGUGCAUGAUAUACCGUUAGAAAACGACGGAUGUCUAGUUUUGAAUGCCACUGACGGCACUCAAUUCCAACAUCCGGACGGAGAGAUAUGUUCAUUCAAAAAACACUGCCAGAGGACCACUGAUACACGAAUUUUCCAGAUUUGUUCUUGCCAAAAUUAAAUUUUUAUCCAACCAAUCAAAUAAUUUUUGGUAGAAAAUUUCUACACACCAUACACAACAUACAUACAUCAGUUUCAAAGUCAUUUGAGUAUAAAAAAUUUGAACUAAAUGCACGGCACAAAUAGGACAGAUUUCGGCCGGUCUUCCUAUGCAAUUUCCUUCGGUUUUCCUUUCACUUGUCUAACUAACAUCAUCUUGUUUAACACAUAAUUAACACAAACAACACUUAUUAUCAUCAUAUCAGCCCAUACAACCAAGGUGGGAAUUCAUAGAGCCCACAUCAACCAUUCCAAUUCAAAUAACAACAUCAAUAAUGAAGCUACAAGCUUCAUAGCCAAGAUUAAACCCACUAAAGCUAAGAUUAAGUGAUUGGAUGAUUACCUCCUAAUCCUUGAGAGAAACCAGAAAUUUUUACACUACUAGAGCCCCAAGAAAACCAUGAGAUGAUGUCUUUCUUCUAGUUUAUGUGAAUGUCCAAGUAGUUUAGAAGUUGGGUGCAGGAUUUGAGCAAGAUCGAAGCAAGAUUGGAGUGAAAUGAGAAGAGCUUUCUUCUUCCUUCUUUUCUUUCUUGUUUAGUUGGCACUAAGGAGUGAAAAAGAAUGGUUCGGUGUGUCAUGAAGCUUCCUUGAAAAGCUUGAGGUUUUGUGGUUAAGAUUUGAGCAAAAGUCAACAAUGAAUAGUGCGUGCGCGCACGCGUGUGUUUCGUAUCCGUUUUCUCUCGGGUUUGUUUUACUUGUACACUAAAUCUCUAAUGUACUUCCUUUAACAUUAUAAUUAUUCACUCUUAGUAGUCUAGAAUAAAUUUCUUAAAUCUCCAAUUAACCGCUCCGGCUCGAUCUACGCGAACUUCCAAUUCGCGCGUGAUAAAGCGAAACCUAAAAGAAAUUCUUGUAACGAUAAUAUAAGUAACUAAUACUAGGGUAAUUAAUCAUAAAAAUAACUAUUUUAAGACUAACGCAUGAGUUCUCAAAUCUCCAAGGUCACUGCACUCUCAAAUCGAAUAUUGUCUCCAAACGUGUAUUCGCUAUUUCUUACUAAACGAGCUUCCGAAAAUUAAAUUUGCUAACGGGACGUUUUAAACAUAUAAGUAAGGCAUAGUUCCAUGUAAAUGGUUUUAAACUGGUUGAAAUAAAUUAUACAGAGAAAAUAAGUGAAUAAAUAUUUAAAUAUGCCAGUAAAUAAGAAAAAUUAAGAAAUUUUUUUUUCGAGUCCUCACAUCCUUCCCUCCUUAAAAGAAUUGCAUCCUCGAAACUCACAUUUAGGACAAUAUCAUUUCCUUAAUAGUUAUACUUAUCAAAUCAAUUACUAACCUACACUCUCCAAUCCAUAUCUCACAAUUUCUAUUCAUCCAAUUAGCAAUCAAACUUUGAUUUUUCCCCCAAUAGAUGUUUUAACUUCCAAAUCAUAGAGUAACUUAAUCAACCUCAUGUCUACCUUACUCAUGAAUUUAGGGUUUUCAAAAGAAUGUGUCAUAUCAUAGUUAUUUCGAAUCUUAGCUAGUUGGAUUAUAUCUCCAAUGAGCUCUCUUAGGCCCUUCUCGACAAUGGACCACCGGAAGGCGCCCCCGAAAUGACUUAAUAUCACCAUUACCUUCCAUACCUUACAGUUAAAGUAAAAGCUCAGAUAGGUCCUGUGACAGCCCCACCUCCCCCUGGGGUGUACCCUAGGGUUUAACGGAUCGCCUGCCCAAUUCUCGCCAAGACUCACUCACUCACAUCAAAUAAAAUAGGAUGCAACCUCAAUAAUAAACGAAAUAAUAGUUCCUAGAUUUGGCACAUACAACUACAUUCAUUUCUAUCUCAACCACCCAUACAAUCCCAAAUACAUCAAAAGAUUUAAGUUCUCAAUACAUUCAACCCUAAUCGAGCGACUAGUGCGAGUACAAUUAUAAAAUUCAAAAAACAACUAGACUACGCUAGUCUGUACCAGUCUCACGCUUUGCUCGUACCCCUUGUAAGGAAAACAAAUGGCAUGGAAUGAGCUAAAAGCCCAGUGAGGUUCCAAAUAGCAAGUUGACCAUUAUUUAAAAGUGCAAGUAUCACGUAGCAAAAUAGCGAGCAUAACAAGUGUAUAAAAGUAGCAUUAACACUUUAGGUAGCAAAUCUCAAAAUGAACGAGUGUAAAAUUCUUUUCUUUUAAAACGAAAUAAUAACACGAUAAGUACUAAUCAUUCCAAAGUAUAAGGAUACGGAUGGCUCUCAGGAGCCAAAUUCCAUUGCAUCACCAGUGACGGGAACCAAUUCCAGAUUUCUAAGCUUCCGAAAUUCCAACAUUUGGGUGACCAAAUCAAGUUAUUUUUCAAUGAAAAUUUUUACACACUCAAUAUAACAUGUAAACAACAUAAACAAGCCAUUAGAAUAUCAAAAUUUCGUACCAAAGUGCUCGAACAAAGCAGGGGUAAAAUGGUCACUUUUGGUCAUUGCACCAUCCUUGAGUUUCUAUCAACAAUCCAACAUUAAUCCACUAGUUUAGUUUAAACACUAAAUAAACAUUAUUACCAUCAAAACACCACAAAUCAGUCCAUAUAUCCAAGAUGGGAGUUCAUAGAGCCCACACAACCAUUUUUUCACCAUAAACAAGCUACCCAUGAACAUGCAUGAGUAUAUAAGGGCACUAGAACUUCCAUAAACCAAGUUUUGAAGGUUAGAUCAUUACCUACUUCACUUGGUGUGCAAGAACAGCAUUUUCGGUCCUCUCCUUGGCCAAGAAAACCGUGAAAAGCUCCCCCUUUUUGUAGCUUAAGAUGAUCUUCAAGUAAUAAGCUAAGUGUAGUUAAAUUUUGGUGCAAAAUGGUGCAAGUUUUGUGAGGGAAAUGGAGAAGAAAAUUGAAGGAGCAAGCUUGGUUCUUUUCCUUGGAGUUGUACGCUGGAAAUGGAGCUAGGAGAGAGGGAAUUCUGAUCUGAAAUGAAGCUUCCAAAGGAAGCUUUAGUGUGUGGUCCAAAGUUGUCCAAAAGUCAACCUUUCUGUGCUCGAUUCCUCUCGAGUUUAUUUCACUAGUGCACUAGACCUCCAAUACACUUAUAUUCAUAUAAAUAUUAUUCACUCUUAAUUGUUCUAAAAUGAGGGUCUAAAGUCUCUCAAUUAAAUCCCGCGUAUGAAAACGCGUAUUUCCAAAUUAAGCGCGAUAAAGCGAAACCUCCAUGAAUUUCUUAUAACGAUAGUACUAAUAACUAUCAAUUGAGUACUUAAACAUAAAAUUACCUAUUUUAGGACCAUUGUGUAAGUCUCCAAUUUUUCAAACUUAUUGUACUCUCAAUCGGUUAAAAUUCCCAUACACGUUUUCACUAUUUUCACUCAACGAGCUUUCAAAAAUUAAUUUUUGAAACAAGUCACUUUAAAAAUAUAAUGAAGCUAUAAUUCCAUGUAUUUAGGUCUAAUAAGGUUAGAAAAUAUUAUUCGGGGCAAAUAUCCAAAUAAAUAAUUAAAUGAGCCAAAAAUAAAGGUUUAAAAAUAAGAAUUUUUACGAGUCUUCACAUCCUCUUCCCCUUAAGAGAAUUUUGUUCUCGAAAUUUACCUUGAUCUGUGAACAGGUCGGGAUACUUUUCUCGGAUUGCCUCCUCUACUUCCCAAGUGGCUUCCUUUAUUCCAUGAUUCCUCCAAAGCACUUUCACCAAUGGUAUUCGUUUAUUUCUCAAUUCUUUCACCUUUCGAUCCAGAAGUUUCACCGGUCUCUCCUCAUAGGUCAAGGUUUCUUCAAUUUCAAUACUCUCCGGUUGCAAAAUGUGAGAGGGGUCUGGAUGAUACUUCUUAAGUAUGGACACAUGGAAUACAUUAUGGAUUCGAGAUAAAUUCGGUAGCAACUCCAACUUGUAUGCCACAUUCCCCACGCGCUGGAUAAUCUUAUAAGACCCUACAAAUCUCGGUUGUAGUUUAUUUCCCCUUCCAGACAUCAAACUCACUUUCAAAGGUGUAAUCUUGAGAAACACUAAAUCUCCAACAGUAAAUUCUAGAUCCUUUUUCCAAUUUUCGGCAUAGCUCUUUUGACGGCUCUGGGCGGUUUGGAUCCUCUGGCGUACCAACUUUACCUUUUCAUUAGCUUUCUCAAUCCAAGAUACUGUAGUCGGGUUUAAAAUCUUUCUUUCACCUACUUCAUCCCAACAAAUUGGAGACCUACACUUCCGACCAUAAAGGGCUUCAUACGAAGCCAUUUGUAGAGAAGAAUGGAAACUAUUGUUAUAAGCAAAUUCCACUAAAGUUAAAUAUUUACUCCAACUUUCUCCAAAAUCUAGAACACAGGUCCUCAACAUGUCCUCAAGAGUUUGAAUUGUCCUCUCAGAUUGUCCGUUAGUCUGAGGAUGAUAAGUAGUACUAAAGUUCAGUUUUGUCCCCAACACCUCUUGCAUCUUUUGCCAGAAUUUCGAAACAAAUUUUGGAUCUCUAUCCGACACAAUACUCACAGGUAUACCAUGUAGUCUGAUGAUCUCAUCCAUGUACAUCUUAGCUAACUUUUCUAAUGGGUAUUUCAUAUUAAUCGGCAGGAAAUGAGCCGAUUUGGUCAGUCCAUCCACUAUCACCCAAAUAGCAUCAUGGCCUCUUUGUGUCCUUGGUAAUCCGGAUACAAAAUCCAUAGUGAUGUUCUCCCAUUUCCAUUCAGGUAUCUCCAACGGUUGUAAGAGUCCCGACGGUUUCUGAUGUUCGGCCUUAACCUGUUGACAAACCAAACAGGUCUGGACAAAAUGGGCAAUUUCCUUCUUAUUCCCUCCAGGGUGUACCGUAAACUUUGAUCGGUGUGCCUAUUCUAAAAUUUCCUUCUUAAGUCCUUCAUCCUUUGGCACUACUAUCCGAUUCCGAAACCUCAAUACACCAUUUGAUCCCAAGUUAAAAUCCGACUUAUCUCCCCUUUUAACUAUUUCCAACCAUUUUCGCACUUCAGUGUCCUUUUCUUGAGAUCCCUUGAUACGUUCGAACAAAGUGGAAUUCACUACAAUAUUCUCCAAAAUGACCUUCCUCGAUUCCAGUCGAGGAUUCUAAUAACUGACUUCUUCCAACAAGUGUAGUUCCUUAAUCAUCAAUCCAGCCAUUUGUACUUAACGGCUCAAAGCAUCGGCCACUACAUUGGCCUUCCCGGGAUGGUACUUAAUCGUAUAAUCAUAGUCCUCCAGAAAUUCCAUCCAUCUACGUUGCCUCAAAUUUAGUUUCUUUUGUGAGAAUAAAUACUUAAGACUUUUAUGAUCAGUAAAAACCUCAAAUGUCACUCCAUAAAGAUAGUGUCUCCAUUUCUUUAAAGCAAAUACCACUGCUACCAACUCCAAGUCAUGAGUCGGAUAAUUCCCUUCAUGUGGUUUCAAUUUCCUUGAGGCAUACGCUAUGACUUUGUCAUUUUGCAUCAAAACACAUCCCAAUCCUUCCUUAGAGGCAUCGGUGCAAACCACAAAACUAUCCUUUCCAUUGGGUAGAGCUAAUACUGGGGCUUUGGUCAAGUCUCUUUUCAAUUCCUGGAAACUCUCUUCACACUUAGGACUCCAAAUAAACUUUUCACUUUUCUUGGUCAACUCAGUCAUGGGUCCAGCAAUUCUAGAAAAAUCUUGGAUAAAUCUUUGGUAAUACCCUGCAAAUCCAAUAAAACUCUGAACCUCAGUAGGGUUUUCCGGUCAUUUUCAUUUCGAAACAGCUUCAACUUUAGCUGGAUCCACUUUAAUCCCAUCUUUAGAAAUUAUGUAUCCCAAGAAAGUCACUUCCCUCAACCAGAAUUCACAUUUACUGAACUUAGCAUAUAAUUGGUGUUCCCUCAAAGUCUGUAAGACAAUUCUCAAAUGUUUCUCGUUGUCUUUCACAUUCUUAGAAUACACCAAAAUAUCAUCAAUAAAGACCACCACAAAUUGGUCCAAAUAAGACUUAAAAAUCCUAUCCAUUAAAUCCAUGAAAGUAGCAGGUGCAUUUGUUAACCCAAACGGCAUUACGGCAAACUUGAAAUGCCCGUGUCUCGAGUUAAAAGCAGUCUUGGAUAUAUCCUUCUCCAAAAUUCUCAAUUGAUAAUAACCCUGUCUUAAAUCCAACUUCGAAAAUACUACCGCCCCUUGCAAUUGGUCAAAUAGCUCAUCAAUGUGGGGCAAUGGGUACUUAUUCUUGAUCGCAACAUCAUUCAAGUCUCUAUAGUCUAUAUACAGUCUCAAACUCCCGUCCUUUUACUUAACAAACAAAACCGGGGCUCCCCACUGAGAAUCACUUUCCCGUAUAAAAUCCUGUUCUAACAAGUCUUGCAGUUGCAUUUUCAACUCUUUCAAUUCAACUGGUGCCAUCCGAUAUGGUGUCUUAGAGAUAGGUGCUAUUCCCGGAGUCAUAUCAAUCUUAAAAGCUAUAUCCCGUUCCGGGAGUAAAGACUCUAACUCUUCAGGAAAUACAUCUGAAAAUUCUUUUACUACAGGCAUGUCUUCCAAAUUCACCUUAUCACUAGGAGUGUUGAUUAAAAAGGCCAAGUAGCCUUGAACUCCUUUACUUAAUAAUUUUCUAACCCGAAUCCCUGAUAUAAGUGCAGACGAAACCAAUUUACCCCUUACAUCCAAUUUUAGGGUCACCUGCCCUGGAAUGCCCAAUUCUACAAUUUUUGUCCUACAAUUCAGCUGGGCGUCAUAACAGGCUAGCCAAUCCAUCCUAAAAUCACAUCAUACCCCUUAAUUGCUAAGCCUAUCAAAUUGACCAACAAUUUUCGUUCCCCGACACAGAUUUCACAAUUUCUAUACACCAACUUAGCAAUUAAACUUUGAUCCCCAGUAGGUGUUUUAACUUCCAAAUCAUAUAGUAACUUAAUUGGCUUCAAAUCUAUUCCACUCAUGAAAUUAGGGUUUACAAAAGAAUGUGUUGCACCCGGAUCAAUUAAAACCCUAGCUAAACGGUGAAAGAUUGGAAUUGUACCUUCAACCACUUCAGUCGCCUCAGGUACCUGUUGGUAGUCCAGUGCAUAGACCAUAGCUGGCACUUUCGGUCGACUUCCCCCAGCACUGGUCUACUUGGAGGUUGACUUUUCUGGCCUCUGGGUAUUACUUCCCACUUUUGGCGCUUUCGAACAAUUCUGGACCUGAUGUUCGGCACUACCACAAAACAAACACUUCCCCGACUUUCUCCAGCAGUCAUUCUCGGAGUGGUUGGAUUUACCACAGUACCCAUAAGUAACUUGAGAAAUCACCGCCGAACCAGUAGAUGGCGCUCCCCUAGCUUAGGUCGGUCCACUACAACCUAAAGCUCCCCUCGAGGCCCCAGCAGUCCUUGUUCCUCCCGCUCGUCUUCCCAUUUUGGAAGGUUACGUAUUCUUACUAGCCUGCCCAGAAGUAUGGCUGGAAAAAUUCCUUUUUCUAUUGUGAAAGUCCCUCACUUGUAGUCUUGCACUUUCAACCCUCUGUGCCUUCUCUAGAGCCUCAGUAAAUGUAGAAAAUUUGAGCAGCGGCCAGGUCCUCCUAAAUUUUCACAUUCAACCCCUGUACAAAUCGUCUUAUCCUCUUCCAUUCAUUAACCACCAGCUCAGGGGCAUACUUAGAAAGGUUAGUGAAUUUUCCUUCAUACUCUGCUACAAUAAGGAUUCCUUGUUUCAACUUAAUAAAUUCAUCCUCUCUCUUUUCUUGGAUCAAGGGUGGAAGUAACUUUUCAUUAAAUUCUCUCGUGAAGUUCUCCCAGGUCCAAGGGGUUUGAGCUCUUUCCCAUUUUCCUUUUAUCACAUCCCACCAAGCACGAGCUACUCCCUCGAAUUGGAAAGCAGUAAAAUUCACUCGUCUAUCCUCAGUGUAGUCUAGAGCGGCGAAUAUGUUGGUCAUCCUCUCUAACCAAUUCUCUGCUAUCUCAGGAUCAGGUUCACCAAGAAACUUAGGUGGGUUGAACUUUAAGAACCUUUCUAAGGCUCUAUCCUCUCCUCUAUACUGUCCCCCAGGUUGGUUAAGUGGUCCAGGACCUUGUCUAUCAGCUAAACGUUCUAAGAUAUCAGUCAUCUUAUUAAUGGCAGUAGCCACUUGAUUUUUCUCUACAUUUUCCUGUCCCUGGGUCGGUCCAGUUGCGGAUCCCUGGUCAUCCCUAUGAGGUUGGGCUUGUCUAGUCCCUCGCCCACGGUCUCGACCACUUCUCAGCCCUUUGUCGCGCCCCAUUUUUUAAUAAGAAUGAGUGAAGUAUGGUUUGAAAAUCGGUGAUGUGUGUGAAAAAGAAAAAGGCCAUGGAACUUUGAAAUGCGAUGGUUUGGCCAAAAUAGUAAUCUAAAAAGGUUUUGAUAAGAGUGUAGAAAUCGCUAUUUGGUAUCGAGUUAGGGUGUACCAAGUCACCCAAAAAAUAUGGAUUUAAAAAUGUAAAAAAACCUUUUUGGAGUCAAUCUACAAUAAAUUAGAGAAAAUGGUUCGGGGGUCGCGGUUGAAGAAAGGGAAGGCAAAAACAAUGUCUAAGGCACCCUCUCAACCUAACUUAAGCUAGUUACAUGAUUUAGUCACGAUUUUCCUAAUUUCUAACCAAAGAUGUAUCGCAUUUGGAUGUGACUAACAUGGAUGCAAUCCUAAAUCUAAUGAUGAAUCGAAAGGGACAAAUAUCUCUUAGAGGCUUGAUCGGACUAGAUCACAUGAGUUGUGAUAGCCAAGGAUAAGCCCUCCAAGAGGUCACGAAUAAAUGCAAAAGAAUGCUCGAGUAAUAAUGAGGAAAAAUGAGAGUGCACGAAAAUGUCUUUGAGUGUAAAAACGAUUGCUAGGUGCAAGUGUGCAAAAUGCAAGGGUGCAAAUGAGUAUAUAAAAGUGCAUGUGUACAAAUGAGGGAGGGUGUAAAGUGCAGGUGUGCGAAUGAGUAUGUAAAGUGUAAAUGUGCAGACGUGAGAGAGUGUAAAGUGAUAGUGUGCGAAGUGGGAAUGUGUAGGAUGAGAGUGUGUGAGGUGAAAACAUGAAAAAAUGAUAGUGUGUAAAGUGAGAGUGUGCAAAUGGUAAUGUGCCUUGGAAAUGCAUGAGCCCUAGAGGAAUGCAAGCAAGACAGGUACGAGGAGACCCUAAAUUGUGACUUUUGAUUUGCCUUUUGGUUAGAAAAAAAACGAGCGUGCUAAGGCUAGGUGUAGCCAUACUCGUCCGUUUCCCUUACUAGAAGGGUGACUCCCUAGCCUAUACAAGCACAUGAGCCAGUCUAAAAUGAGAAUGUAAUCCUAAAUGUGUAAGGGAAAGGUUAGGGGAGCAUGCAGAAGUGAGAAAUACUAAAAUGAAAAUAUGCAUGAAGUUGCAGUGAGGCAUGCAGAUAUGACAUUAGCGAAAGGGGGACGGCCCUAUUGGGUCUAGCAUUGGACUAGCCCUUAACUGACGUUCUCUCACAAGCAUUGGACAUUGUAAGAGCUCGAGGGAGAGACCAUGACUAGCAUUGGACUAGCCAUGGUAACGUGCAUUCCAUCUAUAUAAUCAGAUAUAAUGAUAAAAGCAAAUAGACAUGCAAAGCACCUAGUUUCACAUAGCACGUAGCACAUAAGCAUGCUUAUCUAGAUGCAGAACCCUAGGGAAGUGGUAACACAUAGCACAUAAGCAUGCAAAUCACACAAGGCAAACAAGCCCUAACUAUUACAUUAGGGGGGCCCUACUACAAUCUAAAAGGGAAAAUAAAAUAAAUAAUUAAGAUAAAUACCUAACUAUUACAAUUGUGGCAUUCAAGUGCCUUUCAAAUUAUCAAAAUUGAACUAUAAAAAUGAAUAUACAAAACUAAAGCCAAUAAAUAAGUAAAUGAAAUAAUAAAUAUAAAACACUUUCAAGAGGCAUGCAAUUUAAACACGUAAAGUCACAUAGAGCACAUAGAAUCAAAUAAAGUAAGAAAUAAGGGAUAGGAUGUACCUCCCUUGAGUUGGGGCUCUAAUGAAGUGAGAUUACUUAGUUACCCUCCAAAAUAAAAGAAAAGGUCAAGGCAUCACAAAUAACUAUGAAAUUGAACCAUUAAAAACAUUUAAACGACUAAAACAAUCCAUAUUCACUAAAUAAGGACUCAAUUGGAAGCAUUAACCAAUCAUUCAAGUCCAAUUAGAACACUUUGGGAACCUCAGAGGUCCAUAAGUAAUGAAAAGGUCAAGUAAUGGUUCAAAUUGCAAUUACUCUAGGACCUAAUUGCAAGAAGUUAGAACAUAAUUGGGCCCUUGGCAUUGGAUGGAAACAUGUGAAGUUAAAGUGCAAUUUUGGAAAGCUUUGCAUGCAUGCAACGAAGGCUACCAGCCAUUUGAAACUUUCAUUUGCUUCUGCAAUUCGGCAUUUACAAACUCAACUCACAAACACAAUCAAAUCCGAUUUGAACUAAACAAACAAAACUACCACCUGAACCUUUCAUUUUGCAACAUGAAACUUCUAAAUUUAAACACAAAAAAAUCAGAUAAAGGGGCAUGCAAAUCAGGACAGUUCAUGGGUUUUAUUCCUGCACUUUUCUGUUGCAAGCUUUGCAGCUUCAAUUCACGCAAAUGAAAUGCCGAAAGAUUGCAUAAUAAAUCAUCAUUUAGUAACCAAACCUACACACAUCUCCGAACAUCAGUUUUAACAUCGAGGAAACAAAAAAAUGCAGCAAAAUAAGCAUCAACAUUCACUUGAGAUGUCGAACCAAAACAUUCAAGAAAACAUCUUAACUCUCGGACCAUCAAACAAAUAAGAUACUAGACAUCGGCUCAAGAAGUUUUGAGACAGCAUCAUGCAGCCCAUGAAGAUGUUUUUCUUUCUUAUUGCUGUUUCUAGGUUCUGCAAUUUUCUAUGUUCAGCAAACACACGACAACAACAGCAUUUUCAUCCGUAAACCCAACAUCCAAACCAUCAUUUGAUCAUGCAUUAAAUCAACAUCGUACCAAGAUAACACAAAAAUACAAAGCUUUAGCCCAUAUCACGCAAUUCAGAUCGACAAGCAGCAAAAAAAUGGAAGCCUCGGCUUGUGAAUCGCAACAUCAACUUCGUAAUCCUUACAUCAGUCUACCCCAACACCAACUCAUCAAGUAAAUAUGGAAACUUCAUCCUAAGACUGAAAAGACUGACUUCCAACAAUCAAAACCAUGCAAUGGACAUUAACAAAGAGAUCACAAGCGUCGAACUCGCACCAGUGAAACCCAGCAGCGGUUUUUGAGGGCAAAUUCGAAGACUUUAUCAAUGUUUUCUGUAAACGAUUUCUGAACGAAACCUUCUCCCCUUACUUCCUAGUUGGUGCAGAACUUGAAAAUUUCUUGAAAUAAUCAAAGACUGAAGAAAUAUUCGACCUGAAACAUGGCUUAUAAUCAGCCUUUGUUGUAAAAAUUUCAGCUUUUCAUUCUUUUCUCUCUUUCGAAUCUCUCUUCCAACCCUCUCUUUUGAUCUCUCUUCCAGCCCUUGUUUCCAGGUCCUCUCCUUACUCUGACCUUGCCCAGAUCUUUUCUUAACAGAUUCUCCUUGCUCUUUUUCUUUUCUUUUCCUCCCCGAGAGCUCCUUCCUAGCUCAUCUCCUUCGGUUCUUUCUUUUUCUCUGCUCUUUCUAUUCAGCCCAGCCGCCAACUCCUCUUAGCCGUCACACACCAUUCUCCCUUCCCCUGUUGUUUCAGUCGUCCUCUUUUGCUCUUCCUCACAAUCUCAGCUCUUUUUCUGUUGCUUUCUCCCUACCUCUCUCUCCGUUUUUUCUCUCUGUCUUUUUCAAUCUCCGCCGCCCUUUAUAUCUAGGCUCUCUCUCGGUUCCUCUCAGCCUUCUCCUUUCCUUUAGCCGUCAUCUGAUCCCUUUUCUCUUGCUUGGUUUCUUUCCUAAUACCCUAGCCGCCCAAAGCCCUCAAUCUUUUUAUUUUCUUUUUUGAUUUUUGUCCCCUCAAAACUUCCUAAACCAACCAAGUGUCCUAACACCUCACCUUCUAGGUGUUGUGUUGUCAAAGACACAAAGAGACACUUGUACCACAUGCAAGCUUAUACCUAUUCACACAUUUUCCUUAUUAUUAUUUUUUUUUGUAUUUUUCCUUCAAAAAUUAAUUUAGGUGAACAAACAAAAAUUAUUUUUCAAAUUGAAUCCAAAAUGAUUAAAAUAACUUUUUUUGUGGAAAUUUUCUUUUUCUGAAAUUUAAUGCUAAAAUGUCUUAAAAAUAAAAACUAAGAGACAAAAAAUGAAUAAUACUUAACAUUUAAUCAAUGAAAAUAAAAAUAAAAUUGAAUUAAAAAUUUGGUGUCUACACCCUUCCAUUAUCCUAGGUAUGCCUAGUGUAAGGAAUAAAUCAAUUAGGCAAGAAAUACUUAAAGUAAGAACCAAUUACAAAAACAUUGAAAAUAACAAUAAUUUACAUUCAUUAACACUUCAAAUUCAUACAAUUAACAAGUCAUGGGGAAGAUCACAAAAUAUAGCACACAGGUGCCACAAGAGUACUUUUAGUCACAGAAGACUAAAGUAAAAGCAAGUGCCUCAAAAGUAGGCCACACAGUCAUGCAAAAUACAAUGGCCUCAGCACUUAGCGUCACCCCAACUAAUUCUAGCUAUACUAGUCAAAAGGGUCAAAAGAAAAGUCAAUCAGUCUAGACCUAGUCCACAGUAGGACUAUCAGGAGGAAUCUCCUCCUUAGGAUCUUCCUCCGGAUCCUCCUCCUCCUCAGGGUUCUAGACCACAUCCAUCACCUCAUCCACUAGCCUAGUAGUAUCAGCCAAGAUCCCGGAAGCCCUAUCACGGACCUCCUCCCUCAAGCUAGUAAGUCGAGCCCUAGUACUCUGGAGCUCCUCACGAAUAAUGGCAGAUGUAGCCACCUCGCCCUCAAUAACCUCCUCGAGCUCAGCGAUCCUCUCACCCUGAGUACCUACCAUCUGUCUAAGCUCGUCCACCUCUGCCUGUAAAUUCCGGUUAAGAUCCACUAACUGACGAUGCUCAUCGUCCAAAGCAAGCACGAGGUGGUUUGGGUAGGCAAAUGUCACCCUACACGAACACCGAGGAUACCUAUCAUAGGGUGAGUAGCGCACUCGAGCUCCUCCACUAAGAGCUCGGUAGUAGAUAGGCCUAGGAGGUACUACAUGACCAUUCGCAUGGCCAUUCCUGUUAGCUGCCGGGGCUCCAUUUCCAUUUUCCAUCCCUGCAAAAAUAAUAACACUUUUCGGGUUAGAAUCUUAAUCACUACCUAGUUCGGAUGUCCCUUUAGGGUAUGCCUAACUUAGUCACUAAUUCGCCCAAGUAUCCCUUAAAGUAUGACUAAGUCAUUCUGUCUCAGAUCUUAAGAAUAGAGUAUCUAGUAUGUCUCCCAUAUAGAUCUCCAACCUAGUGCUCUGAUACCAACUGUGACGCCCCCACUUCUCCCUAAGGUGAACCAAAGGGUAUCCGCGGGACGCCCGCCCACCUCUCGCCAGGACUCAAGCAAUUUUCGUUCGAGUUUAAUGCAAUACUAGACAUCACAACCAGAUAAAAAAAAUACAAUCAGUGCGGAAGCGUUCAAACUUAACAAUAUUUAACAAUUAGCCAAUCCAUACAUCAGGUUUCCAUAAUACAGCCCAAAACACACAAUGGCUAUAAGGUCUAGACAAAAGAAUUGAAACCCUAUUACAAAAGUCCUCAAAAGUACAUAAAAGGAAGUUUCCUCCGAGUCUCAUUCCAAGCCCAAUCCUGUUAAGGAAAACAAAUCUACAGGGUGAGCGAAACGCUCGUGAGGCCAAGAACACACAUGCAAGCACAUUGCUCAAAUAACAAUCCCAAUUUACAAGUCAAGUAAUAAUAUUUCAAUAAUUAACAAUUUACUGGAAAGAUAACCAGAAACAAUUCAAGGAUACUGGAGCUCUCAUGAGCUAUAUUCCACUUGCACGAUCAAUAACCUCCACGAAUUGACACUCUGUCAAUCGGGUAGGUUUAGUCCGUAGAACUCCACUUAACCUGUCCCCUUUCACCUUACAUACCCCUGUAUCGGGUCCGCCUGUCAUUUAUUUAAGGCGAUACUACUCGAGUAUGCCGAGCGAGAUCUCUCACAAGAUCAAACUUUCAUGUUUUCCCCAUGGUUUACCAAGGAGCCCGACCAAGCCCAAGCCGGCUCGAGUCCAAGGAUGACCAAUGGGGUUUUGGGCGUCCCCCAUAUAUAUUUAAGUGUCGAGGAGAUUCACUCCAACGACAUAUGCAGCCAUAGCAUACUAUUUCAAGUCAUUCAAACAUGUGGUAUAUUCAAGCAAUUGACAUAUGCAAGUAUUCAAGUACGAGUUAUUCAUUUCAAGCGAGAAUGAGUGCGAUAAAGUACACGCUCGUCUCAAAUUUCAAAAUCUCAAGUAUCAAUAAUAAGUAAACAUGUAUCGAGUUCACAGAAGUUUAAGUAACACACACUUGACACUCACCAAGUCAACCAAGGAAAAAUGUUACUUGAAUUUCAAGCGUCCACCGUAGGAUCCUCUUGAAGGUCCUCGUGCGAGUCUGAGCAAUUAAUAAGGAUCUAUCACUCAUAAACUCUAAUAAAUGAAAAGAUCGCACUAGUGCACAUUCCAAGAAAAUCUCGUGAAAACGAACUCCAAUCACUCGUAAAUCGAGGUUCAAAGACGAGGUUUCAAAACACAAGAGCAAUCGAGUUUCCGUCUUUGAAAUCAAGUAUAAAACGUCCAAGUGAUAUCGAGGGAAAAAGGAGAAUUCGAAAAACUCCAUUUCCCUUAAGUUUUGGAAAUUUCAGUUUUGAUACGAAUUUUUGAAAAAUCGUAUCUCACUCUUUACACAUUCAAAAUUGGAAAAUUUGGUACCGUUGGAAUCCUAUUUGAAUGUACUAAAAUUUAUUAGAAGACACUUUUUCAUGAUUCUAAAUGAAAAGUAUUCAAAAAUGGGCUCAAAGUCACCAUUUCAGGGUACUUAGGAUUGUGUCGGGGUUAGUUUUUCGCUAACUUUGGAAAUUCGGUAAAAUUCACACAUUGCCAACCAGCCUCUGAAAUUUGUAACUCAAUUAGACUUGCAAGUAAGGUUUAGAACAGAACAAGAGGAUCAAGAAUCGGAGUUUUGAGCACCGAGAUACGAUAGCUCAAAGUUGGUGAAAAACCGAAACUGUUAAGCCAAUUUUCCAGAUUUAAGUUCCAAACUUUGGGACUUUAGUUGGGUAUCAAAACGGACUCGGAAUGGCACCAAAUUUGGUAUGAAUAUACUACCAUAUAAGGGCCACUCCUUUACCAAAUUUCAUAGAAAAAUAUGUACGGAAAUCAGUUAACGAGACCGUUGAAAUCACAAGAAAUUCUAAGGCUAAACUGCCUUUGAACUUCCGUUUUGCCGUUUCCAAACAUUUGGUGAAGAAACAUCUCAAACAUGGUCCAUUCCGGUAGUUAAUGUCUAAAAUAUGUCCAGAGUACAUUUGAUAGGUGAUUUACACUAAGAAACUUCGGAUAACAAGUCCCAAAUCAUUGUUAGUUUCAAAUCUGUCCAAAUGCAUGGUAUUCCUUCACAAUACCAGAUUCGAAUUUUGAUCAUAAAUCACUCAAUUCAACUCAGAAUUGAGCAUGGUUGAUGGAAUUGGAAAAUGGACUCAUAAGGCUAUAUUUUCUGAGAAGAAACCGUUUUCAAAAUCUGUCCAUAACUAGCUCGUUCGUGAGCAUCAAGUUACAGCUCAUGUGCUGCCUUCUAGGAAGCAACGAAACAGGACAGCAAAUUUCAAACGAAUGGUUUGGCUUGCUCAAGUGGAACCAGGACAUGCAUUUUAUACCAAUGGAAAUCUGGGAAUGUCUAGCUUCCAGUGCCAUAAACGGCACUCGAUUCCGACAUCGGACCGAUGAGUUAUAGCCGAAACAAGAUGACUGCCUGGGCAGUGACGGGAACCAAUUCCAGAUUUCUAAGCUUCCGAAAUUCCAACAUUUGGAUGACCAAAUCAAGUUAUUUUUCAAUGAAAAUUUUUACACACUCAAUAUAACAUGUAAACAACAUAAACAAGACAUUAGAACCUCAAAAUUUUGUACCAAAGUGCUCGAACAAAGCAGGGGCAAAAUGGUCACCUUUGGUCAUUGCACUAUCCUUGAGUUUCUAUCAACAACCCAACAUUAAUCCACUAGUUUAGUUUAUGCACUAAAUAAACAUUAUUACCAUCAAAACACCACAAAUCAGUCCAUAUAUCCAAGGUGGGAGUUCAUAGAGCCCACACAACCAUUUUUUCACCAUAAACAAGCUACCCAUGAACAUGCAUGAGUAUAUAAGGGCACUACAACUUCCAUAAACCAAGUUUUGAAGGUUAGAUCGUUACCUACUUCACUUGGUGUGCAAGAACAGAAUUUUUGGUCCUCCCCUUGGCCAAGAAAACCGUGAAAAGCUCCCCCUUUUUGUAGCUUAAGAUGAUCUUCAAGUAAUAAGCUAAGUGUAGUUAAAUUUUGGUGCAAAAUCGUGCAAGUUUUGUGAGGGAAAUGGAGAAGAAAAUUGAAGGAGCAAGCUUGGUUCUUUUCCUUGGAGUUGCACGCUGGAAAUGGAGGUAGGAGAGAGGGAAUUCUGAUCUGAAAUGAAGCUUCCUUUGGUGUGUGGUCCAAAGUUGCCCAAAAGUCAACCCUCCUUCGCGCGCUCACGCGCACGUUUUGUGCUCGAUUCCUCUCGAGUUUAUUUCACUAGUGCACUAGACCUCCAAUACACUUAUAUUCAUAUAAAUAUUAUUCACUCUUAAUUGUCCAAAAAUGAGGGUCUAAAGUUUCUCAAUUAAAUCGCGCGUGUGAAAACGCGUAUUUCCAAAUUUAGCGCGAUAAAGCGAAUCCUCCAAGAAUUUCUUAUAACGAUAGUACUAAUAACUAUCAAUUGAGUAUUUAAACAUAAAAUUACCUAUUUUAGGACCAUUGUGUAAGUCUCCAAUUUUUCAAACUUAUUGUACUCUCAAUCGGUUAAAAUUUCCAAACACGUUUUCACUAUUUUCACUAAACGAGCUUCCAAAAAUUAAUUUUUGAAACAAGUCACUUUAAAAAUAUAAUGAAGCUAUAAUUCCAUGUAUUUAGGUCUAAUAAGGUUAGAAAAUAUUAUUCGGGGCAAAUAUCCAAAUAAAUAAUUAAAUGAGCCAAAAAUAGAGGUUUAAAAAUAAGAAUUUUUACGAGUCUUCACACUUUGUGGUCAUUGCAAGGAAACUGUGGAACUUUCCAAAUUAUGUAUGACUUUAGGUGGAAAAGCUUGUUUGGAACGUUACACACUAUAUUAGAAACAUUCAGGCAUCUUCUAAAUGAAAUAAUUUGAAUGGCAUACCUGUGUUGGUAGAAGUAUGUACUAGAGAUUGUUUUAUCAUCUCUUUAUCAUGCAUCAGUUAAGAUUUUUCCUGAUUCAUAGGUAUUUUACCAAUUAGUUGAACUUUGACAAACCCAUAACUAGCAAAUAGUAGCCUAUGUUACAUGGACUCAGGUGCGGGGGUUGGAUAUGGGUGCGUGUUGAAGUGUCAGAUAUGCAUAUUUGAAAAUUGUAAAAUUCGGAGAUAUGUGUCGAGUGCGCUCCUUAAACUCAUAGAUGGACAAGAUUUUUAGAAAUAUUUAUUAUAAAAUUUAUGCACAAUGAUGUAUAAAGUGUAUUUUGAUAAAAAAAAUUUUCAAUUAAAUGUGCAAUUAGGUUGAAAAGAACCACAGGCUUGGUUAGAAAGUUAAAAUUUUCAAGUACGGGUGGCUGAAAAUUGUAUUAAAAAGUGUAAAAUUGUAAAGAGAUUAAGUUACUUGUUGAACAGGAUAAUUAAAGUCAAAAUACAGGGAUUUAGUUGCAAAAUAAAUAUCAUUGUCAAACCCUAUAUUCCUCAUUGCUCAUUCCUCAUUUCUCAGUCAGCCGUCACCUCAUAUUCAUAGCAUUAAAAACGAAUCAAAACGGAGCUCCUCUUCUCCAAAAACAAACUCUUAGAUGCCAUCGUUGCUACAAUCCCAUAUCCGCCAAUGGAAGAGAAUCAACAGCCCGUAUGUAUCAAGUGAAAAUACAGCAGGUGUCGUGAGUAUUUUUCUAUUCAAAUCUCUAGCAGCUUUCUCCUCCUUUCUUUCUCCUCCACAGAGCCAGCCUUCUUCCUCUUCCACUCUCUUACCAUCUUAUGUGACUUCUUGUCCAUCUCUCCUCCGCCAUCAACAUCAUAUCUUGCACAUCUCACAAUAGUCAGCGUAUCCAAAAAUUUUUUACCAUGUCAUCCGUGCCUGUACCCGUGUCGUACCGUGUUGACACGGGUGCUUCUGGGGAGAAUGGCGAGUCCGUGUAACAUAGAUUGUAGCAUCUAACCAAGACUUCAGCUGUAUAUUAGGGGAAAAAAUAUGUUGUGGAAAAAGUUAAUAUAAUUACUAUUUGGUUGUCAAAACGAAAUUACGAUUUAAAACUUGUCCAUCAAAUGUUGCUGAGAAUAUCUUGACGUAAAAAGAAGAAUCUUGAUUAUGUACUUGUUGUGCUGAGCAGCUCUAGUUUCGAUUGUUGCAGUAUGAAGAACUGUUCCCUGGAUUAAUCAAUUGGAUGGAACAACCAAAAAUUGUUUUGCUUAUCUUUGUUUCUGCAAAGAUUGUUCUCACUGGAGCAAAGGUAUGGUAUUCUCAACUCUUUUUUAAGUUUUUCGUAUGGUAUCAUUUUUGGUAUUCUAUUCUGGCUGUCCUCUCUCUCUAAAUUUGAUAUCUGCAUUUCAUUUUCAGGUUAGCGAUGAGACUUAUACCACCUUUGAGAACAUAUAUCCUGUUCUUACUGAGUUCAGGAAGAAUCAGCAAUGGUAUGAUGUUUGAUUAUGCCUAAUUACCUAACGAUUUUAGUGAUUUAAAUGUCUCUGAAGUGCUUUUUUGAAUUACCUUUUGGAUUAUUGUGUGGCAAACCUAGGUCGUUGUGAUAAGCUGGUUGUGAAUUAAAAGAGAUGACAAAAAUCAUGUUUGAUCGGGGAUAUAGGUCCUUGAAGUAUUGAUUGUACUUAUAAAGUGCUUUUGUGAAUUACCUUUUGGAUUAUUGUGUGGCAAACCAUAGGUGGUUGUGAUAAGCUGGUUGUGAAUUAAAAAGAGAUGAUAAAAAUCUUGUUUGAUGAGGGAUGUAGGUGCAUGAAGUGUUGACUGGGUACUUAUAAAGUUUUCCCAAAAGACAGAUUUUUCUACAGGAGUUGAACACAACUGUUUUCGUUUUGCAUAUGUUAAUUUAGCUAGCAUAAAAUCAUCUAAGUGCAGACACACUUAAGAUUGGGGUGAAACCAAGCCAUUUUGUCUCCUGAUUCUUUAGUUGACAUUGAGAAGUCAUUUACCAAAGGGAAAUUAAAAAAAGAAAAGAGGAACAGGGGUGUCUUGGUAUUGAACCAUUCUAAACUUGGAAAAGGUUAUGUUAGUUCAAGGAUGCUUUUUUUAUUUUAUCAGAUAGUAAUAUAUACUUUUAUCGAGAUCUGCCAUGCGGUUCUGCUAACAUAACUCUGCUUCUUGCCUCAAAUCUUGGUGAAUUGGUUACUCCAUAUUGACACUAUGUUGUUUGUAGAUAUUCUCUUUUAUUCUUUUCCCUUCUGGGUAGUAUAAUAAAUCAGAUUUUCAGCGUGAAAGUCUGAAAGUAUUCAUAUGUUUUCUUAUAAUUGUGGAAAGUAAUUCUUUGGGAUUUGAAAAGCUCCCUGCAGCAUCUCCGCCUAAUAUUGCGAUUCCUCAAUCCUGCUACUACUAUACUUUAUAUGGUGUCUCAAGUGAAUUGAGGAAUCUAUCAUUAGGCAAUACUGAAUUCAAAAUUUUGUUUUUUGACGCACGUAGGUGUGCUGUCUACCUUUAGCUCCAAAUCAUUCCUCCUAUGCUUUUAGGAUUUUUCGGUGACAAGGUAGAUACAAAUUUUUUAUUUUUAUUUUUUUCUAUCUACUUAUUUUUGUAUCUUUUGAUCUAUAGUUUUGGAAAUAACAUGUAAAAACUAUCUCUUCCUACUUAAAUUGAUUUGCUACUCUUCCUACUUAAAUUGAUUUGCUACCAUGUGUUGCUGUGGCAAAGAUUUGAGCCCAGUUGGGUGGUGGUGGUGAUCAUGGGAAUGAUGAAAAAAUCAGACGGAUUCCCAUUGAUUACUUUUCGUGAGAAUGAUAAAAAACAACCAGCUAUUUCUGACCCCACAGCACCACCAUCACCUGCUGCCCAUCUCCUACCCAGCUAAUCUACAUAAUUAAUGGUUUUUAUGCAUGUUAGGUAGCAUUUUUUUUUUUUUUUACUUUUUCGUUUUGAAAUCCGUAUUAGCACUGAACAGAUGACAUGAUGCAUCUGGGUGCAAUGUUCCGGCAAUUUUUCAGAAAUUGAAAGAGAAGGCCUUGUGAUGUGAGAAAUAGAUAUUUGCUACUCUUGAUGGGUAAUUUAUCUACCCACCUGAUGAUUUUCUAUCCACCAAGAUCUCUGAGGCCUGCUGCUCUUUUAAAAUUUGCUUACAAAACUUCUGCACCUCAAUUAGCUCCCAAGUUUCCUUGAAUGGGCUUGCCAUAUGCAAUAGAGAUGCUAAGAGUCUUUACCAGGGAAACCUACAUAUACAUCUUAAGAUCAUUAUUUUGUAUCUCACAACAUAUGUAUACUAACAUAACCAGCUUAAAGCUACAUUGGCAUGAAGUUAUCAUCUAACAACUUCCUAAAAGAAAGAAAGCACAUGUUAGAUUUAUGGCGCUCAGGUUUAGUCGAAGUAUGAUUAAAUUGUAUGUCAAAGACUCUGAACUUUUAAACUCAGAAGAUUGUGUUGAAAUCAGCCUAUAGCCAGAGCUCCAACAAGCAUGGUUUUCCUGUUUGUCUAGUUUCUCAAAAAGAUUACCAUGACAAGAUGAAAUCUGUUGCACCACUUAAUUAUGCAGGCUCCCUUUACGAACUAAUACCAAUCUUGCAGGAUUGUAGUUACAUCACGCUACCACAAGUUUGCUGAUAUAUUAAGUCCAUUCUGUUGGUGGCCAUCCCAUUCAGUUCCCCUCUUUACCAUUUUGCUCACUUCGUGUUUGGCAUGAAAUUAUUUCCUGGAGCGUUACUAAUUCUGUUUGUUAUUUCUAAAAAGCAGUUCUUUCAGCACCUCCAAAGUUGGUGUACAGUAAACUAGUUCUGCAGUAUGCCUCCUAAUUUUCUCCUUUUAAGUAGUCCAGGUAGUUUAAGUUUUCUCUUAACAUGAAUAUUCUGUUUCAGCUUCACAAGGAAACUUUUGGUGGCAGUUGCAGAGAAGUGGGGUAGUCAUGUUCUUGUUAUUGAUAAAGUUGCACCCCCUAAUUGAAAGGUUAGGUAUACCAUUUGUUAGCUGAUCUUGGAGUUAACAGCUAGAUUGGUGUCUAGGAAUUCUGAAUUCUCUACGUGCUUUCUUUACUGGCAAAAGGGAGUGGUUUUCAUUUGCUUAACAAUGACUUCUAUUUCUGAUAGGUCAAGAUUGUAUUUUAUUUGCAGAAUGAAACUGUACGCAGAGAAAGGAGCUGGAUAGUUCUCAUCACUUGAAUAAGAAACCUAAAAUUCUAAGAUCCCUAGACUCCUGCAAGAUGUUGAUGUGUGUUGCUUGUAAACUGCUGUUUCCCAAUUACCAUAAAAGACUGGGAGUUAGUUUAAACUGUUUAAAAAGAUAAGAUGCUAAUCACCUUUUGCAGAAACAUUCUUUUCCUUUCCACCUUUAAAGAUCAGCCUUUCUUAUCAUAUUUUUUCCUAGUUAUAGAAGGAGUAUGUUGAUGAACUUGGAAGAUCUUGUUUAUCUGCCCGAGGGACCAAGCAGCAGGGCUGUUGGGUGCCCUGAAAGUUAUGGGGUCCCCUUAGAGCAUCCAAUGGCUCUGAAUAUUGCAUAGUUGCCAGGAUAUCCCAUCCUUUGUUGCCCCUCCCCCUCUCUUUGUCCAUUGUUCUUGAUGAGUUUUUCCCAUCUCUCUAAUAUUUGGAAUUUUAUGUGUAGAUUUUUGUAUAAUCCAACUUUAUCCUGAAUUGUAUUCUGAUCUCAAAUUUCUGCUCAUUUAAGCUGUAUGUAGUUAAUGAUCUUCUGCAUUUCAUUUUAUAUCAACUCUGGCUGAUUGCCCUUAUCAAUCAAAGCUUGGAUAAUGAAAAUUUUUAAGGUCCUCUCCUCUAAAGCAUUACUCUCUCCCUUCAUUGUGCUGCACCAAAAGAAAACAAACAAGAAUAAGUAAGCAUUGUUGCUGGGAUGUGCUUAUAUCUAGAUCGCAUAGGCUUGGUGAUAAAAUUUAGAUUCUGGAGACUGAUAGGAAAUUAGGAAUCAUAAUGGUUUAUUGAAGCUUGUUAUGGUUUUUUUGGGCCGGAGAAACUUGGUGAUGUCUCUUUAAUCUACCUUAUAAAUUCUUAUUUAGAAAUCUACCAGUGCCUAGAUUUUAGUUGCUCAAUUAUAGUUGCAUUUGGAUUAGAUUCAUUUCGAUUGAUAUUUGACUUGCUGAAAUGAUGAUAUUCUUUGUGGCAUUGCAACUAUAAUUUUUCUCUUUUCGCCAGAAUGAACCGACAGGAAGGAUUUUGGAGCUUUCCUUUCUUCACUUAGCUAUGUCAGAAAUAGCAGUUCUAGGGACAAGGCAUCAGAUUGUCAUCGAUGAGGUGUCUUCUUGCCCCUUCCAUUGUGAAUUAGAUGCGUAUUUCAGAGCAAGUAGCCAUCUUGUAUUCAACUGACAUUCCAAAUCUAAUUUUAUAUUUUAAAGAGAUCAAUCGUCUGUUCAAUAGUAUCAAAUGAAACUCAAAAGCAAACCUUUUUUUUCAAGUUAGAAAAAAGAAUUGCAAGCCCAGAUGAAAAAGAAAAAGAAAAAUCCAAAUUACAAGUAGAAUUUAAGAAAGUGGAGAGGAGUUAUGUUUAAGAUACCAGAAAUGAAGGGAGGUAAAUGUAAUUUAGCAUUUGUUGAUAUAGUAUUUACCGGCAGGUGCAGAUAGGCCGUCCUUAUAGGCUAAUUAGGGUUUCAAGGCAAUGGAUUGCCCCAGUCUCCUGCCCUGCCUUUAUAAGAGUAAUAGAUAACAAACAAAGAUAAGGUUAAGGACUGAGGAGCCUCGGGAUUUGAUUGCUGCUUUCCGAGUUUGUUUGUAGAUCUUUACUUUUUUCUCUUCUCUUUUGGGUAGUAUGAUAAAUCAGAUGUUCAGUCUGAAAGUCAAACUAUUCAUAUGUGUUCUUAUAAUUCCAGAAAGUAAUUCUUUGGGAUUCAAAAAGCUUCCUAACAUCUCAUUUCCGCCUAAUAUUGCAAUUCUUCGAUCCUGCUACUACUAUGCUAUACGUGGUAUCUCAAAUGAAUCGAGGAAUCCAUCGUUAGGCAACACUGAGUUCAAAAUUUUCUUUUAUUUUUUGCACGCGUGAGUGUGUUGUCUACCUUUAGCUCCGAAUCAUUCCUCCUGUGCUUUUAGGAUUUUUCGGUUACAAGGUAGAUGCAAAAUUUUUUUAUAAUUUUUCUAUCUACUGAUUUUCGUAUCUUUUGAUCUAUAGUUUUGGAAAAUAACAUGUAAAAACUAUCUUUUCCUACUUAAAUUGAUUUGCCACUAUGUGUUGCUGUGGCAAAGAUUUGAGCCCAGUUGGGUGGUGGUGGUGAUCAUGGGAAUGAUGAAAAAAUCAGACGGAUUCCCAUUGAUUACUUUCCGUAAGAAUGAUAAAAAACAACUAGCUACUUCUGACCCCACAGCACCACCAUCACCUGCUGCCCAUCUCCUACCCAGCUAAUCUACAUAAUUAAUGGUUUUUAUGCAUGUCAGGCAGGAUUUUUUUUUUAAAAAACUUUUUCGUUUUGAAAUCCGUAUGAACGGAUGACAUGAUGCAUUUGAGUGGAAUGUUCCGGCAAAUUUUCAGAAAUUGAAAGAGAAGGGCCUGUGAUGUGAGAAAUAGAUAUUUGCUACUCUUGAUGGGUAAUUUAUCUACCCACCUGAUGAUUUUCUAUCCACCGAGAUCUAUGAGGCCUGCUGCUCUUUUAAAAUUUGUUUUACAAACUUCUGCACCUCAAUUAGAUCUCAAGUUUCCUUGAAUGGGUAAAAUUCCAUAUGCAAUAGAAGAUACAAAGAGUCUUUACCAGGGAAACCUGCGUAUACUUCUUAAGAUCAUUAUUUUGUAUCUCACAACAUAUGUAUACUAACAUAACCAGCUCAAAGCCUGAUGAUAAAAUUUAGAUUCUGGAGACUGAUAGGAAAUUAGGAAUCAUAAUGGUUUAUUGAUGCUUGUUAUGGUUUUCUUGGGAGGGGGAAACAUGAUGAUGUACGUCUCUUUAAUUUACCUUACCAAUUCUUAUUUAGAAAUCUACCAGCGCCUAGCAUUUAGUUGAUUAACUAUAGAUACAUUUGAAUUAGAUGCAUUUAGAUUGAUGUUUGGCAUGUUGAAAUGAUGAUAUUCUUUUUUCUUUUUUUUUUGGGGUCGUUAAGAAAUUUAUUGAUACCCAAUCGAGAUACAAAACUACAAGGGGGCAUACCCCUGGAAUUACAAAUACAAUAAACAAAUCAGUAAAAGGCUAUUAAAACAUUAACGUACUAGAACAUCUCAACGAUUAUUAAGAAUGGUGUCAUGUAAUAACGAAGUCCUUUGAAGCCAAAGGUUUGUGUUAGACGACUUAACUCUACGUAAAGGAAAAAGCUUACAUCCAAGCAACUCAAAAAUCUCCUUUUGGAUUGUCUUCUUGUCUUGCAUACAUUUUAAAUAAGUUUACCGUUCCUCUCUCCAAAUGCAAUUUGUCCUUAGCAAGACUGCUCAUACCAGCCCAAUCUUCAUGCUCAUGCCAAAAAGAUCCAUUUCCUUGACGAAACAACAGCUGCAUUUUAUCCUCCACCAUUUGACGAAACCCCAACAUUCUCUUCCAUAUCAAAGAAUCACCUUGUUUCAACUGUGUACAACAUGGAUGAGGGACAUGUGAACCAUAUCUUGAAGUAAAAAUUCUAACCCAAAGCGGCAAAGACGUUCUAAAUUUCCACCAGAGUUUAGAGCUAAAGCCUGCCAUUAUAUCUGAGAGACUUUGAACGCCUAGGGCCAUUUUUCUUGUGUUGGACAGGAGACUUUCUGCCAAGAUAUCCAAUGAUGUUUAUUAGAGCCUUCAAACUCCCCCCCCCCCCCCCUUUUCCCUCCCCCCGCCCAAAAAAAGAAGAAAUCAACCAUAAUCUUCUCAAGCUGGCGACUGAUUGCCUUAGGAGGCUCCAUUACUGCAAAGAUGUGAAUUGGAAUUACACACAAUACAUGUUUGAUAAGAAUCAAUCGACCUCCACAGGAGAGGAGCUAAGUUUUCCACCCAGCAAGCUUCUUAUUGAACUUAUCUACAAUGAUGUGAAAAUAAUCAACUUUCCUCCUACCCUUGUAAAUAUUACAUCCCAAGCAGACAAAAAGGUAAAUUCUUCUUUGUGAUACCAGAGAUGUGGGUAAUAGAACGACAAAGUCUAGCACUAGCAUGAUCCGAGAUGACAUAAAAACUCUUAGACUUAUUUAUUUUUUUGUCCAGAACCCUUCUGAUAGAGGUCAAGGAAAUCCAUCAAGUGCUUUAGAGAACGCCUUUCCCCCUGUAAAAAUAAUAAUGUCAUCUGCAAAACUGAGAUGAGAGACUGAUAGAAAACCAUUAGAAACAUAGAAUGGAGAUAUACGGCCCUCUGAUGCCAUGAACUUAAUCCCUCAACUCAAAGCCUUCGAUACCAAAAUAAAAAGGAAAUGAGACAACGGAUCUCCUUGUUGGAGCACUCGGCUAGCUUUAAAAAGCUCAUGAGGCUUACCAUUAAGCAAAAUGGAAAAACCAACUAGCUGCUAAAUGAUUUUGAAUUAGGGCAAUGAGCCUGUGACUAAAACCAAACUUAGCAAUCAAAUCAAAGCAAACAAAGAAGGUCAACUAACUCAAUCAAAAGCUUUCGUCAUAUCGAACUUAAGAGUCAUACUAUGGCCUCUGAUUUUCUUAUCAACGGAAUGCACCAACCCUUGAGCCAAUAAGAUAUUGUUGGCAACAUACCUUCCUUCAACAAAAGCCAACUGUACAUCAAAAAUCAAGAAAGGCAGCAAUGGUUUAAGUCAAUUGUACAAAAUUUUAGUAAAAAUCUUACUUAGAAAUGCACAAAGACUAAUAGGCUGAAAAUCAGCAAAUGAGGCGACUGUAUCCUUCUUGUGAUGCAAUCCUAGGAUCAACUUGAGCUCAAGUAGCGAUUGAAGCUAAAGGAAGAGUACAAGCCUAAUUCUCGAAGCUGUUUUAUGUUUAAUGCUUUAGUCAUUUGUUUAGUUAAUUUUCCAGCAUUCUUAGUUGUUAAUUUGGGUUAGUUUAAGUGUUAGUUGAGUCGAUAUUUAGAAUAAAGUGGUUAAGAUCUUGUGACCUUAAGUCCAACCGAUUAGAGUUUUAGGAAAGUAGUCAUUUGUUUUCAAAUUUAAUUAGGAAUCUUGUGUCUUGUAGAAGGUUAUAAAUACCUUCAACCUUGAACAUUUUUAUCAUCAAGAUUAAUAAGAGUGAUAUUUUCCAGCCAACUCUUGGUGUGAAGAGAGAGUUCUCUCUUAGUAGAAGCAAUCCCUUGAAUACUUUAGAGUUUCGUAAGCAUUCAAAUUUAGCUUAUUAAUUCAAGAUCACGUUGAAUUGUGAUGCAUUCUAUGUCAUAAAUUUGAUUUUUUAAUUCGAGUAGUUACAGGUUGAAAUUAUAUCAACAUGUGCAUGACUUCUAGAAUUGAUUAGGGUCAAAUUUUUUCCGCUACCAAACCGUAGGUAUUAAUCGUUUAGGUCCAGAACUUGUGAUUUAUGGAUUUCAUCUCUAACGGGUUCAUAUCAUCUGGCAUCAGAGCUAGUUGGCAUAAGAUUACUAGCAAUUGCUUUUGGAAUAGGAACACUAACCCAAAAAUCAUUAACAACAUCAACUAAGUCGGAAGAAAUGAUGUCCCAACAAUGUGUGAAGAAUAAACCAAUGAAACCAUCUGGCCCAGCAACACUUUGAAAACAGUUUUUUUUUUUUUAUUUCUUGCACUGAAAUUUGCUCUAAGAGCUUACUAUUCAACUUUGAAGAAAUAACCUGAGGAAUACAAUUAAAAGUCUUUCUUGAGCUGCCAUAUCAUGAUUUGGAACAUCCUGAUUAAACAAAUCUUGAAAGAAAGAAAUUGCAACUUGACUAAUUUGUCCUUCAUCAUCUAUCCAAUAACCAUCACAGUACUUAAUUUUAUGAACAGAAAGACGAGCUUGUCUCUAAAGCAAAGAGGCAAGAAAAAAUUUAUAAUUGGAAUCACUCUCUUUGAAUCAUUUGAUGCGGGCUUUUUGAUGCCAAAAUAUUCUUCCUGUGCCAAACACUGUGAAAGUUCAGCUUGAGCCUUACUCCAUUCGACUCGGUUAGAAUCAGCGGAAUAUUGUUCAUACAUCUCCUUUUUACUCCUAAGAUUCUCCCUUGUCGUAGCAACUUUAUCAAAAACAUUGCCAAAAACAUUUUUAUUCCAAUCUCUGAGACAAAAAUUAAGCCUGCAAAGCUUCUGACAAAAAGGAAACAUCCAUGUAUACUCCAUUGAAAUUUCCCAAUUGUUCUUAGCUGUAGACAAAAAAGAAGAGUGAUGAAUCCACAAAUUAGAUUCCAACAUCCAUGUAGGGCCACCCACUGACAUCACACUUAAUUGAAAUAGCAACGGCCAGUGAUCUGAUUAACAUAUGUUCAAAUGAUGAAUCCAUGAUUGAGAAAAUUGACGCUACCAGCUACUAUUACAUAGCACUCUACCCAAAUGCUUCCAAAUGUGCACAGCAUGCCUAACUCUAGUCCAUGUACAUUUACUACCCACGGCCGAAUUUGUAUUAAUGAACAGCCAAGAUAAAAUUGUUAAAAUUCACUACUGCUUGCAAAUCCCGAGGCGCACGGCUAUAGUGUUCCUCCAAAGACGAUAUAACAUUUAAGUCCCCUCCAACUAUCCAUGGGCGAUCACCAACAUAUGAAGCAAUAUGAGACAAACCAGCCCAUAAGCAAUGCCGUUCAACUCGCAUACACUUCGCACAAACAAAGGUAGCAAAUGCAGCUUCACUCCAAGAAUCAUGGGAUAUAGCAAGGUGUAUAAACUACACAUUAUUAUUGAUUGAGGAAGCAUGGAAACCCGACUUCCAAAAAACCCAAAUUUUAUUCGAUAUAUUAAACAAACCAAAUUCAAACCCCAACUUCUAUUGAAAUUCUAGAAAACAAGCAGCAUCAAUCAUAGGCUCUAAAACUACUAGCAAAGAAACACUAUGGAUAUGAAGCAAUUUUCUAAGAUGCCGCAAAGAAGAGCGACCAGCAAUUCCUCUAAUAUUGGUGACUACUAAUCAUUAUGACAAGAAAGAGGUGAGUUCUUGAGGAGCCUUAGAGGCUUGAAAAGUAAGGACUAUUCUUGGCAAUCUCAAAUACCUCCUUUGCCAAGGUUUUUAGCUGUGGGGUGAAGAGGCUGAUUGUCCUUAAUUGGCAGUAUUCUAUUGGAUAUUUCAUCCCGGAAGGCUUUAAAAACCUCUAGCAAUGUGGGUGAAACUGAAGCUUGAUUUGGCAUCUCAUCUGAAUUUGAAAACGAAUCUCCUGUAAGAUCUGUAGAAGGCUUGGACCGACUGUCAAUGCAUGAUCAUCAAUCACUCAAUAAGACAAAUUAUUGUGGGAUGGAAUAUGCUCCAAAGAACAAAGAGACUGAUGUUGAUGAUGAGAUGGGGAUACAUAGAUUGUUAGGAAAACAGUAAUAACUACAACAACAAAAAACGGCUUUGACGUGAAAAUUCACUUUUCUUAAGGAAAUUUUCCCCCACUAUUCUACUACUGGGUUUGCAGCAAUUCCCUCUAAGAAUAACAAAGCCAACCAGAAUUUCUGCACAGUAGUAUGCAGAAAUUCUCCCAAAACGGUUUAGAGAAUAUUUUUUUGAACGAAAUAGAAGAAUAAUAAAACAGAAGUAAAGGUAAGGCCUCUGUUAUCUGGACACUAUUAUUUAUAACGUUCAGAUACCCCAAAAGAAAUGUCAUGCCUUUUGGAAACGUAUUUCUUCAUGAAUAGGUGCCUUUUGGAAACGUAUUUCUUCAUGAAUAGGUACCUUUUAGAAAUGAAUGGACACUUAAUGGUUGUAUGCGUUGUAUCACCAGAUACAACCCUUAAAAGGAAACUGUUUAGUUAAGAAGAAAUAUUAAAAUGAAAUUAAUUUUUAAUUAAUUUCAAUUCUUAAGAUCCAAGUGCCCCAAGUGCCAAAGUGCCAAUCUUUUGACCAUUAAAUUUAUAUUUUAAUUUAAUUGUCAACAUGACAAAUGCAUGUGUAAUUUUGAAGUUUCCCUCCAAAAUUUUCUACAAUCCAAAUUGAAUUGAAUAGGUGUGCGCUUGAUUAUAAACCUCUUCCAUUCUUCACGUACUUUCAAUGUGGGAUUAUCACUAACUAUAAUUAUUUCCAACAAUCCCCCACUUAGUUAGUGAUGAAUCAAAGUCAAAACAUUUUAAAACUUAUGCAUCAAAUAGGUGUCUUUUGACUUAAACCUAUUAUUAGUAUAAUUAUUUCAAAACCUUGUUGAAAUUGAUGGUAAUUAUAAAUUUUAAACCACAAUUCCUUUAUAACAUGAUCAGAAAUAACUAUACACAUAAAUCUUACUUAUUUCUCGUAAAACGUUUGCCGUGAGCUUUAGCACCGUAUUGUGGCCUUGUGCUACUUCCUGAUUCUUGAACUCUUAAAAAAGUUUUAGUCCAAACUUUUGAUAGAAGCGGCACCACCUCUUGAGUUCAUAUAGGUGAAGUCGACUUUAUAGUCUUUGAUUAGACUUCCUUGUUCUUCUACCGAACAUAUGUACUUCAUUAAGAAUAAUAAUUAUUAUUCAACCUCCCAUUCUCUUAAGUACUUAUCUAGUUACCGGUACUUGCUACCUGUCAAACAAUAAUUUGUUGUUACCUGUUAAACCUUUAGAAUUGCUUACCAAUAAGAAAGGUUAGGUUACUAUCAUUGCUGACAAUUUUAGAAUGGUCUCAGACCCAUAGCACUGGUAGUGCUUUUGAUCAUAUCUCUUGAGAGUCCUUUAGUUAAAGGAUCAGCAAGAUUGUUACCAGACUUGACAUAGACAACUGUUAUAAUUCCAUCAGAAAUUAAUUGUCUUACAUAUUCAUGUCUCAAAGCAAUAUGUCUAGAUUUACCAUUAUAAAUCUUACUAAAUGCCCUAGACAUAGUUGCUUCAUUAUCGCAAUGCAAAGAGAUGGCUGACAUCGAUUGUGGACACAACUCUAUAUCUAGCAAUAAAUUCCUUAGCCAUUCUACCUCUUUACCUGCUGCUACUAAUGCAACAAACUCAGACUCCAUAGUCGAAUGAGUAAUACACGUCUGUUUCUUAGAAGCCCAUGAGAUAGCUCCUCCGCCUAUUUUAGAGAUCCAACCAGACGUUGAUUUAUUAUCAUUUUAACAAGUACCGAAGGAAACUUGUUAUAAUAUAAUCCAAAAGACUUUGUCUUUUUAAGGUAACCUAGUACUCGCCCAAUUGCUCUCCAAUGGUUAGUACUAGGAUUAUGAGUAAACCUAGAAAGUUUAUAAAUAGCGAACGCAAUAUCAGGUCUAGUACAAUGCAUAGCAUACAUCAAACUACCAAUUGCACUUGCAUAGUCUAAUUGACUAAUAGAUCUUCCCGAAUUUUCUAUUAGUUUAUUAGAAACAUCAAAUGGGUUAUUAGCUUCUUUUAUUCCCAAAUGAUUAAAUUUGGAUAGAGUCUUGUCAAUGUAAUGAGAUUGACAUAGAGCAUAACCCCACUAUGUUACUUAAUUUUGAUUCCUAAGAUGGUAUCAACUUCUCCCAUAUCUUUCAUUUUAAAUUGGAAGGUUAAGUACUUCUUAGUUCCAUUGACUCCUUGCAUGUUAAUCCCCAUGAUUAACAUAUCAUCCACAUAGAGACAUAGUAUUACACCAUAAUCUUUGGUAAAUUUAAAAUAAAUACAUUUAUCUGCUUCAUUGUGUUUAAAGCCAUUUGAUAAAAUUACUUUAUCAAAUUUCUCAUGCCACUAUUUUGGAGUUUGCUUUAAACCAUACAAGGAUUUAACUAAUUUGCAAACUUUCUUUUCAUUUCCAGGAAGAACAAAUCCUUUGGGUUACUCCAUAUACACUUCCUCAUCUAGAUCUCCAUUUAAGAAUGCUGUUUUAAUAUCCAUUUGAUGAAUGUAUAAAUCAUAUAUGGAUGCUAAAGCAAACAACACUCUUAUAGAAGUAAUUCUUGCAACAGGAGCAUAAGUGUCAAAGUAAUCAAUUCCUUCCUUUUGUUUAAAACCUUUUGCAACAACUCUUGUUUUGAAUGUUAGUAAUGAAUCAUCAGUGUUAUGUUUUCUUUUAAAUAUCCACUCACAUCUUGCAGGUUUACAACCAGGAGGUAAAUCACAUAACACCCAUGUAUCAUUUGACAUAAGAGAAUCCAUCUCAUCAUUAAAUGCUUCUUUCCAAAAAGCUGAGUCCCUCGAAGCUAACGCUUCUUUAUAAGUUUUAGGAUCCUCUUCCAAAUGUAAAAGUAUAGGUAUUUUAUUGAAUACACCAUUCCUACUACCUUCAACUAAAAAGACUAAAGAUUGUAAAUAAAUAUAAUUCGGAUCCAAAUUCUUCUCUUUUCGUGCUCUCUUACUCCUCCUAGGUUCACUAGGAGUUUCAACUAUUUUCCUUUUAUUAUCAUUUCUAGAAGUAUUAGGAUCCAUAGUCAUGUUUUGUGGUAAUAUAGAAUCUGGUUUAGAAGCUGAAUCACUUAGAAAACUUGUUUCUAAAAACUCAACAUCUCUAGACUCCACUAUUGUAUUUGAGUCUAAAUCUAAUAAUCGAUAUGCUUUAGAAUUUUCAGCAUAUCCCACAAAAAUACUCUUUAAGGUACUUGGUCCUAAUUUUGUUCUCUUAGGAUCAGGAACCUUAUAAUAGGCUAUACAACCCCAUACCUUCAAAUAAUUUAAAUUAGGCUUUCUUCCUUUCCAUAGUUCAUAUGGUGAAACCUUUGUCUUCUUUGAAGGUAUUCGAUUAUGUAUAUGACCAGCGGUUAACAAAGCCUUCCCCCAAAGGUUAAAUGGUAAUCUAGCAUGCAUAAGCAUAGCAUUAACCAUAUCAACCUAUGAGGACUCGUAAUUUAUUUUAUUUUUAUUUAAUUAUUUUAUCGAUUUAUUCACUUAUUUAUUGGUUUACCCCAAAAUAGUUAUUUUUAUGAUUUAUUACUCAAGUAUUAGUUAGUUAUACCAUCGUUAUAAGAAUUUCUUAGAAAUUUCACUUUAUCGCGCACAAGUCGAAAGUUUGCGUUUUUGCGCGCGCGACUAAUUGAGGGACUUUGGACAUUUAUUUUUAGACUACUAAGAGUGGAUAAUAAUAGCGUUAAAGGAAGUGUAUUAGAGGUUUAGUGCACAAGUGAAACAAACCCGAGAGGAAACAAGCACGAAAUGGGCGCAUACGCGCACUAUUGGAGAGUUGACUUUUGUGCACACUUAAAGCCUCACCUACCAAUCUUCCUCAAGAAGCCACAACACUCUCUAUUCUCUCUUUUCUCUCUCAAGGCAGCCGAACAUACCAAGGAAGAAGGAGGCCAAAAGCUUCAUCAUCUCACUUCAUUUUCUUGCACCAAAUCACUUCAAAUUCAUACCACAACCUCAAAACAACUUGGAGAUCAUCUUGGACUAGGAAGAGGGCUUCAUUCUCACGGUUUUCUUAGAGCUCCAGUGACCGAAAUUUUCUGGUUUAUCAUCAUCUAGGAGGUGAUCAUCAUCCAACCUUUGAAUCUUAGUUUUAGUAAGCUUAAUUUCAUUUAGAAGCUUGUAGCUUCAUGUGGGUAACUUUGGUUGGUUGAAAAUCAUGUGAGUGGGCUCUAUGAAAUCCCACAAUGAACUUGUUGGACUGAUUUGAUGAUUUUGGAUGUUAUUCAUAUUGAUUAAGUGUUAAUCUAGUGGAUUUAAGUUGAAAGAGUGGAAAGAAAAUCCAAGGAAAACAAAAUGGAGAAAGGGCCGGAUCUGCCCUGUUCUUGCCGCAACCUUAGUGCAUUUUUUUUUUGGUUAAAUUGCCUUGAUUUUAUUGUAGAUAUGUUGUAUAGGUUGUGCGGAAACUUUUCACGAAAAAUCACUUGAUUUGGUUGGCCGAAAGUUGCAUUUUCGAAAUGGUUUCAAAGCUGGAAAACGUGUACAGAGGUGCUCUGGCAGCGAAUUUUGAAUAAUCAUAACUCUUUGCUCCGAUGUCAAAAUCGAGUGCCGUUUAUGGCAUUAGAAACUAGACACUUCCAGUUUUCUAACAAUAUAAAAUGCAUUCCAGGAUUCAACUUGAAUGAACCGUACCAGCUUUUCAAAGUUACCUGUCCUGUUUCACUGCUGUGUUAGAAAACCUGUUAUGUGCUGUGACUUGUUGCUCCAAUAUGAGCUAGUUAUGGAUGGAAUUUAAAAAUGAUUUCUUCUGAGAAAUUGUAGCCCUAUGAAUUUAGUUUCCAACGCCACCAAUCAUGCCCAAUUCCAAGUUGAAAUGAGUGUGUUAUGGCCGAAUUACCGACCUGCACCAAAGAAAGAAAACCCUAAUUUUGGGCUAGCCAAUGGCUUAUUUCGAAUUGGGACUUGUUAUUUUGAAACUUUUGGUGUCAAUCACCUACCAAAUGUAUUUUGGAUGUUUCUUAGACCUUGUCUUCAUAAAUGAACAGGAUUUGAGUCGAUUUCAUUGGCCAAAAGUUAGAAAAAAAGGAAAACGGAAGUACAAGGCAGAUUUGCCUUAGAAAUUCUUGGAACUUUAGUGGCUUUGUUAACUGACCUUCCGUACGAAUUUUUGCAUGAAAUUUGACCUAGGAAUAGCCCUUAUAUGGUAGGACAAUACUACCAAAUUUGGUAGCAUUCCAAGUCCAUUUCGAUGCCCAACUGAAGUCCAAAAGUUUAUGUUUCAAAUCUGGAAAAUCCUUGUUCAGCGAGAAAUUUUCAGCAACUUUGGGCUCCUAUAUAUUGGCGCUCAAAACUCCGAUUUGUGUUCCAUUUGUUGUAUUCUAAACUUUGAUUGUAACUCUAAUUGAGUUCCAAAUUUUAGAGGCUAGUUCACAUUCUGUGAAUUUUACUGAAUUUCCAAAGUUUGCCAAAAACCAACCCCGAAUCUGUCUUGAGAGUCCAAAUCAGCAACUUUAAGCUGAAAUUCGAGUGUCUUCCAUUUUGAAUCAUGGAAAGGUGUCUUCUAUAAACUUUUAGUACUCUAGAAGUAGUUUCCAAUGGUACCAAGUUUUCCAAUUUUGGACCUACAAAGAGCGAGAUAUGAUUUUUCAAAGAUCGCACCUCAAAUCUGAAAUUUCUGAACUUAAAGGAAAUUGAGUUUUUAGAACUCUCCAUUUUUCCUUCGAUAUCGCUUAACCGAUUUACACUUGAUUUCAAAGAUAAAAAUCAUAUUUUCCUUGUAUUAUUAAACCCCACUUUUGAGCUUCGAUUUACGAGAAAUUUAGGCUCAUUUUCAUGAUAUUCUCUAAGAUUGUAAAUGAGUGCAAUCUUUCUUGAUAAUUAGGGGUUUUAAGCGAUAGUGCGUAAUGGUUAAUUGUUAAUUGCUCAGGCACUCAAGAGGAUCCCACUGUGGACACUUGAACCCUCAAGUGGGCAUUACUUCCUUGUUUUUGAUUGGUGAGUGUCAAGUGUGUGAAAAAGUGUUACGUGUUAAUUGUUAUUGAAAAUGCGAUAUUUUGAAAAUGUUGAGUCGAGUGUGUACUUUAUCACACUCGUUCUCAUUUAAGUAAAGCGUACUUGAAUUACUUGACAUGAAAUACUUGAAUUACUUGAAGUGACUUGUUAAGUGAAUUAAGUGAAGUGUUAAGUGACUAUUUAUGCUAUUGCUGCAUAAGUCGAUUGGAGUGAAUCUUCUCGACUCUUAAUUGAAAUCGUGGGGGACGCCCAAUUCUCACUGGCCAACCUUGGACUCGAGCCGGCACGGGUUUGGUCGAGCUUCUUGGUGAACCAUGAGAAAACAUAAGCUUGACCUAUUGAGAGGUCUUGCUUGGCAUACUCGAGCAGUUUCGUCUCAAACAAACGAUAAGCGGGCCCGGUACAGGGGUAUGUAACGGUGAACGGGGACAGGUUAAGUGAAGUUCUACGGACUAUAACCUAUCCGAUUGACGGAGUGUCAAUUCGUAGAGAUUCUUAACCGUGCAAGCGGAAAAUAGCUCCUGAGAGCUCUUAUAUCCUUGAAUUGUUUCUGUUUACAUUUUCUCGCCCGAAUUGUUAUUUACCUGAAUAUUACUGUUUUGCUUGUUAAAUGGGAUUGUUACUUGGACAACGUGCUUGCAUGUGUGUUUCUUGGCAUCACGAGCAAUUGCUCACCCCGUAGAUUUGUUUUCCUUAACAGGAAUGGAUCUGAGGUGAAACUCGGAGGAUUCAUUGGAAUGAACUUUUGUAAUAGGGUUUCGAUUGUAAUCGAAUGGACAUCUUUUGGGCAGUUGUAUGUCUUUUGAAAAAUUGAUGUAUUUUAUACUCGUGGUGUAUGACUAGAUAUUUGGUUAUGGAAGCGACUUUUCUUUAUUAGACUUGUAUUAAUGGUUAUGUAUCGUUAAGCUUGAAUCGAUUUGUCUUGAGUCCUGGCGAGAGCUGGGCAGGCGUCUCGCAGAUACCCUUUGGUUCGCCUUAGGGAGAAGUGGGGGCGUCACACAACCAACGUUCUAUUUUUCCUUUCGGCUAAACCAUUUUGUUGAGGGGUGUAUGGCGCACUUGUUUGAUGGAUCAAACCAUUUUCUUCACAAAAACCAGAAAAUUCAUUUGGAAAAUAUUCGCCUCCUCGAUCACUUCAUAGGAUUUUAAUUUUCCUUUCUAACUGAUUUUCAACCAAAGUCUUAAACAAUUUAAACAUAUCAAAUGUUUGAUCUUUUGUUCUCAGUAAAUAAACAUAUGUAAAUCUAGAAUGAUCCUCUAUAAAAGUUAUGAAAUAUCUAUUUCCACCCCUUGUUAAAUAACCAUUCAAUUCACAUAUAUUAGAAUGUAUAAUUUCAAGCAAUUUAGAAGUUCUUUCAUUCUUUGGAAAAAGUUUCUUAGUCAUUUUUGCUUGUAAACAUGUUUCACAUUUUUCAAAAUUGUCAUUUGUACAAGAUAUCAAUCCAUGUUUUGACAUGAACUUGAUUGAACUAAAAUUAACAUAUGAAAAACGAGCAUGCCAUAAAUUAAUAGAAGACUCAAUCAAAUAAGCAUAAAUAUUAACUUUAUUGAUACUUAGUUUGAACAUGCCAUUACAUGAAUAUCUUUAGCCAACAAAUACAUUAUUUUUGGAUAGAAUUACUUUUCCUGCCUCUAUGACAGCCUUCAAUCCCUUCUGGCAUAGUGCACUUGCGGAAACUGGAUUCUUCCUUAUGUCGGGAACAUGAUAAACAUUGGUCAGAACCAACGUUUUGCCAGAGGUAAACUCCAAUUCAACCGUCCCCUUUCCAAGCACAUCAGAUGUGUUAUGAUUUCCCAUUAACACAACUUCAUUUGGAGCAGCAACUUGAUAAAUUUUGAAUAAAUUCUUGUCAUUGGAUACAUGAACAGUAACACCCGAAUCAUACCGCCAAUCAUUAGAUUGGCAAUUUGUCAAGUUGCAUUCAGUUACCACAUUGAUGGAAAGUCCACCAAUCAUAGCAACAAUUUUAGCAUUGUUGGGAAGAGAAUCUUCAACAACAUUUGCCUUCUUUUGUCCAGCACUUGCCUCUGUCUUCAAUUUCUUGUAGAACCUGCAUUCUUUUUUAAAAUGCCAUUUCUUUCCAUAGAAAAAAACAUGACUUGUCUUUCUUAUUAUUUGCAGAAUUUUCAGAAGACCUAUCUCCAUGUUUUCUCUUAUUACUGGACUUGUUUCUGCCUUUUCCAGAUUUUUUAUUAGCGUUAGACUCAAUAUUAUUCACCUUAGUACCAGAUUCCAAAGCAAAUUUAUUCUCCCCGAAUACGAGCUUCCUCUUCAAUUCGGAUAUGCUUUGUAAGUUGGUGUAUGGUGAAAGUUUCAGGAGUGUGCAGUAGUUUCUUCCUAUAAUCAUUCCAAGUGGAUGGUAAUUUUGCAAUCACAACACCCACUUGAAGUUGAUCUGACACUUCAAUACUUAAAUCCUUUAAUCUAGACACUAACAGAAGUAAUUCAUCUACUUGAUUCAUUAUAGACUUAUUGUCUAACAUUUGAAAUUCAAAGAACUUCAUAGUCAAAAAUCUAUCUGUACCUUAUUUUUCAAACAUGUAUUUGUUCUCCAAAGCCUUCCAAAUCUCUUGCAGUGAUUUAAGAGAACAAAACAGAUCAUAUAAACGGUCUGACAAGGCAUUUAAGAUGAAGCCCCUACAGCGAACUUUGUCUUCCUCAUGUUUCUUGCGACUUGCCUUGAUCUCAUCAGACUCGCCAUCAGAUGGUUCAGGGAUCUUUGGCAGAUUAUCAGCCAACAGAUAUGCAACGCCCAAUUCCAUGAGAAGAAACAACAACUUUAUUUCCAGCGAGUGAAAUUGGUGCCAUCAAAACGAUCCAACUUGAUCAUAUCAGACUUGAAAAAUUUGUUCAGAAGAUUAUCUGAACUGGUGCCCUCCAUGUUGACGAAAUUUCCUUAAGAUUGUUAGGAAAACAGUAAUAACUACAACAACAAAAAAUGACUUUGACGUGAAAAUUCACUUUCCUUAAGGAAAUUUGCCCCCACUAUUCUACUACCGGGUCUGCAGCAAUUCCCUCUAGCAAUAACAAAGCCAACCAGAAUUUCCACACAGUAGAAUGCAGAAAUUCUCCCAAAAACGGUUUAGAGAAUAUUGUUUUGAACCAAAUAGAAGAAUAGUAAAACAGAAGUAAAGGUAAGGCCUCUGUUAUUUGGACACUAUUAUUUAUAACGUUCAGAUACCCCAAAAGAAAUGUCAUGUCUUUUGGAAACGUAUUUCUUCAUGAAUAGGUACAUUUUAAAAAUGAAUGGACACUUAAUGGUUGUAUGCGUUGUAUCACCAGAUACAACCCUUAAAAGGAAACCGUUUAGUUAAGAAGAAAUAUUAAAAUUUAAUUAAUUAAAAUUAAAUUUAGUUCUUAAGAUCCAAGUGCCCCAAUUGCCAAAGUGCCAAUCUUUUGACCAUUAAAUUUAUAUUUUAAUUUAAUAGUCAACAUGGCAAAUGCAUGUGUAAUUUUGAAAUUUCCCUCCAAAAUUUUCUACAAUCCAAAUUGAAUUUAAUAGGUGUGCACUUGAUUAUAAACCUCUUCCAUUCUUCACAUACUUUCAAUGUAGGAUUCAUCACUAACUAUAACUAUUUCCAACAUAGAUGUCUUCAGGCUCAAUUAUUUUUUUAAAAUUGUUCUGCCAAACCUGAACCAACAUUCUUGUCACACAUAGAACCAAUUAUCAUCACCGAUCCAAAUUCUUGUCUUUUGCUCCAUCUUAAUAUCAAUUUCCACUAGAAUGUGGGCCACAUAUGGGCGUUUGAGGGACAAAGUCACAUCAUCAAUUUUGAGUAGCCUACCUAAGAGACUCCCUAAUUUGUGUAAGUAUCUAGGAGAGAAGAAAGGCAAAGGCAAACCUGACAGGUUAAUCCAUACAGAUGCUAGUGAAGAGUCCUGGUCUGGACUGACAUCAAUUGUCCAUUUUGAUAAAACCAAGGGCAUGUCAUCGAUGUACCAAGAUCGACGACACCAUAGUCUAGCAAAAUCUUCAGCCAAGACAGACUGAAGAAGAAUAUGUUUUCGAUCUAACAAGCCUAGAAGGCAAUCACCCUUAAAGCCUAAUGAGGUAAUUAACUUUCAGAUUAUCACCAUUGAUGGCUUUCCAGCUGCAAAUCUUUCCACUAAAGAAUUUGAGAAAGGCUGUGGAAUUGUAAGCAUGUCCUGACGAAAAAGAUGUAAAGAUGGUUCACCCAUAUCUAUUGCAAUGCACUUUGACAUCAGCAGCAUUAGAUGAUGAAGAAAGACCAAAAAGCACAGCAGCAAAAGAUCGUUUUCCUGGUGUUGGUGGUUGUUCAGUUGGCGACUGAUCUCAAAGUGGCUGAAGUGCCCACCAUUGGCAACGGAUUCCUAGUGUUCAAAAUUCAAAAAUCAAAAUAGCAAGAAGAAGGGAGCUAUAAUCCAUAUUUAAGAAACCUUUUUUGCUAUCGAUACCCAAAUUGCUUUGCUAUUCUAUGGGAAAAAGUAUGAAGAGUGAAUGACUAAUUUUUAUAUCUUUAUAUAGUAAUUGAACUAUUUGUACUAGUGAAAAUUUCUCAUAUUCAAUUCUUUUUCACCAACCAAUUGCUGAGUAGUUCAAUUGAAUAAUUGUGUAAAAAUAGCUCUCUUAACAAUGAGCUAAGUUUUCAUAGAAUAUGAUCUCGCAAUAUUUGGUAUUCUUGUGCCUGUCCAAUGCAAGUAUUUAAGUCAUUGACAUUGUUGCAUGUUUGUAAAGAGUCAUCCUUAGUUUCAGUUUGGUGUAAUCUGAAAAAAGCUGUGAUCCACCUAUUCAAUAAAUAGUGUCUAUUUCAAAUUAUCUCAACUUUAGGUCAUCCGUUGUUCAUAGAUGCAACUACAAUAGUGUAUUCUAAACCAAUAUCUCUAGGGUUUGCAUAAAGAUAGAUUUGCUGAAGCUGCUUCCUUCUUGGGUUUAGGUGGGAAUUGGUGAUUACAAAAAUUUCUUCCCAAAUGUUAUGUGCAUCGUAACAGCCCCACAUUCUCCUAAGGCGAACCAAAGGGUUCUGCGGGUUGGCUGCCCAACUCGCGCCAAGACUCACUCAUAUGAUCGAAUAAAAUACUUCCAAAGUAUUUAAAAUAGCAAUUCCACAACUUAUAACAUAACUAAGUUCAACUUACAACCCUACUAACAAAAUACGAUCCAACAUCCUUAAGAUACAAUCAAAGUUCAUCUUACAAGCUUCCAAAAUAUCGAAUUCACAAUUUAACAAUCCAAAAUAAGAUACAAAAGAAACAUGGCCACACCCUAACUGACAGUGGCUUCACUCGGGUUCUCAAUUCCUGUUAAGGAAAACAAAUUGGAAAGAAUGAGCUAAUACCAGCGAGUUCCAAAAAGCAUACAGUCACAUAGAGCAGUUCAAAUUACACUUCAAGUUCACAAUUCAAAGCAAGUAAGGAAAGCAAAUUAACAACAUCAAGGGGUAGGAUAUGGAUGGCUCUUAGGAGCCAAUGUCCACGAAUCUUGAUCUUAUUUCACGUAGUCGACGCUCCGUCGACUUUCAAGUUUUAUCACUGUGUAGAACUCCACUUACUUGACUCUCCUUCCAACGACUCCCCCUACCGAACCCGAAAUCUAAAACACUUAAAAUGGGUAUUGCUCGAGUAUAAUAUAGUUUUCACUUCAAAAGGGAUAAGUCUAAAUGCCAAGUCCAGUGAAUAUAAAACACUCUCCUAUGGCUCGUCAAAUCUCCUCGACCAAGUCCCAUGACUGGCUCGAAUCGACAGACUCACCUAUAGGAUUUAGGAAUUCCCAAGAAUUAACAUGCACAAUCAAUCACUGAUCGUCGAUGGGAUAACAACCUAGGCGACAUCACAACACUUCAAUAAUUCAAAACACUAUUCAUCUCGGUCACAACAUCAAGUUCACAUCUAAGUCACAUUUGCAAAAUCAAGACAGAUAACAUACAUGAAACUCACCAAUAAAUCAAAGCUCAGAAUCCAAGUUAGGAUCGAUAUCACAGUUUUCAAUCACUACUAUAAACACGUAAAAAGAGACAAUAAGUUUCGCCCCCAACAAUUUGCGAAACUAAACCAAAUUCACUUGAACUCGACACGUAAGCUCGAGUUAUGAAAAUAAUAUCUAUCUAGAAUAGUUUUCCUCAAAAUUCGAUGCAUGAAAGCACAAAAUCAAGGGCAAAACAGUCUCUAGUUCACCAUUGCUGCCCGGAUAAUUUUUAGCCCAAAAAUAGUGAAAUAAAGUGACUUUUAACCGUUAAAAUUCCUAACUUUCAACAUACAAUCAUAGUUUAACAUAAUACCAAGUCACUUGAGUGAAAUUUAGUCAAAAAGAACACAAAAAUGUCAAAAAUGAAGGUGGAAAAUUAACCCUUUUCAUUCGGCUAGCCCAUCGAAAAUUUUUCAAGAAUUUCGCCAACAAAAACUCACUCAAAUCCAUAUGGGUUUCAUCAAUCAUUAGCCCUUGGUUAUCAAUAGGAAAAUUUCCAAGUAAAUCAAACCCACAAAUCAAGAGCUAUGUUGGUAUUUUAACUACUAGAACAUCUAGUGGUAUAAUUUCAAGAAAAUUUCUAGAUCUACCAAAGAUCUUACUUAAAUCAAAUGAGUCUAACAUUUUCACGGCUAGAAAUUAACGAUUAAGGGUAAUUUCUUGUUCUUACCUCAAAAUCUAACUAGAUCUAGUGUGAUUCAAUCUCAAAACUUCCUUCCAAGAUUCCCCCUUCAAGUUUCCUAAAGAAAAGUCAAAUCUUCUAGCUUGUUUGGGUGAUUUCUUCCACAAAUCCACAAGGAGCAAGAUGGAUGGUGUCCUUUCUCUCUUGGUCUCUCUCUCUCUCUCCCUUUCUCUCUCGAGCUCUCUCUCUCUCUCUCUCUCGGCUUUCUCUCUCUCUCGGCCCUUAAUAAGAAAAGAAGAAAAAAAAGAGGAAAAAUUGUGGUGGGUGAUGGGUUGUCAAGUGAUCUUCAAGAGCAAGAUGGAGGAGGAAAUGGAGAGCUCUCAAGUCUCUUUCUCUUUCUCAAAUUUCGGUUGGCUCAAGGAGGAAGAGAGAGAAUGAACUCUCAAGUCUAGUUUCUUCCUUUAAAAUGUAGUAGGGACCACCUUACCUACUCGUUUAUGUGUUGUAUUCUCAUGCGACAUCAUAUCCUUUAUUAGAUUUCUCUCAACCUACAUUAUCCAUUCAUUUUUCUAUUUCUUUAAAGUCCUUACAUGCUUUAGAUUUCAUCUUAAUACUACAUUCCACGUCACCACUCCAAAGUUUCACACUUAAUGUUAACCAAACGAUAACCGGGCAAUUAAUAAUAAAAAUUCAACUAAGAUAUAAAAUGACAUUUUAAUAGAUGAAAAUACCAAAAAUUAGCAAACUCACAUAAUAUAAAUAUUUUCAUCAUUAUUAUUUAUCUUUCGAAAAUAGUAAAAAAAAAAUUUUUUAGAGCCCUCACAUCCUUGCCCCAUUAAAAGAAUUUUGUUCUCAAAAUUCUCACCUUUCUAAACGAACAACUCAGGAUACUUUUUCUGCAUCUCUUCUUCUGCUUCUCAAGUCACUUCCUCGACGUCAUGAUUUCUCCAAAAGACUUUAACCAAAGGAAUUUUCUUAUUUCUCAAGUCCUUUACCUUUCGAUCAUGAAUCUUCAUAGGAUGUUCUCAUACGAAAGCGACUCAUAUACUUCAAUAUCUUUCAGUUGUAUCACAAGAGUUGGAUCCGGAUAAUACUUCUUGAGCAUAGAGACAUGGAAAACGUUAUAGAUUUUAGACAUACUAGUAGGCAAAUCCAAUUGAUAUGCCACUUUCCCAAUUCGUCGGAGAAUCUCAAAAGGUCUAAUGAAUCUUGGUUUUAAUUUCUUCCCUUUCUUUGAUACAACUCCUCCUUUUAAGGGUUUAACUCUUAAAAAGGCCUUAUCCCCCACUUCGAAUUCCAAAUCUUUUCUUCUAUUAUCCGCAUAACUCUUUUGUCUAUCCAAAGUUUCACACUUAAUGCUAACCAAACGAUAACCAGGCAAUUAAUAAUAAAAAUUCAACUAAGAUAUAAAAUGACAUUUUAAUAGAUGAAAAUACCAAAAAUUAGCAAACUCACAUAAUAUAAAUAUUUUCAUCAUUAUUAUUUAUCUUUCAAAAAUUGUAAAAUUUUUUUUAGAGCCCUCACAUUCUUCUCCAUUAAAAGAAUUUUGUCCUCAAAAUUCUCACCUUUCUAAACGAACAACGCAGGAAACUUUUUCUGCAUCUCUUCUUCUGCUUCUCAAGUGGCUUCCUCAACGUCGUGAUUUCUCCAAAGGACUUUAACCAAAGGAACUUUCUUGUUUCUCAAGUCCUAUACCUUUCAAUCAAGAAUCUUCAUAGGAUGUUCUCAUACGAAUGCGACUCAUAUACUUCAAUAUCUUUCGGUUGUAUCACAUGAAUUGGAUCCGGAUGAUACUUCUUGAGCAUAGAGCCGUGGAAAACGUUAUGGAUCUUAGACAUACUAGUAGGCAAAUCCAACCGAUAUGCCACUUUCCCAAUUCGUCGAAGAAUCUCAAAAGGUCCAAUAUAUCUUGGUUUUAAUUUCUUCCCUUUCUUUGAUACAACUCCUCCUUUCAAGGGUUUAACUCUUAAGAAGACCUUAUCCCCCAUUUCGAAUUCUAAAUCUUUACUUCUAUUAUUCGCAUAACUCUUUUGUCUACUCUGGGCGUUUUGGUGCCGAUCUCGAACUAUCUUUACUCUUUCAUAUGCUUUCUCAAUCCAGGGUAUAGUGAUCGGAUCCAAAAUCUUUCUCUCCUAUUUCAUCCCAAUAGGUCGGCGAUCGACAUUUUCUUCCAUAAAGUGCUUCGUAAGGUGCCAUUCGAAUUUGAAGCAUGGUAACUGUUAUUAUAUGCAAACUCGACCAAUGUCAUAUGGUGACUCUAGUUUUUUUUGAAUUCUGUUAUACAUGAUCUCAACAUAUCCUCCAAAGUCUGGAUUGUCCUCUCUGGCUGUUCGUCCGUUUGGGGAUGAUACGCUGUACUCAAGUUUAAUUUGGUCCCCAAUGUCUCUUGAAAUUUUUGCCAAAAUCGGGAAACAAAAUUCGGAUCUCUAUCAGAAACGAUACUUACAGGAAUUCCAUGUAACCUCACAAUUUCAUCCAUAUAAAACUUUGCUAGUUUCUCCAAAGGGUAUUUCAUAUUCACCGGUAGGAAAUGUGCAGUCUUAGUAAGCCGAUCUACUAUCACCCAAACUGCGUCAUGCCCCUUUUCACUCCUUGGCAACCCUGUUACGAAAUCCAUGGUAAUACGUUUCCAUUUCCACUCGGGUAUCUCUAAAGGUUGUAAAAGUCCCGAAGAUUUCUGAUACUCAGCAUUAAUUUACUGGCAGACAAGACAUGUUUGAACAAAUCUAGCCACUAUCUUUUUCAAGCUAUCCUACCAAUACAACCUUUUUAAAUCUUGGUAUACCUUAUUACUCCCAAAGUGUAUCGUUUACUUAGAUCCGUGCAUUUUCUCCCAUAUUCCCUUCUUAUUUCUUCAUUACCAGGCACCACGAUUCGAUAUCGAAAUCUCAGUACUCCUUCAGGCCCUACUUUAAAAUCCUGAAUUCCCUCUUUCUGUGCUUUCUCCAACCAUUUCUGCACCAUAUCAUCCUUCUUUUGUGCCUCUUUAAUGCAUUCUAACAAUGGAGACUUUAAUGCCAAAUUCCCAAAUACAACCUUUGGUCCCUCUAGGCGAGAAUUCCACUCGCUCACGUUUUUCAACAUACUCCACUCGAACCAUUAACCCUGUCAUUUGAGUUUUUUGACUUAACACAUCUGCUGCUACAUUGGCCUUCCCAGGGUGAUAAUUCAUAGUGUAGUCGUAAUCCUUUAGAAAUUCUUCCCAUCAUAUCUGUUUCAAAUUUAACUUCUUUUGAGAAAAUAGAUAUUUAAGACUCUUAUAGUCCGCAAAAAUCUCAAAUGUCACCCCAUAUAAAAAUGUCUCCAAAUCCCUGAACAGGUUGCGAAAAUCAGCCAACUUCAAACUAUUAUAUCUUGUUGCUCAAAACUCCAAAUUUAGUUUCGCUUAUUGUGUUUCAAACUUGAUUUGGAACUAUUGCUGUGUUAUAAAUUUCAGAGGGUAAUUCACUUUCUGUGAAUUUUACCGAAUUUUCAAACAUUGCUAAAAAACCAAGACUGGUUAUGUCCUGUCUUCAUGAAACAGUAACUUUGAGCUGAAAUUAGAAUAGUUUCUGGUUAGAAUCUUGGAAAAGUGUUUUCAGGGAAGUUUUAGUACUUUGAAUCUCGUUUCCAACGGUAUAAAGUUUUCCAUUUUUGAACUUACAAAACUCAAGAUCUGAUUUUCCAAAUAUGGUCGCGCAAAGCUGAAAAUUCCUGAUUCCUUAAGAGAUGAACUUUUAAAGAAGGGUAAAUUCCCUUUUGACCCCCUAAACUAUACCCUGUUUCCCACUUUAAUCCCUAAAUUUCAAAAUGGGACACUUAAGUCCCCCAACUACUGAAUCCGUCCCAAUUAAGUAUAACCGUUGCCGGAAUCCACAGAAUUAUCAGGCUUUUCCGAGCGUGUAAAACAAGCGCCACUGACCAAGGGCAGGGAUGGAAAUUCAUAGAAAAUAUAUAAAAAGAAAAAAAUUUAUUUAGUACAAAGGAGGGAAACUUUCCCUCUUUUUAUCAAGCAGAAUCGAGUCAUAUAAUUGACCCGAUCCAAUUCAUAAAAGAGACGGGUUGUGCCCUAAGUACCGAAAUAGCUGGUAAUAACUUCUUGGUCGAGAGCCGGCGGAAAUCUGAAGAUAAGAAAGAAGACAAAUGAGAGAUGGUUAGGGACACAUGCAACUGUGGAAAACAAGCAUUGAUGAUGACAUCAUGGACUGAUUUAAACCCAGGAAGAAGGUUUUGUCGAUGUCCAAAUUACAGGGUGAUUCCAUUUCCAUUAUAUCUGUUUGCACUUCUUCCUCUAUGGUUUUGAUUUGUAUGCAAUGCACUUAAGUAAACUUGUAUUUACUCUCUCAAUGGUGUUGUUAAUGCAGGAAUCGGGGGGAUGCAGGUAUUGGGAUUGGGUGGAUCCUGAGAUGUGUCAAAGUUCGAAGGAUAUAAUCCCUGGACUGAUAAGAACCAAAAAAAAAUUGGAGUCUGAGAUUGAGAGGUUGCAAGAGAACUCAAAGCUGCAGGAAGCAAAACUAAGAAGGCUGAAGAUGUACUUGUUUCUUCAUUGGGUUGUUGCUAUUGUAUGGAUCCUUUUGUUCAACUUUGGGCCAUAAAGGUCAUCAUUGGAGUUUGACAAGAAAAUGUCCAUGUAUGUGGGAAAAGAAGCAACGAUGUAGUAGAGUGCAACAUGCAAUGCAAGGGAAAAUGGUGCUAUGUAAUUGGGAUGGAAAAGAUGUAAUUUUGUCUCUCUUUAUAAGCUACGGUUUCUGGUGUAAUGUAGCUAUGCUUGAAGAAGCAGUAGGGACUGACAUGCUGUUUUGUUUGAACUUUAGGGACCUAAGUGUCCCUAUGUAAUGAAGUAUUGUUCAUACAUUCUCAGUUUUAUUUAGUUGAGGGACUACAGUGUCCCAACUUAUUGAACUACUUUUGUCAGCGGAUGAUAAACCUGUAAACAUUUGUAACACCAUCAACUGUUUGACAUAAUAAAUGCAAUUGAAAAUGAGCUGAAUUUGAUCAUUUAAGAAGAAGGCAUGUUUAGCCUUACACCAAAAGACCAGAAGUUCCACAAAUUUACAAAACAACAGCUAGAAUUUCUUGCCAUUAACAAACAGCAUUUGCCAUUUACAAAACAUCAGCUCCCUACAAAGCAACAAAAAUUCACAAAACCCAGCUAAACAUAGAGCUGCACAUUGCGAUUUACAACUUCAAACUAUUUUGGAGGCUGAUUUAAAUUGCCUAACUUUGCAGCUUCAUUUGCAUUCCCAUGGAGCUGCACAUUGGCAAUGGCAGUUGAAUGAUUCACGUGGCUUGCUGCUGCCUGCAAUAUAGAUAGAUUUACACACAUGUUCCCCCUCCAAGUGAAGGGAGUUGGUUGAAGUCGUCCGGUGACACAGCUAGUAGAACCAAGCUCUUCUGUCUACCUAUCAUCAAUGUAUGACUCUGGUGCUCUCACUGUUAUCCCUGGACUGUGUGAAUAACUGAAGUCACCAGUAUUGGAGUUCAACUACAUGUCAUGAGAUAAGAAGUAGUUAAUAGGAGAGUGAACAUUUUCACAUCUCACACAGCAACAAACUGAAAUUUCAUAGUACUUACAUGUCCAGAUUUAGUACUUUUUUUGCUGUCUCAUAUGGGUUGAUCAGAGAAUCAGUUGCAGCUCUGUUGAGUCCAAGUUCUCCAGUCAUGUCCAGUGAGUUUCUAAAGGUCCAUUGCCUCAGCUUGCAACCUUUCUUUGAAUGGCUAGGUUUCCUGCAAAAUGAGCAUUUUCUUGUGCCCUUGACUGGUUGUUCUCCACCAAUUUUCUGUUGAGUCUGGCUUUGAGGAGCAGCCGUGCAGCUCUCUUGUGUAUUUAAGUGAGUGACAUUAGAAGUAGUUGGACCAGUACUGGUAUGCCUUGUUUCAUUUCUGAUGGCAUCUGUUUGUUGUGUGCUGGUCCCACUAGUUUCCUUAUCCAUAUGGCCAUCUGCUCUUAUUUCUACUGGAGCAGUUUGCUGAUUUUUUUCAGGGCAGCUCCUCCUAUUAUGGCCGUAUUUCUUGCACAGACUACAGCUCAUCUUAGUGCCAACCUUGCUAACUUUGUGAGGUUUAGAUGGAUUUACACAUGACUGCCUAUUCCUAUCUUCAUCUAGUCCCUUUUUCCUCGCCUUUUUUGGCCUUCCAGGUGAUUUCCUAUAUUUUGAAGGCUUCAUUGGUGGUAAAUCUACUGGGGCCCACAAAUUAGGACCAUUGAUUGGAUUCAACACAGGUUCAUAACUCUUUAUGUAUGUACUCUUCCAGUAGAUGCAUGCUACAUUUUUUUCUGGCUUGUCAUGUCUCCUAUAAAUAGCAGCAACUGCAUGGCCACAUGAGAUUCCCCUCAGUUGCCAUUUUCUACAAGUGCAGGUCUUGCUUCCCAAAUCAACGACAAACUGGUCACCAAAAGGACAACAUAUCUGAUAUUUCAUUGUGCCAGCAUAAUAGCAGAUGCACAUGCAUUGCUCUUUCUUGGCCUUCUCAAGAAUAUAAAAAAUUGCUAGACAUAAGAGACCUGACAAAUAAAAAGGCAAAUUAGAUAUUGAACAUAGGGUAACUAGAAAGAAAUGCUGAUAAACAUAGUAAGCAAGUAGCUUAACCUUCAUGUUUGGACAUUGUCUCUCUAUUCCUCUCCAUUCUCUUCAACAAAUAUAAGUAAAUAGUUUGCAACAUGCCUAUGAUAGGCAGUGAUCGUGCCUUUAAAAUAACUGAAUUAAAAGAUUCACACAUAUUAUUAACCAGUAUAUCGCAAUCCAAUCCAGUCUUGAAAUGAGCCCUUGACCAAGUGUUGGGGUCCUUUUCAUCCAACCAUGCAUAUGCAUCCUUUGAUUCUUGCUUCAUCAUCUCCAUUUCUGCUUUGAAAUGAGUCAUAUAUGAAGCUCUUGCACAUCUUCAAAGCCUAUCUUUAAGAGCAAGACCUCUAUGCAUUUGCUUGAAAUUAAUGUAAAGGUGUUGGACACAACACCUAUGCUCAGCUUGUGGAAGUUUGUCCCUAACAGCCUAAACUAGACCCUGUACAACACAACACAACAAUCACAUAUGCCAUAUUAAUAUCAAUAGUUUAACAUAAAUAAUUAAUGGAUAACAAAUUAAUAAAUACUACCUUCUGUUUGUCAGUCAUAAUGCACUAGCAACUAGAGUCUGAAAUUUUUAAAUCUUGUACAAGCAAUCCUAAAAACCAACUCCAGUUAUCAUAAUUCUCCACCCCAACAACUGACAUUGCCAAGGGAAACAUUUUGUUAUCACCGUCCAUUCCAACUGCUGUUAAAAGCUGUCCACCAUAUGGACCUUUUAGGAAGCAACCAUCUAACCCAAUCCACUUUUUACAACUAGCUAAAAAAUCUCUCUUUAUUGGUUCUAAGCACAUAUACAACCUUCUAAACCUAGAAACACCAUCUUCAUCUAUAUCAGUCUCAACAAACACAGUAGAUCCCGGAUUUACCCUCCUCAAUUCACCACAAAAUGAUUCCAACAUGGUGUACUAUUUUUCAUGGAACCCCUGAAUAGUGUCUCUAAUUUUUCUAAGUGUUCUAUACCUUUGUUUAAGGCUGAAAUCAACAUUUAACUCCUCAGUUACUUUGGUCAUCAACUCAUGCACUGUCAUAGAUGGCGCUUUCCUUACCUCAUCAACAAAUAGUUUGCUAGCCAACCUAGAUGUCAUGUUUUUAUUGUGGAACACUCUUCCACAAGUGUACUCAUCACUAAGUGUUUUUAUCUAAAAGGUAUUCUCAUCUUGCAUUUUAGACACAAAUAGCUGCCAGUCACAAUUUCUGCAUUUCACUCUCACCCUCUGUGUAUCAUUUUUCUUGAAUUACAUAUCUCUCCCAUCCAUAAUUGCUUGGAUUCUUACAGCCAACUUGAAUAUAAUAACUGAUGUGAACUUCUGACCAACUUCAAACUUUGGUUUCUUCAUGUAUGUUUGCUCAUUAAAAACUGGAAAUUUAGGCCUAUUUGUCUUACUAUUCCCACCUUCAUCGGAUUCACUUUGACUCUUCAAUUCAAAUGAACCAUCCGAGUCAUAUUCUGAUUCAAUGUCAUCAAUGUUAAUCAUAUCAGGGUCAUCCUAGUAGUUCAUUUCAAUGGGUAGGUCUCUCUUCCUUCCUGGCUUCUUCUUUCUUUGCUCACUGCAAUGAGAAGGACCAGGUUUAUUGCAAUGCCAAGGGCCAACUGAAUGUGCACCUAGGUCUCCUCCAAAUGUUUGACCAAUUUUGAUAGUUUCAUCUAAUAUGUCAUUGUCUCCCCCUUGAUCCUCAUAGUCUGAAUCUGCCAGCUUCUCAUCAACAUUGACUCUAUUUUCUUUUUCUUCUUGUCUGGCAGCAUCACAUGAUGUUUCCCCUACACCACCUUCAUUGCUGGCUGCCUUUUGUGCAUUUUCAUUACAAUUUUUACUUUGGUCAUCUUCUUCUCUGACUUGUGCAUUUGAAGUUUCAUUAUAGCCUUCAACAUCUUUUGGUUCCUUUGCAGCAUCACUCCUAUUGUCAGCUUUCUUUUCUACCAAAUUUUCAGUUUCAGUCGCUUUGCUAUUCACGUCUUCAUAUUCUACUUCAUCUUCAGCAGCAACACUAUAAAAUUCCUCACUUUCUGGUUCAACAUCAGUACCUUUUGCCGGAUUGUCUGCAGUUUCUAGUACUACUUCAAUACUUUCUGGUUCAACAUCAAGGCCUUUUGUUUGCUUGUCUUCAGUUUCUGGUGCUAUUUCAAUACUUUCUGGUUCAACAUGAAGACCUUUUGCUUGCUUGUCUGUAGUUUCUAGUGCUACUUCUAACCCAGUACUAUUAUCUAAACCUUUAGAAAACAGAUUUGGUACACUCGGUGUCCAGUUGCUACUGCACCCUUUUGUAGUGUCUGGGAACUUUGCUGGUUGAAUGUUAACAUUUUCUUUACCAUCUUGUUGCACUUGAUCAGUGUCUAUACCCUUUUUUAUGAUUAUAACAUCACUGUCUCUAUCCCUUUCGGCUUCAUCUCCCUUAGCUUGAUUACAUGGUGCUGCAGCCUGUGGACAACCUUGUGAAACAACUCUAAGAAACACUUCUGCCAUCCUAUGUGGUGGUAAUGUGUUCACCAUCAUCUCACAAUCCCUAUCACACAUACAAAAGACCAAGCAUUUAUCCAAUGUCAUCCCUAGUAGCAGAUAAUACAACCCAAAAUGAUCUUCUGCAUCAUACCCAAGACGGACUCCACAUUUGUCUAGAGUUACUAAUGACCACAUUUUUGGGUUGCAUCUAUCUAUAAAAUUAACCCGUCCCCCUAUAUACUGUCUGUUAGGAGAGUCUGUGAAAGUUUCUUGAUGGUGUAACUUUAAAGAGAAAGGUUUAUGCAAAAUUUCACUAUCACCAUUUCCUGGUUCAAAGAAAAAAAUUUAAAUUCAAUAAUUAAUUUUUUUACACCUUUUACAGUGGAUCGGGGACCACAAUGUCUGAAAUACAAGGGACAUUAGGGUUUGGACAGCAUAAACAUUGCCUUAAAAAAGACCCCAAAUCAUCAAACAACAUACUUUAAACAAUUUUGUCUACCAUACUUUAUCAGUAACAUAUAACAUACAGAGAUCACUCUGACCCUUUUUACAUUCCACAAUAUCAGUACAAAACCUAACCGACAACAUGGCACAAUAAACCAACUACUAUAUACGCUAUUAUCCAACAAGCAAACAAUGACAUUUUAAUAUCGUUUCUCUUACCGGGAGCUGCCUUUCUCUUCUUGUUCUUCAAUGGCGACCUCAUUUCUCCAUCACCCCUCUUCAAUGUCGAUCUUGACUUUCCUAUUUCACAAUGCCAGUCACCUCUAAGUCACAACACAAGAAUGUCAAGGCUAUAUGUGAGAGCCCGUAAUUUUUCCCAUUUUCUAGGUUUUAUUAUCUGUCAUGGCUUGUUUUCUGUAUUUUCGUGAUAAGGAAAAAUUCUAGAUCUUUUUAAGGAGCAGAUAUAGUUUUUAGAUGAUUUUUCUAGUAUCGAAUAGGUUUUGAGAAAUUAAGAGUGUAUACCGGACGUGGGACUCACUAGUGCGAAAAGUUUGAAAAAAUUCGGCCAACUAGGUUAAGUUUUGGAUACUGAAAUUAAUUUACCGGGUGUUAAGAGAUAAGUAGAGGUUGCAAUUUGGAUUGGUGUGAGAGGAAACAAAGUGAUAGACUUGCAUUAAUGGAGGUGACAAGUGUCACCAUUGGAUUGGUCCUUAAGUAAGACUACUAUUCCUUUUCUUACCAUUGACCAAAUAAAUAAAAAAAAAUAACCAAAAAUUCACCAUUUUCUCUUCAUCUUGGCCGAGCUCCUUGAGCAACAAAAGAAAGAAAACUCUUCAAGAUUUUGGCUUCAAUCAACUUACUCAACCAUCCAACCUUGAUUUUGCUCCAUAAAACCACUUAAGGGAGUGAUAGUGAAGUGUUGUGUGGAGUUAUUUGGAAAGCUAAGAGGACUUGUUGCUCUCUCUCUCUUGUUUCUAAGGUGAGUUGUGAAGAAUCACUCUCCUCCCUUUAUUGAUGCUUAAAUCAUGCUUAGUGGUAGUAUGAGAUGCAAUAUUAUGGAUUAUUUCUUGAUUUGUGGUUGAAUUGAUGAAGUUUUAUAAUUUUUAGAGAUUUUUCUGUUUUAAUAUGAACAUGAUUGUGUGGCUAUAUAUGAUGAUUGGAAAUGAUGUUUAAGGACUCUAUGAGGUGGAAAAAGUGGUUAAUUGCAAACAAUUUCUGUUUUGGAAGAAAUCUUGGAAAGUUAGGGUUUAUGAUGAUAACAUUCUGCCCGGUUUUGUAGCUCCUAGUUAGAGGCCGAAUUGGCCUUGACUUAAAACAUGAAAGUUGUAGGGAAUGUUAUUUUAGAGGUUUUUGAAAAAUUUCAGGUCAAUCGGAGUAGUGUAACUUGAGAAAAGUCGAAAUUACCCUUGCUGUUCUGGUUUUACCCGAAUUAGAGAAUUGCUUCUGUAAUUGGUUAUUUUGGUUAGGAAUGCUUCCUAAUUGGUUGUUGAGACCCUCUGAUGAAAUGUAGCCCUGUUUCUUAGCUUUCAGCUGGUUUUAGAAUUUCUGGAUUUGGACUUGGAUAGCCUGAUUUAUGAUGUUUCCGCUAGAAUACGUUCUGUGAAUCUGUUUUUGUGAUUCUGGUGUAGUAUCUUGCAUUUUUGACCUGGUUACAUUCGAAACUGGGUUGAGUGACCUUCUCCAAUAUUGUAUCCCUAUCUCUUAGCUUCGAAACGGUGGGUCUUGCACCUUCAUCCGAUAAUCGUACUGUCUUUGGUGCCAUUACCGCAAAAUGAGGUCGAAAACUGUUUUUUUUUCAGGGUUACAACUAGUUUCAUUUCCGGAUUUUCUGGUUUUCCCUAAUGCUUGUAUAUGCUUAUGGAACCCUAUUGGGGUCGUAUUUGGCAUUGGUUUAUGACUCGUUAUCGAGUCUCAUUGUACUUGUUUGCAUGUUUUAGGGCGUGACGGUGGUUCACGACGUUCUUUUGACGGUAGUGCAUGAAACACCAUUUGCAAGCUUGGUGAGUGUACUAGUCACUUAUGUGUUACUAUAUAGCUUUGAUACUUGAACUUGAUGAGUUGAAUGUUAAUUGAUUGAAGUGAGAGCGUACUUUAUCACUCUCACUUAUUGUUUCUCUUGUUAUUGGAAUGUUACAUGAAAUGUUACAUGAAAUGAAAGUACUUGAUUUGGUGUCGAUUGGACGAGUAUCCAACGACUACAAUUGUUAUCUUUGAGCUCAACCCCAUUGGUAGUUGAUUGAAUCGAGCUGGCGAGGGCUUGGUCGUGCCAAUUAAUGAUCCUUGGGGAAAGUGUUAUAUGGAAUCUUGUAGUAAGAGAGACUCUCGAUUCCGGUAUACUCGAGUAAUACCACAGUGCAAGUGUUUAGAGUUCGGGCCCGGUAGGGGGAUGUUAGGUGGAUGGAAUGGAAGUAAAGUGGAGUCUACGGUUGGUUACUUUUGAACAUUGACGGAGAGUCAAUGAGAUCCGAUCAAGAAUGCAAACGAGGAAAAGGGCUCUUGAGAGCCACCCGUAUCCUUUUAUCCUCAAUAUUGACAUGUGCCUUGGCUUACUUUUGAUGAAUUGAAAUGAAAAGCUUUAUGCCUAUGUGAACUUUGUUGCUUGGGUAGUAUUCUCACUGGGCAAUUAGCUCACUCUAUUCCUUUUAUUUUCCUUACAGGAAAAUAACUACUUUUGGACUGCAAUUGAUAAUUGGUUGCCGAAAUGAGCUAGUUGGACAUAUCUUUUGUAUAGCUCAUUUAUUGAAAUCCUAAAUGUACUUUUGGGUCUGUUUCUCUUUUGAUUUGGCAAACCAUACAUGUAUCCACUUUUGAAUACUUUUGUAUGCAACUUUGGAUUGUAAAUACUAAAGUUCAGGAUGUGAAUGUUUGCUUGGUUUUUGGUUGGGUUCUGACGGGUCGGUUACUAUUCAUGGCCGACUCCGGAUUUCAUUUUUUUAUUUUGGGUUAUUUUGCCAUUUUGACUUGUUUACGUACGUUUGUAAGUUCCGGAACGCAAUAGAUCGCUCUAACUGCACCGUUAGUCCUGGCGAGAGUUGGGCAGGCAGUCCGCUAACCCCUUUGGUUCGCCUUAGGGGAAGGUGGGGCUGUCACACUAUAGAUUAGUAGAAAUUUGCUAACUUCGUUCACACCCUCUCUCUCUCUCUCUUCAAAUCCAUGGUGAAGAAGACAGAAACAAAGCUGUUUCCCUCUAUUUUCUUUUCCUCUUAUACAUAACGAGCGAAAUUACAAUUAUGUCCUGGCCAUUUCAGUUUUCAUGGCGUAUCUAGUCUCACUAACAGCGCUUGUUUUGCACGCUCGGAAAACCCUGAUGAUUCUGUGGAUUCCGUCAACGGUUAUACUUAAUUGGGACGGAUUCAGUAGUUUGGGGAUUUAAGUGUCCCAUUUUGAAAUUUAGGGAUUAAAGUGGAAAAUAAGGUAUAGUUUAGGGGGUAAAAAGGGAAUUUACCCUUUAAAGAACUCCCAACUCCCUUUCGAUAUUGAUAGACCGUUUUAAACUUGAUUUCAUGGAUGAUACAAGUUUCCCUUGUGACUUUAAAUCCUCACUUUUGAAUCUCGAUUUCGAGGGAUUAAAGCUCUUUUAAGACAUUGUCUUAAGUUUUAAGCAAGUGUACUUUCUUCCUUGAAUGAUAAGUGGUUGUGAGUAUAUGUGAGUGAUGGUUGAUCAUCAUUUCUUCAGACGCUCAAGAGGAUUUUGAAAGGAAUCUCAGAACGGACAACUAAAGACUUUAUUUGUUCACUUACUUUUGACUUGGUGAGUGUCAAGUGUAUGAAUUGUUGUAUCUACUUGGUUAAUCUUGCUUGUAUACAUGAACAUGAUUUGAUGAGAUGAGUGUGUACUUUAUCGCACUCGUUCUCCUUUAUUUGACUCGUUACUUGCCUUACUUGAACUUGGUUUUGUAUUAAACUUGAACUUGAAUGUCGAUUGGAGUGAACCUCAUCGACAAAAUUAUACUUGUACUCGUGGGAGACGCCCAAACUCAUUGGCUAAUCUUGCGACUCGAGUCAACAUGGACUUAGUUGAGAAGUUUGGCGAACCAUGAGAAAACUAGAAAGCUUGAUCUUUUCAAAUCUUACUUGGCAUACUCGAGUAGUAUUGAUUUUUUAUGCGACGUGCGGACCCGGUAGGGGGUGUAACGAUGGACGAAAUUUGGUGAAAGUGGAAUCUACGGAUUUGAUACUUGCUCGGUUGACGGAGAGUCAACGUGCGAUAUUUGGAUCAAGGCCUUGGCCAAACUGUGUGGAAUUAGCUCCUGAGAGCUCCCGUAUCCUCAUUGGUUGUGCUUUAUUGUUAUUCGUGAAUUACUUGAACUUUCCAGUUAUAUUUUUGUACAAGUGUUAUUGUUACUUGAACUUAUGCGUUUGCAUGCUUUUCUUGGUCUCACUGAGCGUUAACUCACCCCCGUAGUUUGUUUUCCUUAACAGGGAUUCGGAUUAGAGAUGACUUUUGGAGAAGUUGACUUGAUUACCUUUUGAUUAGAAUUUUGGAUGUAAAUAUUUAGUCAACUUUAGAUGCUUGUAUUUUUGAGGAAAUUUGAUGUACCUUUUGGAAACUUGCAAUGUAAGACUUGAAUGGUUAUAUAAGGAAGUGACUUUUAUUUAUAUUGACUUUUAUUAUUGGUUGAUUACCUUUAAAUUUAAAUUUAUCUCGCAUUGAGUCCUGGCGAGAGUUAGGCAGGCGUUCCGUCGAUACCCUUGGUUUCGCCCUAAGGAGAAGUGGGGGCAUAACAGUUGGUAUCAGAGUCUAGAUUUAGAGAUUUAUUUGAGAGAUGUUUUAGAGACUUUACUCUUGAGAAUAGGGAUGGGAAAACUUAGUUAUACCUCAAGUUGAUGUUUGAGCAAAGUAGUGACUUUAAGUUUCUAACCUUAAGUUUUGUGGUUGUUUUGUAGGUAUGGAAAACGGUAAUGGAGAUCAUGCGACUAAUGGUAAUGGAGCUGCUAACGGUCAUGUGGAGUCUCUUAUAUCCAUCCGAUAUCGAGUUAUGGGUGGAGGACCCCGUGUCCGAUAUUCGCCUUCCACUAGGUUCCUUUGUUGUCCUUAUAAGGAGACACGUGCCUACCCUAAUGAUCUUGUGCUGUCCAUUAAUGAUGAGCGCCGACAGUUAGUGGUUACUAAUAGGGCAUUAUUUCAGGAGAUCAAGGAGCUGAAUGCUAUGGUGGAUGCCCAGGGUGUUAGGAUAUUGGAGCUCGUGGAGACGGUAAUAGAUGAGCUGGCUAGGGCGAGACCGCUCGUGACGAGUUUCAGAAGACUAGGGCUCGACUAGUUAGGGUAGUCGAGGAGAUCCGGGAUCGGGCCGUUGGAAUUUUAGCUGACACCACCAUAUUGAUAGAGGAAGUGAUAGACGCCGUUGAGAGUCCGGCACAUGAGGGCACUCCUGAGGAGGAGCCUUUCGAGGAGGUCCAGACUAGCAGUUCGGAUGCGAACUAAGUUAGGAUUGUUGAAUCUUUUGACUUUUGUAGUUGGGAUUAAUUGGAGUGAUGCUUGUAAAGCUCUUGAUUUUUACUGCAUGUUUGAUUGUACUUUUGUGGCACUUGUGUGCUAUGUUUUUGUAAAUGCCCCAUGACUUACUGAUUAUAUAUGAACUUUUAAAUAUUAAUAUAUGCCAGUUAUUGUUAUUUCUAAUAUUUUUCAUAUUGGCUUUUAUUUUUAAGUAUUCUCUCACUUAAUUAUUUUUAUUCUUGCAUUUAGACAUAAUUAAGAUCUUGAACGACCGAAAAAAUGGUAGGGGUCGAGAGCGCGGGGUCAGGCAACCCUAAACUCAAAGGGAUGAUCAAGGAUCGGCUAUUGGACCGAGCCAAUGGCAAGUAAACGAAGGGGAUAACCAAGUAGGUACUGCUAUCAACCGUAUGAUGGAUAUCUUAGAACGGUUAGCAGAGCGACAGGGUCCAGGACCUGUUAACUAACCCGGGGCUCAGGAGAGAGAGAAAGAUAGAGCCUUGAAACGAUUUUUGAAAUUUGCUCCGCCUAAAUUCAUUGGGGGACCUAAUCCCGAGGUAGAGGAGAAUUGGCUGGAACGAAUGACCAUUAUAUUCACCGCCUUAAAUUAUACUGAGGAGAGGCGUAUGAACUUUGCUGCUUUUCAAUUUGAGAGUGUAGCACGUGCUUGGUGGGAUGUGAUAAAGGAAAAAUGGGAAAGAGUGCAGACCCCUUGGAUCUGGAAAAACUUUACAAGGGAGUUUAAUAAGAAGUUUCUCCCAUCCUUGAUUCAAGAGAAAUGGGAGGACGAAUUCAUAAAACUGAGAUAGGGGACUUCUAGUGUGGCUGAAUAUGAGAAAAAAUUUACUAAAUUUUCUAGGUACGCCCCAGAAUUGGUGGCCACUGAAAGGAGAAGGAUAAGGCAGUUUGUACAAGAAUUUAAUGUAGAGAUUCAAGAGGGGUUGGUAGCAACCCAAAUCUCUACUUUCACUGAAAUCCUAGAGAAAGCGCAGAGAGUCGAAAGCGCAAGGUUGCAAGUUAAAGAUUUUCAAGCCAAGAAAAGAGGCGCUUCUAGUCACUCUCCUGGACAAGCAAGUAAGGGUACCCUACCUACUAAAAUGGAAAGAGGAGCGAGAGGAGUAAGGGCUGCUAGAGCACCAAGAAGGGUUUUAUCACGAGGAGGUAGCAAUGGGCAAGGCCAAGCGAGAGGAACACCUCCUAGUAGACAGGCCGUGGCUCCUCAAGUUGUUUGUAGCUACUGUGGUAAGCCUAACCAUAUGAAGAAUGAAUGUUGGAGGAAAUCGAAAAAGUGCUUGUACUGUGGUAGUGCCGAGCACCAACUCUUAAGUUGUCCAAGUGUGCCGAACGAGGGAGGUAGUGCUCAACGGCUAGAGAAGUCGGCCUCUAAGCAGUCUAGUGCUAGAGGGAGUCGACCUAAGGUGCUGACUAGAGUUUACGCUUUGGACCAUCAACAGAUCCCUGAUUCCACUGAAGUGGUUGAAGGUACGAUUCCUAUGUUCCACCGUUUAGUUAAAGUUUUGAUUGACCCUGGUGCAACACAUUAUUUUGUAAAUCCUAAUUUCAUGAGUGGAAUAGACGUGAAACCAAUUAAAUUACCUUAUGAUUUGGAGGUUAGAACACCUACUGGAGAUCAAAAUUUAAUUACUAACUUGGUGUAUAAGAAUUGCGAGAUAUGGGUUGGAGAGCGAAAACUAUUGGCCGAUUUAAUGAGUUUAGCUAUUAAGGGGUAUGAUGUCAUCCUAGGAAUGGAUUGGUUAACUCAUUACCAUACUCAGUUGAAUUGUUAGAUGAAAACGGUAGAGUUGUGUAUUUCGAGAGAGGCAACCCUAAAAUUAGAUGUAAGGGUUAGACUAUCCUCAUCUGCCCUCAUUUCAGGAAUUCGAGUUAGAAAGAUGUUGAGUAAGAGAGUUCAAGGGUAUUUGGCUUUUCUUAUAAAUACUUCUAGUGAUAAGGUGAGGUUAGAAGACAUGUUCGUAGUAAAGGAGUAUCCGGAUAUUUUUUCCGAGAAACUAGAGUCCUUGCCACCGGAAAGAGAGAUAAUCUUUAAAAUUGAUGUGACUCCAAGAGUAGCACCUAUCUCUAAGACGUCCUAUAGAAUGGCUCCAGUUGAAUUGAAAGAGCUGAAAUUGCAAUUACAGGACCUUCUAGAGUUAGACUUUAUAAAGAGAUUCCCCGUGGAGAGUUUCGUUGUUGUUUGUUAAAAAGAAAGAUGCGAGUUUAAAAUUGUGUAUAGACUAUCGAGACUUGAAUGAUGUUACCAUCAAGAAUAAAUACCCUUUACCCUACACUGAUUAAUUGUUUGACUAAUUGCAGGGGGCAGUAGUGUUCUCAAAACUGGAUUUCAGGCAGAGUUAUUAUCAACUAAGGAUUUUGAAAAAAUAUAUACUUAAAACUGCCUUUAAUUCGAGGUAUAGGCACAUUGAGUCUGCAGUGAUGCCGUUUGGAUUGACCAAUGCUCCUGCAGUUUUUAUGGAUUUAAUGCAUCGAAUCUUUAAGCCUUAUUUGGAUCAGUUUAUAGUGGUGUUCACUGACGAUAUACUGGUGUAUUCUAAGACCUUGGAGGAUCACAAGAAACAUUUGAGAAUUGUCUUGCAAAUCUUAAGGGAACAUCAGUUGUAUGCGAAAUUUAGUACAUGUGAAUUUUGGUUGAAGGAAAUGACUUUCUUAGGUCAUUUAAUCUCCAAAGAAGGAAUUAAGGUAGAUCCGACCAAAAUUGAAGCAGUUUCUAAGUGGAAGCAACCAGAAAAUUCUACUGAAGUUCGAAAUUUCUUAGAGUUAGCAGGGUAUUACCGGAGGUUUAUCAAAGAUUUUUCUAAGAUUGCGGGACCCAUGACUGAAUUGACUAAGAAAAGUAAAAAGUUUAUAUGGAGCUCUAAGUGUGAGAAAAGUUUCCAGGAUUUAAAGAAACGUUUGACAAGGGCACCUGUAUUAAUUUUACUUAUAUGGGGUGACGUUUGAAGUUUUUACCGACCACAAGAGUUUUAAAUACUUGUUUUUUCAAAAAUAGUUAAAUUUGAGACAACAUAGAUGGGUCGAGUUUUUAGAGGAUUAUGAUUGUACGAUCAAUUACCACCCAGGGAAAAUUAAUGUGGUAGCCGAUACUUUAAGUCAUCAAGUGCGAGUAGCAGGAUUGAUGAUCAAAGAAUUGCACUUGUUGGAAGAGGUUAGUAAUUGGAACCCUCGUCUUGAACCAAGAAAGGUAAUCCUUCGGAACAUGAUCAUGAAAUCCACUCUGUUGGAUUGUAUCAAGGAGGCACAAGAGAAGGAUUCAAAAGUACAAAAGUGGUUGGAGAAAGUUAGAAAGGGAGAAAAGUCGGAUUUUAAUUUGGGAGUAAGUGGUGUACUAAGGUUUCGAAAUUGCACAGUAGUGCCAAAGGAUGAAGGGCUAAAAAGGAAAAUUUUAGAAGAAACGCACCGUUCUAAGUAUACGGUACAUCUUGGAUGGAAUUAAAUGUACCAAAACUUGAAGAGCUUGUAUUGGUGGGAGAACAUGAAGAGAAAAAUUACUCGGUUUGUACAGACUUAUUUAAUUUGCCAGCAGGUUAAAGCCGAACAUCAGAAAUCAUCUGGUCUAUUGCAACCUUUGGAGAUACCCGAAUGGAAAUGAGAGAAUAUCACCAUGGAUUUUGCAUCUGGAUUGCCAAGAACACAAAGAGGUCACGACGCCGUUUGGGUGAUAGUAGAUAGGUUGACCAAAUCUGUUUAUUUUCUACCGAUUAGUAUGAAGUACUCCCUAAAGAAGCUAGCAAAGCUAUAUUUGGAUGAGAUUAUAAGACUACAUGGGAUACCAGUAAGUAUUGUAUCUGAUCGAGACCCUCGAUUUGUUUCUCGAUUCUGGCAGAAGAUGCAAGAAAUACUAGGAACUAAAUUGAAUUUUAGCACUACCUACCACCCCCAGACUGAUGGACAAUCUGAGAGGACAAUCCAGACCCUUGAGGACAUGUUGAGAUCAUGUAUUUUGGAUUUUAGAGAGAGUUGGAGUAAGUACUUGACACUGGUGGAAUUUGCUUACAAUAAUAGCUUCCAUUCAUCCGUUCAAAUGGCUCCAUACGAAGCUUUUUAUGGUCGAAAAUAUAGAUCUCCUAUUUGUUGGAAUGAAAUAAGUGAAAGAAAGAUUUUAGACCCAACUGUAGUACCGUGGAUUAAUGAGGCGUACGAAAAGGCGAAGUUAAUACGCCAACAAAUUCAGACACCUCAGAGCCGUCAAAAGAGCUAUGCAGAUAACUGGAAGAAGGAUUUGGAGUUUGCAGUUGGAGAUCAAGUCUUCCUUAAGAUCACUCCACUAAAAGCAAGUUUGAUAACAGGAACAGGAAAGAAGUUGCAACCUAGAUUUAUAGGACCUUAUAAGAUUCUCCAACGUGUGGAAAACGUGGCCUCUAAGUUGGAACUGCCACCAAGUUUGUCUCGAAUUCAUAAUAUUUUCCAUGUGUCUAUGCUCAAGAAGUAUCAUCCAGAUCCCUCCCAUGUACUGCAACCGAAAAAUAUCGAUAUCGACAAGGCUCUGACCUAUGCGGAGAAACCAGUGAAACUUCUGGAUCGUAAAGUGAAGGAACUAAGGAAUAAGUGAUCCCUUUGGUAAAAGUUCUGUGGAGGAAUCACGGAAUAGAGGAAGCAACUUGAGAAGUAGAUGAGGAGAUUCGAAAGAAAUAUUCAGACCUAUUUCCAAACCAAGGUAUGAAUUUCGUGGACAAAAUUCUUUUAAGGGAGAGAGGAUGUGAAGACUCAUGUUUUUAUUCUUAAUUUAGCCAUUUUUAUAAUUAUUUGCUCUAGUGUUAUUUAAUUAUACUAGUAUUGCAUGAAUUUCCUCUUGAAUUUCGGUUUAUCGCGUUCGUGUCGAAAGUUUCUCGAAAGUCGCGCCGGUACGACUAAUUGGAGAUUUGAAGAUUUAAUACUAGACUCAUAAGUAUGAGUAAUUACAGUGUUAGAGGAAUUACUUUGGAGGAUUAGUGUAUAAGUGUAACAAAUAAAAGAGGAAGUGGUAGUACACAAUACUAUUUCGUUACUAUUGAGAGUUGAUCUUGUGUACCAACUUAAAGUUACUUUUCCCCAAUCUUCCUCCAUAAGAUUCACCACUCAAAAACUUCCUCACUCUCCUCAACCUCUCGGCCGAGCCUAAGGAAGAAAAGGGGAAGAGAAAGCUCCAUUCUUUUAGCUUCAACCUUGCUUGCAAAUCCUCAACCAAACCACACAACUCUUGGAGUUUCACUCUAGCUUGAAGAAAGGUGCAUCUUUGUGGAGUUUUUUGGUGAAAUAUUGGAUGAAACUCUCACUUACAACUAGGGUUAAAAGUUUGGAGAGGUAACCAUUUCCUUCUCCUUUAACCUUUCAAAUUUUGCUAAGAUUAGAGCUUGGAUUUCAUGGGUUUGAAACCCUAGUCAAGUUUCUAGCCUAGUGGACUUGAGAAAGCUUUUAUCUUGCUUUAUAUUCUAGGCUAACGGUCUUGAGGUGACCUAUGAGGUAGCUGACUUGAGGAUAUUGCUUGAUAUUUGUUAUUUAUGUGUAUUAUAGCUUAAUAUUGGUUGGAUAGUGGAGAGAAAUUUGGAAGAAACCGUGAGAGUGAGCUGGCCGAAAUUUCUGUUUUGUUGUCCUGCUUUGAACUCAAAUUUUUGUGGCUUAUUUGGUUGCUAAACUGAUUGAUAUAUGUUUUAUUAUGUGUGUGGAAGUUGGCUUUCAAAAAUCAUCUCAAAUGGUUAUAUAAAACUUGAGUUUUGGAAAAAGUUUGAAAUCUAGAAAAUGGUUACCAGGGUAGCCGGAAAGGGGUACUUUGUCUGAACAUAACUCUUUGUACAAAAAUCAAAAUUGAGUACUGUUUGCGGCAUUUCAAACUAGACAUUCAUAGAUUUCAAACGGUAUAAGAAUCCCCUGCUAGUUCAUUUUGAGUAAACUGUAAUGAAUCGGCACAUGGGACUGACCUGUUUUGCCUGUCUGCCCGAGAGCAACUGGAAAGCUGCAUCUUGUGGCUCGAUUUUGUCUCACUUGUGAAAAGACUUUGAAAAUGAUGUCUUCUGAUGAAUUGUAGUAUUGUGAAUCUAGUUUCUAAUGCCAUAAAUCAUUCUCAAUUUGGACUUGUGUAGAGUUAGAUAUGGUCUGAUUUCAAAACUGUGUUGAAGCUUAGUGACUGGAAAUCCCUGAACAGGUUGCGAAAAUCAGCCAACUUCAAACUAAUAUAUCUUGUUGCUCAAAAUUCCGAAUUUAGUUCCACUUAUUGUGCUUGAAACUUGAUUUGGAACUCUUGUUGUGUUAUAAAUUUCAGAGGCUGAUUCACUUUCUCUGAAUUUUGCCGAAUUUUCAAACAUUGCUAAAAAACCAAGACUGGUUCUGUCCUGUCUUCAUGAAACAACAAAUUUGAACGGUUUUUGGUUAGAAUCUUGGAAAAGUGUCUUCAGAGAAUUUUUAGUACUUUGAAUCUAUUUUCCAACAGUAUAAAGUUUUCCAUUUUUGGACUUACCAAACUCAAGAUCUAAUUUUCCAAGUAUGAUCGCGCAAAGCUGAAAAUUUCUGAUUCCUUAAGAGAUGAACUUUUAAAGAACUCCCAAUUCCCUUUCGAUAUUGAUAGACCGUUUUAAACUUGAUUUCAUGGAUGAUACAAGUUUCCCUUGUAACUUUAAAUCCUCACUUUUGAAUCUCGAUUUCGAAGGAUUAAAGCUCUUUUAAGACAUUGUCUUAAGUUUUAAGCAAGUGUACUUUCUUCCUUGAAUGAUAAGUGGUUGUGAGUAUAUGUGAGUGAUGGUUGAUCACCAUUUCUUCAGGCGCUCAAGAGGAUUUUGAAGGGAAUCUCGGAGCGGACAACUAAAGACUUUAAUUGUUCACUUACUUUUGACUUGGUGAGUAUCAAGUGUAUGAAUUAUUGUAUCUACUUGAUUAAUCUUGCUUGUAUACGUGAACAUGAUUUGAUGAGACGAGUGUGUACUUUAUCGCACUCGUUCUCCUUUGUUUGACUCGUUACUUGCCUUUCUUGAACUUGGUUUUGUAUUAAACUUGAACUUGAAUGUCAAUUGGAGUGAACCCCAUUGACAAAAUUAUACUUGUACUCGUAUGGGACACCCAAACUCAUUGGCUAACCUUGUGACUCGAGUCAACAUGGGUUUGGUCGAGAAGUUUGGCGAACCAUGAGAAAACUAGAAAGUUUGAUCUUUUGAAAUCUUGCGUGGUAUAUUCGAGUAGUAUUGCCUUUUUAUUCGACGUGUGGGCCCGGUAGGAGGUGUAACGGUGGACAAAAUUUGGUGAAAGUGGAGUCUACGGAUUUGAUACUUGCUCGGUUGACGGAGAGUCAACGUACGAUAUUUGGAUCAAGGCCUUGGCCAAACUGUGUGGAGUUAGCUCCUGAGAGUUCUAGUAUCCUUAUUGAUUGUGCUUUAUUGUUAUUCGUGAAUUACUUGAACUUUCCAGUUAUAUUAUUGUACAAGUAUUAUUGUUACUUGAACUUAUGUGUUUGCAUGUUUUUAUUGGCCUCACUGAGCAUUAGCUCACCCCCGUAGUUUGUUUUUUUUAACAGGGAUUCGGAUUGGAGAUGACUUUUGGAGAAACUGACUUGAUUACCUUUUGAUUAUAAUUUUGGAUGUAAAUGUUUAGUCAACUUUGGAUGCUUGUAUUUUUGAAAAAAUUUGAUGUACCUUUUGGAAACUUGCGAUGUAAGACUUGAAUGGUUAUAUAAGGAAAUGACUUUUAUUUAUAUUGACUUUUAGUAUUGGUUGAUUACCUUUAAGUUUAAAUUUGUCUCGUAUUGAGUCCUGGCGAGAGCUAAGCAGGCAUUCCGCCGAUACCCUUGGGUUCGCCCUAGGGAGAAGUGAGGGCGUCACAAUUUGUCUGGUCAGCUUUAAGAAACAGUUGAUUGGGUACUGGUUAAAAAUGGAAAUCUUUCAUGGCAAAAAGUUGGGAUUGAUGAUUUGCUGCUAGAUUUUACGUCAAGAACAAAGAAAUUGAAACAGGGUUUGGAUUACUAAAGAGCAUAGGAUGACCCUUUGCCAAAAAUAUCAUCAGUAGGGUAACUCAAUCUUCAACUUUUUCUUUGUUUUUUCAAUGAUUAAGUACAUAUUCUAGAAUGUUAAAGGUGUACAUAAUGAUGUCAUCAUGGCUAGACUUAAACAAUUGUAUCAUUUACAUGAUUUUUUUAUUUACAUGAUUUUUAUCUUUUAGCUCUAUGAGAGCCAAUGAUCGAAGUCUCUAAUUCAGAGGUGUGUAAGAUUACAUUACAUUCUAACAAGCUUUAGCUAAACAGAGGUGAGGAUUUGGAUCUUCUUUGAUUAAAAUUUUUCUAGGUUAUAGCUCAGUCAUCUAAUUUUGUAGCUAUGCAAAUGUCUCGUAAUGUGCUUGCAUUUCCUUUUUGAGCGAUUUUUGUACAUGCUGCAUGUGAGGAGAAGGAUCAAAUAGUUUUGUGGGAUUAGUUGUCAAAUAUAAGUGUAGUUUCGGGUCCUAUGUUCAUUGUGGUAGAUUUUAAUGUUAUUUCUAGUCCCCUACAAAUUUUGGGUAGUAGGCUAUUUCAACUUUCGGACUUGCAUCUUUUUUUGCAAUUUAUGGACUUGGUUGCAUUAGUUGACGUGGGUUUUUCUAGGUCAAAUAUGCAUGAUGUAACAAUCAUUUUGGCCAUGUUAGGGUGUGGAAAAAGCUAGAAAGGUUGCUAGUGAAUCAAGACUAGCUUGUGUAUACUCAGCUGUUCAUUUAAGCAAAGUGUCUUCUAGCCAUUCUUCAUUGUUGAUUUUUUUAAAAUUGCUGGUAGAUUGCUUCAUGAAGUUUUUGGUUCAUUAAUGCUUGGGUAUUGCAUCCUAGUUUUAUGGAUGUUGUGAGACAAGCUUGGUCAAUGCCUAAUGUUGCUCGUCCAACUAUAUUAUUGAUAAGAAAAUUGAAGAAUGUCAACCAACGCCUUCGCGCAUGGAAUAAAAAUGUACUUGGGAAUAUUAUGGAUGUGGUCAAGUUGGCAAAGGAAGAUGUACAAAACAAAGGGGAUAUUUCUUGAAGAAAACUUCUUCAAAGUCUCAGAUGGCAUUGAAUUAGCACAAGGUGUCCUACGGCUAGCUUUAAAUAGUGAGAUCAAUUUUGGAGAUAGAAAGUGCAUGUCAAAUGGCUUAAAGAAGGAGAUGCAGAUACAAAACGUUUUUUCAUGCUUAUGUGAAACGGAAGCAUCUUAAACUGUAGAUUCACUACUUCGAGGAUUCUCAAGGACAUUGAUUAGAGGUGGCAAAUGAUGUUGAGAAGAUGGCGGUACAGUUCUUUUUUGACAUAUUAGACCCAGUUGUUGCUAUGCAACAAGGAACUGCUUAAUGUCACCUCAAAAAUUAUUUCAAAGAAGGACAUUGACUGUCGCACUCCAAAUCCACAGCCUGAAAAUUAUUUCAACAAAGGACAUUAAUUGUCACGCCCCGAACCCGCAGGCCCAAGACACGAUCAGAGUCUCAGUAGUCUAACUAUUUGUGCUCUGUCAUUGCUAGCCCAAAAUGGAUAUUCUAUGUUGGACUUGAGUGCUUUGGCUCUACUUGAAUAUUGGUCCAUAUGUAACGACCCCACUCCUCCUAGGGCGUAUCCCAAGGUUUAGCGGACCACCUGCCCAACUCUCGCCAGGACUAGCUCACUUAUUUCAAAUAAAAUAAGGUACAACCUAAAAAAAAAAGAUGAAAUAACAGUUCUCAUGCUUGGAACGUAUAAAUACAUUCGUUUUUAUUUCAAACAUUCAUACAAUCCCAAAUAUAAUAAAAGAUUUGAGUUCCAAACGAAUUCAACCCUAAUCGAGCACUAGAGCGAGUACAAUCGCCAAAAUUUAAAAACUAGACUAUGCUAAGUGAAUGUAUCAAAGUGGCGAGCAUAACAAGUCAAGAAAAUGAGCAAUAACACUUUGUAUAGCCAAUCAUUAAGUAUUCACAUGUCAAGUAAAAGGAUACAGUCGCUUUUGCAAACUAGCUCCACCAUAGCUUGAUCAAGUAGUAGUUGACACUCCGUCAACUUUCAAGUAAAGUAACCAGUCCAGUAAUACACUACUUAACUCCAAUCUCCGUCCACCAAUCAAAUCUGUGAGAACCUGUGGAUUUUCUUAUUUUCUAGACUUUAUUUUAUUUAAUUGCACGCUUUUCUGCAUUUUCUUUAUUAGAAAACUUUUCUAGAUAAUUUUUAUGAGUAAAUAUAGUUUUUAGAUGAUUUUUCUAGUAUCGGUUAGCUAUUGAGAAAUUAAGAGCGUAUACCGGACGUGGGACCCGCUAGUGCGGUAAGUUUGAUAAAAUUCGGUCAAUUAGGUUAAGUUGUAUAUACCGAGUUUAAUUUAUCAGAUGUUAAGAGAUAAUUAGAAGUUACCUAGAUGGAUUAUUAUUGGAGAGACAAAAGGAUAGAGAUGUAUUAAAUGGAGUGACAAGUGUCACUUGGAGGUUAAUUCUUAACUUAGUCAAUUUUGACCAACUUUCUUGCUUUACCAAUUUAAGUAAAAAUUUUCAAAAAUCAUCCUCAUUUUAAAGCUUCCUUGCCCGAACCUCUUGCUCCAAAAAAGAAAGGAAAAACUCUCCAAUCUCUUGCUCCAAAUUUGCUUAAUCCAACAAACCAACCAUUUAAUCUUGCAUUUACUCCAUAAAAACCCUUAAGUGAGUGGUUGUGAGGUGAUUAGUGAAGUUGUUUGGAGGAUUAAGGUGCUAAGUUGCUCUUGUUCUUGGGUUGUUAAGGUGAGUAACUAAGGGACCUUUCUUGCAACUCAAUAAUGCUUAAUUAUUGACAUGUGUGAGGUGAAGUGAUGAUUUUAGGUGUUGUUUCAUGACUUUUGGUAGAAUUUGGUGCAUUUUCUAUUUAAUCAUGAUUUUUUCUGUUUUCAUAUGAUUACUAUUGUGUGGCCAUGUAUGAUGGUUGAAAAUGAUCUAGAAUGAAGCUAGAAUGCGUAAAUUGUGGUUGUUUGCGGAAAAUUUCCGCAUUGAACGGAAAAAUUCGGAUUUAGGGUUUCAAUUCAACCAUUCUGCCUGGUACUGUUCCUUAUAGUUAGAGGCCGAAUUAGUCUUGGGUUAAAACAUGAAAGUUGUAUAGAAUGAUAUUUUAGAGUUUCCUACAAAAUUUCAGCUCAAUCGGAACAACGUAGCCUGUGAAAAGACCCAAAUACCCCUAUUACUCUGUUUCUAUCCGAAACUGAUAAUCAGCUUCUGUAAUUGGUUAUUUUGACUGGAAAUACUACUGAUUUGGUUGUUGAUGUCUUCUUAAGAAUUAUAGCCUUAUAUCUUAGUUUUCAAAUGGCUUUGGAAUCACUUGAAUUGGAGUUGUAUGUGCUGAGAUAUGACUGAAUGAAUCAGGACUGCCACAGUAAACUUCGAACUGGAAAAUCUGGGGUUGUUUUGGUAAAUUUGACCUAGUUAGGGUGAGAACUGGACUAAGUAGUCUUCAUCAAAGUUGCAGAUCCCUAUCUCAGCUUCGAAAUUCCAUAAGAUUCAUCUUAAUCCGAUAAGCGUCACUUAGGUUGCGAUCGAAACACCGAGACACGUCAAACCUGCUUUUAGGCCUAUUGUCUUUCAAAUUGGUUUUCGGUUGCAUUAUUAACCUUGUGUUGUAAUUGACUAUAUAUGAAGGGUAUUGUGACCCUAAUUAGAUGUUUUUAAUAUCUUGUGAAUUAUAUUUGAGGUUGUGGUUGAUUUGGAUUGAAUUUGGUGUUGAAUUGUAGGGUGAAAAGUAAGAAAAACAAGGGGAAAUGCUGUUAAAAUUUUUGCAGGACGGAGCAGUUCUGGGAAAUCUACAAUAUCUGGAUGUCGAAAUAUCAAAAUUGAGUUCCGUUUAUUUUUUUUUAAACUAGAUUCAUAGGGCUAUGAACCGUGUAAAUUUCAGUUUCUGAUUUGGUCUGUGGGAUUUAUGGUGAUUUUUCAAAGUUAACCGAAAUCGUAUACUUGCUCUGCCUUUUUCUGGUUAAGACAGCAUUUUGAGGCUCGAAUUUGAUUGGCUUGUGAUCUGAAUCUUCUAAAUAUGCCUUCUGAGAAAUUUUACCCCUUUGAGUCUAUUUUCCAACGGUGUAAAUUUUACCAAUUUCGGAUUUAAGAAUCCUAAGAUAUGAUUUUUCAAUCAGGGGUGUGCAAAACUGAAAAAAAAAAUCUGUUUUCUUGGAAUUAUUCUCACUUUCAAUUUCACCUUGAGAUAUGAGCUAGUACAUCAUUGUAAGUAUGAUUUUGAGAGGAGUGAGGGGUUUUGGGGUCAUGUAUGUCCUUAGGACCAACCGUUUUCUUUUAUUCUUAAGCCGUCUUUUAUUUUUCGUACUAGUAUAUAACUUUGAGAUUCAUCUAACUAGUAAUCGAACCUCAUUUGUGCAUCCUAUUUACUCGAUUUUGGAUGAAGAAAUGUCAACUGUUUUACCUUUGUUAUUCUUAGGGUUUCACGGUGAUUAGGCCACUUUGGGUGGAAAUUUUUGGAAGUACCUGUACUUGAACUGGUGAGUGUACAACUCCCCUCACUUGUUGCUUAACUUGAUUUCUGCACUUACAAUCUGUGAUCUGAAUGAUUGUACUAUCUGUUUAAUCUGUUUGAGAUGAGGGUGUACUUUAUCACACUCGUUCUCUUGUCUGUCUGUAUGCCUCUUGACUAUAUGUAAUCUGUUAUCUGUAUCUGAAUCUGUUAUCUGUAUCUGAGUCUGUUCGGACGUCGUUUGGAGACUGGUAUCCAACGACCUUUCUGUGACCUCUGAACUCAACACCUGUGGCUAGUUACUCAAGUCGGGCCGGCAAGGGCCUGAUCGAUUAGAUAACGAACCACGGUAGUCUGUUUCAGGAAUCUUUGGGUAUUGAAACCCUUAAUUCCGGUAUACUCGAGUAUUACCACUUCUGUUCUGUUCGGCGUUCGGGCCCGGUAGGGGUAUGUUUGGUGGACGGAAAUUGGUGUAAAGUGGGGUCUACGGAUAUGUUGGUUCUAUGUACGUUGACGGAGAGUCAACAGGUUCGGAUCAAGUACUGCAAAUGGAAAUCUGGCUCCUGAGAGCCACCUGUAUCCUUCCUAUUUGAAUCAUUGUGUCUAACUACUUUACUUUACAUCUGACAUGUAUACCUGAUUUGUUAAACGUGAAAUGCCAUUUUACUGCUAUAUGUCUGGUACCUCAUUGAACGCAAGCUCACCCCUUUUUGUUACCUUUGUUUUCCUUACAGGGUUCCAUGUUUUGAAACCAAGAUUUUUGGAAGAAAAGAGUUGAGCUAGUUGUAGGACUUCUUUUGUUUAUGCCCCUCUGUAACUGAAACCCUAAUUGUAUUUUAUAUAGCGUGAAUACUCUGGCUUGUAUUUAGUUCAUUGGUUCUAGACUCCGAUGUAAAUAUAUGUAUAAGUGUUUAAUCGACGUCGCGUACUUCCGUAUGGUUUGGUAAGCUCUGUUUAACCCUUGGUGGUCUCCAAUUGUUCGUUUUCGUUGAAUUCUCACGCGUACUAUAUAGGGUUUGUGUGAAUCGACUCCGUAGUCCUGGCGAGAGUUGGGCAGGAGUUCCGCCGAACCCUUUGGUUCGCCUUAGGGUGAGGUGGGGCUGUCACAAAUCCCUUACCGGGCCCGAACUCCAAGAUAAACACUGGUGGUAAUACUCGAGUAUACCGAUUAGUCGAGAAGAUAACACUCCACUCGACAAACUAGAGACCUAGGGUUCAUUAUCUAAUCGACCAGACUCUUGCCGACUCGACUCGAUUAACUAGCCACCGGGUUUCUGGAAUUCCAGACAGUAUUCAGAUCAUAUACAUGUAUAUCAAGUCAAUUGUAACCAAUGACAAAAGAAUAUAUCAUAUUAGGGCAAGUGCGAUAAAGUACACCCUUACCCGACCAAACCAAUCAAAUAUUGUCCAAUCACAUUGGUAACGCAUUUCAAGCAAGUAUCAAGCUCAAUCAUGCACUUGGAAUCACUCACCAAAGACUUAGUGCUUUUCAAGAUCACGCUCAGGUGCAACUCCUUGGUUGGAGUCCAAAUCUGCGAUAAAAUAUUAUUUAAGAGUUUGAAAUCAACUAGGGUUCGAAACAUAGAAGUUUCGCUUAAAGAAAAUUAAGUAAAAGAAACUCAUUUAAGUAGUGUUCAUGUUACUUAUCAAAUUCUAGAAAAUUCAUGCUCGCUCUUUUAGUUUUGAUAAAGAAGCGAUUAACUUUUGAAUUCGCACUUGGUAUGAAAAAUUGAAAAAAUCGUAGUUAUAAGGAUCGUUAUUUUCACCUUUUAAAGGGUACAAGUUUCAGUAAAAUUUCAAUUUAUAUACCUCUACCAACGGAAACAUGAAUACCAUAGACAAUCCAAGUUCACUUCGACCUCAAAUCGUCGCUAAAGUUUCAAGUUCACUCGCAUAUCCUUUGAGUGAAAUUUUGGGCAACAUUUUCCCUAUUUUCUUACUUUUCCCAUUCAAGUACAACUUGAAUUUACAAGCCAACAAACCUCCAAUCCAACCAUAAGUGAUAACCAACAACAUACAUCUAUUCAAGGCCUCAAGGCCUCAAAAUCAACCAAACAAACCAAAUAAUAAACUUAUCACCAUGGAUAUCAAAACUGGAAACCAGUUUAAAGAAGAAAUUAUAAGUGGCAGAUUUGUCAUCCUUCAGUGUUUUGGUCAUAACUGUAGUUAGGUAUAUCGGAUCUAGGUGAAUUUGAUGGCGUUUCAAAGUUAAGACAUAAUCCUACAACUUUAAUGAAGGCAUCAAACUCCAGUUCAAACAUUAUCAGGGUCAAAAUUGACAAAAACAGAGACAUAAAAAUUCUAUCGGAGCCAAAACAGGAUAACUAAACAGUUUUGGUAAAAUGGCUAUAACUUGGUAUAGAAAAAUCAAAAUUGAGCUCCAUCAGCGGCGUUUAAAACUAAAUUCAUAGAGGUUUCCAACGGUAUAAAAAUCAGAUUCUAGUUCAUCUUCUACAACUAUCGGUAAGCUCAGGAAAUUGACUAAAAUUCACCACCAAAUGUUGGAAAUCCAACUUUCAACUCUAAAAAGUAACAAUCAUGCCACUAAUCACUUCACCAAUUCCAUAUCCAAGCUCAAUAACAUCAUUUACCAGGUAAACAACAAUAAUCAAAACUGAAAAAUGCAAACUCUAGCUGAAAAUUUCACUAUACCACCAAAAACUAGAAAAUCAACCAUAGCAAGCCAAGAUUAAAAACUUCUCUACCAAACUUAGCAAGAUUAAGUAAGAGAAAAGGAAGUUUUAGCCUUAUACCUUCCAAAAGCCUUCUUGAAAGUGAAGAACCAACCACUAUCUCCCAAGAUUUCCACCACUCCUAACUUCCUAAGCACCAAGAUAAAACUUUAAUAGGUUUAGUUUUGUUGAUUUCACUCAAACAAGGCUUGAUUCAAGGUUGGAAAUGGAAAACUUUCUUCACUCUUUUUUUCUCUCUUGCUCUCGGCCACCAAGAAGAAAUAAUGAGGAAAUUGAGCCAAAAUGAAAGAUAAGAAGGUAGGAAAUUAACUUGGUCAAACUCUCUUGGAUGGUCGCCACUUGUCGCAACAAGAAAGUUUCUUAUUUUUUUUCUUUUCUCCCUUUUCUUUUGGUCAAGGAUUUCGGCUACUUUAAGGGUUAAUUAGGAGCUGAUUAGCUCAAAUAAAAAAAAGAGGAUUAAGACAAGAAAGUAGUGGUUAAGUGGUGUACUCGAUCGGUAGCAAACGGUACAUGUCGGUUCAAACCGAUUUUCCUUAAUUCUCGCGUACUUGUGUUUUAACUUAUGAUUCACUAACUUAUUAAUAGCACUUCUAAUCACACACUUCCUCUUAUCUAAUACUCACUCUUAUCCACCAAAUUUAGUACACACACCUCACCAAUUAAUCACACUACAAAAAUACGCCCUAACUAUAAAAGUAAAGGUAAAACUCUUGAUUCUAUUAUUUAUUACAACUAUAGAGGGAGUAAUUUAGUAGUAAAGAAAUUAUAAAUUAACUUAUUUAAAAUAAAAGGAAAUUUUAAAGAAAAUAUGAAGAAUUCUGCAAGUCCUCACACUCUCUCCCCCUUAAAAGAAUUUCGACCUCGAAAUUUAUACCUUUAUUCGUAAAUAGCUCAGGGUACUUCUCUUGCAUGUCCUUCUCCAACUCCCAGGUUGCUUCCUCCACCUCAUGAUAUUUCCAUAGAACGUUAAUCAGGGGAAUCUGCUUAUUUCUCAAGUCUUUCACCUUUUGAUCUAGUACUCGAAUAGGUCGUUCCUCGAAGGUUAAAGACUCGUCAAGUUCAAUAUCCUCUGGCGGUAAGAUCAUCCGAGUGAUAUUUCUUAAACAACGAAACAUAGAACAUCAUGGAUUCGCGAUAGACUGACGGGUAACUCCAGUCGAUAAGCCAUCUUUCCUACCCGUUGAAGUAUACUAAAAGGUCCUAUGUAUUUUGGUUGCAACUUUUUCCCCUUUCCUACCUUGAUCUUUCCUUUCAGUAGAGUAACCCUAAGAAAUACCUUAUCCCCUAUUUCAAACUCCAAAUCCUUACUCCGAUAAUCAGCAUAGGUCUUUUGUCGACUUUGGGCCAUUUGAAGCCUCUGACGUAUCCUUUUUACUCUUUCAUAGGCUUCCUCGACCCAUGGUAUUGUUGUCGGAUCUAUAAUCUUCCUCUCUCCUACUUCAUCCCAAUAAAUCGGUGAUCGACAUCUUCGUCCAUAAAGUGCUUCAUAUGGGGCCAUUUGAAUAGAAGAGUGAUAACUAUUGUUAUACGCGAACUCAACCAGUGUCAGAUAUUGGCUCUAACUCCCUCCAAAAUCUACAAUACAGACUCUUAACAUAUUCUCAAGAGUUUGAAUGAUUCUCUCAGACUGUCUAUCGAUUUGAGGAUGAUAAGCCGUACUAUAGUUCAACUUAGUUCCUAGAGUCUCUCGUAACUUCUGCCAAAAGUGAGAUACAAAUCUAGGGUCUCUGUCUGAUACUACAACUUCGUCCAUAUAGAGUUUAGCAAGUUUUUCCGAAGAAUAUUUCAUAUUCACUGGUAGGAAAUGUGCGGUUUUAGUUAAUCGGUCUACUAUCACUCAAAUCGCAUCAUGACCUCUUUGAGUUCGUGACAACGCUGAUACAAAAUCCAUCGUUAUGUGCUCCCAUUUCCAUUCAAGUAUCUCUAAAGACUGUAACAGACCUGACGAUUUUUUAUACUCAAUUUUUACUUGUUGACAUGUAAGACACUUUUGCACAAAUUGGGCAAUCUCCGCCUUCAUAUUAACCCACCAAUACAGACUUUUAAGAUCUUGGUACAUCUUACCGCUACCUGGAUGCACCGUGUACCUAGAGUGGUGAGAUUCUUCCAAAAUCUCGUUCUUCAGUUCUUCAUCCUUGGGUGCAACGACGCGAUUUCGAAAUCUUAGAAUCCCAUCCGGAUCUAGGUUAAAAUCAGGUAAUUCUCUUUUCUUCACUUUUUCCACCCACUUUUGUACCGUUAGCUCUUUCUUUUGACCCUCUUUAAUUCGAUCCAACAAUGUCAUAUUCAUCUCAAUAUUUCUAAAGAUAACUUUCUGCGGCUCAAGACGAGGGUUCCAUUCACAUAUAUUUUCUAACAGGUUCCACUCUUCCACCAUUAAACGUGCUAGUUGAGUCUUCCGAUUUAAAGCAUCUGCUACAACAUUGGUCUUUUUUGGAUGGUAAUUAAUGAUACACUCAUAAUCUUCUAAAAACUCCACCCAUUGACGUUGUCUCAGAUUUAAUUCCUUCUGGAAAAAUAAGUACUUAAAACUCUUAUGGUCUGUAUAUACCUCAAAUGUCAUCCCAUACAAAUAAUGCCGCCAUUUUUUCAAAGCAAACACCAUAGCUGUGAGUUCUAAAUCAUGGGUUGGAUAGCUCUGCUCAUGAAAUUUUAACUUCCGAGAAACAUAGGCAAUUACAUUUCUAUUUUGCAUUAAAACACACCAUAAUCAUUCUCUCAAAGCAUCGAUAUAAACUGUAUAGCUAUCCUUUCCAUUUGACAAAGCCAACACUGGUGCCAUAGUCAAUUGAUUCUUAAGCUCUUGGAAACUAGUCUCACACUUAAUAUUCCAAAUAUAUUUUCAUUGUUUCUUUGUCAAAUUCGUUAGGCGUCCCACAAUUCUUGAGAAAUUCUUUAUAAAUCGCCGGUAGUACUCCACUAGACCCAAAAAUUUUUGAACUUCAAUAGGAUUCUUCGGCCAUUUCCAUUUGGCAACAGCUUCCACUUUAGCUGGAUCUACAGUAAAUCCAUCUUUUGAGAUUAUAUGGUCUAGAAAUGUCACUUUCUCUAACCAAAAUUCACAUUUGCUAAACUUAGCAAAUAACUAGUGCUCUCUCAGGAUUUGCAAUACUAUUCUCAAGUGUUGCUCAUGUUCCUUCUUUGUCUUAGAGUACACCAGGAUAUCAUCAAUAAAUACCACCACGAACCUAUCCAAAUAAGGUUUAAACACCCGAUGCAUUAAAUCUAUAAAUGUAGCUGGGACAUUGGUUAAGUCAAAAGGCAUCACUGCAAAUUCGAAAUGUCCAUAUCGAGUGUUAAAGGCAGUUUUUAGCACAUCUUCCUUUCUAAUUCUCAAUUGAUAAUAUCUUAAUUCUAUAUGCAUUUUUAUGCAUAUAGACCAAAGUGGUGUGAAUCAUUUCUAUUACAAAAUGACUUAUUUUCUCCUUGGAGGGCUGAUUUGUUAUUAUUUGCAACAAUUGAAACUCUUCACACAAGCUCGGCAUUCCUAGUAGGAUAUUGUCCAUCUUUCAAGCAAGCUACACUGUUUACUUUUGGUUGCCUUAAGCACUUUCUGUACACUUCUCCCUUUUUUGUUUAUUAAUCACUUUGACGCCUUACUAAAAGUUUGCACUUUACAAAUCAUCUAGAAAAUUGUAAUGAUAUUUAUUGCUACUAAUAUGAAUGAUAAAGCACUCAUAUCAUCGUAAUACUUGAAUAACUGAUAGUUCAAUUUAUUGAUUGUUACAUGGGGCUGAAGACUUUUGUUGUCUGCCUAAUUGACACUAUAUGUAGCUUUAGUUUUACGUUCUCUUUUUGGGCAAUAAGCCAAUUGAAAAUAGCUUUAUAGGAGUUUUCUACCCUUGCUUUGGUCUUUACUAAGUUAAUCUCUUUUAAUAAUUGAGUUUUGUGGUAGAUAAACCUAAGCUAGUUUCUUUUUCUGCCCAAAGUGCAUGAUCAAUACAUUUGAUUUUAUACUCUCUUUUGGUUAGUCAACUAGCUAAGGGAACUUCAUGUCUACUGCACUUUGCUUUGCAUAUACCUGUCUAAAUUUUGGAUGACUUUCUGGUCCUAUUUUGGGUCUCUAGUUCUACAUGCAAUUGACUAUUAUCUUGGAUAAUAUCCAGAUCAUGCCUUAACAGAAAUGACUAUCCCAUGCUUCAACCCAUACAUUGCAUGAUUCUUUUACAGAAAAUCAGUGUGGAAUUUUAAAAUUUAGAUCUUGGAUUGGAACUUAUAGUGCGCUCCUUGUAAGUUAUGCAGCUCCAAGUUGGAAAUUUUGGCAUCAUGGUUCUUGAUAAUGCACUGAUGUUUGAUAGUUACAUCCUGCAGACUGCAUGUGAUUCUCUUUUCUUUCAUAUUUUUCUGUUCUCUCACAAAUAGUUGAAAGUGAAAGAAUCUUAAUUAUGUAGUUCAUGUUUUUGUGUUCUAAUUUGAUCAUCUGAUCUUUCUGUUAUAAUUCAACAUGGAUGUACUAUUUUUUGAAAUAAGAGAAACAACGGUGAGAAACUUGGUCUAGUCCAUGGUACAUCUCAUUGAUUUUGACAUACGAGGCUUGAUAAUCAAUUUUGGUGCAACAAAGGCUAUUAGUCAAAUUAAGACUUCUGGAAUAAUAUCUAAACUCCUUGCCGUUAUUUGCUCUUGCUAUGCUAAUGAUGAAAUAUCAGAAGGAACUUUUUGGGUUGACUUUGAUUUUCUUGCAUUAGUUACUGCUAAUUAGGAAGGUCAGGUUUUAUUUACUUCUGAAACUGUAAUGGAUGCUAAGAUCUCUGAAAAAUUCAUGUUGCAGGUGUAUUUUGUCGCAUGUGAGAAUACGACUAAUGGAGGAGUUAUGAGACCUGAGCACAUUGGCACAGCUUCAAGAUAAGAUAAAAUUUGCUGCUACUGAUCUGAAUAGGACAUCCGGCUACAAGGAGAAAAUUUGUUCCCACCAAGGUAAAAUACUUAGUAGCUAUACCAUUAGGCAGUUUCUGAUAUAGUAUUAUACAGCCAUGUGACAUUAAAUCAUGUUAGAUCUUCACAAAUACUAAACUAAGUGUGAUGCCUCUGCUUGUAGCAUUAGUCUAUAUGCUUCAGACUAGGAAAUCUUGUUGGUUUAAGAACUUGUUAUGGUUGACCAACGUUAGUGUAGUACAUUUCUGGAACUCUAAAAUCUGAGAUUUCAAUUUGGGGGUAGUUUUUUUCCUGCCAGUAUUUGAAAUGUGGAAUGUUUCUGUAGGUUUUCUAUUUUAGAGAAAAAAUUGAAAGGUCCACUUGUCAUUUCAUUUUUCUGGUUGGAAUAUCAAGCUCUUGGUGUCCACUAAUUAAAUUAUGUAAGUAAGAUUUUUUUAAAAAAAAAUUUGAUCUUCCAAUGUAAACAUGUUUGACUUCAAUAUAGCUUUUUCUAGAUGAACUAAUGUCAUUUCAAAGUGGCCAUGGGGCUGAAUCGCUCUAUAGGAUUAAGAAUUAAUGAAAACUGUCUUCACUUAUGAGACGUCAUUUAUCUUUGUUUAGACAACAUGAUAAAAUCUACUUGAUAAUUUUGUUUUAUUCUUUAUCUUUUGGCCGCUAUACCUACUGUAUUUGUCUUGGCAGUUGCAGAAUUUGUUGUCUGUCUUGAUUUCUUUUAUAAGUUGUUUUAUAUUUAAAAAACAGUACUCUCAAAAAUAGAAGAAAUGAUUUUGUGAUUUCUAUGGCUAAGAAACACUUAAAGUAAAGAAAUAGACUCGUUUCUUUUCAUUUCUAUUUUGUUUCUAUUCCUUGUAAUUUUUUUUUUCUCUCCUCCUGUUGAAUCAAGUUUUAGUUUCUCUGUGUUUAAUCUUGUGAAUUCAUUGUUUGAACUUUCUUAUUCACAGUUAUUGUUGGCAAAGUGGCAAAUAACAACGUUAGCAAUUAUAAUUUAGAUUGCUUGAGUCGUGCUAAAUAGCACUGUCCUAAGAAACUAUUUCAGGGUAUUGAAAUGUUUUCCCAGGAUUAAACAAGCCUUCCUCUUGUCGUCUGACAAGAAGGAUUAGAACCAGCAAAUCCUUUUAAAACCAGCAAUAGAAGAAGAAAAGAAAAAGAAUAAAGAGAUGAGAUGGGGUGGAGAAAUAUUAGAAGUCUAGUGUUCCGUGGUCACGAUGGCCUUGGUAGUGCUUGGUAUUUAUAGGCUUGAGGAGUGUACGUCAGAUGCAGGGAAACUUUAUCCAUUAAGUGGUUGAGAAAAUCUUGGGCUAACGGUUGAAGUCAGCAACCAGCUAAGGAAACGUGCUUGGGUUUAGAGAUAAGAUAUGAUUUUCCACUAACAAAGGAAUCUGCUGGAGUCUUGCAAAAAAAUUAGGAAACGUGGAAAAAAUUGAUAGUUACAGAGAAGACUCUCAAUCAAGUCUUCUGACGUUGCUAACAGCUAAUAGGAUAUCUAUUGACUUUAUCCCUUGAAGCUUGCAACGGAAAUAAGAAAACUCAUGAAACCAAUCAGGAGAUAACUUUUGAAAGAGUCAAACUUCUAACCAACCAAUAAUUCGUUUGAUGAAAAUCUGAUUCACUUCACUAUGCACAUAGAGCAAAGAAAACAUGGAAAAAAUCUUUUGAAAUAUUAUUUACAACAAUCUCCCACCUAUUUCAAAAGAUUUUUGGAUAAGAAAUAAGAAAAGAAUCUGCUGGAUUUGUUUUGGGUUUAAUGCAAUUAGUUUGGUGUCUUUUAGACUAUGAACCAAACUUAGAUUAAUAAGACAUGAUUUACAGAUUUGUUGGUGAAAUGUGAAUUUCUAUGAACCAACAAUUCUUGCUAUAUAACAGCGGUCUUAUCAAUCACAUUGUACCCCAUAAUUUGCUGUUCAUUGCGGUUUUGUGCCUUUAGGCCAUGCGUCUGCCUGGGUUUUCAUGAGAGCUCUAAAGAUUUGGCCAAAAAUCUUAUAGGAGCGGUCCUACUCCACUCUCAUAUAGGUGAAUUUAUCAAGUGUAUACUGCUAUAGAUACACCUCCCUAAAGGGAUAUAAAUUCAUGAAGAGUUUUAAACUCAACCUCACAACUACUAGGAGUCAAAGCACUUAUCUCAGUAGGGAAUAUAAUUUUUAGUGCUUCACAGUCAAUAUUGACUUGUUAUUACCCAUAUGUACCUACUUCAUGGGAUCACCAAUCACAUAGGUUGGGUUACCAUCUCUAUUGACAAUCGUUGGCUUAAGUCCCAUUUCUUUUGUAGUUUGAAGAAUCAAUUUUCUUCCUACAGGUUUAGUCAGAGAAUCGGCCAAAUUCAACUCUGACUUCACAUAAUCAAUGGAAAUAAUUCCAUCUCUAAGCAGUUGCUUUACGACAUCAUGUCUCAAUCUCAUGUGUCGACUUUUACAAUUAUACGAUUUAUUUUUAGCAAUAGCAAUAGCCGUUUGACAAUCACAGUGUAUAGGCACAGGAGGCGACAUAUCUUUAAUUGGUGGAAUAUUGGUUAAGAAAUUUCUUAACCAAUCUGCCUCAGAACCAAUCAACUCCAGAGCUAUGAACUCCGAUUCCAUAGUUGACCGAGCAAUAAUUGUCUGUCUAGCUGACUUCCAUGCUACUGCACCACCACCAAGGGUGAACACAUAUCCACUAGUGGAAUCAAAGAUCCAAUUAGCAUCACUGUAACCCUCUAAUACAGUGGGAAAUCCACUAUACAGGAUACCAGAAUUCAUGGUACCUCUCAAAUAUUUCAUUAGUCUGACUAAUGCAAACCAAUGCUCACGAUUGGGAUUGUGAGUAUAUCUACUCAGUCUACAUACAGCAUAAGCUAUAUCCGGUCUAGUGAAAUUCAUCAGAUGCAUCAGACUCCCAAUAAUUUGAGCAUAUUUAGACUGAGCAAUUGGGUCACCAUUAUUUUUCUUUAAUUGAGUGUUAGCGUCAUAAGGAGUACUCACAGGUGUCACAUCAUAAUUUUUAAACUUCCUAAGAAGUCUCUCUGUAUAAUGUUCUUGUGACAACAUUAUACCAUCACCUCUCCUUAUGAUUUUAACACCCAAUAUCAUUUUGGCUUCACCCAAAUCUUUCAUAUCAAAAUUAGAAGACAAAAAAUAUUUAGUACUAUUUACAAUACUUAGACCGGUACCAAAUAUAAGCAUGUCAUCUAUGUACAAACUAAUUAUCACAUAUUGAUCAUUCAUAACUUUGACAUAUACACAUUUAUCCACUUCUACAGAUGAGAAUCCAUCUUUCAUCAAUACUUGAUCAAAUUUCUCAUGCCACUGUUUAGGAGCUUGUUUUAGGCCAUAAAGAGAUUUAAUUAGUUUACAAACCUUAUUUUCUUAUCCAGAUACAAUACAUCCCUCAGGUUGAAACAUAUAAAUUUCUUCUUCUAAAUCACCAUUUAAAAAGGCUGUUUUGACAUCCAUUUGAUGAAUAAUAAAUUUAUGGAUAGAAGCUAAAGCAAAUAAAACUCGAAUAGACGCAAUUCUUGUUACUGGUGCAAAUGUAUCAAAAUAGUCAAUAUUUUAUUUUUGAGAAAAUCCUUUUGCUACUAAACGAGCUUUGUACUUUUCUAUAGAGCCAUCAGAGUUAUAUUUUCUUUUAAAAAUCCAUUUGCAACCAAUUGGUUUUGCACCAGGAGGUAAGUCCACCAAACUCCAAGUUUUAUUUGACAAGAUAGAAUCAAUUUCAGAUUUAAUUGCUUCUUUCCAAAAUUUACAAUCAGGGGAAGAAAUAGCAUCGGAGUAUGUCAAAGGAUCAUUAUCAUCAAGAAAAGUUUGAAAAUCAUUUCCAUAAGAAAAUUCUUUUCUUGGCCUUUUACUCCUUCUUAAUUCCUCAUUCGGAAUUAUUUCUCUAUUUAUUUCAACAGGUGCAUGAGAAAUUUUACUAGACAAUGGAAAAAUAUGUUCAAAGAAUUCAGCAUUCUUUGUCUCAAUAAUUGUAUUACAAUCAAGCACAUCACUUUUUAAAACAAGAAAUAUAUAUGCAGCACUAUGUUUAGCAUAUCUAAUAAACAUACAAUCAGAAGUUUUAGAACCUAAUUUUCUUUUCUUAGGUUCAGGCAACAAUACUUUAGCAAGACAUCCCUAUACUUUUAAAUAUUUCAAAUUUGGUUUAUAACUUUUCCAUAACUCAUAAGGAGUUUUGCCAGUUUUCUUAUGAGGUAUCCUAUUUUGUAAGUGACAUGCAGAUAAAAUAGCUUCUCCCCAUAAAUUAUCAGGAGCAUGAGAGCUAACUAAUAUAGAAUUCAUCAUUUCUUUUAAUGUUCUAUUUUUCCUUUCAGCUACCCUAUUAGAUUCUGGUGAGUAUGGUGGUGUUAUUUCAUGUAUAAUGCCUUCACGUUCACAGAAAUUAUCUAAGGCUAAAUAUUCACCUCCUCUAUCCGAUCUAAUUCUUUUUAUCCUUUUAUUAAGUUGAUUUUCUACUUCAGUCUUGUAAGAUAAAAAGGCAUUAUGAGUAUCAUCUUUAUUUCUAAGUAGAUAAAGCUUAGUGUAUCUAGAGUAAUCAUCUAUAAAGGUAACAUAAUAUUUUUUCCCACAUCUAGUCAUAGUUUGUUUUAAGUCACCUAAAUCUGUAUGAAUUAAACUUAACAGUUCAAUUUCUCUUUGGACAGAUACACAACUUCUCUUUUUUAAUUUUGUUUCUGCACAUAUCUCACAUUUAUCCAUUUUAUCAUUAACACCAGAAAUCAGGCCACAAGAUUGCAGUUUAUUUAUAUAACUCAUAUUAACAUGUCCUAAUCUUGCAUGCCAUAAAGAAAUUGAAUCAAUAAUAUAAGCAGAAGAAGAAGCAUUCUCAUUAAUCACAUUGGAAAUGUUAAAUACAAAGAGUCCCUGAUUACAAUAGCCCUUCCCCACAAAUACAUUAUUUUUUGUCAUUAUAAUCUUUCUAGAUUCAAAUGACACUUUCACUCCGACUUUUCCUAGCAAUGCUACGGAAACCAGAUUUGCUCGAAUGUUGGGCACAUGCAGUACAUCAUUGAGAGCCAAAGUUUUUCCUGAAGUGAGUUUCAAGAAUACUUUGCCCUUACCCAGAACAUUAGCAGUUCGUGAGUCACCAAGGUAGACUACUUCCUCAUUAUCCCCUAUAGGAGUAUAGGAGGAAAAUGCUUCUCGAUUUGCACAUAUGUGCCGAGUAGCCCCAGAGUCUACCACCCACUCUUUGACAUUGGCUGCAAUGUUCACUUGAGAGAUAACAGCAGCAAUUAUAUCAUUUCCUUCGGUUAAGUGCACCUUAGGAGGAUUACCAUUUGCUUUGUCACCUUUAUUAAGUCUGCAUUGGACUGCAUAAUGUCCUAGUUUUCCACAAUAAAAGCAAUUGCCUUUCUUCUUCUUAAAGUUGGGAUUGUUAGGCUUGAAAUUAAAUUUUUUGGGCUGUAAUUCUGGGAUUUAUUGGCGUACCUUUUAUUAUUGCUUUGCACCAGAUUGGCUUUGUAAGCCAUCUCCUUUGCCUUGGUAGCUCUCAACUCCCUUUUGCUUGAAUCCUCAAUGAGGAUGUGCUUCACGAGCUCAUCCAUGGUAUAAUUUUUCUCCUUGUGUUUCAAGUUGUUUUUAUAGUCGGCCCAUGAUUCCGGUAGCUUUUCAAUCAGCAUGCCUGCAGCGAAUUUCUCAGGUAGAUUGAUGUCUUCAUUUUUCAAGUCCUCUAGCAGCAUUUGAUACUUGGUGAUUUGAAUUUUCAUCUUCUUGUCAUCAGUCAUUUGCCAUUGGUUGUAUUUUCCUGCGACGAAUUUUUGUUUGGUUGCAUCUUCGGCAGUAAACUUUGUUACCAAGGCUUCCCAAAUUGCCUUGGCUUCUUUGCUGCUACAGUAGACAUCAAAUAAUUCAUUAGAGAGUGUUUGAAAGAUAGUGUGUCGGCAUACCUUAUUGGCGUAUUGCUAUGAUUCUUGAGUCUUGGCAUCCGCAGUUGCAGAAGGUUGAGAUUCAGUGAGCGCAUAAGCUACUCCAUGGAUGUCAAGUAGAGAGUGCACACGUUCUUGCCAUCUUUUAAAAUUUUCAUUGGCGAAAAUUUCGAUUUUGGAUACAUCUGGAAAGGGCUUGGCAAAUGGUAGUGCCACUGCAAUAGUUGCUGAUGAAGGCUGUGGGGCGCUAACAUUGUCAGAUGCCAUAGUUUCUUAGAUUGUUGGCAAAGUGGCAAAUAACAACGUUAGCAAUUAUAAUUUAGAUUGCUUGAGUCGUGCUAAAUAGCACUGUUCUAAGAAACUAUUUCAGGGUAUUGAAAUGUUUCUCCAGGAUUAAACAAGCCUUCCUCUUGUCGUCUGACAAGAAGGAUUAGAACCAGCAAAUCCUUUUAAAACCAGCAGUAGAAGAAGAAAAGAAAAAGAAUAAAGAGAUGAGAUGGGGUGGAGAAAUAUUGGAAGUCUAGUGUUCCGUGGUCACGAUGGCCUUGGUAGUGCUUGGUAUUUAUAGGCUUGAGAAGUGUACGUCAGAUGCAGGGAAACUUUAUCCAUUAAGUGGUUGAGAAAAUCUUGGGCUAACGGUUGAAGUCAGCAACCAGCUAAGGAAAUGUGCUUAGGUUUGGAGAUAAGAUAUGAUUUUCCACUAACAAAGGAAUCUGCUGGAGUCUUGCAAAAAAAUUAGGAAACGUGGAAAAAGUUGAUAGCUACAGAGAAGACUCUCAAUCAAGUCUUCUGACGUUGCUAACAGAUAAUAGGAUAUCUAUUGGCUUUAUCCCUUGAAGCUUGCAACGGAAAUAAGAAAACUCAUGAAACCAAUCAGGAGAUAACUUUUGAAAGAGUCAAACUUCUAACCAACCAAUAAUUCGUUUGAUGAAAAUCUGAUUCACUUUACUGUGCACAUAGAGCAAAGAAAACGUGGAAAAAAUAUGUUGAAAUAUUAUUUACAACAGUUAUGUCCAAUUGAUCAUACAAUGUUUCAAAGUAUGGGCUUAUAUCUUGUGAGUUGUGUUGUUUCUUUUUUUAUCUCAUUGAAGUUUACUUAAAAAUAGGCAGGAUUCUCAUUUAAUCCAUGUUCAAGCGUGCAGACACCAAAUUUUUAGUAUAGUUUUAUUUACUAUUUUUGUUUUCAUGUUAGUUUUUAUUUACUUUUAGUCUCUUAUUUUUUAUUUUAUUUUUAGUCAUUUUAGCAUAGAAUUUAUCGAAAAAAGAAAAUCAUUCACAAAAAUAUGUUUUAUUUCUUUUAGAUUCAAGUUUACGGUUUAUUAAUUGAAAAAAAAGGAAAAACAAAACAAAACAAAAUUUUUUUAAAAAAAAAAUUUAGCAUUUCAUUUUUAUCUUUUUAUGCCUAGUUUUGCUCAUUUUAUUCAAUUUUACUUAAGUUGUUAUUUUUCUAUAUAUUUUGUUUAUUAUUAAUUAACUGGAAAGAAAAAGAGAAAAAAAAAGGAAAAAAGAAGAAAAAGAAAAAGCUGUUUCAUGCAAGAAUCCAAUCGGAUGGCCAAGUGAGAAGGGCUGAGCUGAGGUUUACUGGUGACCAUUGAACUGAGGGUUUAGGGUCUUCCACUUGAUAUAAAAAGGCUGGGAAAAGAAACGCAGCCAGGGGGAUAGAAAAAAGGGUGACGGCAGGAAAAGAAAAAGGAGAACUAGAGAGAGAGCUGGGGGGGGUAGCGGCUGAAGGCCGAAGAGAGGCAACGGGGGAGUGAAUCGAGAGUGAGAGGAAGGACUGACGGCUAGAGAGAAACUAAGCAAAAGAAAGGAACUGAGGCUGGAGGAGGAUAGAACAACGGCGGAUGAAAAGAAUCUGGGGAACGACUGGAAAGAAAAAUAGAAAAAACGGAGAGGAAGAAAAGCUUCAAGUUGCGGAGGAAGAGCUUCAAGCAAGAAAAGGCUGAACGGAGGAAUCUCACUGUCAUCUGCGACUGUUCUCCGAAAAAUCACUGCUAGACCCUAUCAGAAAGUAGCUCUGUAAGAUUUCUUCUAGCCUUUUCCUACGGAUAACUUUGGUUAAUAAAUUAUGAGACCAUGAGAACUAUGGGUUUGUUUGAUGUCUGAUGAAUAUGUGUUAUCGCUUGGUUUGAGCCUGUGAAUAUGUUAAGAGUUGUAAUGGUUGUUCUUCACGUUGGUCCAUGGUCUACUACCCAAAGAUGUUGCCUUUAUACAUUAGAUCUUCUCGGUUUUAGCAGUGAUUCAUAAGGGUCGUAUGGAGUCUAAUGAAUGUCAAGUUCUUGUUUACAGUUUUUGUUUACCUGCUGCAAUUUUGUCCAUUCGGUUUGGCUGCCAAAGUUUCCGUUUCCUAGUUAUGCAUGUUCUGUAUCCAGAAUCCUUUGAGUGUGUGUCAAUCGUGAUAAAGUAGUGUUUUUCAUGCUUUGAAGUCGGAGAAAACGUAGCUAACGAGUCAUUUUGCUGCUGAAACUCAUGGUUUUGUUUUGAAUCCUAUGAUUUAUAUGAGGUCGGUCUGUGAUUUAGCUGGUCUGCCAUUCGAGUGAAAUAAGGUGUAGGGAUUUCCUUUGCAAAAAGAGGAUUUUCUUCAAAAACCAGAUCUUUUGAAGGAAUUCGAGCAUCUCAGUUCCUUUGUUCUUUAUCUUACAUUCAGUCAUGCUCUAGUUCUAACUCUCCCUCUUGAGUGUUUUGAGUUUCGUUGAUUGGGGAACUCCUGGACAAAAGCCAUUAGUUUACUUUCAUUCGUAAAACCAGAGGGAGGUGAGCGAAAUUGUUGCAAAUGUUCCUUUUACUUUGCUGCAUUUUAUGCUCGGAUGAUUUAAUUAGAUCUUUUGGGGUAUAGAUGAUUGUGGUUGAGUGAGGUUAAUAACAUGAGUUGAAGGUCUUGCAUUCAUUUUCGGUUUGUUGCAUUGAUAGACCUUACUUGGGCCCUUUCACACGAACAAACUUGGAGUGAAUAAUAAAACAUUUCUGCAGUUUCAAAUCCAUAAGAAGCUAACUGAAUCCAGAUUUCAGAAGUUCUGUGGCUGAGUUUUUUUUUUGGGUAGAAUGUUUAGCUCACGUUUUCACCAUUUCAAGAUGGGUUGUGUAUUGUGUCUUGAAUCAAAAGUUGAUGUUUUUUCCGGGACAUGUUCAAUUAGUUGUCAAAUGCUGCAUGUUGCAGAAUGAAGAAAAACAGAAAAUGCAGAAAUCUUCUUCGCAUGCAUGCAUUCAAAUCUUCAUAAAAAUUGCACUUGGCUCCCCUUAGUUUCUGUCCAUGCUACAAAAGCCCCAUUAUAUUCUAGUUUCUUGCAAUUAGGUUCUAGAGUAAUUACAUUUUGAACCAUUACUUGACCUUCUUAUUACUCUUGGAUCUUUGAAGUUCUCAAAAUGUUUUGAUUGGACUUGAGUGAUUGGUUAUGUUUUCAAUUGGGUCCUUAUUGGUUUCAACUUGAUGAAUAUGAGUUGUUUAGUUUAUUUGAAUGGUUUGAGUGAUUCAAUUUCAUGUUUAUUUCCAUUUCGUGUGAUUAUUUUGUUAAUCAAAGUGAUGCAUUGACAUUUUCUUUGUUUUUGGAGGGUAAAUAAGUAAAUUCAUUUCAUUAGGACACCAACUCAAGGGAGGUACACUCUAUCCCUUAUUUUUACUUUAUUUGACCCUACGUGUACUUAUGUGAUUUAUGUGUUUAAUUGCAUGCCUUUUGAAUGUUUUCAUUUUAUUUAUUUAUUUAUUCGCUUUAGUCGUCUUAAUUUCGUAUAUUUAUUUUAGUUCAUUUUGAUUAUUUAAAAGGCAUUUAAAGGCCAAGUUGUAAUAGUUAGGUUUAUUUUAUUUAUUUUCAUUUCCCCCGUUAGAUUGUAGUAGGGCCCCCUCAAAUGUAAUAGCUAGGGUUUUAUUUGCUUGUGUGAUUUGCAUGCCUAUGUGCUAUGUGUUACCACUUUCUUAGGGUCUUGCAUCUAGAUAAGCAUGCUUAUGUGCUACGUGCUAGGUGAAACUAUGUGUUUUGCAUGUCUAUUUGCUUUUAGUAUUAUAUCCGAUUAAGUAAAUGGAAUGCAUGUUACCGUGGCUAGUCCAAUGCUAGUCAUGGCCUUUCCCUCGAGCUCUUACAAGUCCAAUGCUUGUGAGAGAACGUUAGUUAAGGGCUAGUCCAACGCUAGACCCUUAGGAACCAUCCGCACGUUAGAUCAUGAUUGUGUGAUAAAAUUACUUCGUCUCAUGCAUAUCUUUACUUUCUAGGGCCUUUUUUACCAUGUUGCAUGACACUUUCCUUAUAUAUGCAUAUCCCUCCCUCCAUAUUUUCCCUUAUAUGUAUAUUACUUGCCCCCUUUGUAUGAAACAUGACAUUAGACUUGCAUUUCAUCUAAGCAUUAGAAUUAGGUUAGAUCAUUUGCUUGAUUAGGGAAUAACCCCUCGAAUAUGGGAUAUGGAUGAGUUUGGCUUUCUAUCCUUAGCACGCUCGUAUUCCCUCUAUUAAAGGGAAAAUUGAGUCACGAACAUUAGCCCCCCGUACCCGACAUGAUGCACUCCUUUAAGACAUGUAUAUUUGUAUAAUUAUUUUAUUUUCUUUUCUUUUCUUAGAAUCUCAUAUUUUUGCAUUAUUCGUGACUUUUUCGAAGAGUCUUCAUUGGGCGUCACAAUUAAUGUGAUUGGUACCAAAUAAGCUUUGAAGAUACAUUUCGACCCUCCGACACCCUCCUAGGUCUAGGGUUUGCAUUCAUAUAGUACUUCCAAAUGUGAUAAAUAUUUAGGUUAAAAAUAAGAAAAUCUUUGACUAAAUCACGCAACUAGCUUUGGUUAGGUCGAAAGGGUGCCUCGGAUUUUUAUCAUUGCCUUCCCUUUCUUCAAAUGUGACUCCCGAACCUUUUUCUUUGAUUUACGUAGACUAGGAGUCGUUUAAAAGGGGUUUUUCUAUGUUUUCCUUUGAAAAAUUCAUUUUAGGUGACUUGGUACACCUUAACUCUAUACCAAAUGACGACUCCGAUUUUUAUUUCAAAAACCCUUUUUAAACUAUAAUUUGGGCCCAAAUCGUCGCAUUACAAGUCCCAUUUAGGCCCAUUUUCUUUUUUAAAUCAAAAAUUCAUUUCUCAAAUCAAAAAUUCACUUUUUAAACCAUUUAUUUAUUUUAUUAAAAAUGGGGCGCGACAAAGCGUUAAAAAUGGUUUGUACUUCUAGCUUUGGAGGAUAUAGUUUAAUGCAUAAAGCGGUGCGUAGAGGUUUUUUUAAAGUUGGAAGUUAAACAUGUUAUCCUUGAUGACUAACGUGUCACUUUCCAUAUUUAGUACAACAAAAAGCUGCUUUGAGCUUCUUGAGGAACAAAAUGAAUUGAUGAUAGCUCCUUUCUUUUCGAAUCUUUUGGAUCAAAAGUAUUACAAGAAUUAUGAACCAUCAUUUUGGUACGGGGGGCCUUUUAAGGACUUGUAAGUCAUUGUGAUGUCGUAUGGCUUUGUAAUUAACCAUGUGCUUCCUUUCCAAUGUACAACAUGAAAACCGAGAAAUAUAAAGUUUUACAGAAUGCUAUAGAAUUAUAAUAAUCAUAAUUUCUUUUUCAUAUUUUUCAAUUGAUUUUACAUUUUUUAGUUGGUUUCCUGUUUGGCAAAAAAAGAAUGUAAAGAAGUUGGAAUGAACUUGAAGUGAACCAUUUGCACCUCAUUCCCUCAAGCUUAGUUGCCAAUCUGUCAUAAUAGUGGCAGGUUAAUCAUAUUACAAUGUUUUUCCAUUUAUUGCAUGAUUCGAGUGCUGUUCUGUCAUUGUCCUCUGGAUUUAAGAUUUGAAUCAUUUCAGUAUCUCAAUUGGGGUGGAUAUGCAGUAAAAGUUUAUUUGUUUUCUUUCAAUUGUAAUCAUGUUCUUCAAUAUGUGCUCUUUAAAUUUCAAAUUUAAGUUAGUAAAAAUACUGGUACAGCUCUUAUUCCACUAUACCAUGGUUUGUACCUGCUAAUGCUGUCCAUGUUGUGUAAUUCCUAAUCAUUUCCAAUUGUUACCAGUUUUAUUUUAAAAUUUUGCAUUAAAACUUUCUUCGACCACUUUUAAGGUUACACAACCACGUAUAUUGUUUUUCAUUUAACAUUCACAAUCAUUAAUAACAAUUUAGAAAUUAAUGGGGCGGUGGGCAACUUGUAAGUGCACAGGGUUCUACUCCUAGUCCCAGUUAGUGUUGCUAAGGUUGCCUACUUCUUUUUGUUGUCUUAUUCAGGAAAUUUGUUUUAUCUGCUCAAACUUUAGCGGAAUAGUUAAUAGGGAUAAUAUCAGAAAUUUCCCCUCAUGUUUCUCUUAGUAUCACCUAACAACGCUAAGGUUUUAAAGAUAUCACUUACCUCCAUUGUUUUUGUUAUUUGUGCAAUAAAAUUUCGAAAAACCUAAACUACCUUUUGCUCACUAAAUAAAAAUACUCCUAAACUACUUUGUUUACUUCAAGAAAACCAUCAUCUAAAAAAUGAUUUCCAGUAGUACUACCACGUUACAAUGCUAUAGUCCAUAGAAAUAUAAAUUUGAAAACAAAAAUGAUAUUUGCAAAGAAAUCCACUAACACCAAUUUAACUUUAUAUGGUCAAAACCAAUUUCAUGUGAACCUUAUAUAUAUUUUUUCAAUUUCUUCUCAACUUGUGUCCAAGCCCUUAAAUUGUACUGAUCAUUAUAAAAACCAACUCAAAAUAAAGAAAGAAAUCAUGUUGACAUACUAAAUCAAUCCUUUUCUAAAUUGUUAUUCAGCAGUGUUUUAGUCAAGUUUUAGUAAUUUUAUUGAAGUCAAGUUAUAGUAGUUUUAGUAGUCUGGAAUUGGUAAUUUAUUAGAAAAUUUCUUAUGGUUGUAAGACUUGUUUACCAAGUCAUCUAGUCUAUAAAUGGGGAGUCUUUUAUUGUUGUUAGUUGAUAAGAGCGAAAAUUUGAGAGACUGUUAUUAUGUGUGAUUAGUUGAUUUAUUCCUCUUCUCCUAUACAUAUUUUUACUAGCGUGAAUACCCGUGCUGCGCACGGUGCUUACGUUAUUGAAAUAAAUUAAAAGAUUAUACCAUUUUAAUUUGAAAAAAGUUAAAAAAUUAUACCAACAUAAUUAAAAUUUAAGAUUUGUCUAACAAUAAUUCAAAAUAUGACAAAAUCUGUAUAUCAUUCAAGAAUUGCAUUUUACGGAAGAUGGAUCUUAAAAUAAUAAUGAAAAUUUAUAUUAGAAAAUGAAUGAUAUAUGGAUAGAAAUAAAUGUAAUUGCAUGUUUUAUUUGAUUUCAAAAUGAAAUAUUUACAAACAUUAUGCAUUUGAUUUGAUAAUCUUGUACAAAGGUGCGGACACUUCUUACACCAACAACUUUUAGUAUGAAAAUUAAUAUUGGUGGUUUAAUUAAUUCUAUUGAAUUUUGUAGAGUUCGUACUACAAAAAAAAUGUUCAGUAAGACUUGUAUUUCUUGGAAGUGAACUUGCUGAAUCUUUUUAAAAUAUUUCAUUGGGAUCACUAUGGUAUGAGAUUCGUUUUGUGAUCAGUUUUUUUUUCUUUGUAAUCUUGCAGAUUUGGAAUUAAGAUGUCAUUGAAAUCAAUGAUGGAACCAAUGGGAGCUAAUGGAGGCCAUAGCCCUCCUCCCUAAAUUUUAAAAAUUUUAAUUCAUAUUAUGUAAAUAUUUGUGUAAAAUAAAGUUGGCCCUCAUAAUUUUUUACAAUUUUAGUUUAUCUUAUGAGAAUAUAUAUAUGUAUAUAUGUGUGCGCGUGUGUGUAAAUUAACUACAUUUGAAUUAAUUUUUUUAUUUAAAAAAGUUAUUUAUUUUUUAUAAUUAAAGUUAAUAAUUGAUAUUUUUAAAUGUCAUAUAUUUAAAUAGAUGAAAAUUACUUCAAAAUGAAAUACUUACAAACAUUAUGCAUUCGAUUUGAUAACUUUGUACAAAGAUGCGAACAUUUUUUACAUCAAUCAACUUUUAGUAUGAAAAUCCAUAUUUGUGGUUUAAUUAACUCUGUUGACUCUGUUGAAUUUUGUGGAGUUGAUACUAUAAAAAAAAUGUUCAAUGAGACCUGUAUUUUUUAGAAGUGAACUUGCUGAACCUUUUUAAAAUAUUUCAAUAGAAUCACCAUGGUGUAAAAUUCGUUUUGUGAUCAAUUGUUUUUUCCUUUGUAAUCUGGCAGGUUUGGAAUUAAGAUGCCAUUGAAAUCAAUGAUGGAACCAAUGGUGGCUAAUGGGGACCAUAGCUCCCCCCUUCCCCAAGUUUAAAAAAUUUAAUUCAUGUUGUGUAAAUAUUUGUGUAAAACAAAGUUAGUUCUCCUAAUUUUUUACAAUUUUAGUUUAUAUUAUGAGAAUAUAUAUAUAUAUGUAUAUAUGUGUGAGUGUGUGUGUGUGUGUGAAUUAACUACUUUUGAAUUAUUUUUUUCUUAAAAAGUUAUUUAUUUUUUACUUCCCUUUAUAAUUAAAAUUAAUAUUUGAUUUUUUAAAUGUCAUAUAUUUAAAUAAAUAAAAAUUAUUUUGAAUAUAACACAUAAAAAUAAUUUCAUGAUACUACAAAAAAGUGUUUAGUGAGACCUGUAUUCUUAGAAGUGAACUUGCUGAACCUUCUUAAAAUAUUUGAGUGGAAUCACCAUAGUGUAAAAUUCAUUUUGUGAUCAGUUGUUUUCUCUUUUGUAAUCUUGUAGGUUUGAAAUUAAGACGCCAUUAAAAUCAAUGAUGGAAUCAACAGGGGCUAAUGGGGGCCAUAGCUCCCCUCUCCCCCAACUUUUAAAAAUUUUAAUUCAUGUUGUGUAAAGAUUUGUGUAAAACAAAGUUAGCCCCCCACAUUUGAUAUUUUUAGAUGUCAUAUAUUUAAAUAGAUGAAAAUUAUUUUAAACAUAACACAUAAAAAUAAUUAUGUUAGGAAAAAGUUUAGCCCCUCUAGAAAAAAAUCUUGAUUUCAUCACUGAUUGAAAUGUUUGUAAGUGAGAUUUAUCCAUGGUGAAAGUAUGAUACAUAAUUUUUUUCACUGUAUUUAAUUUAUAUAAUGACAAAUGAAAUGGGUAAAUUGGAUUAGUGAUCAUCAGUUUUGUGAAUGAUUAUAAGACUAAAAUAUAUUAUAACAAUAAGAUACGUUGAAUUGUGAAAAUUGUAAUUUAUAAAGGCUCCUAAAUUUUCGAUAUGUGACUUUAAUAGUUGCGAAUUUCUUAAAUUAACAGUUAGUCAUUACUAUCAGUGAUGUGGUAAGUGUCAAUAGUAAAUGUGAGACGUGAAUUGGAAUUUGCAGAUAUCAUUUUACAUGGGUGAUUAUUACCUGUUAGUUAAAAUUUAGACGUUUUAAUUUUAUGGAUUAGCGGGGAAAACUGGGUAGAAAUGUGGGAAAAACGUGAUGAUGAUUAUAAGAUUUGUAGGAGCUGUUAUAGGAUUAGUUAAGAGAUAAACAUUUUUUAACUAUAAAAAUGUAAAAUUCUAUUAAAAUAGCAUUCAGACUUUUGACAAUUUUGGAAGCUCUUUAUCCAAAACCCCCUCUGUCAUAUAUAUAGAUAUAGAUGUGUGUAAAUUGCCUCCCCAUCUAAAUUGGUUUUAUGAAAUUUAUCUCCUAUAUAAUUUUUGUGAAAUUUUCUGGGUUCUACAAAUCAUACCCCACUCUAUCACAAUCACAAAAAGUAAAAAAAUAAACAAAAUUCAAUUUACUAUAAUUUAUAAAUUAAAAAAUCGCAUAGUCAUCCAAAAAAAAGAGUAGAGAAUGUUCAACAAAGGAGAAAGAGAAGAAAGUGACUUUUGUUUCUUCUUUUUAAAAUUUUUUGAGCUCCAUUUAUUCGGUAUGCAAAUUAUGUAUCAAGUGAGGGUUACUAUAGUUUUUUUACAAUUGUAAAGAGAGGUAAGUGAUAUUCUUAAAAGCUUAGGGUGUCAAGUGAUAUUAGGAGAAACCUCAAGAGACGUUUCUGAUAUUAUCUCUAACUAAUGAGAAUAGUAUACUGAAUAUUUAAUUACCGUCUAUAACUCUGUAUGAUGAACAUGCCUGGCACCCCUCCAAUUUAACUGUGAUUAAUUUAUAGUCUUAUAUCUUCGCAUAGGGCUUUUCGUUGCUCGGCUUUUUAACUAAUUCCAAGUUCAAGUUCUUCAAGUUCUGAAAUCAAAGAUUACAACUUCGAGAAAGAGUUGAAUCGGGCGACCAUGGCUACGGAUGAAGACAGGCUGCCAGAUUAUAAAACCCAAAAGAAAAAACCUACUUCUGAUGAAGAUAAAAGGUCAAAUAUUCUUCCGUUUCGUCUUUUCUUUCUCUAAUGGUCUGUUUGUUUAUAUUUAUUUAUUUAUUUAUCUAUUACCUUUGCUUAUUGCUGUGUAAUUUGUUAUUGCUUGUGUGUUGAUUUAGUAAUUCCUUAUGCAUAGGAAGAAGAAGAUUGUGCCGGGAAGUUUGAUGAAAGCUGUGAUAAGGCCAGGGGGCGGAGAAGUGACCCCUACUGACGGUGAUCAGGUUGGUGGAUUUUUUGUCUUGAAUAGUUUUGUUAGUUGGACGUCGUCUGGCUGUAACUUGCGAGUGCCAACAACCUAUUAAGUGUUCCUACACUACUUCCAUGACAAAACCAUGUCCCCCCUAUGAUGGUGCCAAAUGAUGCUUAAUAAAUUGUGCACCAAUAUGCAGGUCAUUUAUCAUUGCACAAUUCGCACCUUGGAUGGUGUUGUUAUCCAGUCAACAAGAAGAGAAUUUGGAGGUGAGUUCCAGCAUCAAUUCUGUCAUCUUACUGUGGUGGUAAAAUUAUGAUACAAGAUAGAAGUCUGGAAAGCAAAAGGGAAGGUUUUAGGAGAAAUUAAGAAUAGAGGGUUUUAGAACUCUGAUUUUUACUAGAACUAGUAUUGCAACUGAUGGGUCACCUGAAACCUCUUCAGUGCAUGUGUUUUUCAGAAGCUAGACUGUUCUCUGGGUUUACUCUAGUUUCUUGCUAUGUGAACUUGUCAUAACAGUUCUGCUGCUCCUUUGCUGUCUGAAUAUCCAUGCGGAUUAUUUUGCUACAUCUGGAAUGGGAGAGCAACGUUAUACUGGGCUUCUGGGAUAUCUUUCUGUUUUUGUUAACUUAAUGGUGCAGUUAUACCUGGAUGUUGUUAAGAUAUAGUGUUUCCCUUGGUAAUAAAACUACUUUCUACAUUCCUAUUGAUUAUGAAAGGCUUUUUGUCCUCUUUUGACAGGCAAUGGUGCUCCAAUUAGGCAUGUUUUGGGGAAAAGCAAGAUGAUAUUAGGACUGUUGGAAGGAAUCCCUACCAUGCUGACGGGUGAAGUUGCAAUGGUCUUUAUCUCAACCUUCUUUUGUAAAAUUGGGAUCGAAUGGUAUUACUGUUGUAGGCCCAAAAAGAUGUUUCAUUUUUUUGGGUUGGGCUGUAUGUUUUCAUUUGUUAAAGAUUUUUUAAUCUAUUGUUGCACACAUUGUACCAUUAUUAAUGAGUUCAACCAUAAUAGACUGUGAUGAUGUAAAAACUCGUAUAUCUGGGCUAUGACCACAAAGCAAUAUUUAAAAUUCUGCUUAUUUAUUUUGUUUCAUUCUUUAGUUGAAGACUUGGAAGCUUGUGUGGGAUGGAGCACUACAGAUGUCAUAUAGGAAAAAAAUGUUAAAUGACUGAGUUGCAAUAUUGAAACAUAUUUGCAUGUCAAACCUUUUUUAAAAGUGUAAAAUGCAGGUGUGUUCAGGAAAUUUGGAUUCUUAUGCAGUUGCCUGCUACUCCAUCUUCUUUUGUAAUCAUUUUUUAAAUUUUCAGGACAUUGGGAAUAUUUAAAUUUAAUUCAAUGACUUAGCUUAGCAAAAACAGAAAUCUGACUCAUGACAUCUGCAUUGUAAAGUGCCCAAGGGACGAGAAUAUUCCAGUUGUUGGCUAGGGCCUAAAAGUGUCCACUACUUUUGAAACAUCGUUUGGCUAAUCUUUUUAGUUGGAUUUGUGAUAUUGGCUUGCAGUUUAAGAUGAAACCUGAAAUGCAUUACGGGGAGGAGGAUUGCCCUGUCUCAGUGGAUGAUAGAUUCCCAAAGGAUUCUGAACUUCAUUUUGAGAUAGAGCUGAUAGAUUUCUCAAAAGUCAAGGCAAGCAUAUGUCCAUGAGUUGCUAUGUUGUAUCACUUUUAAAUGUACAAAACUUAUGCAUGUCACUCUGAUUUCUUGAUGUUUCAGCAAAGAAUUGUUGUAUUGAAUUGCUCUCAUAGUCCUCUCGUCAAUUACUGGUAUUAAGUGUGAGAAUAUCUUUCUGUACAAUGUCCUUAACCAUGGUAAUUUGCUGAUGGCUUCAUUAAUAUAUGCCUGUACUUGGUCUAGAAAACUCUUGUAGAAUAAGUUGUUCAUUUGAGCCGCCAAAUUCAAGACAAAUGAAACAAUACCUCAAUGGUUCGUUUUCCCAUGACAAGUCGGUUUCUGUAUUGUCUUCCAGUAUGUGUGUGCUUGUUUUUAUAUAAUAUUUCUCAAGUAAUACUCAAACCAAGUCUGGAUAUUGGUGUUUAAUCCUCGUGCAAUCUGUUAUUCUAUUGGAUAUUGUUGGUUAUUCUAUAAGUUUGACUGCACUGUUGGUUUUGAGUCCUUUCGGAUGAUUUAUAUAGAUGUUUUAGCAUUUCUUAUAGUAUAUUGAGGAUGAUAAUGAAGCCUAGAGAAUGGAUUAUAAAGUAAAAAGCACUUGGUCAACUAUUUUACCAAUGCGAUUUUAUAGUUAAAAGUUUCUCUAUGGAAUCCAACUAUAUUUUUGUUAGUGUGUUUGGGCAUUUGUGUCUUCUCGUCUCUCCUUUUGCUGUCUAAUAUCUUACACUUUGUUAUUUUCCUACAUGUCUUCUUCAGGAUAUAAGUAUGUGAUGUCUGGCCCUCAGAUCCCAUCUAAUUCUGCUAAGAUGUGCUCCAAUCUUUUGAAUUUUCAGGUAAUCAGCGAAGAUUUGGGAGUGUUGAAGAAGGUGAAAUUGGCAAUCAGCUUCAAAAUUUUGUAAAUUCUUCAAUGUUUCCAUUUUAGGUGCAGUUUGCAUCGUUAGUCAACAAAUAAUCUACUAAAGGCAUGGCAAUAGGAAAUGUAAAUAAUACUGCAAGAGAGAUAGCCUGUCGGGUUCAGUGUACUCACCACAUUUUGGAAAGGAUUAGUUGAAAGAGUGUGAUGGAGUUUUGCUAAUCAAGUACUCGAAAAAGAAAUAAAGAAAUACUUUUGUUCACCUGCUUUGCAAGCUAAGUGAAUAUAACAGCUCUCAAGGAUUUUUCUUUUACUAAAUGCUUAAGAACUUGCUCUAUUUGGAAUCAAGUAGUUGACAAGAACUUGCUCUAUUUAUGUUAAGCAAAACAAAAUCUUGCAGGAGUGGUGAAUGUCGGAGGAAAUUAGUUUAGAUGCUAACCAAAGUAGGUUAUUAAUAUUGGUUGUGUUAACAAACUUCAGGCGAUUGGGGUCGAAGUAGUUGGAAAAGCUUAUGGAAAGAAGUACAAAGCAAAUGAAACCAAAGUUGAUUUUUGUUAGUGCAUUUCACAAGUUUAGUGGUUUUUAUCUUCUUUUUCCUGACCAGGUUAUAGAUGAAGGACAGGGCUGGGAAACACCAAGGGAGCCAUAUGAAGUAAAAGCUUGGUAGGAAUUGAUUGUUGCCUUUCUUGAUUGCUAUGUGUGUCAUAUUCGUCUUUACCAUGAUCAUGUUGUAGUCGAUAUUUGAUAAUUGACAUUGGCGAAACUGGAAUAUUAUCUUUGUUUCUAGGAUUUCAGCAAGGUCAGGGGAAGGAAAAAUGGUCUUGUCACGUGCUAAGCAACCAGUGCAUUUUACUUUGGGAAAAUCUGAGGUGAGUUUUAUACCAUUUUGUUCCAUUUCUUUUCUUUAUGGUUCAUGCUUAAUUAUCUUGAUUCUUGUUCUUCCUGUGUAUCUAUUCCUAUGUCAUCUCUUUACAAAAUAAGCAUUUUACUGAGUUCUCCACAUUUGUGAAAUUACUAUCCUAGUUACUCAUUUCUUUUCUUUAUUUUCUUCCUAAAAUUUCAGUUCCUAUUUGCCUGUGUCAUGACAACUCACUCAAACUUAUUCUUAUAUUCUUGUGUAUUUUGACAUAGAUACCUAAAGGGCUUGAAAUGGGAAUAGGAACAAUGUCACGUGGUGAGAAGGCAGUAAUUUAUGUUACUGGUCAACAUAUAACGGAAACUCCUCUGAUUUCUGCUUUAGGAGGAGUGGAAGAAAUUUAUUUUGAGGUGGAACUUGUCCACUUUGUUCAGGUAGAAAUUGAGUUUCACAAACCUGUAGUCGUUUAAUAUAUUCAUUAGUUUGCCCAGAGCAUGCCGCGCAUGUUUGUUUUUUAACAUGUAUAUGUGUCGAUAAUCAUAUUUGUGUACUUGACUGUGGCUGAGAUGAUGUCUUCAAAUUUAAAUUUUAUAGGAGCCUUAAUCCCUUCUCUUUCCCCUCUGUUUUUCUUGGAGUUGUUCCAUGACGCUCCAGCAGUAGUACUUUGAUGUGUUUGAUUGAAUGUUAGUAUAUAAAUUUCUGAUAGUUGGAGUUUGAAAUGGUUAAAUUUUGCUCUUUUUUCAUUGAAUCAUGAAUGUCAUCCUUCUUGUCUAUGGGGAAUGACUAGGGACUUCUUGGAUCUUCAAAAAUUAAUUCUACUAAAUGGCAUUCCGAAUAAUCACAUUUCAUUAUGUCCAUGAAUCAUGGGAAAGCAUGCCUUGUUAAUGCGGUAUUGCAAUCUAUUAUGGUAGCGAAAUGACAGAGGAUGUUCUAACUUCUGGUUGUGGCAUUUGUAGGUCCGUGAUGUGCUUGGAGAUGGACGCCUUAUCAAGCGUCGCAUUCGUGAUGGAAGAGGUUUGCUUUUCCUUUUUCUACAUUUUGGAGAUCGGCAUUAUAUGUUUUUGCAUAUUUUGAACUUAGAACCUCUUAUGACAUAUUGUUAUUUGUCAAAUCCGAGAUCUGAUGAACUUUUAGACAAUUCAAAGACAUCCAUAGUUUCAUUUUGGGCCUGAAUGUUUACGCUCAUAUUUCCUGUGAAAUAUAGCGCUGAAUUUCUGACUGCUUAUCCUGUUAUAUUUCCUUUUUUUUUGUGUGCCUCCCUCCAACUAUCAAGUCUCUAUGUGUGUAAAUAUGCAUAUAAGCUACAAAUGAAUGGUUAAAAGGGUAUCUCGAUGACUUUGUCAUAUCUUUACAGGAGUUUCAAGGUUUUAUCUGAUUUUGACUAAAUAAUAACGUCUUAUGCUUUUCUUAACUCUUCAUGGUUAGGUGAAUUCCCCAUGGAUUGCCCUCUUCAUGAUAGCUUAUUACGUGUCCAUUACAAAGGCAUUCUUCUUAAUGGGGCAAAGACAGUUUUCUAUGAUACAAAAGUUGAUAAUCAUGGGCAGCCUCUGGAGUUCAGCUCUGGGGAAGGGCUUGUAAGUCAAGUUACUAUACACAAGCACACAUUUCAAAUGUCUCUUUUUCUAGUCUGUCCUUCCCCCACCCCUCUCCCCUCUACUAUCCUCAAAUCGGUUUAGGUAUCUAGUUCCAUGCCUUGCAUAGAUGCAAGGGAGGACACCGCACUGAGUUAUUGAUCUUAUGUUUAAGUCUGAUUGCAAAUUUCAUCUUCUGCAAUGUGUGUAGGUACCUGAAGGGUUUGAAAUGUGUGUUCGUCUGAUGUUGCCUGGAGAGUUAGCUCUUGUCACAUGUCCUCAUGAAUAUGCCUAUGACAAGUUUCAAAGGUUAUAACAAAUUUGCUUAGAAAAAAUGUUUUGCAUGAGAAUGAUAGUAGUCUUUACACAAAAGUAAAAUUACUCAAUGGGUAACCUCAGACUUCAUGGUAAAUAGAGAAGUUGCCUGUGUGGGGCUAAGGCCAUAAAAACCUAGGCACUCCCAGACCUCAUUGGCAGGAACCUCAAGCAUUGGGUUGGGCCUGCUAUGUAUAAUCUGAAAAUGCAUGGGUAGUCCUUAAUAUUUUAGCUUUAUGUCUUUCUUUCUGAAACUUCAUGCAUUAUUGCACAGCAUCCUUUUGACAUUUCUUCUAACAUUAUCAUUAGGCCAGCUAAUGUUCCUGAAGGUGCACAUAUCCAAUGGGAGAUUGAGCUUCUUGAAUUUGAGAUGCCAAAGGUAACUAAGUGAUACAUGUAUUCUUUUGUGAAAACUUAAAGAAGAAUCUUAUUACUAUAGAUGUAUGUUGUAUCAUGGAUUUAUGACAUUUCUAAGGAGCAUCUAGUUUCUGAGGAUUAGAUUGAAAAGAAUGAUUGGUCAUUCAUUGUAAAUUAACAGAAUUGUAGACCAUAAAAGCAAAUUGGAGAGUAUGGUAACUGCUACACUGGGGACUAGGGCUAUAAACGAAUUGAUUAAAUUGAACUUUAGCUCGAAUUUGAACUCUAAUCCUAUAUGAGCUCAAAAUCUAAGCUCAAGUUCUAUUUGAUUUAACAUUCAAUGGAUUUGAGCUCAAUUCGAGAGCUCGAAAAUUUAUUCAGUUCUUCAAUUUUUAUAUUAUCACGAAUACAUAUAUAAUAUCUAUAUGAUAAAAUAAUAAAUAUAUAAUUUUAUAAAAAUAUUAUUAAAUUAUUUUAUAUAAAAAUAUUAAAAAUUAUUUGAAUCAAAUCAAGCCUUAACAAGCUGAAUAUCUACGAGUUCGAGCUCGAUUUGAUACUAUAAAUGAAUCCUAAUUCCUAUUUGAAUUCGAGCUCGAGUUCGUUGAAAAUCGAACUCAAAUCAAACCCUAAACGAAUCAAGCCUGAACUGUUCGUUAAGGGCUUGGUUCGUUUACAGCCCUACUGAGGACAUGACCAGCAAAAAGAGUCAGGGUUCUAUGCUUUCUUCAUUUAAGUUUGGGUGGCAUUGUGAAACCUUAAGUAGCAGAUAGGUUAGUGGAGAAUGAAUAGACAGUUUUUUAUGGUCCAAAUGGGCUGACUUUCUGAUUAUAAACUUGUUGAUAGAGAACUCCUUUUUAGAGUUUUAUCUUUCUGUUGGGCAUAAGAAAGUUAAGGAAACGGGCAGUGGAGGACCCAUAGAUCAAUGCCUCUUUAGUUCCCUCUAUUAUGUUUCUAGAAUUAGUAACAUAAAAAUUUUAUCAUAUUUGGUUCAAUGAUGAUACCAACCAGUUAAGUUUUGGUGUAUGCAUCGAACAGGCUGACAGUCUCAUUUGACUUUAAUAUUUUCAUGUUUCUCAUUGUGCAUCCUCCUGUUGCAUUAAAUGAUUAAGUCUUAUUUGACAAGAUUUUUGGUUGCAGGACUGGACUGGUUUCAACUUCAGGCAGAUAAUGGAAGAUGUUGAGAAGAUCAAAGGCACGGUAUGAUUUUAAUCUAGUUGGACAGGUUCUGAGGAAUAUUAUUUUCAGCCUUUUCAGUACUAUUUGUUCAUAUUGUCUUUUUCCUUGUCAAUGUAUAUUAUUUGUUUUACCACUGCUGCUAUCCAUUAUUAUCAUCAUUUCUUGUGAUUAGCAUUGUAUGAGAAUUAUCAGUUGUCCUCAUCUGUCAUUGUGGUUAUUAGUUAAUAGAUGCCAUGCACUAUUCUAAGUGACUUUGACGGUCAUUUCAGUGUCCACAGUCGAAUUAUUAUUUCCACAUGGUCUAUUGAAGGGCCUCAUUUAAACAUGACUUCACUUAGAGUGAAUUUCUAUCUAUUAGGGCAGGCUUUUGAGACUUCUUGCAUGCAUAACAAUAUGUAUUGUCCAAAUGAAGCUCAUUUAUUCUGUAUACCCUUUUCAGGGUAACAGGCUUUUCAAAGAAGGAAAAUAUCAACUUGCCAAGGCAAAGUAUGAGAAGGCAUGUGGUAACUCAUUCAGUCUUGAUAACUUUAUGUUUUAUCAACUUAUAGAGCAUUCAUUGUUCAAAUAUAAGCUUGCAUUAUGUGUCUUGUUUAUUUGGAAAUCAGAUACUACUUUUGUUGGUUUUAUGCAACUAGUUUUGUUCUUCUGUCCCACCUUACGUAGUUGCAGUUCUUGCUGAUAAAAUCAGGAUAAAUAGCACGUGGUGACCCUUUUUUUCCUUAAAGUAGUUGCUAAGAAGUUAUGUUGAACUGAAUGAAGAUCUAGAACAGUGGUGUUGGGUUCUUUUUGGCAGGUACUGCGAGAAUUUAAGCAUGUUAAUCCUCAAGAUGAUGACGAGGGAAAAGAAUUUUCAGAUACAAGAGUAAGAGUGCUUAUAUCUGCUUGCUACUUUAAUAGACAUGUCUCUCUGGAUUGAUGACAUUUUCAACGCGUAGCUUUCACAUUAUCUAGAAUAGUCGGUCUCUAAUGGCGUUCUCUGGUUGAGUUGUUCCAGAAUCUGUUGCAUCUAAAUGUGGCUGCAUGCUUCUUGAAAAUGGGAGAUUGCAGGAAGUCUAUUGAGGAAUGCAACAAGGUAAAUAACUUGCCUCCGAAAUUAAAAGUUUCCCAGAUGUAUGAAAAAGAUGCGUGUUAGUGUUCUACUGAAACCUCUUAGUUUAAGUUUGAUCACUCUGGGUGAUUUCAUUCCAAGUCAAACUUUGCUCUGACAACUGAUUUGUAAUGCAGGUAUUGGAUGCAAAUCCUAUUCAUGUGAAAGCUCUCUAUCGACGUGGAAUGGCCUACAUGACAGCUGGAGAUUUUGAGGAGGCAAGAAAUGAUCUUAACAAGGUAAUUGUGUCUUCUAUGUUAAUAAUAGUUGGGUACCAUAGCUAUAUACCUCCUCAAGUUGCAUUUUGGAUUGCUAUGCAGAUGAUGAGUAUUGACAAGUCAUCUGAGCCUACUGCAAAAGCAGCUCUUCUCAAACUUAAAAAGGAAGAACAGGUUGGUUGAUUUACAAAUUGUGUGUUAACAUUGCUUUCUUAAAAUUUUAAUUGCAUACUUGGAUGCAAAGCAGGAAGUGCAUAGGCGGGCUAGCUACCAGUUUAAGGGACUCUUUGAUAAGAAUCCUGGAGAAAUUUCAGAAGCUGGAGUAGGAGAGAGAGAAGAAAUUGCUACUGAGAACAACAAUGAUGAACAUCAUCAUGAUUUAGUUAAUAAUAACGAGCAGGAUAUUGAGCAGGUUGCUGCUCCAACUCGUCUGAGUUUUAUGUUGGGAUUGUUGCCUAAAGUCAAAAGACUUUUCACUGCUGUGGGGCUCAACAGGUGUACAAUAUUGUGAGUUGUGAAUCUAAAUAUCUUGGGUGAGAGAUCUUCGUUUCUAUGGUUCCAGAUUUCCAUUGAAUUUUUACCCAUUUAUGCUUAACAGGACGCCUGAUCUAUCGAGGUCUUCUGGGAUUGGGUCAUGUCAAUCAACUGUUAUAAAUUAUUCAUUGUCCUUAGUGUCAUUAAUUGUUUAAUAUGAUGAAGAAAGGUAAACAAACUGCUUUGUGAGAGAGAGAGAGAGAGAGAGAGAGAGAUUGACGGACAUUAGCUAGCUUAUUCCGUGGAUAACUCUAAACUUGUAAUUUGUGUUCCUUCACUAAUAUUAGUAGCUUUCGCAAAGGCUUUUGUUUACUCAUGAGAUGAAAUUGGACUCUCAUUAUAGGCCAUUGCAUUAUUUUGUCGAGUAAACUUGAAUUUCGGAUCCAAAUCCAUAUCCUGACAGUCACCUAAGUAUCAAUUCGCAUUUAACAGUUCAUAAUCCAAUUCCUGACUGUCACCUUAGUAUCGGUCUGCAUUUAACAGUUUAUAGUCCCAUUUACGAUUUUUUGGGCGAGAAAAAUUGGAAAGGUACAGAAAUAUGUGAACGGGAACUCAAAGCGUUUCUUUUUGGCCCCUUCACAAUAAUAAUAAUGACUGACAAGUUGACGAUGAUGGUGGUGAUGAUAAUAAUAAAUUAAAUAAGUUGUAGCUUGAAUCUAAACUAAAGAUCUUCUUUUAUUGUAAGUUGUACCCUGCACCUGCAUUGUACGUGGGUAAAAUCAUUAGUAGUUUAAUUUUCAGGAUGAAGAAACAAAAAUUUGAAUUAGUUAUUUUUGAAAUAUGUGUAUUAUAAUGAUAUUUUGAAUUAGUUAUUUUUAAAGUAUAUAUGUAUAUUGAAAGAACAGAUUGUACCAUGAAAUGUAUUUGAUUUAAAUCAAUCAAAUGUAAAAAAAUUUAAAUCAGUUUUAAGAAGUGGAACUCUUGCUUCAACCUUUGAUCUUCAUUUUUAUUUUUGACUUUUUCCUAGAUACCAUUAAUCUUCUCAUCCAUAUUGCUUUUAAAUCAUAGCAUUACAUUAAUCACUUUGGAGUUUAUUAUGUAAAAUGACUUUCUAAUGUAUGAGCCUACAUUAAACAACUUUUGAAGAGGAGUAUGAUUUAUGUGAUAUACUUUUUUGAUGAAUUUGUGUGAGCAUUUAGAAUAAAAGCAAAGUCUAAAAUAAUGCAUAAAGAAGGAAAAUUAAAUAACUAAUAUGACAUGUAGAGAUGUGGAUUUCUUCCUUUUAUUUUAUUGUUAGGAAAAACUUAUUUGCGUUAAAAUGACAAACAUAUAUUAUAAAAAACUUAUUUGUGUUAUAUUUUAGGUAAUCUACUUUUUAUUCAUGAUCAACUUUAUACAUGAUAAUGCAUUGCUAAAAAUUACUUUAGUGCUUAGUAAUCAAUAUAAAAGAAAUCAUGCAUUUAGAAAUUUUGGGUGUUGCUCCUCUUCAUAAACUUUUUCCCCCUCUGUAUUACAUCUGACUUUAGUUAUAAUUUGGUAAUUCUUGAUGCAAUUUAGUCUUUGAUUCCAUAUCUUAAGAAGAUGUACAUGUCUUUUGUCUUUAUUAUUACUUUAGAAUUUCUGGUAUACAAUAUAUUUCAUAUUUUUAGUCAUCUUUAAUGAAUUAGAGUUACAUGGGCUGUUCUUAUCCGAAAUAAGCUUACCAAAUAAUAAUGUGAACUAUCUUCUUUGAUAUGUGAAUUGAUAAAGGAAACUUAAAAGGAAAAUUGAGAAAAAAAAUAUUGUGACUAAAUUGACAGCGUUGAUUUUGAACUCCAAACUCCAAAUGGAAAUAUCAUGCUACAAACUUUUAGAUUCAAUAGCUUGUCACUUUGAAAGUCUAUAGCUUAAAAGAAUUUGUGGGAAGUGAUUCAUAGUUUAAUUUUAGAUAAAAUCCAAAAAAGCUCCCGUGGUAUCCAAAAUUCAAGUGGUGCAUAGUUUAAUUCAUUCUUAUGAUUGUUCUACCCUUUUUAUUUGAAAUAACAUUUCUUAGACAAAGUCACCAUCUCAGCGAUUCAUUGCCAUCAUCUCUAUCACUAUCUUCAUCACUAAUCAACAGCUCUAGUUGCCUUCUCUCAGCCACUAAUCAGUAAUCACCACCACUAACACUACCAUCUCCACCACUAAUCAAUACCACUAACACCACAUACAAAUAUGAUUUCAAAAUUAAAAUUUCUCAAAUAGCAUAAAGAAUCCCAAUUGCAUAAAAGUCUAGGGUGCUUCUAUCAUUACCAAGUUCAAGUCCCAAUUUGAAUAAAAUUUUGAUAGGAAUAUAAAAACUAGACCCAUGGAUUUUGCUUGCUCAACCACCACCUCUACCACUCCUAUCACACUCAUUCUUUUCACCCCUACCACCCACCUUUCCUCCUUCUCCCCUUUUUUCCUAAUCUGCCCUCCCUUCCUUUACUUGUUGCUUCCCCUUCCCCCUUUUCUGAGCUAAUCUUGAUAAAAGGGGGAGUAGCAGGCAAAGGAGGUGAGAACAGAGAAAAAGGGCAAAGGAUGAAGAGAGAAGUUAGGAGAGGAGGUACUAGUUAGGGAAGGCAAGAGGAGCAGGAGAGAGGGGAAGGGAGGGUGGCGGGAGUUUGAAAUAGUGGUAGUGAGAGUGGUGAAGAGUAGAGUUUAUGGCAUUAGCAAAGAUGGCGGCGUGAUGGUUGGAGUGAUGGGGCAGAAGAAGAAGAAAAGGAAAAGGAAAUAAAGAAAAGAAAAGAAAAGAAAAAACUAGUUUUUGGAAGUAAAUAAAAAGGAAAAAAUUAUAAAGAAUAAAUAAAUAAAAUAUAUAUGUCCUGCUACCUAUGACGUAGUUGGUCAAAAAUCACCAUUACACUGAAUCAGAAGGGGGUUUUAUGGAAAUUUUUGAAUGAGACUUCCUAAAUUUUGGUGGUACCACAAAGGGGAUUUGUGGAUUUUACCCUUUAAUUUUUUACAGAUGUCUAGUAUAAUUCGGUUAUUUUGUAAAAAGUUAGAAUCAUACUUAAAAUGAUGCUGCAAGUUUUCAUAUGCAAGAUACAUGCUAGUCUACUAUGAUAGCCGAAAACUUAUGGACAUGAAAGAUUAUUCUAAAAUAUAACACAAUAGCUAGCAACAUUAAUGCAAACAAAAAUCUAGAAUAAAAAUAUUAUAAAACCUACUAAACUUUUAGUAUGUAAUGGUUAAAGUUUAGACUUAUUUUGUGUUCUUAUUCUACUCUUUUUUAUUUUAGGAUUUAAAAUAUUUCCUUUUAAUUUGUCAUAUUCUAGUUUGUACCUCAAUAUUAGUUUGAUAAAUUUCAAAACUAAGCACUAAUAUUUAGCAUCCUUUUUAAAUUUUUCACACUUCGGGAAUUAGUAGUAUUUAAUAAUUUUUUCCAGAUAGUUAUAAAGUACAAAAAUUAACAAUUAGUCAAAAGUUCAUUUGAAAUAUCAUGUGGUAGUUGACAAUAAAAUAUUUAAUUAUUCAUACUUAUCGACCCAAAGAGUUAUUGUCUUCAAGAAUUCCCUAGACAAUCACUGUAAUGAAGUUGAGCAAAUAGAUUAAUAAGAAUUUAUAGACCUGUUGAAAUAAAAUUUUGCAUGCUAAAAGUAUAGGUGGCAAACCAACCCACUUAACUAAAUUUACCUAUACCCGCCCAUAAAUAGGUGGGUAUGGGUAUGGGUAUCUUAAAUUUUUGUAUAUGGAUAUAAAUGAGUUAUCCAAUAAUACCCAUCAAACCCAAUUAACCCAUUUAGAAUUCUCUUCUCCUAAGUCUCUUCUCUUCCCCCACCUUUUUUUUUUUUCAAAUAUUUCAUUUUGUCAUGAUGUUAACUACUUUUGUUUUACUAUUAUUAUUAUUUGUUGGUUUUAUCUUAUUAUUUUAUUUUCUCUUAAUUUGUUAACUUGCUCACUUUUUAGCAUUACCAAUUUAUGAUAAGUUUUAGCUACUUUUCUUAUCUUUCUAAAAUGAAAUUUUAAAUUUAUAUAUGAAAAAAAUGUUAGGGGUUCAAAAUUUUUGGAUUAAGUUUUUAUAUUAACUUUUAUAGUACUUAGUUCAAUUUUUUUUAUUCUUAUUAUUCAAUUAUUAAAUAAUAUGUAAUUUUGCGACAUUGGUAAUUAGGCUUAUUGAACAUUAUAAGUAAAUAUUUAAAAUUAAUGGUGGGUACAAAGAGCGGUAUAAAUUGAUAACUUAGUUUGAAAAAAUAAAUUUAAAUGAGUUUACAAAAAAUUAAAAUAAAUGAAUUAUAAAUGGGUAAUUGGGUUACCCAAUUCAUUUUUUGACUUAUCCAUUUAUACCCAUCUAAUUAAAUGAGUCUAAAUUAGUUGACUCACUUAUAUCCAUUACCCAUUUUACCCAACCCAAACUUGCCCAAGUCACCCAUUUUACCCAACCCAAACUUGCCCAAGUCACCCAUUUUGACACCUCUAGCUAAAACAAAAGGAUCAUUUUCACGCAAAACUCUAAAGCCGAGGGAGAAAAGCCUGAGAGAUUUAUCACAUAGCUGAUGAGAGGACCAACAGCAAUAAUCUAAUUGAAAAAUCCUUCAAUUUGUCGUGCUUCUACAAAUGCCAAAAAAAAAAGCCUAUAAAAAAUAAACCUUUACUCAUCAUUUUAAAAUUGUACUUGAAUUUGAGCUGUUUAAUAGUUUAAUACCAUAAUUUGGCAGAGGCAUUAAAAAAGGUAGUUGGGAAUUUGACUAUAUCUACAUAGAUUUAGAAGUUGGUGAUAACAACUUUGACAGGAAAAGAAAAUAUUUUUAAUCUUUUAAUAGUAGAAGGAUAAAGCUUUAAUCACCGACAAAUUGGAUUUCAUUUAGUUCUUAAUCAGUGACUUUCUUUAUAAAGCAAUAAGGAAUCAGCAAAUUAACUCUAGCAUUUUGCACUACAGUUUAUAAAUCGCACAAUUUGCUAACAGUGGUCCAACGUACCUUUUUUUAUUUUUUGCCAAAGUCUAAUACUUAAGGAGGUUGACAACUUUCAAAGAUUUGCAAGAGUUAUUUAACGUGCGACAGAAUAGACUAAGGGGGUUCCAUAAUUGGCAAAAUUUUUAACAUCCCAGCACUAAAAUAUCUAUGCCUUUCAUUCAACCACCUCUCAAGAACUCUCUCUUCAACUAUGAGUUACAAGCUAAGCAAAUCUCGUGACACUCUAAUUGGAACAAAAUUCCCUAACCAGAGUAUGCCAAAUUCCAUGUCAAAUGCAUCAACGUCAUUGAUUGUGGGAUUCUCAAGUUCAAUCCCAGAGUCUAGGAAAUGAACUUCAUCACUUCCUUGUAGAUUCUUAAAAUAUUUAUUAAUGAUUGAUAAUCCUCUAAAUCGUCUUCUUCCCACCAAUUCUUAGCCUAAAACUUCUCCUGAGUUUUGAAGUGCUAGAGUUUGCAGACCAUAGGUAACAUUCCAACCCAAGUGAAAUGGGCAAUUUGUAUAGUUCUGACCUUAGAUGUAUCAACAAUUGAUUCCUUCAAAAAACAAGAAAUCACCUCUGUUCCUUUCUCCUAGAACCAAUUGCUCACCUGAAAAGGGUAAAAAAAAAGUUGCUUACUUGUCUUUUACUCCAUAUAAAUUGUUUAAGAAAAGAUUAUUGGCAGAAAGUAGGCAAUUUGAACAGUUAUAACCUAAAACCUAUUUUACGAUGUGCGGAUCCAUUAAAACAGCAAAGAAAUUACCUCUAUUCCUUUCUUUUGUAUUAUUUCCUCUACCCAAAAAGGGAAAAGAAAACACAAAAUUACCUCUGCUCCUCCUUUUACCAAAUCCUACUCCUUUGGCAUAUCAACUUUCUCAUUUAGGUAUUCUUGUAUGCAUGAGUUCUAGUUAAGGUUUUGCAAAAUAAUUUGUCGGCAAAAAUUAAGUGAUUAUGAUAGUGGUUCUCAAGAUUUUCUUCAAAAAGAUGCUACAUUUUUUCUCUUCUACAAGAAUGUUUACUUGCAGAAUUGUGCUUAUGUAAUAAGACGAACUCAUCAGGUAACUUGGAAUAUGUUAGAAUCAAGUAAACUGGAAUUGCUUGAAUGUAAUCAAUGGUAAAAUUCUAACUUUGAUGGUAAAUUGAAGCUUUUUGCGUGUUUAUGAGUGCUUCAAUUUGCUUGAUGUUACCCACAUUAUAGAGAUUGAAUUGCUAAAAUCUAUUUGUGGUUUCAAUAUAAUUAUUCUUACAUCCUCAAAGACCUUAAAAAGAUACGUUUUCAGGUUCAUUAGUCAAAAUUUAUGAUAUUGGUAUAUGAUUACUUGUUUUACAAUGCUAUUUAAAAAAACCCAUUUCCUUAAAAUUGGGUUCAUGAUUCUUUCAUAAAAAUUUUAAUAGCUAAAAGACAUUGAACAAAUAAUUCAAUUAAAUAUCCUCAUUGAGGUAAUCAAAAUAAAAUAUGACAUGGUUGCACGAAAGCUUUGAGCUUACAAAGAAUAUCAAGUAAGUAAUUCCUCAAGAAAUUGCUUUUUACCAAGCAAAAAAGAAAAAAAAGGAGAAAGAAAUAUUUUAAAAAAUGUACGACUUUUGUUAAACCACAUUAAAUUUGUAAAACUUAAAAUCCAAAAAUAAUUUAAUUCUGUAAUUGUAAAUGCUCAACAUGAUUAAGUUAUGAUAUUCAAGCAUAAAAUUAGAACAAAAAAAAAUCAAAAUCAUCAAGACAAAUGAGGCAUCUGAAAUUUAGAAAUUAUUUACAAUAAAAACGUUUGAGAUGUCACUGGCCAUAGCACAAAAUUGAUCAGAUCGUGUUCCAAGAUUUGGUAUUAACAAAGUUUUGUUGCGAGAAGGAAUUUCCUUCUCACUUGAGAGAAACUGAAGCACAAGUAGAUAGUCAAGAAAUUAAAAUUAGUUAUACUUAGACCCUGUUUGAUAACCCAAUUCAACACUUUAAUUUAAUGGAUUCAGAUCAUAACAUAUUUAGACCAUUUGAUAACUAAAAAUUGAAUAUUUGAAUUAAUUAAUUGACACUGAAUUUGCUAGGUUUGCUCCUAAAAUUAAGUAAUAAGUUAUUCACUUAUCACUGAAUAUGGUAUGCACUCAAAUAUAUUAGAUUUAAUACUUAACAAUUCAAUAACUUAAUGGAUUCAGAUUGCAAAUUUCAGAUUUCAAACUUUAAUUUUUAGAUUUCAAUUUUAUCAAACGCACCCUUAGUCUUAUGGUGGUUGGAGGAGUGUUCCAUAUUAUACGGUUUAUGUUAGCUGUGACUUUUGAUGUGCUAAUAAAAUUGGCAAAAAUUGAAGAAUUGUAGUUUCAAUAUGAUUGUGGCUAUUGUGUAGUAUUUGGCAGAUGAGGAAAUGGCAUGAAUUAAGAAACAUGUAGUAUGAAUAAGAUUAAUUGUGGGUACUCAAUAUGAGAAAUCUAAUUUUGGCAUCACAAAAAGAGGAAGAAAUAUGAUUAUAUAUAUUAUAAUUUAUGUUAGCUAUGACUUCUGAUGCGGGGAUAAAAUUGGGAAAAGUUGAGGAAUUGCAUUUUGAAUAGAAUUGUGGCUAUUGUGCAGUAUUUGGCGGGUGAGGAAUGGCAUGAAUUGAAAACUUGUCAUAUGAAUAUGAUUGUGACUGCUCAUAAUUGGCAAAUGGAAAAUCUAAUUAUUAAGGGUAUAUUUGACAUCACAAAAAAGGAAGAAACACAAUUUUAUAUUAUAGUAAUAGAUAUUACUUGCUAAUAUAAGUUUGGACAGCAUGUUACACAGAGAGGAGAACUCGUUGUUAUGGGAACUAGAAUAUGAUUGACAAUAGAGGCAGCGCAACCUUGCAAGUUCCAUUUCGAACAAGUUCAUGGCCAGGAUUAAAAGGUAAAGAUCAAUGGACAAGGUGAUAACACACAAGCAAUUUAAGUUUACCACCAAAACCACUUGUCUUCAUAUGGAAAAAGAAAACAAAAAAUAGACAAAAAAUAAGGAACGCCAUUGGCAUUCCGUUUUCCUCUGUGCACGGAAUCCUUCUCAAAUUGAAGACAUGAAAAACCCCCAUAUUUUCAGAGACAAAGUUCCCAAAAAUUAGUUCCAAUUGUGUGAGAUAUAGCUCUUCUUGUCUUUCGAUUUGUUCUUCUUCCAUGUCUCCAUUGGAAUGUGCAAAAUAUUUCUCUUUUUCUGCCCUUCUUUCGUCAAAUUGUUAAAAAAUGGAGGAAACAAUUGAAAGCAAGUUAUGAAAUUUAACUUCAAAAUAAUGAAAUUGAACUUCCAAACAAAGGACAGAAGCUUGAUCUAGAAAGUCCAAGAACAGAUCAUACUCGUUCCCUGGAUCAUAUACCUUUCUCCCUUAUUCAGUCAAUGUAUCUGAAACAUUCAAUUAAAAUAUUUGAAAUUCAAUCUGCCAUUAUUUUUUCUUUGUAUAUUAAAAAAUCAGUAAGAUUAAUUAAUGGUGCCAAGCUGGACUAUCAAUGGAGAUGUAUAAUCUACAAGCAUUAACUGAGAAAAAUUGCAAUUGAGGAUGGUAGAUUACUAUGCUUGGGUUAUGUAUUUGUGCAUCAGUAAAAUUCCAAUUGAGGAUGGUAGACUGAUAAAAAAAUUCUAUGACCAUUUUAGUGGUAUGAAAUAGUGAAUGCAGAGCAUGUUGUUGUAUGCACGUUUGGUUUGCCAAUUUCUAGUGUAGGACAAUUGGCAAUUGGAUUAAUGUAUAGGGACAAAGUGUAAUAUGGUAGAUACUGUGUGUAAUGCUGCAAGAUUAAUAAAAGAUAAUCAUAUUCUAGCAAAGAUUGAUCCCUUUUGUGUGCCCUUUUUUAAAUAGACAACUACUGUCCAGUGAAUUGAGAGUUAAGAAAAAAAUGGGGCGUAAUGAGAACUAAAUAAAAGUUAGUUUAGAAAUCAUUUGUAGAGGUGUAGUGACAUGGUGUAAAUUUGCAGUGGUUAAGUGUAAAUGAACAGUUAUUUCGUGUAAGAUGAACUGUAUAAAUAUCUUUGAUAGUCGAACUUAAGAGAAUGGUAACAAUGCACUUGGAAAUAAAAGGAGCAUUGACCACUUUAUAUUUAUUUAUAAAUUAGGGAGAUGGAGUUUGGCGAGGACAAGGGGAUGCAGUAGUUUAGUUGCAGCAUUCCAAGGUUGCGUAUAUCGUUUGACUCAGAAGAAGAUGCCUUCAAGUUUUGACAAUUCUUAUGCUACAGCUACGGGCAUUAGUGUGUGAAAGGAGGUUCAUGUGCAGCAAAAAAGGUAAAACACGAGCAGAUGCACGGGACAUAUAGACUGAAAAGCUCCGGGCAGAAACUAAAAUAGGAUAUGGUUCAAUGGGUAUCAUCUUGAAUAUUAAAUCGAACAAGUAUGUGGUUUCAAAUUUUGUUGUGGAACAAAAUCACCGGCUACUCUCCCAGAAUGUCGGUACUUGAUGGUAUCACAGAGAAAUGUAAAUGAGGCGCAAGCAAUUGAAGCCAAAGUUGCAGAAGACGUAGGUAUAUCAAUACCAAGAUGUAUGACUUGAUGGUGAAACAAGCAGGAGGAGCACACAAACUGGGAUGCAUACGAGCGGAUAUAAAGAGGCGCCUGUGAACGAGGGAGAAGAGUCUAAAGUAUGCCUAUUGCCCUGUGUCAUUGCAACCGAUGCCAAUUUUCGUGGUGUUUGAUGUAUGUGUUAAGGAUGUCGGCAUGUCGCAUUGCAACUGAUUCUCAUUUGCAUGGCACUCAAGAUAUAUAUGCCUAUUAUGGCGUGUAAAUACCAGUGCCUCAAAUUUGUAACUGAUUCUGGAUAAUCGUUAUACCACAUUUGAGCAUAGUUACACCUUAAUUUGGACAUAUUAUACCAAAUUGAAAUGUGUGCAUUCAAAUUCGAUAUGAAAAUUCAAAACCAUUGGACUGAUGAUUCAUGUUGGCUGAAUUUCGAUGGUUACUAAAGAUUCAGUUUUGGUCCCAAAGAUUUGGGGGCAAGGAAACUUAUAGUUACAUAAGUUUGGAUGAGGCAAAAGUAGUCUCAAACGUUGAUAUUUCUAAAGACAUUAAGUCCUAUGGAUGUUGGCAAGUCAUAGUAUACUUUCUAGCAGCGACUCUCUCUCUACUAUGAGAGCCUCUCUCUCUACUAUGAGAGCUAACCUCCCUUGUAUGGGAGUCUUCAAAAUUUAACGGCAACCUAAACCUUAGAGAGCUUUUGAACUUUCAAAACCAAAAAGCAUAGACUCUACCUUCAUUGUUUCACUUACAAGGCUCAUCGCUUAGCAUCAAAAGAUUUGUUCUUUGAGCUACACAUUCUGUUCUGCGUGUGAAAGAAACCAUGAUCCUUUAAACUUAGGAAGGAAGGAGUUAUCCGUUUGUGUUUUAGGUUGUUAAGUUGCAUCUGAGUGUGGUAGCAUUAGAUCGGGGUGAACCAAUAUUCUAUAUGGUGUUCUGGGUAGUUUUUAGAGUUAGUUAUUUCAACUAAUUCAGUGUAGUUUUUUCUUUUCUGCAGGUUUAAUCGAUCUGUAAUUCUAAGACGAGAAAUAGUGCCAAGGUAACUCAAGCAGUUUCUGGAAUUCUGGAAGGAUGGAAGAAGCACUAGAGCGUGCGUUUAGGAAGUUUGAUCUAUCUGAAACAGAGCUGGGAGGAAUAGAUCUCAGUAGUGAAGAUAUCAAGAAGGGAGUUCAGGAUUGUAGCGGAAGCCUAGUAGGUAAGUUAAUAGGAGAAAAGGUGGCAAAUUUCACAGGAGUGAAAAACUUUACCAACCAUGCCUGGGGUUACCCAAGAAACAUGAUUGUGACGGAGUUAGGACCAAAUAUAUUUCAGUUUCAACUGGAAAGAGAAGAGGACCGAGGAAAAAUCUUGCAAGGAGGCUCGUAGAUAAUGGAUAACUAGAUCCUUGUAGUAAAGGAAUGGAGAGCUGGGUGCGAACGGAACUCCAACCAUUUUAGGUUUACUCACCUGUGGAUACAAAUCUAGAAUCUUCCUGUCCACUGGAUGUGUAGAGCAGUGGGGUUCAAGUUGGGGAAAUUAUUUAGCUUUGUGAGGGAAGUGAUAGUCCCACCGGGAGGGGGGAAAGAAGGGAGACAUAUGAAGAUUUUUGCAGAAGUAGAUGUUCUCCGACCUCUACUGAGAGGAACUUCUGUGAAAAUGGAUGGAGCAAAUACAUGGGUUGAGUUUAGAUAUGAGAGGUGCUUGAAUUUCUGUUAUAACUGCGGGUUUAUAGGGCAUGGGGAUAAAUCCUGUACUGGGGAAAGGAGUGAGAGACAAAAUACCAAGGAAGGACAGUUUGGUGCAUGGAUACGCGCGGGGAACAUAAUGGUAUCACCACUGAGAGCCUGGAAAGGGUCUAGUAAAGAGGAUAAUCAGUGCCUAGUGGCGAUAACUAAAGGGAACAGCGUGACCGAGGCAGUAGCUGAGCAACAACACAGUCAAGGGUUUGAGAAUAGGGAUGGACAGAGAUGUAAAGGAAGCGACAAGGAGAAUAAAGAUAAGGACCAGAGGAAAAAUGAGAUUGAAAGGAAGUGGAGAGAAAUCCUAAGAGAAAACAAUGAUCAGAAGAAGGAGGUGGAAAAGGGGGAAAAAAUUGAUAGAAAAUGUGAGGAGGAAAAUUGCAGAGUGGAGGGGGGAAAAAUAGAGAAUAGGAAGGUAAUUGUGGAAUAGGGAAAUGGAAAUAGCAGAGUAGAGGACCAACAAACAGAAGACAUUGUGACAGCCCCACCUUCCCCUAAGGCGAACCAAAGAGUUUGGCGGACCGCCUGCUCAACUCUCGCCAGGACUCGAUCGCUCUCAUCAAGUGAAAUAAGAUAUAACCUCGAGACUAAGCAAAAAACAAUUCCCAAACUUGAAACAUAUACUUACAUUCAUAUCCAUCUCAAACAAAAAUACACUCCCAAUUAGAACGAAAGCUUUAAGUUCGUACUACAUCCAACCUUAUUCAAGCACUAGCAUGAGAACAAUAAAAAAAUAAAAUUUCAAAAAAACUAGAUCAAGCUAGCCUGCACAAGACUCACGCCCUCGCUCGCAUCCCCUGUAAAGAAAACAAAGCUAACGAAAUGAGCUAAAAGCCCAGUGAGGUUCCAUACACAUAGCCAAGUAAUUAAAUAAGGACAUUAAUCAUGUAAUAACAAGUAAUCCAGAAAACAUUUACAAUAUAAAGUAAUGAUAAUACAUUCAUUAAAAGGAUACAUGCUCACAUGGAGCCCUUCGUUCAUUCAUUCCACCAACAAUUUCCUUAUUCCUCCAGCAUUAAAAAUAAUUUCAUUUGUAAGUGAAAACCCCUCCAUUGUUCUUGCCAUUCAUUCAUUCAUUUCAUUUUCCCCAUACUAGACACUGGCCAGUCUCCACCAGACUUCGUGGUCAUACUCGAGUAUACCAAAUAUUAACCCAGGGUCACCAAUCGCCCGACCGAGUCCGCUUUUGGCUCGAGUCCGCUUUUGGCUCGAGUCGAUCGGCAAUGAAGGGCAAGGGCCCAGUUCAGCCAAAGGCUUACAUUCAUGUACAAGUAGUAUUUAAACAUUUAAUCAUUUAAUCAUUGUAAAUUUCACAUUCAUUUAGGUCGAGUGCGAUAAAGUACACACUCGCCUAGCAAAAUUCAUUUCUAAGAAAUCAUUGAAAACAUUUAACAUUUAAUCCAACAUUCACAAAUAGUCACAUAAUCACAACAAUUCACAUAGUCAUUGAAAACAUAACGUACAAAGAACACUCACCUAUUUAAGUAAAAUAACGUCCGAAGUUUCCUUCCGGAUAAUGCCCUCAAUCACCAAGGAACCCUAAUAAUAACCAAGAGAAAAUAUUACAGUUAAACCAUCCAAAGUUUAGGUAAACCAAAGAAAAUCUGAAUAACUACUAGUACAAAGUAUAAGUAUAGUUUUGGAAGUGAAAAAAGUACAUUAAACCAAAGGACAUGAGUAAAAUAUUUGUAAAACUUAUGCUCGCUCGUAAAACUUUGAAAUCUCCAUUUGAGUCGAAGAAACGAAGAAAAUGUAUUUCUAUUAGUCGUAAAUUUCAUUUUUCCAAGGGUACAAGUUACGGACAGAUUCUAACUUAUAUACCUCUAAUAAAGAAGACUUGAAUACCUUAGAUGAUUCAAGUUAGUUUCAUCCUCAACCUUUACUCAAGUCGCGAGUACAUCUACCUAGCCCUCGAGUGCAAAUUUGGGCAGCAUGCUCUUUGUAUUUAUCUAUUUUCCAGCCAUUUAUGGCUUAAUUAUUUUCCUCAAUCAGCCCCCAAAAUCACCCACAAAUAAUCUCAUUACAAUAUCCGUUCAAUAGGCUAAAAGUCAUUCCAUUACAGAACCAAGCUAGAAAAGUGACCGGAAAUAAGGUUUAAGGUAAAGAACAAAAUGAUAGGUUUGACGUCUCUUAGCGUAUCGGUCACAACCAAAGCUAUACUGAUAGGAUUGGAGUACAGUUUAUACCGUUUCAAAAUAAGACAAAAGACUACAAUUUUCAUGAAGACAACUCAGCUCGGUUCACAGUUUAUCCAGGUCUAAUUUACAGAUUACAGAACCAGAAUUUCACUGUCAAGUUGGAUAAGAGCACUGGGUUCAAAUGAUAAUAACUCAGGCUACACAAGUCCGAUUGAGGCGUUUUCAGAUGCCUUGGAAAGCUAAAACAUAAGACUACAACUUUUAUGUUUUGGCCAACUGCUGAUUUAAUACGGAUCAAGGUGAAAAAAUGAAGCCAGAAUGAUGAAAUGUCAAAACUGUCCGCAAAACUCUACCUAUGGCAGUCAAGGGUAUUUUUGUCAUUUCAGGUGAUACAGUACUCGGAUUGAGUUGAAAUUUUACAGGCAACUAUAAAAUACCAUUUUCUACAACUUUCAUGUUUCGACCUAAGCCUAAUUCGGCCUGUAACAUAGACGAACUAAGCAGGUCAGAACAGGGCAGAUUCAUCACUAUCCAUGCUGGAACUUUCUCUACUAAAGCUGGAAUUCUAGAACUAAAGCUGGAAAUUUCAACCAAAGCUAGAAAACCAUAUACCAAACCUUAAAAGUUCACAUCAAAGUUAAACCAUCUCAUAUCAAAACUAUCAAGUUCAUCUCAUGGUUGGAAAAUGCAUAUCAAGGCUUGAAAUUGAACAUUAAAGCUGGAAACUACAUGCUACCCUAGCCAAAACCAUAAAAUCUUUCAUAACCAUGCUUCUUUUAGCCUUAAUCAUACCUUAUCUUGAAUGAAUCUCAAGAGUCAAGUAAAAAGAUAUGUUUUCUAGAAAUUUUACCUCAAAACCCCAAGAUAACAAGCAACUCAAGAGCUUUCUUUCCCAAGUACUCUACCAAAAAUUUCUUCCUCCAAAAACUCUCCACCAAAGCUCCUCCUCCUACUUUAAAAUCAAUUUUUUGUGGAUUGUUUUGGAAGGUUGGAAUAAAACUCAAAUAUCAAGCAAGGUUUUUGGGUUGUAAAUGGAGUUUGCUCUCUCCUUUCUCUUGAGAGGAGGUUCGGCCAAGAGAAACAAACAAUGAGGGGAGUUUUAGUCCAAAAUUCUAAGAUAAAGACUAAAGAAGUCUUGGUCAAAAGUGAGGUAGUUAAUUUGACACUUGUGAAGGCAAGAAAUAAUGUCCAAAAUUAGACCAAAAUAUCUCUCUUUUUCUCCUUGCAACAUUCGGCCAAGACAAGCAAUAAAUGGAGGAAAAAUGGUGAUGGAAUGAUAUCUUAGUCUUGAUCAAUUCUUAGUCAAACUUUGUGGCUUGUCAUUGUCAACAAGAGAAAAAUAAUAGCUUAGUCUUAAUCAAGUCUUAGUCUAUCCCUUUUGUUUGGUCAAUAAUUUCAUCCACACUAGGAUAAUUAUUAGGGAAGGAUAAAUGAAAGAAAAAUAAGAAAAUUAGAGAAGAAAGUAUUAGUCAAGCGAUGCCUUUGACCUGUACAAACGGCGCGAGUCGGUUCAAGCUGUUUUUCCUUAACUUGCCCGUACUAGUAUUUUCACUUAUGAUUCACUCACUUAUUAUUAACACUUCUAAUCACACAUUUUUUUUAAUCUAAAACUCACUCUUAACUACCAAAUUUAGUACACACUCCGUACCGAGUAAUCAUACCACGAAAAGAUGUAAAAACCCUAAUUUACGCUAACAAGAAAACAAACAGAAAAACCCUUGAUUCUAUGUUUGUUUGCACUUAUUGUGGGGUGAAUGAGUAGUAAGGCUUUUAAAAAGUAAUAAAUGCCAAAUAAAAGGGCAUUUUAAGAAAAAUAUAAGGGAUUUUAUAAUUCCAUAGAUUAACAUUAGGGUUUCGACUAAAAUAUGAGAGAUUUAAGAAAACCUGUUAGUCACAAGUAAAACUAGGGUUUUGAGUACAAGUAGGGUUUCUAAUCUUUAAAACAAAACAAUGUCUUAAAACAAAAAUAAAAUAGAGAAACCACAAUAUCCUAAAAGUUGGGGUAUUACAGACAUGGCCAUAGAAGAAAUUUUAGACAAAGAACUGCCAAACAGGACUGAUAAAGGAAUUAUAGCACUUCAAGGGAGUGAAAUAGUGGCUAAUAAAUCUCAGACAUUAGCAUGUAGCAGCAUGUAAAGGGACAAGAAGCAAUGCAGAAAAAUCCUAAGAACCAGGCGAACCCUAUUAAGAGAUAUUACAGACAGAGAAAAUGCUGGGGGGCAAGGAGAGAAGAGAAAACUACUGGAAUCCCAGCAAGACCUAAACCUAAUGGAAGAGGAUACAACAGAAGCUCCUAGGCAAAAGGUAAUGAAAUUGGACAAUUCUGCUGGUUAUCACAUAGCGGAAUUAGAGGCUAGCCCCGAAAUGCCUCCACCUUUUCAAUGAAGGUUGUGGUGUGGAAUUGUCGAGGUGUGGGAGGCCCCUUGACAAUUCCCCAGCUGAAGGAGGUUUUAAACCUCCACUCUCCUAGCAUAGUUUUUUGAGUGAAACAAAAAACCUGAAAAAGUUUAUGAAACAGGUACAAAAAAGAAUUAGAUUUGAGAACAGCUUUGUGAUGAGCUCAAAGGGGAGAGCAAGGGGACUAACCCUAUUCUGGAAGGAUGAGCGUGUUUGCAGGAAGUGAAUGGUACUGACUGGUAUAUAGAAGCGAGCAUGCAUGUUAGAUCAGAUGAAUAAUAGCCACUGGUGGCUGAUAGGAAUCUAUGCAAGUACAGAGGAAAGUGUUAGAAAACAACAGUGGAAGGUUAUUGAGGAAAAAAAGAGGGACUGGUGGGAGACCUGGGUGCUAGUGGGGGAUUUUAAUGAUAUAUGUUCCAAUGAGGAAAAAUAGGGAGGGAGAGAGAGGCUAGAGGGAAGUUUUAGGCACUUCAAUAACUUCAUUAAAGGGAAUGAGCUUGUGGAUAUAGGGUUUAUGGGGGUACCAUGGACAUGGAGCAAUACUUGGGAGAGGGAGGGAGAAAUAAGGGAGAGAUUGGACAGAUGUUUGGGAAGUGUAAGCUGGGUGCAGAAAUUUGAAAAAGCAACUUAUGAACACGUUGAAAAGCAAACAUCUGAUCACUGCCUUCUGAUACUGGACACAAAUCCACAAAAAAUAAGAGUGAAGAGAAGGUUCUACUUCGAUCAGAGAUGGGCCAAGGAUAAAGAAUCAGAUACAAUAAUAAAAAAAGCAUGGGGAUUAGAACAACAUGGUUCAUGGAUGUAUAGAGUUGUCAGAAGCAUAAAGGAGUGCAGAUUAGCCCUGAUUGAAUGGAACAAAAGAGUGAGAAGUAAUGCAAAAGUAAAGAUCCAAGAGAUAAAGGAGAAAUCGAAAGUAGCAAGAGAGGGAGGUGAUCCAUGCAACAGAGGAGACAUUGCAUGCUUGAAAAGGCAGCUAAGUAAAGCUUACAAGGAUGAGGAGCGGUUUUGGAGUCAGAAGUCAAGAAGCAGAUGGCUUAAAGAAGGGGACAAGAAUAUAGCAUUUUUCCACAUAAGUGUAAUGACCAAAAGGAAAAGGAACAGGAUUAGUCUGCUACAAAAGUUGAAUGGGGACUGGUGCAGAAGUGACUAGGAAAUUGAAGAAGAAUUGUGCAAGCACUAUAGGGAACUCUUCACUUCUACAAAUCCUAAGGAAUUUGAUGAGGUUCUACAGGGAAUACCUCGUACUAUUUCCAAUCUAAUGAAUGAAUAGUUGAUUAAACAUGUGGAUGAGGCUGAAAUUCAGUAAGCUCUUUUCUCUACGUUCCCUAACAAAGCCCCAAGAGUAGAUGGUAUGUCCCCAUUGUUCUUUCAAAACUACUAGAACAUUAUUAAGGAUGAUGUUGUCAAUGCCAUUAGUAGUUUCUUUCAUACUGGGAAUUUGCUUAGAACUGUUAAUGAGACCAUCAUAUCUUUGAUUCCAAAAGUUGACAAUCUAGUGCUCUUGACUAAUUUCAGACCCAUUAGCUUGUGCACGGUGUUGUAUAAAACCAUUUCAAAAGUACUGGCUAAUAGAUUGAAAAAAGUUCUAAAGCACUGCAUUAGCCCCUCUCAAUCUGCUUUUGUCCCGGGGAGACAAAUUUUGGAUAAUGUUAUUAUUGCUCAUAAAUUUUGCAUUUUCUGAAAAAUAAGAGGACAGGCAAAGUAGGCUUCAUGACACUAAAGCUAGACAUGUCUAAGGCAUAUGAUAGGGUGGAAUGGAAUUUCUUAGGGAGACUAAUGAUGCACAUGGGAUUUUGCCCUACUUUUGUUAAAUGGAUCAUGGCUUGUAUUUCCACGGUUUCAUAUUCGUUUAAUCUGAAUGGAUAAAAGAUGGGAUAUAUAAGGCCUGCUAGAGGAAUACGGCAAGGAAAUCCUUUAUCUUCUUAUCUGUUUAUCAUCUGUACGGAAGGGCUAUCUAACUUAAUCAAGAAAACUGUGGACGGAAAUGAAGUAAUUGGCACAAAAGUCUGUAAAGAUAGCCCUAUGGUUUCUCACUUGUUCUUUGUAGAUGAUUCACUACUAUGCUGCAAAGCAAGUAAGCAGGAAGCAAUGAAGGUGAAGGAGAUCCUCCAGUAGUAUGGACAAGCAUCAGGACAAGUAGUCAAUUUUGACAAAUCUGCAAUGUUUUUCAGCAGGAACAUUGCAAACCAGACAAGAGUGGAGAUCAGUGAUGCAUUGGAUAGCAUGAGGGAGGCACACAAUGGAAAAUAUCUAGGCUUACCAAUGACUAUAGGGAGGUCAAAGAAUCAGAUGUUUGGAUAUCUGAAAAGCAAAAUAAACAGUAAGAUGCAAGGGUGGAAACAGAAGACACUCAGUUAGAGGUAUUGAUCAAAUCAGUACUCAUGGCAAUGCCAACGUAUAUUAUGUCAUGCUUUAAAUUACCCAAAGGACUGUGUAAGAAGAUAAGUGCUAGAAUUGCCAGAUUCUGGUAGGGGGGUGGGGACAAGGAAAUCAAGAUUCACUGGGUUAAAUAGAGUAAGCUAUCAGAAGUUAAAGAGAAAGGGGGAUUGGGUUUUAGAGAUCUGGAAGCUUUUAAUUUAGCUCUGCUUGCAAAACAAAUGUGGAGAAUGAUUACAACUCCAAAUUUGUUAGUAAGCAGGGUACUGAAAGCUAAAUAUAUGAAAGGGGAAGAGUGGCUAGAGAAGGAACCUCCCAAUUCUGCCUCUUGGUGUUGGAAAAGUAUCCACAAGGGAGAUGAGCUAUUACAGAAGGGACUAUGGAAAAGAGUGGGAGAUGGGAGGACAGUGAAGAUUUGGUAGGAUAGAUGGAUCCCUGGCACAGAAAAUGGAAGAGUAACAACAACAAUGCCUGAGGAAUGCCAAUUGAGUUUUGUUAAUGAAUUGAUAGAGGGAAGGAAAUGGAAGGCAGCUUGUUUGGAAAAAUGGUUCAGUGCAUAGGAUAUGGAGCACAUAACUAGCAUUCCCCUCAGUUUAUAUAGAAGAAAGGACAGACUUUACUGGAAACAUAACAAAUCUGGUAUGUAUACAGUGAAGUCAGGAUAUGCUGUAGCAAAAUUAGAAGGUGUACCUCAGAGUCGAAGGUAGGAACCUGGCUCAGAAACUAGCUGGGAAAUCAGAAAACACACUGUGUGGAAAACACUAUGGAGCCUUAACCUGAAGAUGAAGCUGAAACAUUUCUUAUGGAGAUGCCUGCACAAUAGCUUUCCAGUUAAUGAAGCCAUCUAUAAGAGAAUAGGGAAAGGAAUUAGCCUGUGCAGCUGCUGUGGUGAGGAAACUGAGACCAUUGAGCACAUCUUUUUCUUCUGUCUAAAGGCCCAAAUGGUGUGGAAGAUAGCUCCUGUUAGGUAGGAAGGGAUAACUGAGCUACAAAGUAACAUAUGGAGAUGGUGGGAUGCAGUGAUGCAAUCAGCUGACUAGGAGCAAGGACUGGAUAGGAUAAAGCUUACGGUCAAUAUCUUAUGGCAAAUCUGGAAGGCUAGAAACAGGAUGACAUUUCAUAGUGAGAACUUGAAUGCAAAACUGAUUGUGGAUAAAGCACAGCAGGAAUGGAUUGAGUAUGAAACUGAAACUGAAACAGGUGCAAGGACAAAUGCCUUCUCAGAUUUGGACAGAUAGAUGCAAUGUGGUUGGGAACCACCUAAAGAAGCUGUGAUCAAAAUAAACAUUGAUGCAGCAUUAUUAGCUAGAAUGGUAAGAACAGGACUGGGGAUAAUAGCUAGGAACUGGUGCAGAAUGAUAGUGGAAGCAAAAGGAAUCACUGAAUGCAAGAGAAGAGAAGCAGGCAAAGAGGAAGCACUAGCUAUAAGAAGUGCACUUGAAAUGGCAAAAGAUGCAGGAUGGACAAAUAUAGAAGUCCAAACAGACUGCAAAAGUGUUGUAGACCAAAUUAACACAAGCAAUGUUCAGGACAGUAGCAUAGAAACAGUCCUGGAGGACAUUGAUGACUUGAGAUAGGAUUUCGACUGUUGCAAAUUUUCUUUUAUUCCCAGGGAUGGAAAUGGCUGUAGCCAAUCUCUGGCUCAAUUUACUGUCUAGUUGAUUAGAAAUGUUGAAUGGGAAAACUCCUUCCUAAUAUGGCUAAUAGAUUUAGUUAGAAAAGAUAUGGGAGUAGUCACCCCUUUUUGUGAUUAGCUCUUGUAUUAUCAAGUGUUGAUAUCUAUAAAAUGUUGACGUUUGUUGGGAAAAAAAAAUAAGUCCCAUGGAUUGAUGUUUGUCAAUUGCUACCAAAAUCUAGUAACAUGCACUUAAUCUCGUCAAGGAAUAUGCAUCUCCUCCGCUAUGCUAAUCAACUUACACUUUGUUGGUCUAACAUUCUAAUAUUAAGGUGUAUCUAUGAAGACUAGAGGUAUAACUAGGGGUGCAUUCGGGUUGAGUCGAGUUCGAGUAGUGUGCUACUCGAGCCCCAAAUUGAAUUAAAGUAACCAAGCUUGUCAAAUUUUUAUUAUUUGAGCUCUAGUUUAAGCUCAACUUCAAUCACCUUACUCAAGUUUGAGCUUGAAUUUGAUUCUAAUCAAGCUUAAUUUAGUUUAAUCGAGUUCAAUCAAACUCACGUAAUAAAAAUUAAUAUUUUAUAUAUGAUUUUAAGUAAAGGAUAUAGUUGACAUUUUGCACUAAUAAAUAUAAAAACUAAUGUGUAUCUCUCUCUCUCAAGCUGAACUCGCACAUAUUAUUGAGAAGCUUGAGUUUGACUCCAGUUUGGUCACUAUCGAGCUCAAGUCAAAUAGUUGAUUAAGCUAUUCACAAGCUCUAAUUAAGUAGUUUGGUCAACUUGCAGCCCUAGGUAUAACUUUAGAAAAAGAUAUACUACAUUAUCAUUUAGAAUGAUAGGUAGUGUUCAUCAUAUGUUUGUAACACCCUAAAAUGAGAUGGUCUACAUCUUGCAUAAAAGUAAUCAAUAUACCUUAAAAUGAUAGGAUAAUUUUAUGUUGACGGGAUGAUUCUAAUUAGUGUCGGUCAUAGGCAUUUAAUCAUGUUGAUGAGUAAUUAUCUCUUAAUCUAUGCCAGUGAACUUACACUUUGUCAGCGUGACUUUAUGGAUUGAAGUGUAACUGUGACGCCCCCACUUCUCCCAAGGGCGAACCCAAGGGUAUCUGCGGGACGCCUGCUCAACUCUCGCCAGGACUCGGUACAAAUUCAAUUCAAACUUAAGAAUAAUCAAUCAGUACUAAAAGUCAAAAAUAUAAAGGAAGGUCAAUUCCUCAAUAAAUAUUCAAGUCUUAUAUCAUAAUCUACCCAAUUACUUUACAUUCCCAAAAUAUACAGCUUCCAAAAUUAAAUUCUAAACAAAUACAUUCACAAUUCUAAUCAAGUGAAGCAUCAAGUAAGCUUCUCCAGAAUUCCUCCCAUUUCAGCUCCUGUUAAGGAAAAACAAAUCUAACGGAGUGAGCGGACACUCGUGAGGCCAAGAAAACAUGCAAAGCAAGUUAUUCAAUAGUAAUAGCACUUACACAAUAGUGACAACUAUAACAUUCAAGGAAUUUCACAAUUUAUAAUAAACACCCUUGAGUAUGAUGCAGAAACUCUCCGGAGCUAAUGAUUUCUUAUUUUGUCCAAGUUCAAUUUUAAAUACCUUUUCGGGACGACACCCCGUCCCCCGGGUAGGUAAUUGAGUUCGUAGCCUUUCACGUAUUCCAUGUAUGUUUCUGAGACUAUGAGAGGUACCUCCCACCCAAAUUGGUGUGAUACUUACUAUCGUUCAGUUUAUAGUUCUGGGACGAUUCAAGAGGUACCUCCCAUCCGGAUCGGUAUGGUACUUACUAUCGUUCAGUUUAUAGUUCUGGGACGAUUCGAGAGGUACCUCCCACCCGGAUCGGUGUGGUACUUACUAUCGUCCAGAGGUCGAUGAGACACCGCUCCAAUCGACUUAGAAUGCUUAAUGGUUCUGAGACGAUUCGAGAGGUACCUCCCACCCGAAUCGGUGUGGUACUAGCUAUCGUUCAGAGGUUUAGGGUACUGAGACGACUCGAGAGGUACCUCCCACCAAAUUGGUGUGGUACUUACAAUCGUUCAGUGGUCGAUGAGCAACGUUCAAAUCGACGAUUCCAAAUAAAAAUCACAAAUACGAAUCACACGUACGAAUCACAAAUACGAAUGACAUGUACGAAUCACAAAUACGAAUCACAUCCACAUUACUAUGUACAAGUCGAAUAUGAAUUCACAUAGCACAAUAUGAAUAUAAUUUCGUUUGAAAUAGAACGAGUGGGGUAACGUACACACUCAUCUCAAAAUUUCCAAUUCACAUAACGGAUAAGAAACAGUUAACCACUUAGCAACAAAUUCAUGCACUUGACACUCACCAAGUAAACAAAGAAGAAAUGCCCACUUGAGGGUUCAGGCGUCCACCGUAAGAUCCUCUCGAAGGUUCUCUUGAGUGCCUGAGCAAUUAAUAAUUAAACUAUUACGCACUAUCGCUUAAAACCCCUAAUUAUCAAGAAAGAUUGUACACUUGUACAAUCUAAGAAAAUCUCGCAAGUACGAGCUUUAAUUACUCGUAAAUCGAGCCUCAAAAGUGGGGUUUUAAAACACAAACGAAAUCUGAUUUUCAUCUUUGAAAUCAAGUGUAAAAUGAUCAAGUAAUAUCGAAGGAAAAAGAUGAGUUCUAAAAACUCAAUUUCCUUUAAGUUAGGAAUUUUCAGGUUUAUUACACGUACUUUGAAAAAUCGUAUCUCACUCUCUACAAGUCCAAAAUUGGAAAACUUGGUACCGUUGAAAACUACUUCCAAAGUACUAAAAGUUCCUAGAAUACACUUUCCCAUGAUUCCUAACGGAAGGCAUUCAAAAAUUGGCUCAAAGUUACUGUUUUAGGCUUGCGAGACAGUUUUGAGGUUGGUUUUUCGCCAAUUUUUGAAAUUCGGCAAAAUUCACGGAAUUUAAACUAGUCUCUCAGGUUUGAAACUCAAUUAGAGUUGCAAUCAAAGUUUAAAACAAAACAAGCAGAACAAGAAUCGGAGUUUUGAGCACCAAGAUAUAGCAGCUCAAAGUUGGUCAAAAUCGAGAUUGUUAGGCAAUUUUCCAGAUUUGGAAGUAAAAUUUUGGUGACUUGUUUGUACGUCAAAACAGUCUUAGAAUGACACCAAAAUUGAUACAUUUCAACUUGCACAUGAGGAUUACUCCGCUACGAAAUUUCACUUAAAAAUUCACAAGGGAAGGUAGUUAACUAAACUACCAAAGUUCAAGGGAAUCCGAAGACAAAUCUGUCUUCAAGCUUCCGUUUUCCGUUUUUAAACAUUUGGCCAAUGAAAUCAUCUCAAAUCUGGUUCAUUUAUGUAGACAUUAUCUAAGAAACAUCCAAGAUACGUUUGGUAGGUGGUUAUCGCCAAGAAUUUCGAAUAAUAAGUCCCAAGUCAAGAUUUGCUAUAAACCAGUCCAAGGUAAGGGUUUUCAAAUCAUUGAGUCAGUUUCGGAUUUCCGCCACAACUCACUCAAUUCAACUUGGAAUCGUGGCGUUGAAAAAUAGAUUCAUAAAUCUACAAUUUCUCAGAAGAAAUCAUUUUCAAAAUCUGUCCACAGCUAGCUCAUAUUUGAGCAUCCAUUCGCUGCUCAAAACAGAGCUCCCAGUGUAGACGUGAAACAGAACAGUCAUGUUCAAAUGAUUGGUAUGGACUAUUCAGGUAGAAUCAGAACAUGAAUUUUAUACCGUUGGAAAUAUGGGAAUGUCUAGUUUCCAGUGCCACAAACAGCACUCGAUUUCGACAUCGGAGUAAAAAGUUAUAGCCGUUUGAAAAACACUGCCAGAGCAGUUACGGGAAAAAUUUCCAGUUUUGCUGAUUUCCGAAAACAUCACAUUUGGCCAACCAAAUCACGAAAUUUUUUGAUGAAACUUCAUACACAACUUAUAUUACACAUAUCCAUCAGAAAAAAGUCAUUAGAACCACCUAAAAUUGCACUAAAGGUCACGGAAGGAGCAAGGGCAGAAUGGUCCCUUUUUGCUCAACUCACUCCCUUGAGUUUUCCUUCAACAACACAACAUUUAUCCACUAGAUUAAGCACUAAACCAACAUUAAUAACAUCAAAACUCAUCAAAUCAGUCCACCAACCAUAGUGGGAGUUCAUAGAGCCCACACAUCAAGAUCUACAACAAUCCAAAGCUACCCACUUGAAGCUACAAGCUUCUAGGUGCAAUAUAACUUACAAAAACUAAGAUUCAAGGGCUUGAUCGUUGAUUACCUCCUUAGAUGAUCUUAAUCAGAAAUUUCGGCCCUUAGAGCUCCAAGAAAACCGUGGAUAAGCUGCUCCUCUCCUAGUCCAAGGUAGUCUCCAAGUUAUUUGCAAGUUGGAUGCAAAAUUUGAGAUGAAAUGGAGGAAGAUUGGUGCAAAAUUUGGAGUGAAAAUGGUGAAGCUUUUCUUCCUUCUUCCUUGCUGUUUUGGACGUCCAGAAUGAGAGAGAAUAGAGAGAGUGUUGUGAUGAAUAAAUCUUCUUGAGGAAGCUUGGUGGUUGGUGCCCUUUUUGGCACAAAAGUCAACUCUCACUUGUGCGUAUACGCGCGUUUCGCGCUCGAUUCCUCUCGAGUUUGUUUCACUUGUGCACUAAACCUCCAAUACACUUGUAUUCAUAUAAUUAUUGUUCACUCUUAAUGGUCUAAAAAUAAUGGUCUUAAAUCCCUCAAUUAAUCGCGCACGCGAAAACGCGUAUUUUCGAUUUUGCGCGAUAUAAUGAAACUUUUAAGAAAUUCUUAUAACGAUAAUAUAACUAACUAACAUUUAAACAUUUAAACAUAAAAAUACCUAUUUUAGGGCUAAUAUACAUGUCUCCAAUUUUCCAACUUCAUUGUACUCUUAAAUCGGUUAUUGUUCCCAAACGUGCAUUCACUAUUUUCACUUAUCGAACUUCGAAAAAUUAAUUUUUGAAACGAGCCACUCUAAAAAUAUAAGUAAGUCAUAGAUCAAUGUAAUUAGGUCUCAAGAGGCUAGAAAAUAAUAUUCGGAGUGAACGGGCAAUUAAAUAUUUAAAUAAGCUCGAAAUAAGAAUUUAAAAUAAGAAAAUUUGCGAGUCCUCACAGUAACUAUGAAAACUAAAGAUGUGACUUUAUAAAAGUGAUAGGGUAUUUUACUAUACUACAAAUUUUAAAACCUUAUUACCCUAUUUUUGGAAGUGCAAAUUUGUUUAUUAAAUAUAGGGAUAAUAGGUAUCGAUCUCACAGGGACUUAAAAAUUGGCAAUCACUUGAGUUUAAUCACUUACUUUAUUAUCUAGACAAUCAAAGUUUAAAGUGGUAAAAACAAAAAAAGUUAAUUAUGUGGUAAAACCGGCCAUGAAAGAUGUCAGUUUAGACAAUAUAACCGGCCAUAUAAAUUAAAAGUUAGUUAGGUGAUACAACCGGCCAUAGGAUAUGAGCAACAGAUGUAAAACCAGCCAUAAGAUGUUAAAACCAACCAUCUAGGUGGUAUGUUGUAAGAAAGUAAAUAAAAGUAAAAACUAGUUAGAUUAGAAUUGUUUAAAGUUAAGUGAGUGGAUCCUAGGGGAUUAGAAUCCCUUGUUAUGUCAAGAUUAGAAGUUAGUUAAGGUGAUUAUGCUUAUACUUCCAUGAAUUAUCAAGGAAUAACAUCCAAAUAUGUGUCCUUGCUUUCACCAAUGGACAUUUAAGAGAAAUUUCCUUGGCUAAUUUCUCUAGAAAUUGCUUUCGCCAAUUUCUUUAUUUCCUUGAAUCAUUCUUCACGUAUGUUCAUAGAGAAAAGGUAAGAAACAAGUUAAAUAAGUUCGAUGAAGUUAUUGAAUAAAUCCAACCAACCAUUAUCCACUACUUUUGUGAGAAUAAGGUUAAUGUUUAAGAACAUAGAUAUAUUUGAAAGCAACUUUCAUAGCUCAACAAUUAUCAAAUCAUUCAUAAUUGAUAGACAAUCAACUAUAAAGCAUAAGCACAAGUUCUCAAUCUAACAAAUCAUGAAAAAGCAUAAUCAUGUCUUAACUCCUUUAAAUCAAAACUAUAACAAAUUCAUCUUUACCCUAGGAUAUGAAAAGAAAGCUUAGUUAGAUAUCAUAUUCAAAACAUCUAAGUAUGAAACAAACUUGUAACAAAGCAUGGCAGAUAAGAACAGUUUAGGAAGAAGAAUUCUUAUUCAAUGUCUUGAAGUUUGAAUCCUUGAAUUCUUUCACAAGUUGAUCUUUUAAAUAAGUUUGAUAUAAGAGUGUUUUCACCUUCCUCUAGAAAGCUCUUAAACUAAUUUUGAAACUUACAAUAUGAAAGUAUUGUUAAAACUACUCCUAUCUCUACUUCUACUCUAUACUACAAGUUUUCAAGAUACUACAAGAACUACGUGAUCCUCAAAUGAAUGAGAUACAAAGGGUUUUAUUGAUAUUUUUGGACGAGAAGAUGUUCUCAUAAUGUAGUCACAAAGUUGUUUUUCACUUCUCCAAUUCAAUUUUUAGUUGGUUCCAGCUGGAUUUCUUGCAGACAAAUUGGUCAAAAGUUUAGUGUGAAUAGAAUGCAAGUUGCAGAAGUGAUUCAGGGAUCUUCUAGAUGAAAAUUUUCCCUUUUUUCUUGUUUCUCUCUCUCUCUCUCUCUCUCUCUCUCUCUCUAAUGCCUAGUUGACUUUCCUCACUUUUCUCCCUUCCCUAAAGACUGUCUCUUGGCCUUUGAAAUGAAACAAAACUGAUUAAAACCCUAAGAAGGAAGGCUGAGAUGAACCCAAGUUUUUGUGGGUUUUCUUGGUUCCUUUGAUUGAUUUUUGACUGCUGUUCUUGCUGGAUUUUGAAUAGAAUUUUACGUGAUAAGUUGUCCCUAUACGAACUAAUCUUGGGGGGUAAGAAAUAAGAAGCAAAAACAGAUCUAAAUUGCUUCAAAAUCUAGUUAUUUCCUUGUACUAUGGCUUGCUGAAAAACUGAAGUAGAAGGUCGUGUGCGUGCAGCGUGAAGCUGCAAAUAUUUUUUUUUUGAAAAAUGAAGAAAUGAGCUGAUGGGUCUUUUUCUUUUCUUUCUUUUCUAGACUUUUGUUGGGUUUUGCCUUGGGUUUUUGUUUGGAAUUUUGGGGGAUUUUGGUUUGGGUUUUGGUUGGAUUUUUGGCUGGGUUUAAAACCAAAAAAUCCUCUACUAUUUUCAUUUUCUUUUCUCCUUUUUCCUAUAAAAUAAUCACCAAAAUAAAAAUGAUUACUUAAUCAAUAAUAUAAAAUAAAGAUACAAUAAAAAUCAACAAAAUUUUUGGAAAAAAUUUGGUGUCUACAACAAGAUAUAGUGAACCUCCCCAGAUCUUUAAGUUUUGAUGGAAGUUUCUUUUGAACGCAUGUUGAACAUUCCUUCAUUAAUGCUAUUGUCUCAUGAUCUUCAAUUUUCUCUUUCUUGAAAUAAUAUCCUUCAAAAUUUUGGCAUAAGAGGGAAUUUGUAAAAUAGUAUCAACAAAAGGAAUAUUAAUUCUAAUGUGCUUAAAUAUUUGAACAAAUUUCUCAAAUUUCUUCUCCUUAUUGCUUUUCUUCAACCUAUCGGGAAAAGGAACGGAAUUAAUAGCAUUCUUAUGAGAAAUAUGAGAAGAAGGCAUAUCAAAUUCAUUUGGAAUAUGAUCCUUUUUAUCUUCUUGUUCAUUAUUACCCGCAUUUUAAUCAUUUUUCAUUUUUAGUGAGGUCAUUAGCCUCUAAUUGUUUACUACUCCUAAGAGUGAUUGCAUUCAUAUGUUCUCUAAGAUUCACCUCAGUUUUAUUUGAAAAUUUACCUAAUUGCCUCAAAUUAAUGGAAUUAGCAAUAUUAUCUAACUGGCCUUGCAUAUCUCUAAUCAUGGUCAUUAUAUUAUUCAUGUUUAUUUUAACAUCAUCAAAUCUUUCUUUUAUUUCAUGAACAUGUUUUUCAAAAUUAGCCUCCAAAGUUGAAAAACGUGACUCAAGUAACCUUGUUGAAAAAUCGGGUGGAUUGAUAGAUUUUUGUAAAGUUAAUUGGUAUCUCCACCCUAAAUUGAGGUGAUUCUUCCAGCCAAGAUUGUAAACGUUUGAAAAAGGAUUAUUUUGAGGUGGUUGAUUAUAGUUGUUAACAUUAUGAACUCGCUCCAAAUGAAAACAAUUAGUAUUAUCAUGAUUACCACCACAUAUUGAACAAUAAGCAACACUUAUAUAAGAAUUUGACCCAUUUCCCUCUUGUUUACUUAGCAACCUCUCAACGUUAUCCAAUGGAAAAUUAAACAUAUUUUCUAAUGUAGCAUUUAAAAAGUUGAGUGUCAAUUUCAUACAUACCAGUCACUCUUCUUGAGCAUCCUCGAUUGAUUUUCCCAUUAAAGUUCCAUUGACGGCAGCAUGUUAAUUUUGGUUGGAUAAUUGAGUCCAUUAUAGAAAAUUUGAACUAAAACAAUAAGGUGCAUUAUUGUUAUCCUUUAGAAUGAUAGGUAGUCUUAAUUGCACCGAUGCUUACACAUUUAAAUGGUAUGGUCUUAUAACUGUAAUUAAAUAAUCAAUGCACAGGUGUAGCAAGCAGUGUAACUACAACUUAAUAAGAUGAAAAUUAUGUCAUCAUUAAUUAGAAUGAUAGGUAGUGUUCAUCAUACAUUUGUAGCGCACUUAAAAAUAAGAGGAUCAUAUAUCUAUCAUAAAACUAUGGAAUUUAGAAUUAAACGGGGCUAAAAUUUUUCAUUGACGGGAGGACAAUUUCAAUAGUGGUCAUAUUCAUUCUUGUCAAUGCAUGAAUAUCUCUUUCGCUGUGCUAAUCAACUUAUACUUCCUUAGUGUAUUUAUAUAGUACAAAGAUGUAACUAUGAAAAUAAAAAGUGUAACUUUAUAAACGAUAAAGAUACAUUAUCGUUAUCAUUAAUAAUGACUAAUGGUCUUGAUUGCACCUAUGCUAAUACAUAAUAUUCCUACACCCAUGAUUAAACAAUUAAGGGAAAAUAACCAUUUUCAUCCCUUACAUUUCACAAAAAUAAUCUUUUCAUCCCUCAUUUUUAAAACAAAGCGAAUUCAUCCUUGACGUUUAAACUAAAACUAUUACAUUCCUAAAAUCAACUUUCAAUUUGAAUCAAACAAGCCUGCAACCCAAUUACAAAUUUGGGGGUAGAGUUGGUAGAUCUCUUGGUCAAAUAAAAUUAAUAUUCACGUGAAAUUUAAUGAACCAAAAAAUAGAAAGUAAAAAAUUAUAACAUAGAAAAGAAGGAUUAAUCUUUCUUACAUUGUCAAUAUAUAUACUUAUGGGUUUAGAUACCUACCACAUCAUUUUAAUUUAAAUUUAAAUACCAAAAUUUGCAUAUAUAGCAUACAUCUAAACUCAUAACUGUUUACACUGAUAAUGCAUGAAAAGAUUUACCCAAAAAGAAAUCCUACUAUUCCAACACAAAUAACAGAUUUUUUAUGUUAUAUUUUUUGUUUUUCCCUUUUUUGUUCAUUAAAUAUCACAUGAAUAUGAUGAGUUGAUCGAAUAAUCUAUCAAUUCUAUCACCAAAAUUUGUAACCGGGUUAUUAGGUUGGUUUUUUUUUUUGGCUAACCCCGGCCACCGGGGGGGGGGACACCAUGUGAGAAUUUGAGAAAUUACACAUAUAUAUAUAUAUAUAUAUAUAUAUAUUUAUCUUCAUAUAUUACCAAAGACAUUGCAUAUACCGUAUAAUCGAUCAAUUUAUAUGUUUAAUUGACUUUGUAUAAUUCAAUGUAUGGAGAUACCCUAGAUUAAUGCAUGAAAAUCUUUAUAGGUGUAAACCAAUAAGAACAAGAUAAUAUUUUGAGAUAACACAUGCAAUUAAUAAAAGUAUAGCUCCUUGGCAAGUAAAUAAACUAAAACCAAAUGACCAUUUAACCCUAGAACUUAAUUAAAUUUACCAUGCAACCGACCAGCUCCUCUUAUAUCUUGGAUUAAAAAACCGAAAGAGAAGAUUAGAGACUCUGCUUCCUUUGGAGUCAAUAACCGAGGGAAAAGUGAGGACUUAGCUCAUCUUCUUGCUUCACUUCAAGACCAACCGAGAGAGUGAGAGAGAGAACAUUUUCUGGUUCCAUUUUUUCCUUUCCAGCCAGAACCGAGUGAGUCAGAGGGUAAGGUAGAAAAAAAAAGGAAGCUUCGAGCAUUUCAUCAUAAGGAAUCGAAGGAGGAGAAGGAGGAGGAGGAAGGGGACUGCUUGCAUUUUUCUUCUUUUCUAGCUUUGAUUGUGAGGAAAAAGGAAGGUAAAAAUCAUUAUAAACAUCUUAUUCUUCUAAUAUCUUUGAUUAUUCAAGUUGCAUGUUAGAUUUUAGCUUAGAAAAGUGAGUUUUGGCUGAGGAAAAAUUCUGUUUAAUGACUAGCUAAAAGCUGGAAGUGUGACAGCCCCACCUUCUCCUAGGGCGUAUCCCAAAGGUUAGCGAAUUGCCUGCCCAACUCUCGCCAGGACUACUAAGCUAAAAAAAUGAUUACCAAACUAAAUGGGGCAAUAGAACUUCGAUUAACGCUCCAACGAACAAGCAAAAAGAACAGACGCCAAGUCAUAAUCCGGCCAAUAUUUGGCCGGAUUCAAGGCAGUGGGCGAAAUGAAAUUUUUUCAACUUCCCCUGACAAUCCGGCCAUGUAUCCGGCCAAGAUCUGGCCGGCUAUAUGGCCGGAUUUGUGGCAGAACAACUCCACUUCUCUCAUUCUGAUCAAGUUCCGCAUUCACCGGUUCCAAACCGGUUCUAGGAGAACUACUCAAACCCUAGAGACAUGCAUUCAACCAAAUACACUUGAGAUACAUGAGAUACAAGAAUAAACACUUAUAUAUAUACAUUAGAGUGUUUCACAAGUCAACUUGAAGUACAAGCCAAAAUAUCCCUUAAUGUAUCAAGUACAACUAGGGUUUACUAUUGCAGAGGAGCUUAAUCAAAAGAAUAUCUAUAAAUAGCUCUAUUCUUUUCUUCCAAAAAUCAUGGUUUCCAAAAUAUCGUCCCCCGUAAGGAAAACAAAGAUAACAGGGGUGAGCUUUCGCCCAAUGAGGUACCAACAGGUCAAGCAGUCAAGAAUCAUGAAAGUGUGAGAACUCAUGUUUUAUUUCUAAAAUGAUUAUUUUUAUAAUUAAUUACCCUAGUAUUAGUUAAUUAUAUUAUCGUUACAUGAAUUCCUUUUAAAUUUCGCCUUAUCGCGCCCGAAUUGGAAGUUCGUGUAUUUCGCGUCGAAUCGACUAAGUAGAGAUUUAAGAAGUUUAUAUUAGACUACUAAGAGUGAAUAAUUAUAGUGUUAAAGGAAUUACAUUUAAAGAUUAGUGCACUAGUGCAGCAAACAAGAGAGAAAAGUGGUAGUUAGGGACACUAUACGUGCACUAUUCCUAGUUGACUUUUGGACAAUUUUUGGCCACAAAUUCCUUAAGCUUCCAAAGGAAGCUUCACAACACAAAAUAGUCUCUCUCCUCACUCCAUAGUCUUGGCCGAACCUCCCAAGGAAGAAGGAAGAAAAGCUUCACUCCAUCUCACUUCAUCUUGCUUCCAUUUCCUUCACAAAUCACCACCCAACUCACAUAUCACUUGGAGAUUAACUUGAACUUAGAGAAAGGCUUAAUCUAGGGGGAUUUCUUGGAGGUUUUAGUGGUGAAAUUUUCUGGUUUCAUCAAGGUUCAAGAGGUAACCAUCAACUCCUUUAAUCUCUCUAUUUAAUUCAAGAUUUAUGGUUGGUUGUGCAAGGGUUUGAAACCCUAAGCAAAGAUAGGUAGAGGACUUGAGGAAAUCUAUUUUUCUUGCUUUAAACUCUAAGAUAGUGGACUUGGUGUGACCUUUAGGUAUCUGCCUUGAGGAUUAAAUGCUUGAUUAAUGUUGUUUAUAUGUUAAGUGAGUUGAUUAUGGUUAGAAAAGUGAAAGGAAAAUCAAAGGAAGUGGAGACUUGAGCUGGCCGAAAAUUUCUGGUCAUGUUGCUCUGUGAUAUUUUGAAAUUUUUGAUGAUUGUUGGCUGUGAAAUUGGUUGAUAUAUUUUUUUUAUUGUGUGUAGAAAGUGUCUAUGAAAAAUCAUUUGAUUUGAUUGAGCAAAACUUGAAUUUUCGAAUGGAAGAAAUCUGGAAAUGGGUUCUGGCUGUCCAAACAGUAACUCUUUGAUCGAAUAUAUCUCUUUGUACAAAAGUUGAAAUCAAGUGCCAUUUGUGGCAUUUGAAACUAGACAUUUGUAGCUUUCUAACGGUAUAAAAAUCACUUUCUAGUUCGAACCGAGUGAACUGUAGUGAUUCCCCAAAGUUUGCUGUCCGAGAGAAAGGUACAAGCUGCAUCUUGUGGCUCUAUUUUCUCUCACUUGUGAACUGAUUUUGAAAAUGAUUUGUUCUGAUGAAAUGUAGAUUUUUCAAUCUAGUUUCCAAAACCACCAACCAUUCUCAAUUCCAAGUUGUAUUGAGUGAGAUAUGGUUCAAUUUCCAAACUGUAACAAAGCUGGAAAUCUGGAAAUCUUUCUCUUCUUGCUAGCCGAAUGGUUAGGUUUGAUUUGGGAUGUUUUGUUUCGAAAAUUUUGGUGUCAAUUACCUACCUGAUAAGUGACUAAUUUACGUAAUAAUUGUAUGAUAUUUUAUAUUAUUUUUAGUCACUUUAGUUAUAUUAUUGGAAGAAAAUGAAUCAUUUUGGCUAUAAUUGGUGAAAAAUGCUUUUAAAUGAUUAAAUGAGGUUUUUAUCACUUUUUAGUGGGAUUUUGUGUAUUUUGACAGUUUUGAGACAUCUUCGUAUUUUGACUAUAACUUGAGCUACAGUGAUCGGAUUAAGAUGAUUUUUGAACCAAUUUGAAGAUAAGAGAUAGAUCUACAACUUUGGUGAAGACAUCUGAAUCCAGUUUGAAGGUUUUCCAAGUCAAAAAGCCGAAGUACAGUAGCCAAUUUCAUUUGGUCGAAGCUGAAACAGGGCAAUGAACAGUCAAGGGUAUUUCGGUCAUUUCUCAGACUACACAGAUCCAAAUGAGAUUAUUCUUAAUGCAUUGGAAAGCUAACUCAAAGGGCUACAAGUUUCAUGUUUUGAUCAAGAGCUAAAUCAGCUUUUAUCAUCAAGAAAAAUUCAGUGGAAGUUGAUGCAAAAUCGGAGCAGAGCUGGAAAUUGAACUAGAAGUGACCAAAUGGUCACUGUAGCAAUCCGGCCGGAAUUUGGCCGGAUUUGUGGCCGGAUUCCUGGCCGGAUUGUGGUCAGAAAAGGCUGCUUUGUACGCGUAAAACUCAAUUUCACCUCCACCAACUCACAUGCGUUGCUAGACAUGUGAGAAACAUCUCCAACUGUAAAAGGAAGGUGGAGGCCUCAUUUCUUGACCAUCUUUCAUCAUAAAAUAGCCAAGAUUGCAAGAUUGAAAGGGAUCCAACAAUAGAAUACAGUGAGCUACGGGAGAAAGCUUGAAGCUGCAGAAAUGUAGCUCUUUCAUCUCCCUAGUGUUAGUUUAGCUUAGUAUAGAGUAGUGUAGCUUUUCCAUUCUUGUUUAUUAUCUAGAUUAGGAUGAAGAUGGAGGAUGAAGAAGGCAAGGAAGAAAGCUCAUGUGACAAGGGUUGUAUUCCUUCCAAACUCUUUAUCUUUUGUAUUUGAUUCCAAGUUUAGUUAAUAUACAAGUUCUGGAUUUUGUGUUCAUUAUGUGUUUCUAAAGUUUAUACCUUGGGUUUGGUUGAACUUUCUAUGAUUGUUAGGGUUAAUUGUUUGGUUAUUUGAUUGCUACGAUUUGAGCAAGUUAUUUAGCACUUUGGCUCUUUAAAUCAUGAUUAAUCUGGUACCAUUAAUUAUGAUUAUCUAAGGUGUUGUUUCUGCAAUGAAAAUUGAGAUUUAACACUAGUUCAAGAAGUGCUAAACAUAGGGAGUACACUCACUAAAGUAGAGGUGCAUCUAUGUGGUUUUAGUGAUUCAUUUCAUGUAAUUUCACUGAAGAAAUGAACUUGUAGCUAAUUUCAUAACCAUGAGAAUAUGUAUGGAUUAGUUAUGAGUAUAAUUGAUUCACUACGAAAGUAGGUUUCACAUGUUUAAGGAAAUUACACCAUAACUAGCCUAGAUAGUAGUAUUUAAUAAUCCAAAUAUAGCACUUACAUGAGUAGUUAGGGAUACCACAACCUAAGGAGCUUUCAUUUGUCAUUUUGUAUAAUUUCAAUAGGUUAAAUUUGUUAUAAUUCAUUGAUAGUCUAAAUAAUAGAGAAGCUUUAGUAAUACCGGUAAUUGUUCACUCUUCCCUGUGGGAUCGACCCGAUAUAUACCCUAAACUACUAGUUGACCUGUAUACUUGCAGUGAACGGGUGUAAUUCGGUUUUUUAACUUGUACAUAUGUAAAAUACCCGUCACUACCAAUUGCUUAUUAGAUGUUCAUAGGACCUUGGUUUCAAAAAUGAACCAAAUUGGGACUGAUUUCAUGGUGCAAAAUGUUUGAAAAAGGAAAGAAAAGCAAGAGGACAGAUUUGCUUUGAAAAUUUCCUAAAUUUUGGUAUUUUUGUUAACUGCCUUCCCACGUGAUUUUUUGCAUGAAAUUUUAUAGAGAAGUAGUCCUCAUAUGGAAGUUUAAGUGUACCAAAUUUGGUGUUAUUCUAAGACUAUUUUGAUACCCAAAUGAUGUUCCAAAUUUUGCUUUUCAAAUCUGGAAAAUUCCUGAUCAGUGUUCAAAUUUCAGCCGACUUUAAGCUACUAUAUCUUUACGCUCAAAACUCUGAAUUUAGUUCUGUUUGUCCUGUUUAAAACUUUGUUAGGAACUCAUAUUGUGUUAUGAAUUUCAAAGGCUAGUUCACUUUCUGUGAAUUUUUCCGGAUUUCCAAAGAUUGUCGAAAAGCAUGACUGAAACUGCCUUGCUUGUUCAGAUCAGCCACUUUGAGUUGAAAAUUGAAUGCCUUCUAUUUAGAAUCUUGGAAAAGUGAACCUAGUUUCCAACGGUGAAAAUUUUUCCAUUUUUUGAUGUGCCAAACUCAAGAUUCGAUUUUCCAAAGAUUGUCAUGCAAAGCUGAAAUUUCCCGAGUUCUUAUGAAAAUGAGUUUUGAGAACUCGUUACUCUUUCUUGAUAUUGAUCGAUCGUUUUAAACUCAAUUUCGUGAAGGAAAUCAGUUUCUCUCGUGUUAUUAAACCCUCACUUUUGGAAUCUCGAUUUUCUUUAAUUUGAAAACGAACGUACAUUCUUCCUUGUUUGGCAAGGAGUUUGUGAGUAUUUAUGGGUAAUAGUUAAUUGCUAUGUUUCCAGGCGCUCAAGAGGAUCUUGAAGAGAAUCCCAGGGCCGACCAUUAAAGAUCUUUUGCACUUACUCCCUUAUUGUGAUUUGGUAAGUGUCAAGUGCAUGACUUGUUGCAAUUAUGUGAAUUGCUUCUUAUGGAUUGAAUGAUUGAUAAUUGUUGAGUCGAGUGUGUACGUUAUCGCACUUGUUCUCAUUUAACUGAUUGUAUAAUUGAAUUGCUCAUGACUGAAUUGUAAUUGAUUGACUGGAUAUUGUUUGGAGUGAAUCUCCUCGACCUAUAACUGAAUUGGGGGACGCCCAAAUCUCAAUUGGCUGACCUUGCGACUGUAAGCUCGGUGAACCAUGAGAUAACUGUAAGCUUGAUCUAUUAAGAGAUCUCGCUUGGCCUAUAGUAGUACCUUUUAUAGAAGUGCGGGCCCGGGACGGUUGAAAUGGUGGAUGGAACUGUGAAGAAAGUGGAGUUCUACGGAUUUAAUGCCGACCCGGUUGACGGAGUGUCAUCGCGAGGAGGUAUUUGUUGAGCCUUGGCAUACCAAGUGGAACCCAGCUCCUGAGAGCUCCUGUAUCCUUAUUGAAUGUGUUUAAUUCAAAAUUGUGAAUUGCUUGAAUGUUACAGCUUUAUGUCUUGCUUAAAUGCUAUUGCUAUUUUAACUAUGUGUUUGCAUGUUUUCUUGGCCUCACUGAGCGUUAGCUCAUCCCAUUAGAUUUGUUUUCCUUAGCAGGGGCCAAGAUGGAAAGAGUUAUGGAGAAACCGACUUGAGGCACUUUUGAAUAGGGUUUUUGAAUGUAUUUGACAAGACAUCAUUUGGAAGUUGUAUAUUUUGGGAAAGUGGUUGUAUUUUGAAGUUUGUGAUGUAAGAUUGAAUAUUCAUGUAUGGAAAUGACUUCUUGUCUUUAGUUCGACUUUCGUUAUUAAUCGUUAUCCUUUAAGUCUGAACUGGAAUUGUAUUGAGUCCUGGCGAGAGCUGGACAGGCGUCCCGCCGAUACCCUUUGGUUCGCCUUAGGGAGAAGUGGGGGCGUCACAGAAAGUACAUUUGUAAUCCCUCAAAUAUAGAAAUCAAAUAAAGAGGAAGGAACACCACAGUUAAACCGGAAGUCAAAGGAUAUAGAUGGCUCUCAAGUGCCAAUUUCCUCCUUUGCAUUUCUUGAUCAAAACCUGUUGACCCUCUGUCAAUGUUUAAAGACACGACCAAGACCGUAGACCCCACUUUACACCAAUUUCCGUCCACCAAACAUACCCCUUAUCGAGCCCAGACACCAAGCAGAAACAGUGGUGGGAAUACUCAAGUAUACCAAAUAUCAGAGGGUUUCAGUAUUCAGAUGAUCAGUAAUAGUAUCCUCAUGGUUCAUCAAUCUACCUCGACCAAGCCCCUUGCUGGCUCGAUUCGAUUAACUACCAAUGAGGUCGAGCUCAAAUUUCACAGUAAGGUCGUUGGAUACAAACCUCCAAACGGCAUCAAAUCAUGCACAAGUAACAGAACCAAAUUUAUACAGUAACCAGUCAAAUAGGCAAGAGAGAGACGAGUGUGAUAAAGUACACUCUCGUCUCAUUCAGAAUAAACAGAAGCUACAGUCAUUCACGUCACAAUUUCAAACACAAGUAAAUCAAUUAAGCAACAAGUCAUGCGAGUGGUAUACUCACCAGUUCAAGCAAAACAACUUCAAAAGUUUCCUCCCAAAGUACACCCUUCAUCACCGGCACAUCCUAAGAACAACCAAGGUAAACAAUUAUGGUUCCCACAUCCAAAACCUAGCGAACGGAAUUCACAAGUGAGACUCGACUACGAGUCGUAUGCCUAUCCAAGUUAACUACUAGUGCAAAGAUACGAAAAUGUGGCUUUGGAGUGAAAGGAAUUAGUUAUACCUAGGGCCAUGAACAACCAAAAGUCGUUCAUUUCCACCCUAAUCAACCCAAACUCGAAGGAGACAAGUAGCCCAAAAAAUUUGGACAGCACUUCCCUUUAAUUUCUUUACUUUUCCAUCCUAUAAUCAAUCACCAAAUUUUAUCCCAAACAGUCUCAAUCGCACACACAAAUCAUAAGCUAUUAAAUACACUGAUUAGGGCCACAACACCCUUCAAUUAUAGCCACUUGAUAACUCCAAAAACCAACUACAAUCAAGCUCAAUUUGGAAACCCUAAGCUGGAAUUUAUGCACACAAGCUGAAAUUUUCUUUAGGCAAGUUAAACUAGCAUAUAAAAGCUAGCUAAUUCUCAUAGCAAAGCUACCAAAACAUGAACAAUUCUUAAGCAUCAUAUAUGGAUAGAAAAUUCACCAUAAAACUGAAAAUUUCUCAAUCACUACUUCAACCAUGAAAUUUUCUCAUAAAACUACCCAUUUUGCAACCAUAAACCACUAAUAUGCAAGUAUUAGAAGUAGAGGAAAGUUUCUUGUCAAAGUUACCUUAGAACCUCAAGAAAGAUGGUAGUUUAGUACUUUUUCCUCCAAAAUCACUCCACCAACACCUCUACUCUUCCUUAGUUAGCACUUUGUAUGGAGUAAUUUGCAAAUUUGUUGGCUGGAACUCAAGAAUGAAGCAAGAAAUUGAAGUGGAAGAUGAACUCUCUCCUUGUUUUUUCUCCUCCCUUUGCUCGGCCAAGACAAGAAACAAAUAAGGAAAAUUUUGGUCAAUUUUGGUGUAGACACCAAAAUUUUAGUUUUUUUUAUUUAAUUUAGUUGAUUUUGUUUUAAUUUUUUUAAUUUUUAUCUUAUUUUAAUUUUGUUAAGAAAACCAUUUUUAUUAUUGAUUGGAAAGAAAAAAAAAUCAUCAAUCAAACACAAAAAUUUUAGCAUUUUUUAUAUCAUUUUUAGUUGAUUUUGUUUAAAUUUUUGUCUAUUUCCAUUUUUGUUAAAGAAAAUCAUUUCUUUUAUUCACUCACUGUAAACAAAAAAAAAGUAGAAAAAAAGGGGACAACACGCGCGCUGUUUCUUCUUUAGCAUGACAGCCGAAUGAAGCUAUACUGCAGAAUUGUAGCUGUGAAUUUCCAGCUCUUUUCCCACGUUUUUUUUUUGGUUUUUCUAGCUCCAUUGGAUCAUUUCAUCUCAAGCCACCUGGCUUUAAUCCCUACAUUAAGAGAAUCAUAGGACAAAAACCCAUCUAAUGGUUUAUAAACCAUCAUGGAAACAUCAGUUCAGCCGGCACCGUUUGAUGUUAGGGCUAGGGGAUCUUUGUAGCUAUAAAAGGAAGAGAAUUAGUAGAGUAAUUGGGAGUGGCGGCUAGGAUUAGAAAAAGGAGCAAGGGAGAUUGAGAGAGGCUAUGGGGUUGCAGGGAAGAGGAACCAGAAACCAGAAAAGUGACGAGAGAGCCGAGAAGGGGCUGGGCGACAGAAACGGGAAACUCAGGGAAGAAAAGUGAGCAAGAAAAAGCUGCUGAGAGGCUUCGGGUAGAAAAGAAAAGCUUGGGCUAGAGGAAAAGAGGAAGCUUGGGGGCAGUGACGGGCUGAGGGAGGAGGAGAAACAGCAAGCAAGGGAAAAAGAGAGGCGGAGAGAGAGCAAGACAGCAAGAAAGAAAAACCAGAAGGGGCUUUGACGGCUGAAGAGAAGAGACCUUGGAGUCUUCGGCUGAAGGAGAAAGAAAGCAAGGUAGAAAAAAGAUUAGAAGGGAGGUUUUCGGUUGAACAAAAAGGAAGAAACCGAGUGAGCAUGGAGAGGUGACGGCUGGAGAGAAUAGGGGAAUCUGGGCAGUAGGGAGAAAGCCAGGAAAAAGGGUUUGCGGCUGAGAAGAAAAGAAACCAAGAGAGUUGCGGUCAAUUCAGCCUUGCCCACGAAACCAUAAAUUUCUGCACAAACUCUAACAUUGGGAGAGAAAUUUCGUUCGGAAAUUUGGCAGAAAUGAUGCCUGGAACAUCUUCGAAUCUGGCUCUACAUUUGCCGACCCCAUUUCUGGUUCAUGCUCAAAGGGUCAACGAGUCGACUGCAGCUGCUUUCUUUGCUCGUUUCCUUGUUCAAGUUCGGUCAGAAGGCUUCAUCAGGUCCUCUUCUGAACUAAUCUUAUAGUUCCUCCCCUAGUCACUUGUUGGUUUAAACAUUUGCAGUUCUCUUUCGUUCCCUUUUGCUGCCAUUGGUUUGUAUUUUAUGUUCUGUCUUGAUUUCCUUUUUUUUUAUUUCCUUCAAAGCUGAUUUUAUAAGAAUAGGAUAUGAGGCAGCUAGAUGGUUUUGUAUGUUUAAGAAUUAUCGGACAUGUUGUUGAAGUUGAUAAAGGUCCAAACUUUGAGUCUCUGUUUGCUUGUUAUGGUGAUGCUAAGCUAGUUGCAGCCAUGUUGAUAGAGUCAUUUUUUUUUUUUUGGGUUGUUGAAGCUUUUGGUUUGCUUGAAGUUUGUGGUUUGCCAUGUACACGUUUGGAGUUGCGUACUUUCUUCUUGCUGCCUUUUCCAUUUGUUUCGUUUCUAGCACCUGGUUUCUUCAGAACUUGUUUCUUCUUUCUCAAAGGGUGGGGAGCAUUGUUGUUUGAUGUUUUUAUAUGAGGAUAAGAAUGAUUUAACAUGGGUUUUGCUCCUUCAAAAUAAUGUUUUGAUCUUAUGGUACGGCAAACCCAUUUUAUGAUACUUGCUAUGCUUGAUGCAAACUCAUUUUCGCAGAUUGUAUGAUGCUUGUUGUUGGGAUCUUUGGAUAGAUAAAUCUUGUUGGAAAUUGUUGAGAAAAUGGGAUGAAGUUUAGUGGUAAUUGGGUUGACGAAUUUAUGGUUUGUUCUUGUGAGUUUGCAAAUGAUUUGAUGCUAGAUAGAGUUGCAGAAAGCUGUGGAAUAUGAAUUGCAGAAACAUUCUUUUCGGCUGCUGAAUUAUGUUAUGCUUCGAACCAUGCAUGCAAUAGUUCCCAAAAAUUACAUUUUUACCCCUCAAACUUUCCCUUAUUCUACUAUGGCCCAAAUAUUUGGAAAAUUUAAUCAAUUUUGCCCCCUUUAACAUGUUAUUUUCCUUUGGUAUGCUCUAAUGUGAUUUUGACAGAUUGUUUAGAAAUUUUAGGAUGGAAUUUGAGGAUUUAAUGUUUUUUGAUAAAUUUUAGUUUUGAUUUGGAUUUUAGUGAAAAUUUUUGAAAUUUGUUAUUUAAUUAUAGCAAAUAGGUUUCAUUUAUUCAUUUAUUUUUUGUGAACUUUAUCAUUUGGUUGGGAUAGGUUUCACCUUAAGUCCUUAAUUUUAAUUUAUUUCCUUUAGGUCCUUAAUGUUUGUAAUAAUAAUAAAUUGAUCCCUCGAACCUCUUUAAUGGGUCCUUGUUGGUUUCAAUUUGAUAAAUAUGAGUUGUUUAGUUUAUUUGAAUGUUUUGAGUGAUUCAAUUUCGUGUUUAUUUCCAUUUUAUGUGGUUAUUUUUGUUAAUUAAAAUGAUGCCUUGACCUUUUCUUUGUUUUGGAACGUAAAUAAGUAAAUUUCAUUUCAUUAGGGCACCAAUUCAUGGGAGGUACACUCUACCGUUUUAUUUUGAUUUUUUACUUGAUCCAAUGUGCUCCUAUGUGAAUUUAUGUGUGAAAUUGCAUGCUUUUUUGAAUAUUUUUAUUUUAUUUAUUUAUUUAGUCACUUUAUUUGUUUUGAUUUAGUUUAUUUAUUUUAAUUUAAUUUUGAUUAUUUGAAAGGCAUUUAAAUGCCAAAAUUGUAAUAGUUAGGUAUUUCUUUUAUUUAUUUAUUUUAUUUUCCCUCUUAGAUUGUAGUUAGGGUCACCCCAAAUGUAAUAGUAGGGCUUUAUUCGCUUUAUUUGCUUUAUGUGUUUUGCAUGCUUAUGUGCUACGUGUUACUCACUUUCUUAGGGUCUUGCAUCUAGAUAUCAUGCUUAUGUGCUAUGUGCUCUAUGUGACUUAUGCUUUACUUGCUUUCACUACAAGAAAUUUGGCCUUUUGUGACAACAUUCUCUGUGACAAGAGAGAAAGUUGUCACAAUUGAAAACUUUAGUGACGACCUUUAAUGUCGUCAUACUUGAUCGUGGGUUCACCCGUCAACAGUGACAACAUAGAAUAAGUCGUCACAAUACGGAUGGCGCGCAACUAUCCAGUGUGGCAGGAGAUCACCAUUGUGACGACUGGAAAACAUGUUGUCACUGAAACUCGUCCUACAGUGACAACUUGAAAUAUCGUCACAAUAUGGUUGCCAGUUCUAAAUUAGUGACAACAACUAGUCGUCACUGUCCAAAGCAUUUAUUCCCAUCUCACUUUCACUAAUUCUACUAUGUCACCCUAAUUUUUUCAAUAUGGCCCAUUUGUUGUAAAUAAAUUUUAUUAAUUCUACUAUGACACCCUAACUUUUACAUUUUGACCCCAUAUACCACCUUAAUUUUUUUAAUAUGGCCCAUGUGUUGUAAAUAAAUUUUAUUGAUUUUACUAUGACACCCUAAAUUUUACAUUUUAACCCCAUAUACCACCUUAAUUUUUUCAAUAUGGCCCAUGUGUUGUAAAUAAAUUUUAUUAAUUCUACUAUGACACCCUAACUUUUACAUUUUAACCCCAUAUACCACCCUAAUUUUUUCUAUAUGGCCCAUAUGCUGCAAGUAAAUUUAAUUAAUUAUGUUAUGAUACCCGAACUUUUAUUUUUUAGCCCCUUAUUUGAUAAACUAAUCUCAUUAACUCUACCAUGACACCUUAUAUUUUGCAAUUUAGCCUCGUAUGUGAUAAAGAAAGGUUUUAUUAAUUCUAUUAUGGCACCCUAUGCUUUUACACUUUAGGUUGUGUUUAUCAUUAGCAAAAUGAGGAAGGUAUUGUAAAAAACAAUGUUUACCUAUUUUUUAAUUAUUCCAAACAUAGCUAAUACCUUGUUAUAAAGUUAAAAAAUAUCAUGAAUUCAUUAUUUAGUUCUCUUGACAACAUAUGGGAAAUUACUGAUUAACAUAGUGUGAAAAUAAUGGAAGAGAAUAAUAAAAUUGAAUAUGAAAUUAAGUAAAAAUCUUGACAAUUCCAUGACUGGAGUUUGUUAUGUAUUACAAUUUACAAUAAUCAAAUUGUUUAUGGUUUAUGAAUCAGUACAUGUAUCAAAUAGAUUUAGUGUUUCAUGCAUGUAUUAGUAAACCAUUUUGGUUAUUUGAUCAACUAGUUUAUUAUUAACUAGUAAACCAAUUGGAUGACUGGAGUUUAUUAUUAAUUACAAUAGUCACAUUGUUUAUGGUUUAUGAAUCGGUACUUGUACCAAAAACAUUUAGUGUGUCAUGCAUGUAUUAGCAAACUAUUUUGGUUAUUUGAUCAACUAAACAGAUUGUUAGGUCUUGUCAAACCAUAAUUCGUACAUAAUUCAUAAAAUUAUUAAAUUAAUACCAAAAAUAUUUACAUUAAAAGAUUUUUUUUGAAUCAUAAACAUAUUUUUAAUAAGCUUUAUAGUUUUUGGACAUUGAUUUUUUGUAGAGAUAAAAAAAACAUGUGUCAGUAAACAAAAUUAUCAAAAAACACUAAAUUUUCAUAUUCUAAAGUUUUAAUGCAACAAAUAAAGUUUUAAUACAACUUGUGAGCUAAAAACUCAAAAUAAUAAACAACUUUAAUUACACAAAGAUGGAGAAAAGAAAAGGAGAGAUACUAGAGAAGGCGUUGUUUUUGUAAAGAAAGGUCCAAAUAGUUAGUACAAAAGUCACUUGAAAGCGUUAUUUUUUGGCUGAAGCUAAAAUGGAAGUGGGAAGCUCAAAAUUGGAGUAGAGGCGGGGGAAGCUGAAAUUUGGAGUAGAGGCGGGGAAAGUUAAAAAUUGAACAAAAUUGUACGAGUAGAGACGGGUAAACAAAAGAAGCAAAAACGACGUCACGUUAGCAAGAGUUAAACAAAAACACUCAUAACACUUAGAAAAAUUUCGGAUAAAACUUGCUUUCCCCCUUCUUGCCAACUUCAUACACUACAUCUUCUCCUUCUCUCCACUAUCAUUUUGCUGAAAUUAUCCAGAAAAUUAUUUUAACCCACCAUUUUCAUCCGUAAUUUGAGUUACCCAAAAGAUUUGUGUAGAUUUAGUGGAGUUAUAGAUAGCAAAAAUCCCUAAUUCCGCCGCCGCUCUCCCUGUAGUUACCGUUAUCCCUCUUGAGAAUGAAAUGGAGGCCGACGCCAACUCCCUCCCUCUGCUUGACGUCAUGAAAGCCCCAAUCCGGCCAGACAUCCUUCAAGACGUUCAUCGCGCGACAUCUCCAAGAACUCUCGCCAACCUACGCCGUCUUUAGGUCCGCUGGCCACCAGACCUUUGUCGAGUCCUGGGGUACUAGUCGCACUGUUUCCUGUAUCUCUCGUGUUCCUGGCGGAGGCACUCACCAUGCAGGCCAGGGUGCCUAUGGCAACAUGUGCUGCGGUGGCCACAUGUUUGCUCCGACCAAGAUCUGGCGCCGUUGGCACCGCAAGGUCCCAGUCAACAAGAAACGGUAUGCCGUGGUUUCUGCCAUCGCCCCCUCUGUAGUGCCUUCACUUGUCAUGGCCUGCAGCCACCGCAUCGAGUCUGUCCUGCAAAUCCCCUGUGCGAUCUCCAAUUUUGCUGAGGCCAUGGAGAAAACCUCCAACGCUAUUAGUCUUCUCAAGAAAAUUGGGGCUUACCCUGAUGCUGAGAAGGCUAAAGACAGCCAGGGUAUCCGCCCAGGAAAGGGUAAGAUGCGUAACUGCCGCUACAUCUGCAGGAAAGGUCCUUUGGUUGUGUAUGGUACUGAAGGGGAUAAGCUCGUGUAGGCCUUUCGCAAGGGUAUCAGAUAUCAUAUUUAGUAAUUUCUUGUUAUAUUAGACUUCCUUUUCGGGUAUCAGAUCUUGAUUUUCAUCUCCAAAAGUUCUCUGGAGGUAAUCCCUCUCCUUUUAUUCGGCUCACCUGUACUUGCAUGCAAAAAAGAUAACAAAGAUAGAAAAAGAAUGCCCGCAGAUCAGAUGAUUUUUUAAAGAAAAAGUUGUUAGAGUUUGCCGUAGCUUUAAGAUCAUCAAUUGCUUGGAAGAAAUAUACAUGAAUCUUGAUACUCUGAAUCAUGGUAGCGUACACUGACCUUAAUUUCCUGAUGUGAUGAGGAGGUCGAGAGAGCUAUCCAAGUGGAGCAAGUGAAGGUGCCAUUGGGGCCUAUGACACGACCCCGCACAAAGAGAUUGAAUGAAGCACUACAAAUAUUGGUUCGUGCAGCCCGAGCGCCCAGUGGAGAGCCAAAGGCUAUUGAGGGCCUCAACGAAGCUAGAUAUGUGAUCUUACUCGCAGCCAUUCAAGAGGAUUAGCUACCCAAGAUUCGGCCAAGGGCCAUGGCCCAUCAUCAGUUAGUAGAGUAUAAUAAAGAGGUCCAACACGCCUAUGGGUUGGACCUUAGUCAUUGUCAGUCUUUGGCCAUAGGCUAGGCCAUGUGGGCCACCUUUGUAGUCCCUACGCUGAGCUGUUACGGGGGUCUCGCUGCCCGGUCAGCGAGUCGGGGGCCCAGGGGACGACACGCCCCUGGUGGGGGCUAGGGGGCAACGCCCCCGGAGCUUUUGGGCUAGUGGCGGCCCAAAGGGAAGCCCAAGGGCGGGCCGCCUUUCCUUCAACUCUUUACAAGCUUCGUUAGGUUUUUAGUUACGGCUACAAAUAGCCUUAAGUCGUUGUUUACACUCAAUUUUUUUUGAUGAUUAAUAAAAUUACAUUGAGAGUUCUCUCAAAGCUUCGUUGAAGCACCUUGAAUAUCUUAGAUUUGUAUCUUAGGUAUUCAAUUGACUUAUCAAUCUAGGACCGCGCUAGAUUGUGGCGUCUUCUACAAAUACCGAGGUUCGUUGACCACGUGAUCAACGGGUUUAGGUGAUCCGCUGCGUUCGUCGUCUUCAACGUGAGACUCUACCUUCUAGAUCCAAGCCUUUUUGUACGGGUUGCAUCACAAGGUUGGUGCCGUUCGUAUCAUGAUGGCAAUAUCAUGUCAUUUACAGUUUACACCAUAGACAAGUUCUUUGAUAUCUAUUUAUUCUACAAUGAGUAGCAGGUGUAGUUUGUUUAACCAACAUUUUCUAUCCUAAGCUGUUUUGCACACUAUCUGCAUUCAGAGAAGGCAUAUACCUUUUCUAUACUAAGCUAUUUUGCACGCUUGGAAUGUCUUGUGUUUCUUUCUUUGAUUUAGGAUAUCCCUUUGCAUGCAGUAAGUUUGCCUAUCUUGUAUGAUGGGGGUAGUACUGUAAUGAUUGUUGAAAUUGGUAGCUAUAAAUCCAUUGUUUGAUGAAAAUUGUGAUGUGCUUCAUCAUAGUACUAUAGUAGUGCAAACGUCCUCUAUGCCCUUCAGAAGGGGUAUGUUUUGCCCAUCCAGCCUUUCUGUUAGCUAGAAGAGCAUUAGCUUCAGCAACAUCAGCCUCUCUUUGAUUCUCAACAAAAGUUUGUUCAUCCAACUAGCAGCAUCAUCACCAUUUCAUGUUUAAACUGGUGGUCAGAGAAGCUUAAAUAACCAGUUCUCUUCUCCAUUUUCAGGUUAAGGAGAUUGCGAGAAGAUUAAUUGAAGAGCAGGAACAUAACUUAGAGGAUAUUUCACUUCGUUAGAAGGUGAUGCUUACUCUCUUUCAUAUGUUUCUUCCACAAAGAAUAUUAGAAAGUACAUGUUGAUUCCCUUACUCCCUUGUGCGUAAUAGCUUUGUUCACCUGGCUUUGUUGCAUCUUUUUCCAAUUUGGCAGGAACUUCUCACCCAUAGAGGUAACUUUCCUUUUCUUUUUAGAUCCAGCACCUUUCACUAUCGGAGUGCAACUAGUAGAUUUUGAAGUCUUUUAGUUAUUAAGUUAUUGUAGUUUACAUAUUCUAAUCGCUAUAAGGUUUUUAUAGUAGUAACUUUGAGAUUUUGGGCAGAAUUGCACUAAAAUUGCAUUUACACAAAAGAGGCCACCAUGUACAAUCAGCUUUCAUUAAUUUCUUGGCUAGUAUGAUACCAAAGAUAAAUACACUUGAGUCCCCUAUUUUUAUUUUGUAAAUUUUGUUGGAGAUUUGACAUUCAAUCGUUUGUUCAUUUAUUUUCAAGGACUAGAGACAAUUUUGUGAUAGUAAUGGUGCUAAAAAUUGGAAAAUACUGUAAAAUAAUUUUGAAUUUACAAAGUUUGUGUUCCUUUAAUAUUUACAAAGGUAAACAUCAACAACAACACAUGAAAUUAUACUUGGGUCUUGUUUCUGGGAUUUCUAUUUUAAAGAAGUUUUGAGUGUAUUUUGAUUAAGUCAAAUACUAUAAAGACUAUUAAUGCAAACAAAAUUGAAUUAUCUUGAACUUUAUUUUUUGUUAGAGAAGCGUCAAGUGGUAUGACAUGGGAGGAGGUACUUGUGAAUGGGGAGAAGAGAAGCAUAUUUUCUAUUUGGAAUUCUUUUCAAUAAGCAUGUAUUUAUAAUGUCGGUGUUUGAAAAACAUGACAUUUUCCAGUUUACUAUGAGAACUUAUAAUUUGCCUGGAUGCAAUGAGUUUGGGGUGCAGAUUCAAUACAAAAUUUACUAAGUUGGUGGGGUCAUUUUUUUAUUUAUAGAAGCCACUCUUUAAGCUUAAUUUGUCAAUUAUAUCAAGUUAAUUUUGGUUGAAAUAACCCUUAAUAGUAGAAUUGAAACAAACUUGACUUUAUUGAUUUCUAACGAGGUAUUUUGGGCAGAUUUUAUCUAUAUUCUAAUUAGUAUGUUUUGGUUGAAACUCUUGUUUGACUGAUUCUUUUAUCUCUUAUCAUAUUGACUUAAUUGGAUUUUUGUUCAGUAUGACUAUUCAUUCAAAUUCAAUAGUGUAUGCUUGUAAUGGCAAAUUUUUUGACUGAAAUCGAUUCUAAUGCGUAUGAUACUUUUCUUUCAAUGCAGUACAAUGCUAUUAAAUGCUCUUGAGGAGAUGAAAAAGGUUGGCUUUUGGAUAUGCUCAUGAAGAUGACUUCAGUUUGACACAAAUUGCUGCUUUAGUCUAUGUUUUUGUUUGGAAAGAGUACUUUGUUUUUUUUUGGAUGUGUAAUGGCUGUUACUAGUUGAACUGAUGUGAACUUAGUACUCUAUUGUUUGGAUGGAUAAUGGCUGUUAGUACUUGAACUAAUGUGGACUUUGGAACCCAUUUUGGUUAAUGUGUGUUUUGAUGAAUUUAGAGAUGUUUAUAACCAUAUAUAUAUAUUUGAGGGUUCAUUGUACAUUAAUUACUAUCAUUUUUUGCAUUAGUCGAGCCACAAUUUUCUGCUAUGGCUGUUGAAAAUGCAAUAGAAGUAGGCUUUUUAUGGCAAAUUUCAAACAUUUUAAACAAAGUUCAGUGACUACAUCAGGGAAGGUUGUCACUAGCUACAAGUUCAACCAAUGACAACAAUUCUUGUCACUAAUGAACAGGAUUAUAAGUGACAUGUAAAAGUCAUCAUUGUAGAUAUGAAAUUUGUGACGACUUUUACAUUAUCUAUGACAAAAAUACAGUUGAAGCAAUGACAAGAAAAGUCGUCACAAAAUGGUUUUAGUUAGUUACGAGUUUUUCUUUGUCAUAGAAUAAUAUGAUUCUGUGACGACUUAUCUAAAGUUGUUACAUGGACUCAUUUGUGACAUAGAAUCUGUGACAACCACGUGACAACAGAAAAAGUCGUCACUGUCUCUUUAUAAUGACAACUUUUUGAUUUUUAAUGACGACAUUUGGUUCUCACAAAAGCCUGAUUUUCUUGUAGUGUUUUUAUUAGCUUUAUAUGAUUUGUUGAGUUCUAAUAAAUGUAUGACGUCACCACACUAGUCCAACGCUAGUUGUAGCCCCUUUCCCGUCACCACACUAGUCCAAUGCUAGUUGUGGCCCUUUGUUCCGAUUUCUCACUAGUCCAAUGCUAGUGAGAAUUUGUAGACAUGGGUUAGUCCAAUGCUAGACCCUUAGGAACCAUUCACACGCUAGAUCAUGUUUGUGUAACUACACUACAUUUUCAUGCAUAUUUUUCACUUUCUAGGUUUUUUUAUCAUUUUUGCAUGACAUCCCCCCUUAUACGUAUACACAUCCCUUAUCCCAUAUUUCCCCUAUAUGUAUAUCCCUUACCCCUACGUAUGAGACAUGACAUUAGACUUGCAUUUCAUAUAAGGAAAACUAGAGAUAGGUUAGUACAUUUGCCUGAUUAGAUUAGGAAAUACCCCUCAAGUAUGGGGUAUGGACGAGUUUGGCUUCCUAUCCUUAGCACGCUCAUAUUCCCUCUACAAAAGGGAAAAUUGAAGUCACGGUCAUAGCCCCCGCACCCAUUAUGAUGCAUUCCUUUAGGUCAUGUGUAUUUGUAUAUUAUUAUUUCCUAUCUUUUCUUCGAGUCUCAUAUUUUUGCAUAUUCGUGACCUCUUCAGAUAAUCACUUUUGGGCGUCGCAAUUAAUGCGAUUUGCACCAAUUAAAAUUCGAAGAGACAUAUUGAGCCCCCGAUAUCCUCCUAGGUUUAGGGUUUGCAUUCAUAUAGUAUAUCCAAAUGUGAUAAAUUCUUAGGUUAAAAUAAGAAAAAUUUUGACUAAAUCACGCAACUAACUUUGGCUAGAUUGAAAGGGUGCCUUGGAUUUUAUCCUUGCCUUCCCUUUCUUCAAAUGUGACUCCCGAACACUUUUCUCUGAUUUCGAAAACUUGGAGUCGUUUAAAAAGGGUUUUUCUACUUUUUUUAUUCAAAAUUCAUUUUAGGUGACUUGGUACACCUUAACUCAAUACCAAGUGACGACUCCUAUUUUUAUUAAAAACCCUUUUUAAACUAUUCUUUUGGGUCAAAAUCGUCGCACUUAUUAAACCCCAUUUUAGGCCCAUCAUUUUCUUUAUUUAUUUUUUCUAAAAAUCAAAAACUUAUUUUUACAAACCCGUUAUUUAUUUUUAUUUAAAAAUGGGGCACGGCAUUUGGUUUUAGGAAAGUUAAGACAACCUUGGUCAAAGUCCAACUUCCAAUGGUUUCACGACAAAUGGCGCCUUAGGGUUUUGUUCUCAUCUUCUUGUCUUCCAAAGCUAAUUUAUCUAGUUAACCUCUAAUUAUCUCCUAGCACUUUGUAAAAUACUAUCCCUUUAUGCAAAACUUCACCUAGUCGUCAAAAAUUUAUCACACUUACCACACUAGCGGGUCCCACAUCCAUAAUGCACUUCAAACUUAAUAUGAACUAACUUAUACCGGGAAAAUGAUUUAAAACUAUACUCACUUAUAAAAAUAUCUAGGAAAUUAAGAUAAUAAAGUAAAGUAAAGAAAAUGUAUGCACGGAAAUAAAAUAAAUAAAAUAAUGAAAAUUUUUGGGUCCCCACAGGAAGAAAACUGUGUGAUGGCCAAGAGAGUGGAACUGGAAUUGUAGCUUGUUAUCAGAGCUUUCUUAGGAGAAUAAUGCUAGGAAAUGCAUGCAAUAUAUUUAUCUUAAGUCUUAUAAGAUAUUUAGCUGUGAAACUCAUGAAAUGUUGGUAGAUUUGGCUAGAAAUGUUAAAAGAAAGCUGCUGGAAAUUUCCAGUUUUAGGAGAGAGGAAAUAGAGCAUUGUCCAGCUUUUCUCUUCGACUCUUUGGCUGCAAAUUUUACAUUGCAGCUUAAAAUACCUCGUAGCAUGAUAAUCGCCAUCUGCAUGCUGAGUUUGAGUGAAAAAAUAUGAAGAGAUUGUGGAGAAAACUUGUUUUCCAAACUACUAACUUGCUGGAAAUUCUGUUUAGCUGAUGACAGAUUUACUUGAGGUUUCUUGGUGGAAUUAUUUGCUGAAAUUAUAUGCUAUUUGCUUUAUUUCAUGAUGGAUAGAAUGUAUGUUGUGUGUGUGGUGUUUAAGUGAGUAAAAGGUGGGAACUUUGUUGAAAAUUUUGAAGUAACAUUGCUGGAAAAUCUGUUUUGCUGGCCAAGAGAGUGGGGGUUGAAAUUUUCAUGUUAUUUUCAAAAAAUUCCAUGAUAAUUGGCUAUAAUCUCAAGUAAAAAAUCUUGUAACAUCUUGUCCUUGAUUUUCAUGUACAUUUUAUUGAUUUUAACACUUGAAAAGCUGGUGAAAUCUGAGAAAAAAAAAUUAAACAACAAGCUAACUGGUUUGGCCUGGAGGGAACAAAUGAAAAAUUACUAGCUUAAUCUUUGAAUUUUGGAUUGAAAAUGGUUUAAUCUUGGCCUAAACACCACACAAGACCUUAAUUUUUGGGUACGUAUGUAUUUCCCUUGUUUUGAGUUGAUAAACUUGAUGAAUCUUGAAGAGAAAUGUAAGAAAGGUUUGCUAGAAUUUCACCUCUUGUUUGAUAAGCUAAGGAACUUGGUUUCUAGUAAUUUAAACCUUAAAUUGGUGAGUGAUUAGUGGCCAGAAAUAAAGUUAAAUGGUUAAAAUGGACGGGAAAGGUUGCUAUACCAACUAUAGGAGUCUAGAGAGCCUUAAAAUUUAUAUGAAAAGAUAUUCAACUAAAACAUGAUUUAAGUCGCUUUAUACGAAUUGUAUAUUCACCUUAGGGUAAUAAACUAGUUUUGCUCAUGAUCUUAAUUAAUAAAAAGGGGUUUAUGGGACAAGAAAAUACCUUCAAGGUAGUUACUUCUAAAACUUACCUUAUUAAAAGUUAAUGUUGAGUUCUAGUACAUUAAAUCUAAAGCUAUAAAAGAAGUGAAGUGAAAUUGCUGUUUUUAUUUUAAAAACUUCACCAAAGAGUAGUUGAAUAAUUAUAGUAUUUAUAAACUUGUAUCAAGGGACAACAGUGAGCCAGGAAGCAACUCCGAGAUUCAAGUGUAACUUAUAUUGGCUACAGUGAGUGUUCUUAAGCUGUUUGUACUUGUUUAUUUGGUGACUUGCUUGUGUACUGUUAAAUGAUGCGAAUUGAAUGAAUGACAUAAGACUUUGCUUGGUUUUGAAAUUUUACUGAUAAAAGGCUAGAGCGUACUUAUCGCUACUGCCUUAAUGAACUGAAAUGUAUAUCAUAGUGAUUAUUGACGGGAUUGUGCAUGAAUGAUUGUAGGCCAUUGUGUACUUUAUCACAUCGGCUGAAUCGGGUCCUAUGCCUUGGCAAGUUGAUCUAGUUGAGCCGGUAAAGGACUUGGUAGAUUAGGUUGGCUACCAUGAGCAAUUGAAUGGUAUACUCGAGUUUUACCUUGAAGAUUGGAGAUCAAUGAACUGUUUAUUGAAUGUCAGGGAUUGUUUAUUGUUUUGGAGGUUAUAAGGGGAAAGAAUGGUGGAGUGAGAAGAAUUCAUAUCCUUUUAAGUGAAUGUUUACCUUAUUGAAUUUGUUCUCUUGAUUGGUUAUGUUUAAGGAAUGUCUUAUAUUGAUAUUUGGUUUUACACAUUUAAACUUCACUAAACUUUAACUCAACCUUUUAGUUUUGUUUUCCUUACAGGAGUUGAAGUUUGAAGAAUGAACAAGUUGGGUUAGAAUGUUUUGGGAGGUCCAUUUUUGUGUGUAUAUAUAUAUAUAUAUCACUGUUAAGAUUUAUUUUUGUAUUUUGUAAUGGACAAAGCUUUUGUCUUACUAGUUGGAGAAGUAUUAAGAAUGAAUGUUUUGGAUGUUUAAUUAGAAAUGUUAUCUCUAAAGUUAAUGGAAGUGAAUGAGCCAUGCCAAGAGCUAGGCAGGCAGUCCGCAAACCUUUAGGGUACGCCCUAGGGGAAGUGGGGUUGUCACACGCCAACCUUUUUAUAUUAUAUAAAUCACCAAGAAAGAUGAGUGUGACUACAACUUAUUGUGCAGCAAUGGGAAAUAGAGAACUACUCCCUUACAUGCUUAUGCGGAAUCUUCCUAAUAGAUGCAAUGUCUAACCUAUCUAGACACAUGGCUCCUCUAGCUAGCGGUGGAAUCGAUGAUAAUGCCGAUUAAAUCUCCUCUCCAGCAUGAGAACACCUUACAUUCGAUAAAACAUCAGCAACUUGGUUCGACUGACGAAAGCAAUGACUAAUCUGCAGAAAGUGAGCCGAAAAGGCAAAUAACUACUGCACUCUUUGUAAAUACUUCAUGGACAACUAGAUUUCUCAUUUAAAAUGAGAACUAGUAUUAAUGAAUCUAGUUCAACUUCAAACCGAAAGUUGGUUAAUUUAGAUCGAAAGUUGGCUUUAUGGAUGUAAUAGUUUCUGUGACGGCCCCAUCCCCCCCUAAGGCGUACCAAAGGGUUCAGCGGGUCGCCAGCCCAGCUCUCGUCGGGACUCAGUCAUACCUCAAUCAAAUCCGAAAUAAAACCCCAAGAUCAAACAAAAUAACAAUCCAAAACUUAAAGUGAAACUUAUAUACAUAACUGCCUUAAAAGGGAGUACAAACAUCGGAUAUACAAAGGUUCUCAAUCCUUCAUACAUCCAGCCUGUGCCGAAAGGUAGGGCGAGAACCAUUACAAAAAUUUAAAACUAGUCUAGGCUAGUCUAUACCGAGCUCUCGUCUUGGCUCGCCGUCCCCUGUUAAGGAAAACAAAACUAAAGGAAUGAGCUAAAAGCUCAGUGAGGUUCCGAACACAUAAUCAAAUAAUCAAUCCAAUACAUUAAACAUAGAGUAUCAAUAGUUCAAGAAAUAUUUACAAUGGAAAGCGAUAAUAACACAUUCAUUAAAAGGAUACGGGCUCACAAGGAGCCAUUCGUUCGUUCGUUCGUUCAUUCUCCUGUCAUUCCCCUUAUUUCUCCAAUUAUUUGAAAAUGCAUUUUUGUAAGUAAAACCCUCGUUUGCAUUGACAUUCGUUCGUUCAUUUCAUUCACCCCUUCCUGGACGUUGGCCAGGCUCCACCCGACAACAAGGUAAUACUCGAGUAUACCAAACGUUCACACCCAGGGUCACCAUAUCGCCCGACCGAGUCCGCUUUUGGCUCGAGUCGAUCGGUAAUGAAGGGCAGGGCCCAGUUCAGCCAAAAGGCUUACAUCAUGCGCAACUAGCAUUUCAUUAUUUAAUCAUUGAAAAUUUCACAUUCAUUUAGGUCGAGUGCGAUAAAGUGCACACUCGCCUAGAAAACUCAUUUAAAGCAAUCAUUGAAAACAUUUAACAUGUUAUCAUUCGUUCAUAACAAAUCAUAUAAUCAAGAACAAGCCACAUAGUCAAUGAAAAUAUAACAAACAAGGAACACUCACCUAUUUACGCAAAAUAACGUCCAAAAUAUCCUUCUGGAUAACACCCUCAAUCAUCAAGGAAUCCUAAUAUAAUAAAAAGAACACAUUAUGUUUCAACCAUCAAAGAUGUAAGUGAUUCAAAGAAAAUUCGAAUACGUACUAGUACAAAGUAUAAAUAUGGUUUUGGUAGUGAAAAGAGUACAUUUAAACCAAAGGACAUAAGUAAAAUAUUUGUAAAACUUAUACUCACGUGUAAAACUUUAAAAUCGCUAGUUGAGUCGAAGUGGCAAAGAAAACAUAAAUACCCUAGAUGGUUCACGUGGUAUUCGCUCUCGAGCCUUACUCAAGUGGCAAGUAUAUCGACCUAGUUCUCGAGCGUAAAUUUGGGCAGCACGCCCUUUGUAUUUACCUAUUUUCCAGCCAUUUAUGGCUUCAUUCUUUUCCUCAAUCAAACCCAAAGUCAUACACAAAAUCAUCUCAUUUCAAUAGCCAUUCCAUAGGCUCCAAGUCAUACAAGUACACAAUCAAGCUAGGAGCAUGUGCGGAAAUAAAGUUUAGCAAAAGACAGAUUUGAUGUUGUUUUGCGUAACGGACACAACCGAAGCUACGCUUAUCGAAUUGGGGUGAAAUUUAUACCAUUUCGAAGCUAAGAUAAAGUCCUACAAUUAUGUUGUUUCGCACUAACUUGAAAACGAAAAGGAAAAACCCUUAAUUGUAUAUUCAUUUGCACUUAUUGUGAGGUGAUUGGGUAGUAGGGCCAUUAUAAAGUAAUAAUUUCCAAAUAAAAGGGUAUUUUUAAGAAAAUAUAAGGAAUUUUACGGGUCCUCACAUCAUAAUGCGUUUCAAAUUUAACGUAUACUAACUCAUACUAGGAAAAUGAAUUUAAAACUGUACUUGCUUGUAAAAAUGCAAAGAAAGUUUAAUAUUUCCAAGGAAAGUAUAAAAUGUAGGCAAAGGAAUAAAAUAAUGCUGAGAAAAUGUGAAAAUUUUGGGUUCUCACAGUUUCGUUCUUUAAAUAUCAGGACAAAUUUGUUUCAUUUUGAAAGUAAGAAAUGAAAAGAAUAGUUUUACAAAAUUUGAGGGAUAAAACAGAUAAUUUUCUCAACAAUUAAUGUGCCUUCGUAGCAAAUGAUGUAAUUUCAACUUAAUAAGACGAAGAUUAUGUCAUCAUUAAGUACAAUGCAUUGCUGCUCUUUAUCAUACGUUUGUAACACCCUUAAAUGAGAUGAUCUCAUGUUUGUCAUAAAACUAUUCCAUUUAGAAUUAAAUGAGACAAAACCUUUACACCGAUAGGAUGACAAUUUUAGUGUUAGACAUGUGCAUUUCAUCAUGUCCAUGCAUGCAUAUCUUUUUCUAUGCUAGCUGACUUAUACUUUGUCAGUGUAGCUUUAUAGUAUUAAAAUGUAACUCUAAUAACUAAUGGUGUGACUUUAUAAUUGAUAAAAAUAUAUUAUCAUUUUCCUUUAAAAUGAUAGGUAAUCUUGAUCACAACUAUGAUAGUAGGUAAUAUUCCUGUCGCGCCCCACUUUUUGAUGCGUAAUGUGUGGUGUGAAGUGUGAGUGUGUAGUGUGUGUGUGUACGUGUGCAAAAUGAAAAUAAAGGCCAUGGGACUUGAUAAUGCGACGGUUUGGCCAUAUAAAGUUCAAAAAGGGUUUUUUGUAUCAAAAAUGGAGUCGCCACUUGGUAUAGAGUUAGGGUGUACCAAGUCACCCAAAAAUGAUUUUUGUUUUUGAAUGAAAAAGUAAAUAAACCCUUUUAGAGAACUUUUGGGUCUACGUAACCAAAAGAGGGAUCGGGGGUCACAUUUGACGAAGGGGAAGGCAAGGAUAAAAAUCCAAGGCACCCCUUCGUCCUAGCCAAGGCUAGUUGCGUGACUUAAACCAAUUUUCCCUAAUUUUUCUACCCAGGGUAUGUAUCGCGUGUUGGAUAUGUCUUUAUGAAUGCAAAAACCUAGACCUAGGGGGACAUGGGGGAAAUUUCUCUUCAAAGGUUGAGUGGUGCCAAUCACAUUAAUUGUGAAGCCCAAUAAUGAUCCUUUGGAGAGGUCACACGUAAUCCUAAAUGACGUAAAAAUGAGUGGAAUGCAUGCCAUGUGAAAGUGUGAGUUUGUGUGAAGUGAGAAAAAUGAUAAAAAUACGAUAUAAGUGGAGGUGUGCAAAUGUCUUUGAAUGCAAAUAUAUAUACUCCAAGUGCAAGUGGGCAAAAAUGCAUGUAUGCAAUUUAAAGAAAAGUGCGAAAGUGUCGGUGUGCAAAUGAAGAUGAAAGUACUCGUGUGCGAGUGAAGAUAAAAGUGUUCGUGUGCAAGUGAAGAUAAAAGUGUUCGUGUGCAAGUGAAAGUGAUAAAAAGGUGCAUGUGUGCAAAUGAGACAAAAGUGAAAGUGUGAUGAUAGAGUGGAUUGAGAAUGCAUGAGCCUAGGGAAUUCAUGCAUAUUGGGUACGGGGAGACCUAAAUCGUGACUCAAUUUGCCCUUUUAUAGAGAGGAUACAAGCGUGCUAAGGCUUUAGAAAAAGCCACACUCGUCUAUAUCCCAUAUUUAAGGGGACUCUCCAGGUAAAUGAACCCUAUAACUAGUAUGAGAUGCAAAAAAAUCCUAAAUUGAGGGGAAAAGGGGUUCGAGGAGCAUGCCAAAUGAUAAAACUAAGAAAAAUGCAUGACAUGUAGUGAACAUGCAAAUAUGCACUAUCGAAAGGGAAAUCCUAAGGGUCUAGCGUUGGACUAGCCCAUCUAUGAAUUCCGACUAGCGUUGGACUAGCGGAAACGUACAUUCAUCCAUCACAUUCAUUCAUGGUUAUGAAAGCAAGUAGACAUGCCAAAACACUCGUAAACACGUAGCACAUAACAUUUAGCAUGCUCGACUAGAUGCAAGGCCCUAACAAAGCAAAUUAACAUGUAACAACUAAGCAGGCAAGACACAUAAGGCAAUUAAAGCCCUAACUAUUACAUUUGCUAGCUAGGCACACGUCUUCGAUAGGUCUUCAUCGAAUGCUCCUCCAAGCCCUAUCUAUUACAAGCCAAGAGGUGUACACAUACCCCAUAAUGAAUACCUUAGACAAAGGGGGAAAGGGAAAAUGGACAAGAAAGCUCGCCAAGCCCUAUCUAUUACAAGCCAAGAGGUGUACACAUACCCCAUAAUGAAUAACUUAAAUAAAAGUAAAGUAAAUGAAAUAAACGCAAGGAAUUAAAGGGAAGCAAGUAAAGCGAAGUAGACAUGCAUAUUCACAUAACACGUUGGAUCACAUAGGAGAAAUGAAAAUCAAGGAGAUAGAGGUUACCUCCCUUGCAAUUGGGGCCCAGAUGAAAGAAAAAUGACUUCAAAACAAUAAAACGGUCAAGGUACCACUUUAUUUGGGAAAAACAAAGAAAAUAGGCAAACACAAGCUCACUUGGCCAUAAAGCCCCUAAAGUCAUGAAUUAAGUGCGAUUGAAGCGAAGCAUAGUAGUCAAUUGAAACAAACAAGCAAUGAAGUUGUAAAAUUAAAGGCUACCAAGGACCAAACUGAGGAGAUCAUUCAAUUGAUUGGGCCAUAGUAGGACAAGGGGAGACUUGGGGGAUUGAAGAGCAAUUUUCAGAAUUUAUUUCAUGCAUGCAACAUAUGCGGAAGAGAAGUUUUCUGCAAUUUUCAUGGCUGCGGCUUCCAUUUCAUCGCGCAGACCAGGUUUUCAAUCCAAAAACACAGCUUUGAUCAAAUGUUUUUCAGCCCAACAUCACAACUCUGAACUAAGUAACAAACUACCUGGUAAUCACAAUCCAAAUGACCAGAAAACUUGGGAAAAGAUCAUGCAAAACUUCUGAGAAAGAAAACAAAACUGGUUCGACAAAAAUGGUUGCAAAUUUCAGCAAAGCAUUCGAACAUGAUUCAGACACUUCAGUCCCCAAACAUGCAUACCCAACACCAAAUCAUUCCAUUCCUUCCCCCAACACAAGAUCAAACAUGACUGAAGUGCAAAACUCAACCACUAACGAAGGGAAAGGAAACGCAGCAGAGAAAAGAAAGAAAAAAAAUGUAGCAGCUUUCCCUUGCUGCAUUUUUAAACCCCAGAUUUCAGAAAAAACCAGCACAAUCCUCAGCCAAACUCUCUCAAUCCAAUGUAUAAACUUUGAGUUAAACAAACAACACACAACUUCAACAUCAACAAGUAAAGACUUAAACAGAAACUGAUGCAAAAAUCACGAAGAAACUCAUGCGUGUCUGCAAACCCCAACCACCAUUCCUUCUUCGAUAUCUCCCUCUCGGCUAAAACUCAUCUAUUGCCCAUGAAGCCUAUCAAUUUUACCCUCUUAACUCAAGUACUACAACUCUUAAACCAUGUCGUUAACAAAUAAUCUAAACCAAAAUGAAUGGGUAGAGAUGCAGCAAAAGAAAGGAUGACACUUGCAGCCAAAUUUCAGUCACGGUCUUUCUUUCCAUGAAGACCAGAUUUUGAUUCAAAUGCACAACUUUGAUUAGAUAUUCUUCAUCUCAACAUCACAACCUUAAAACCAAGCAACAAAACUUCAUGAUGAUCACCAUCCAAUGACCCGAAAUUUGGGAAAGAUAUUGUACAAAAAUUCUGGAAAAAAAACGCAGAAAAGGAAGAGCAAAGACUGCUAUAACUCUCUUAUCAACACAAGCCGAAUAUCAGAAUUUUAGUUUAGGUAUGCAUAUGAUGUACGAGCUGAGCAACAAAUCCCAGAAUUCAAUCGAAACAAAGAGUUCCAACAACAACCAAGACAAAGGCUCCAACAUCCGAACCAAACCAGACAAUAAGAAACUAAACAAGGCGUCGACAGGCCAUGCGAAUAGUCUUUUCAAAGCUAGGAACUUGCUACUGACUUUCAAUCUAUGAACAAACACCAAAUGGGUCUCCGACUUUCCCCACUGAACGUGCAAAGGUAACGACAGACAUAAAAAUGACAGCUUUGACGCUAAGAAGAUGAGCAAGGCAACGUGGGACUCACAGAUUCGUAUACACGCUUGGAAAGCUUAAGGAAUCAGCACUUAAACUUAAAGUUUAGAGGGGAGAAUGGCUUACAGUGGCCUUCUUUUGAUUGAAGGAACUGAUCUGAAAACAGCAGAAGGCGGUGGCAGCAGCUCCUCGCUUCGGUCAAAACCUCCUGGCUUGGCCCUCUCACUUUUCUUUCCGCCGUUGCUUCGCUCUUCCCUCUCUUCACCUCGCUUCUUCCGCAGCUCUCCCACUCAACCCGUCAACACCAGAACUCUCCUUGCUCUCUCUAUCUAUCCAACUCUCUGUAAUCUCUCCCUCACUUAGUUUCCAGCCGCCGUCAACUUAGCUCUUCUGAUUUUUCUUUUGCCGUUAUUUCCCCCUUGCUCUCGGCUCUCCAACUCUCAGCUGCCCAUUCUCUGUUUUUUCCUUCAGCCCCCAGCCCAGCCGAAACCUUCCUCCGUUUCUUUCUUUUCCCGUAAGCCUUUCUAUCUCUCUCCCAAAACCGAGCUCCCUCUGUUUCCUUUUUGCCUUUGCUGUUUUUUUUCCCUAUCUCCCCGACUCCCCUUCCGGCUACCCUCAAAUGCAAAACACCUUCUCCAAAACCUCCAUCCUACGGCCCCCCUUUGCUGUCCAAAACCUAGUCAUCUACUUCUAGAAUCCUCUUCCCCCCCUCCAGGUGUCCUAGACACCUGGCCUUUGUAGCUAAAAUUUGCCUCCCAAGGACCUCCCGCAAUCCCCCUUGCAAGCUGCGGCAAAAAACGCAGCUUUCUGCAUUUUUUUUUUUUAAGAAUAAUAUAAAUAACAAUAAAAACAAUAAUAAUUCAAACAAACUUAAACUUAAGCAAUAAAAAAAAACUAAGAUUUUCCUCUUUUCUUCUUUUUUCCAUUUUCAUUCAUUUUUCUUCUUUUUCUUUUUCCAAGAAAUUGUAUGCUAAAAACUUAAAAAUAAAAAUAAAACUAGAAACUAAAAACUAAAAAUCGAAUAAAACUAACACGACAAAUAAAAAACUAAAAAUAAACAGUAAAUGAAAUUACACCAAAAAUUUGGUGUCUACAAUUCCUACACCUAUGAUUAAAUAAUUAAUGUGUCUCUAUAGCAAGUGGCAUAAUUUUAACUUAAUAAGAUAAAGAUUAUGUCAUUAUCAAAUAGAAUGAUAGAUAGUUUUCAUCGUAUGUUCAUAACAACUUUAAACGAGACAAUCUCACCUCUCCUAUAAAUCUAUUCGAUGUACCUUUAAAAGAAAGGAUAAUUUUCAAUCAACGAGAGCAUAAUAUGCAUAUUUGGUACAUGCAGUUAAUUAUGUCAAUGAAUAUCUAUCUCUUCAUCUAUACCAGUCAACUCACACAUUGUCGAAAUGUCUAACCUUAAAGUAUCAAGUAUGAAAAUUAACGCUGUAAUUUCAUAAAGAAUAAGAUUCAUUAUCGUUAACCUUUAUAAGAGUACGUAAUCUUGAUUGCUCCUAUGCUAACAUGUUUAUAACACCCUUAAAUGAGGCAAUCUCAUGUCUCUCAAUAUUCAAUUCAGAAUUAAACGAGAUGGAAAUUUUACAUUGACGGGAGGACAAUUUUAGUGUUGGUCACAUGUAUUGAAUCAUGUCGAUGCACGUAUAUCUCUUUCCCUAUGCUAGUCGAUAUAUACUUUGUCCGCAUAACUUUAUAAUAUUAAAGUAUAACUAUGAAGCCUAUCGAUAUAACAGUAUAAAUGAUAAAGAUACAUUAUCAUUAUUCUUUUAGAAUGAUAGAUGGUCUUAAUUAUACCUAUGCUAAUGCGUGAUUGCCCUAACCAAUGAUUAAACAAGCAAUGUACCUCUACAGCAAGUGGCAUAAUUUCAGCUUUAACAAGAUGAAGUUUAAGUCAUCAUCAAGUAGAUUGAUACGUAGAAUUCAUUGUACGUCUGUGGCAUCCUUAAAAAUGAGAUGAUCUUACAUCUAUCAUAAAAUUAUUCAACUUAAAAUUACACAAGACAAAAAUUUUACAUCAAUAGGAGGACAAUUUUAGUAUUGGUGUAGAAAUUUAAUCAUGUAAAUGCAUGCGUAUCUCUUCCUUAUGCUAGUCAACUUAUACUUCAUUAAUGUAACUUCAUAGUGUUCUUUUUUGGAUGUAGCUAUGAAGAUUAAAGGUUUAACUUUAUAAAUGAUAAAUAUGUAUUACCAUUAUCUUUUACAACAACAGGUAGUUUUAAUUGCACUUAUGCUUACACUUUUGAUUGGGACAGUCUUAUUCCCAAAAUUGAACAAUUAAUUUGCCUCUGGAGCAAGGGGCGUAAUUCCAGCUCAGUAAGAUAAAGAUUAUGUCACCAUCAAAUAGAAUGAUUCGUAUUCAUCACACGUUUGUUACAUCCUUGAAAUAAGAUGAUCUUACAUCUCUCACAAAACUAUUCAAUUUAGAUUAAAUCGAGACAAAAAUUUUACACCUACGGGAGGACAAUUGUACAUAGACAUCCGUGUUCAUCGCGUGCCUGUCAACUUCCAAUUCGUUUGUGUAACCUCUUAGAAGUUCGAUGUUACAAUGAAGGCUAGCGAAUAGGUUCUUUAGAAAGAUAAAGAAACAUUAUCAUUUAUCUUUUCAAUGAUAAGUAGUUUUUAUUGCUCCUAUACUAAUACAUUUAAAUGGGAAGGUCUUACAUACAGCUAACAAUUUCAAUUUGCAAUAUUUGCUCACUUGAGCGACACUAAAUUUAGCCACCAAAACUAUAUUAAUUUCUUACAAGAAAAAUAUUAAAUGGUGGUGGUGGCUGCCGCCAGGAACAUUCUCCUUCAUUUGCAUCAUGCAUACAUUUUUUCCCUCAUCCGGGCCUUCUCACAUUUUUAGCAACUCUUUUGCGUGUACAAGCCAUAAUCUAUUGUCAGAAACCCAAACACUACGCACUUACAAACAUUUAGUAACAUCAUUUGAAUCCGAGGACUAUGGUUCAAGUUUAGGAAUUGGAAUUGUAAUUGGAAUCAUAUUAAAAAAUUUAGUAUGGGAUUUGAUUGGGUUUUGGUCAAAGGUAUCAAUACAAUAACAAGCGUUUGGUAGAUCUUUGUCAGGAAUGGAUAUUACAUUAAAAUUUGAAUAUUUUAUCAUUUUUUAAUUUCUUUUUCUUUUAAAUUUCUUUUAUUCUCUCCUUUUUGUUCUUAAUCCAAUUGCAGAACAUCCUUCUAACCCAAUUGCAGAACUUCAUAGCGACCAUUGAUGGAUCAACUGGUAUUUUUCUUCGACUUCAAGGUCACAAAUUCUAUUUUCGUAAAUCCUACUUGUAACUUGAAGAUCAUUAGAUCUAGUUUCUAAACAACUUAUUUUAAAAAAAAGAAAGAAAGAGAGCAUGGGUUUUUGCAGCCCCUCACUCCACCACCUCAACUCCUCCUCCAUUGCUGCCAUACAACCCCCAAAAAAAAUGAACAACAACUAUUUUAUGGAGAUUAGAACUAGAAAAGAGAACAAUUUUGUCUUAAUUUGAAAAGCCAAUCAAGAUGAGACUCUUUGGCCAACAAAAAUUACUCACAUUUCAAGAGCCGUCGUCAGCUAUGGAAGGGGAAGUGAAAAAAGAGGCCUACUACACCGGUAGGAGAGUAAUUAGAAGAUUGGAAUAAGUGGGAUAGAGGGAAGGGAAACAUCUAAUAUGGAGAAGUAAGUAAAUAGGAGAAUGCGAUGGGAAUAGAAGAGAGAUGGUGAAGUAACGAGUGAAAUGAAAUAAAAAAUAUUACUAUUAAUUAGCUUUGGAAUCAGACGUGGGAUUUCACAUAACCUUCCAACUUGGUCAGGAAUUGAGGGUUGCCAUUUUCUUAGCAUUCAUUCCAAAAUCUUGAAUCCGAUACCUAUAACCCAAGCACUAACAAUGGACUUGAUUCAAAUCCUUGAUUCUAAUUUGUGAAAUAAAGUAAUGAUUGAACUUACACCAAAUGAUUGAAAUGUUACACCAAAUGAUUAAACUGUUACACCUUAGUGCUAUUCAAAUUUGUUACACCUAAGAAUUGUUACACCAAAUGAUUUAGGUGUUAUACCAAAUGAUUGAAUUGUUACACCUAAGUGCUAAUCUAAUUUGUUGCAGUGGUGAUCAAUAAAAUCACUAAACAAGAAUAAUUAGACAAUUCUUUUUGGAAUACCCUUCUGCUCAAUUCAUAAGAAAUGUUGAAAAUUUUUAAGCCGCAAUACUAAAAUGGUAAAUCUUAAGUGUUAAUAAAAUGAAACCCCACAAAAAUAUUAGUUGUGUUUAUGGAUAUAACUGGCAAAAAAAAAAAAGCAUAACAAUAGGUAUGAUAUUAGUUUCUCGAAAAAAUUGGUUAGGUUCUACGCUGCUAGGGUUUGGCUGCUAGGGUUCGACUACUACCAUGGCGGCAGAGGUUGCCCUCCCGCCUGGAGGGAGGGCAACCUGCAUCUUCGUCUCCCUCUUUCAGGAAGAAGGCCUUCUCGGAGCUAUUCGCUAACGUCGCUUCGUCGCAGACAUCGCAGGUUCAAGCGACUAUGUCGACGCAUAUGGGGGAGCCAGCAGUGGUUUUCAAGGCUGCUGAUAUGUCAGCAGUAGCGUCUCAAUUCCGGUUCAUACUGGUUGGGAAGUUCUCGAAGGGCAGGCCGGCCCUGCUAGAGUUGAGAAAAUUGUUCAAUACAUUGGACUUGAAAGAUACGGUUACGGUUGGACUUUUGGACGGCAGGCAUGUCUUGAUCACACUCAACAACGAGGCAGAUUUCCUACGGGUUUGGUCAAGAAGUAUUUGGUAUGUUUAUGGUUGUCCCAUGAGAGUCUUCAAAUGGACACCAAAAUUUCAUGUAGACAGAGAAUCCUCUUUGGUUCCGAUUUGGUUUAGGUUGCCUAAGUUGCCCAUAUAUUUGUUUGAUAAGCAAUGCCUUUUUCAUGUUGUUUCUUGUCUGGGGACUCCCCUUUUUGCGGACGCAGCAACCGCUUCUUACUCUUUGCCGAAUGUAGCCAGAGUGUGCGUGGAGAUAGAUUUGAUGAAGGCGUUACCAUCAAGAGUGUGGUUGGAUAUGGGAGAUGGAGAUGGUUUCUGGCAAUCUUUACUGCCUGAAAAUCCUCCCAAGUAUUGUAUUCACUGUUAUAGGCAGGGACAUGAUGAGGGUGAAUGUCAUGUGAAGAACCCAGAGUCAAGAAAAUCGCAAGGGGAGUCGCGGAACAGGGAAGCCUUGGAGAUGACUAAGGCUGUGCAUAAGUCACAGGCCACGAGAGUGAAUGUAACCCAACAGUCGUCCAAACCGCAGGCUUUUCUUGAGGCGAGGCAGAUUUGCGAGGUGGAGUGUGAGCUGACGGUGGAGGUGGGCGGAUCUGACGAUGGAGGUGGGAGAGCUGUCCAGUUGCAGUAGACUACUGUUCGGCAUGCUGCGGCUGGGGAGGUGGAGUAGGUGGGGCUGGAGGAUGGGGAGCAGUCUAUGGCAGUUGCGGAAGCAGGGCCUGGCCUUGCUAGUGCUGCCCAGUGCACAGUGCCAGUGGCAGUAGAGGCAAUGGUCGACGUCAAUGGAGCCUACGCUGGUCUUAGCUGCAGCAUGGAGGGUGCGGCUGUUUUGAAAGAGGGUGGGCAGCGUGUUGAAGAAAGUGCGGAGAGGGACGGUUGCCGCAUGACAGGUAGGCUACAAGUGGUUUUACCAAUUUCGGACGCACAAGAGCAGUUCCUCCCUUUUGGGGAGCUGAGAGGGGGGGAGUUUCACGGAAGGGUGGAGAGGGAAGUGGUAGAGGAAAUUCAGCAGGUCUCCACGCCAAAGGGUGGGUAAGGGUAGUAAUGCGGACUCGUCGUCGGUGUUGGAUAAUUUCAACCUGGACCCCGUAAUCUAGCGCGUACAACACAAUGUGCAGAGCAGCGAGGGUUUUCACUUGGUGGGUCCACACAAGACGAAGGGGAUUUGGGCACAGUUUCCUUUAGAUCGUUCUUUACGCUCCAAGAGUAAGUCAUCCAAUAACUCUUUCUCAAUUUUGUCAAAUGUUUAAUUAUCUCUUUUGGAAAAUACGGGGUGUUUCACGCCCUCCUAAUUUUCAUAGAUUGAAACAUCUAAUUCGAUAUCAUUCUUUGCAGCUUGUGGCUCUGUAUGAGCCUAAAUUGCCUGUUAGUCCUGCAAAUAUCCAAUCCAUUCGGCUAAGACUUCACAUGGACUCGGCUUGGAUAAAUAGUACGGGGUCAGUUUGGGUGUUUUCUCAAGUUCAGUCUCCUGCACUUUUGUGGGUGAGUCGGACCAACACUUGUCCAUAAAAAUUACUUCCCAGCUACUGCCUACACCUAUGAUUUUUUCUUUUGUGCAUGCUAAAUGUACCAUGGCUGAGCAAGAGGGCCUUUGGGCCGGGUUGCGCAAUGAUAAGGAGGCGUCUUUGCCUUGGUUUAUUGUAGGGGAUUUUAACGUGGUUACGGGAGAGGAGGAAAAAAAGGGGGUUGCCAUUUCGGCCUUGGGAAGGGGUAGAGUUGCUAUCGUUUAUGACUAUGGCUAGGUUGGUGGACACGGGUUUCUUGGGGUCCAACUUUACGUGGUGCAAUAAUAGACAAGGUCGAGCACGCAUUUGGAAGAGCUUAGAUAGGCUGCUUAGUGAUUGUUCAGCGGAGGAGUUGGGUAUCAAUUUCAGGGUCCAGCAUUUGGGUAGGGCGCCUUCUGAUCAUGCCCCCUUGAUAUUGUCGACAGUCACUCGCUUGGAUAACUCCCCAAACUAUUUCAUUUUUUGAACUGUUGGACUGCAGGAGUCUUUCCUGGAUGUAGUUCGGUUGAACUAGCAUGUGGAGUUUACGGGAGACCCUCUGUACGUAUUGGCAGCUAAAUUGGGCCGGGUUAAAAGGGCGCUUAAGGCAUGGUCAAGGGAGUCUUUUUGGGAUAUCUUCGAGAAGGUGAAAAAGACGGAGGAGGAAGUGGUCUAGGCUGAACGUUGCUUCGACGAGGACCCGUCAGAGACGUACCAGGUGUGUCUAAAUGAGAGACGAGCUUUGCUCACCCAUAUGCAGGUGAUCAAAGACAUGUUUUGGCGCCAGAAAACUAGGGCGGUGUGGUUAACAGAUGGGGAUAAGAAUACUCGAUUCUUUCAUGCUUGUGUUUCGGAGCGGAGGAGGAAGUCUGUGAUCCAUCGGAUAAAAUCACAAGGUGAGGAGUGGCUGGAAAGGGAGGACGAUAUUGCUAAGGAGGCAGUUUCCUUUUUUCAAUACCUAUUCUCUGAUCAGUUAGGGUUGGGUUUCCCUCCGGUGCCGGAUGUGAUCCCCAGAUUGCUCUCUGAGCAGGAUAACCUCGAGUUGGAGCGUCACCCCUCUCUUGAGGAGGUUAAGGACGUGCUGUUCUCCUUGGAUCCCAAUAGUGCCGCUGGGCCUGAUGGUUUCUCGAGGAGGUUUUUUACUUUUGCAUGGGAGGUUGUUAGGAAGGAUGUUUUUGAGGCGGUAGGUAGUUUCUUCUCUAGAUCGGAGCUACCGAGGAGCAUAACGGCUACUUCUAUCGUCCUCAUUCCCAAGAUGGGUUCUCCUCAGGAUUUCUCGCAAUACCGCCCGAUUAGUCUCUGUACGUUUGUGAAUAAAAUUAUAUCUAAACUGCUUGCGAGGAGACUGGCGAGAGUUUUGCUGCUCUUGAUUUCGGAUAACCAGAGCGACUUUGUUCAGGGUCGUCAGAUUUUGAAUAACUUUCUGUUGGCCCAAGAGUUAGUUUUCGGUAUUCGGAGGCCGAAUAGAUGAGGUAAUGUGGUCCUUAAGCUAGAUAUGACAAAGGCAUAUGACAGGGUAUCUUGGAAUUUUCUGAUGCAGGUGUUGCACAAGUUUGGUUUCGGGGAGAGGUGGAUUGAUAUGGUGGCGGUUAGUGGCUAAUGUGUGGUUUUCUGUGCUUGUUAAUGGGGAGCCGAAGGGGUUCUUCCCAUCUUCCAGGGGGCUACGCCAAGGGGACCCCAUAUCACUAGCGUUGUUUAUUUUGAGGGUGGAGGUUCUAUCUCGUUCAAUGAAUGCAUUGCUAGCAGAUGGGGGGUUUGUUCCCGUUCAAGGUUCCUAGAGAUUGCCCUAACAUUUCUCACAUUGCUUACUCAGAUGAUGUAAUGGUUUUCAGUAGCGGGUUGAAGAGGUCCUUAAAGCUGGUCAUGCGAUCUUUGGGAGCUUACUGUAGCGUGUCGGGGCAAUAGGUGAACCUCCAGAAAAGUUGUUUUUUAGUGCAUCAGAGGCUUAACGAGUCGAGGAAACAUAUCAUCUCUCAGGUUACGGGUUUCAAAGAGCAGUCUUUCCCCAUUAGGUAUCUGGGCUGCCCGCUAUAUGUCGGGAGGGGCAAGCUGACCUACUUCUCUGGGAUUGCAGAAUCGGUGUCCAAGCAGGUGUUUGCGUGGAGUAGUAAGCUGUUGUCGUACGGUGGGAAGCUGACUCUUAUUAAGAGUGUGCUUACAUCGAUCCCAGUUCAUUUAUUGGCAGUCACUACUCCCACAAGGGGUUUCUUGCGAAGUCUGGAAAAGAUCUUUGGAGGAUUCCUAUGGGGCAAUCCAAAAUACGGGUUACGGUUUCAUUGGAUAAAAUGGAGUUCCUUUUGUAAGCCGGUGGAGGAGGGUGCUGUGGGGAUACGGUCGGUACAAGCUAUCCAUGAUGCUUUCUCUAUGAAGUUGUGGUGGUCGUUCAGACAAAAUGUGUCCUUAUGGGCACGUUUUAUGUGGGGGAAAUAUUUGAGUGAGGGUCACCCGUGCGAAGCUAACCAUAUUCGGGGGCAAUCGCCCACAUGGCGUAGGAUGGUGAUGGUCAAGGACCAAACGGAACAGCAUAUUCGAUGAGUUUUGGGGAAUGAGGAAGUGGAUUUUUAGCAUGAAAAUUGGUUGGGGACUAGGCCUGUGUGCGAUACAGUAGAGAAUUUUGGGGUGCAUUUAGUGGCGAAUUUUGCUGAGCAAGGCCGGUGGAGUAUAAGUUUGUUACAGCAAUGAUUACCUUCAACCAUUUAAUACCUGCUUUUUGCUUCCAAAAGUCACAUUCAAUAACUAGCUGUCGCAUAUAUUUUGCCCGUGCUUCUUGCAAUCGAACCUUAGAUAUCUCGUCACAACACAAAUCAAAUUUUGAUUGCCUUUGGUUAUACACCUCCUCUACAGCUUUGACACAAGAGAAAAUACUCCCAAACACCUUCCUACUCCAUGAAUUCAAACACUUCCUAACCCGCACACCUCAGACACUGGCUGUUGCCACUCCUCUUUGAUGACCUCCAAAAAUAAAGGAUGAGUUCGCCAAACAUUCAAAAAAUGGAAUCCUCCUAUCCUUGAAAUUCCUGGGCUGCAUUUAAUUAACAACGGCGCAUGAUCGAGCGACCUCUUGCCAAAUGAGAUACCCGAGUGAUGGGGUAACCAUCCAUCUAGUGGGAAUUAGAUAGUGCCCUAUCUAACCUCUGUCACAUGUGAGCAUUAGUCCAUGUGAACGGGUGACCAUCGAAAUCCACCAUAGACAGCCCACACUUAAAUAUGGAAGAGUUAAAUUCUUCCAUAUUAGUAAUAUUUGCUAGCGAACCACCUAUACUUUCAUCAACCGAAGAGACAAUGUUAAAGCUCCCAGCUACCAGCCACGGAAGAUUCAAGCCCUCACAAACAUUCUCCAAAUUUUGCCAGAGAGACCGCCUCCCUACCCUAGUGCAUUUGCAUAGAUCCCCGCUGAAAACAAACGAGACACCCCAGCAAAAUACUAUGGAAGUGUGUGUGGUGACCCCACCUCUCCCUGAGGCGAACCAAAGGGUUCAGUGGGCCACCUGCCCAACUCUUGUCAAGACUCAAGCACUAGCUAAAUAACAAGUCCUUUCGAAAUAAAAGUCACAUUCACAUGGCCAAUACAAAAGAUCCCUAGCUAAAUACAGUAGAUUGUGAUCGAUACAAUCUUGAAAUAUGCUACUAGCUCAACUUACAAAAGUUAAGUUCCCAACUUACAAAAACAACACUAAAGUUGGUACAACUAAGCUACAGCAAAAGAUUCCAACAAGACCUGGCCCUUCCUAAUCACUCGCCCAGGUGCUCCCUAUAAGGAAAACAAAUCUCAACGGUGAGUUUUCGCCCCGUGAGGUUCCAAGAAAGUCAUGCAACAACACCCACAUAACCAUAGUUCACAAACCAUGCAAGUACACGUCAGGUACCCGACAAUUAAGAAUUUGCAUUUCCUAUAAAAGGAUACGGGCGCUCUCAACAGCAUAUUCAAGCACCUUGAUCAAAAUUUCGUUGACACUCCGUCAAAAUCUUUUCCAAAAUACUAACAAUUAUUUUACCACUUCACGUCAUUCUCCAACCACCAUUCAACCCCCUACUGGGCCCGCAUGUCAAAAUUUAAGAACUCGAAGAUACCAGUUCAAAUUCAAGAGCUCAAGUACAAGUUCAAGUUCAUGUGACAAGUGACGAGACCUAUGAUUCGUCAAUCAUGCCAACCAAACCCUUACUGGCUCGACCCGACCAACUAACCAAUGGGGUUUGGGGCCCCAAGCAUGCAAGAAAGUCGAUGGAAUAAUCACGCAAUCAACCAACAAGUCAAGUACAAGCAAAGCAAUUCAUCUCAUAUCAAUAUCAAGUCACAAAGGAGCGAAUAUGAUAAAGUACAUCAUCAUCCCAAUUUUAACAGUUCAAGAGUAACAAGAGCAAGUAUUUCAAACAAGCGAACAUGUCAUUCAAGUAAGAGACAUUGCACGAAAGCACUUUACAUACACUUAGAACACUCACCACGGCAACCAGUUCAAGUGUUAGUCUUGGGUGCAUUUCCGAUCUCACUUCCCUAUCCUAAAAUCACAUAUAUAAAGUGCCAUGAAAUUCACUAUGCCAAGUCACAUUAUUCAAAAGAAAAUCAAGCUCAAAUUGGUUGGACAACUCCAACUUGAAGUUGGAAAUGAAAGUAAUAACAGUUUUAGGAAAACAGAAUUUUUUCCAAUUUUGCGCGACGCUAUUUGAAAAAUCAUAUCUCAAGCUUCUCAAGUCCAAAAUUUAUAAAAUUUAUACCAUUGGAAAAUAGACUCAAAGGGUUACAAUUUCCCAGAAGAACCUUCGUAUGAUUCUGUCCCCAAAUCAGUCAAAAUCCAAUCUCAAGUGGCUGCUUUAUCCAGUAGAAAGAUAGAGCAGGUAUGUUAGAUUCAUCCUCAACCCUUACUCAAGUAGCGAGUACAUCUACCUAACCCUCGAGUGCAAAUUUGGGCAGCACGCCCUUUGUAUUUACCUAUUUUUCAACCAUUUAUGACUUCAUUAUUUUCCUCAAUCAGUCCAAAGUCACACACAGAUAAUCUCAUUACAAUAGCCGUUCAAUAGACUCAAUGUCAUACAAUUACAAAACCAAGCUAUAAAAGUGACCGGAAAUAAGGUUUAAGACAUAGAACAAAAGACAGGUUCGAUAUCUCUUAGCGUAUUGAUCACAAUUGAAGCUACGCUUAUCGGAUUGGGGUAAAUUUUAUACCGUUUCGAAGCUAAACCAAAGGGCUACAACUUUUAUGAAGACAACUCAGCCCGGUUCAUAGUUUAUCUAGGUUGAAUUUACAGAUUACAGAACCAGAAUUUCACUGUCAGGCUGGAUAAUAGCACUGGCUUCAAAUGACAAUAAAUCAGACUUCACAAGUCCGAUUGAGGCGUUUUCAGAUGCGUUGGAAAGCUAAAACAUAAGACUAAAACUUUUGGGUCUUAGCCAACUGCUAAUUUAAUACGGAUCAAGGUGAAAAAUGAAGCAAUAAUGAUAAAAUGUCAAAACUGUCCGCAAAACUCUACCUAUGGCAGUCAAGGGUAUUUUUGUCAUUUCACAUUUUACAGUGCUCGGUUUGAGGUGAAAUUUUACAAACAACUAUAAAACAUCAUUUCCUAUAACUUUCAUGUUUUAAGCUAACCCCAAUUCAGCCUCCAUCAUGGCCGAAUGGAACUGGUCAAAAUAGGGCAGUGUAAGAACUCAAAUCUGGAAUUUAAUGAAUUUAAAGUGUAAACUUCACAUUUCUAGCUUGAACCACUACUUCAACCUCCUAUACAAGAUUAUAGACACCAUAUGCCAUCUAAACAACAAGAUAUACAAUUGAGCAAUUCAAAACUCUAACUCACAAAUCCACCACCACAAUUAUCAAAACUAGAAUAACUAUCAUUAAUCAAGAAUCUAAGUUGCUACAAAACUUAAGCAAGAUUAAGGGAAAGAAAUAGGAUGAGCAGCCAUACUACCUCACUAAGAUGCUUGCAAGAGAUAUCCCUCACCUAUCCUUCCCAAACUUUAGCACCCCAAGCUUCUUAAGCUCCCAAUUUAGAAGUUAAUCGGUUUAGAUUUCUUGAUUCUUCACUUAAAUAAGCUAAACUCAAGAUGAAAAUGGAAUUUUCUUCCCUUGUUUUCUCCCUCAAUGUCACGGUUGGAAUGGCAGAAAUAAGGAGCAAUUGAAGUGAUUUUUGGUGAUAAAUAUGAAAGAAAUUGGUUGGUCAACAACCUUGGGAUGGCCGCCACUUGUCACCAUGAGAUUAACUUUCAAAAUUUUUUCUUUUCCUUGGUUUUUCUAGUCAAUAUUUUCGGCCAACAAGAGCUGAUUAAGCGGCUGAUAUUUUGCAUUAAUAUCAAUGAUAUUUUAUGGUAAGAAAGUGGUGGUCAAAUGGUGUGUUCAAUCGGGUAGUGAACGAUACCCGUCGGUUCAAGCCGAUUUUCCUUAAAUCGUGUAUACUAGGGUUUUAACUUAUAAUUAACUAAUUUAUUAUUAUCACUUCUAAUCACACACUUAACAUCAUCUAAAACUCACUCUUAAUCACUAAAUUUGAUACACACUCCGUACCGAAUAAUCAUAUUACGAAAAGGCGUAAAAAUUCUAAUUUAUGAUAACGAGAAAACGAAAUAAAAAAUCCUUGAUUCUAUGUUUAUUUGCACUUAUUAUAGGGGUGAAUGAGUAGUAGGGUUAUUAUAAAGUAAUAAAUUCCAAAAUAAAAGGGAAUUUUAAGGAAAAUAUAUAGAAUUUUAAAAGUCCUCACACUCUUUCCCCCUUAAGAGAAUUUCGACCUCAAAAUUCAUACCUUCCGUUGCCUUAGAUGACUCCGGCGCUUGUUGCUUGUCUAAGACAUAUACCUUUGCUGGUACUUUUGUUCGGUUCCCUCUUUCAUUCACUUGUUUCGAUUUGGUUCAAUUCACUUGUUGGGCACUAUUCUCUCUCGGGCUAUUUUUUUGGGCAAUUGCCAAUUUGAUGAUUGCCACUCCCACAAAUCAAACACUUUCGCCCUUUCCUCCAGCAAUCAUUUUCAGUGUGAUUUGCCUUCCCACAGUAUCCACAGGCCACGUGGGAUGCCACUGUUUGGCCUUCUCGAGAAAUCCCCUCAUGUUCUCUUUGACUUUCUUUUGUAGAUCCUUCAUCUAGUGCUCCUAAUGUCCAUGGUGGAUGAGGUAAAUGGUUCAUUUUUUGCACUUUGGAGGGUGUUAUCUUUUCUCUAGGUUCUUCAGGUAUGCUACUAGAUGCACCUCUUUUUCGUGUUUGAAAAGAUUUUACUUGUGCUUUCGCAUCCUCAAUUCUCUGCGCUUUCUCGAGAGAUUCCGUAAAAGUAUUAACUUGAACCGCCGCUAAAGCUUCCUGGAUUUUCAAAUUCAAGCCUUGUAUGAAUCGUCUUACUCUCCUUCGCUCUGUAACCACUAAUUCGGAAGCGAACUUAGACAGUUUAGUAAAUUUAGUCUCAUAUUCGGCCACAUUCUGGGUUCCCUGACUCAAUCCAAUGAACUCAUCCUCUCUCCUUUCUUGGACCAAAGGUGGGAGGUAGUUCUCGUUAAAUUCCCUUAUAAAGUUCACCCAUGUCCAUGCAGUCUGUUCUCUCUCCCACUUUGCCCUAAUAACAUUCCACCAUAUUCGGGGUCCUUCGAAUUGGAAUACAGCAAAGUUCACCUAUCUUUGCACCGUGUAGUUCAAGGCUGCGAAGAUGUUAAUCAUUGCUCUAACCACUGUUCAGUUACAUCUGGAUCAGGCCCUCCAAGGAAUUUAGGAGGUACAAAUUUUUAAAACCGCUCCAUAACCCUAUCCUCUCCUAUCUCGGUAUUCUGGGGUUGAUUCACUGGCAUUUGACCUUGUUGAUCUACAAUUGCCCUAGAAUAUUUGUCAUUUGUUGGAUCGCCGUCGCUACUUGGUCUCCUGCCUUAACCCCGGCCCACGAUCUUGCUCAGCUGCUGUUUCUUUUUCAUUUCUUCGUUCUUGAGCUUGCCUAACCCCACGGUCCGAAUAGCUCCACGUCCGCAACUACGCCUCCCCUCCAUACCCUUUUUCUCUCUCUUUUUUUUUUCAAAAGGUGAUUUAGUAUUUAACAAAGUAAAUUGACUAAAACAACAAGAUAUAACACACCAAAUUCACAAAGUUACAUAUCAAGUUGAACAAAAACAAAAUCAAGUACGGCAAAUACUAUACACGUUAGUAUUAAUAUGCCACAAGCCAAAUACAUACGAUAACAAUACAGAGGUAAAACAAAAGAAAACACGACAUACCGUUCCACACUCGAUUAAAAUAUUCCCCAUCCCAUCUCUCACUUCUCUUACCAUCCGAACUAGACGUCCGUUAACCCCUAGCACUUACUCUCACCAAACAUUAGCCAAUUCCUGUUCCCCGCAAUAAAGAUCGCAAGUCUUUAGUAUUGCCCUCAACUCUCGCUUACUCGGGUACAAGAAUUCGAGAUAAUUCACCACUCGAGUUGGCCAGUCCCAAGAGUAAACUAUCUACAAUCGAGAUUCCUACCUGACGUACAUAUCUAUUGUUUUCAAGUACCAUGAGAGAGAUUUAAGACCUAUAACAAUUCAUGAUUCAUAAUUUAUGCUCAAAAGAGCACUUAAUCCUUCAUACUUAUUCACGAAAUCAGAACCAUAACACCACUUGGCCCAAACUCACUCCGCGCAGAGAUCACGCGAAGUGGCUCUGAUACCACUUGUGACAGCUCCAUCUUCCCCUAAGGUGAACCAAAGGAUUUGGCGGACCGCCAGCCCAUCUCUCGCUAGGACUCGAUCGCUCUCAUCAAGUGAAAUAAGAUAUAACCUCGAGACUAAACGAAAAAUAAUUCUCAAACUUGAAACAUAUACUUACAUUCAUAUCCAUCUCAAACAGAAAUACAAUCCCAAUUAGAACAAAAGGUUUAAGUUCUUACUACAUCCAACCUUAUCCAAGCACUAGCACGAGAACAAUAAAAAAAUUAAAAUUUCAAAAAACUAGACCAAGCUAGUCUGCACAGGACUCACGCCCUCGCUCACAUCCCCUGUAAGGAAAACAAGCUAACGGAAUGAGCUAAAAGUCCAAUGAGGUUCCAUAUACAUAGCCAAAUAAUUAAACUAGAACAUUAAUCAUGUAAUAACAAGUAAUCUAGAAAAUAUUUACAAUAUAAAAUAAUGAUAAUACAUUCAUUAAAAAGAUACAUGCUCACAUGGAGCCCUUCAUUCAUUCAUUCCCAACCAUUUCCUUAUUCCUCCAGCACUAAAAAUAAUUUCAUUUGUAAGUGAAAAUCUCUCCAUUGUUCUUGCCAUUCAUUCAUUUAUUUCAUUUUCCCCCUAUUGGACACUGGCCAGUCUCCACCAGAUUUCGUGAUUAUACUCGAGUAUACCAAACAUUAACCCAGACUCACUAAUCGCCCCAAAUCCGCUUCUGGCUCGAGUCGACCGGCAACGAAAGGCAAGGGUCCAGUUCAGCCAAAAGGCUUACAUUCAUGUACAAGUAGUAUUUAAACAUUUAAUCAUUCAAUCAUUGUAAAUUUCACAUUCAUUUAGGUCGAGUGCGAUAAAGUACACACUCGCCUAGCAAAAUUCAUUUUUAGAAAUCAUUGAAAACAUUUAACAUUUAAUCCAACAUUCACAAAUAGUCACAUAGUCACAACAAUCCACAUAGUCAUUGGAAACAUAACGUAUAAAGAACACUCACCUAUUUAAGCAAAAUAACGUCCAAAGUUUCCUUCCGGAUAAUACUCUCAAUCACUAAGGAACCCUAAUAAUAACCAAGAGAAAAUAUUACAGUUAAACCAUCUAAAGUUUAGGUGAACCAAAGAAAAUCCGAAUAACUACUAGUACAAAAUAUAAGUAUAGUUUUGGAAGUGAAAAGAGUAUAUUUAAACCAAAGGACAUGAGUAAAAUAUUUGUAAAACUUGUGCUCACUCGUAAAACUUUGAAAUCUCCAUUUGAGUCGAAGAAAUGGAGAAACGUAUUUCUAUUAGUCGUAAAUUUCAUUUUUUCAAGGGUACAAGUUUCGGUCAGAUUCUAACUUUUAUACCUCUAAGAAAGAAGACUUGAAUACCUUAGAUGAUUCAAGUUAGUUUCAUCCUCAACCCUUACUCAAGUCGCGAGUACAUCUACCUAGCUCUCGAGUGUAAAUUUGGGCAGCACGCCCUUUGUAUUUACCUAUUUUCCAGCCAUUUAUGGCUUCUUUAUUUUCCUCAAUCAGUCCCAAAGUCACACACAGAUAGUCUCGUUAUAAUAGCCGUUCAAUAGGCUCAAUGUCAUACAAUUACAAAAUCAAGAUAGAAAAGUGAUCGGAAAUAAGGUUUAAGACAUAGAACAAAAAACAGGUUCGACGUCUCUUAGCGUAUUGGUCACAACCGAAGCUACGCUUAUCGGAUUGGGGUAAAAUUUAUACUAUUUCGAAGCUAAGCCAAAGGCCUACAACUUUUAUGAAGACAACUCAGCCCGGUUCAUAGUUUAUCUAGGUCGAAUUUACAGAUUACAGAACCAGAAUUUCACUGUCAGGCUGGAUAACAGCACUGGGUUCAAAUGACAAUAAAUCAGGCUACACAAAUCCGAUUGAGGUGUUUUCAGAUGCGUUGGAAAGCUAAAACAUAAGACUAAAAUUUUGUGUUUUGGAUAACUGCUAAUUUAAUACAGAUCUAGGUGAAAAAUGAAGCCAGAAUGAUGAAAUGUCAAAACUGUCCGCAAAACUCUACCUAUGGCAGUCAAGGGUAUUUUUAUCAUUUCACAUUUUACAGUGCUCGAAUUGAGCUAUAAUUUUACAAACAGUUAUAAAACAUCAUUUCCUACAACUUUCAUGUUUUAAGCUAAGCCCAAUUCGGCCUCCAUCAUGGCCGAAUAGAACUGGUCAGAACAGGGCAGUGUAAGAACUCAAAUCUGGAAUUUAAUGAAUUUAAGGUGUAAACUUCACAUUUCUAGCUUGAACCACUACUUCAACCUCCGAUACAAGAUUAUAGACACCAUAUGCCAUCUAAACAAUAAGAUAUACAAUUGAGCAAUUCAAAACUCUAACUCACAAAUCCACCACCAUAAUUAUCAAAACUACUAAAAUAGCUAUCAUUAAUCAAGAAUCUAAGUUGCUACACAACUUAAGCAAGAUUAAGGGAAAGAAAUAGGAUGAGCAGCCAUACUAUCUCACUAAGAUGCUUGCAAGAGAUACCUUCACCUUUCCUUCCCAAACUUUAGCACCCCAAGCUUCAUAAACUCUCAAUUUAGAAGUUAAUCGGUUUAGAUUUCUUGAUUCUUACUUAAAUAAGCUAAACUCAAGAUGAAAAUGGAAUUUUCUUCCCCUUGUUUUCUCCUCAAUGUCACGGUUGGAAUGGCAGAAAUAAGGAGCAAUUGAAGUGAUUUUUGGUGAUAAAUAUGAAAGAAAUUGGUUGGUCAACAACCUUGGGAUGGGCACUUGUCACCAUGAGAUUAACUUUCAAAAAUUUUUUCUUUUCCUUGGUUUUUCUAGUCAAUAUUUCGGCCAACAAGAGCUGAUUAAGGGGCUGAUAUUUUGCACUAAUAUCAAUGAUAUUUUAAUGGUAAAAAGUGGUGGUCAAGUGGUGUGUUCAAUCAGUAGUGAAUGAUACCCGUCGCUUCAAGCCGAUUUUCCUUAAAUCGCGUAUACUAGGGUUUUAACUUAUAAUUCACUAACUUAUUGUUAUCACUCCUAAUCACACACUUAACAUCAUCUAAAACUCACUCUUAAUCACUAAAUUUGAUACACACUCCGUACCAAAUAAUCACACUACGAAAAGGUGUAAAAUCCUAAUUUACGAUAACGAGAAAACGAAAUGAAAAACCCUUGAUUCUAUGUUUAUUUGCACUUAUUAUGGGGGUGAAUGAGUAGUAAAACUAUUAUAAAGUAAUAAAUUCCAAAUAAAGAGAAUUUUAAGGAAAAUAUAAAGAAUUUUACAAGUCCUCACAGUAUCAUAACUUGAUUAGUUUUUUAAAUAACCUAAUUUACCCUCUCUUAGAUUGUUUUCGAUCCUUAUAAUAUUAAUCGAUAAUGAAAAGAUAAUGAAAAAAUUAUAAAGAGAUUGAAUCAGAAAACUUACAUUAUUAAUUUUGAAUCCUUGAUUCAAAAUCUCUUUUAAAGAUGGAGUACAAAGAAAUUAAUUUUGUGAAAGAAACUUAGAAAAGAAACUUCUUAAGGAAACAACUCUCUCAAAUUCACUUUGUUUCUCCUUUGAAUCUAUUGAGUAUUUAUAGAACAAUAAAUUAAACUAAAGUUUCAUUUCAUCUAGAUUUUGAGAAUAUUUUUUCAUUUAAAUUUCAUUUGAGUGUGGCUCCUAUUUGCUUUUGCCUAAUAUCUCUAUUUUUUUUAAAAAGUUUGAGUGCUAUCGCUUUUCUCAUUCACAUAGGUCUUGAAUGUUGUCAUCUUUUGUCGGUCAUUAAAUUUCACAUGGGUCUUGAGCACAAGAUCCUCUAAAGAAUCCAUUAUAGAACCUACAAAAGAUUUUGAUUGUUCUUUGUCUUUUAGUUUUGUCUUUAGAAAUUCCACAUAUUGCUAUAGUACGUCAAGAUUUUCCAUCAUUUUGAAUAAGGUGCAAAAGCAAAUUAUAAGUGUAAAAUCAUGAAACUAUUUUACAAAACUACUUAUCCAAAUGUGCGACAUAUAGGGCAAAAAAGCAAAUUUGUACUCUAUAUUUUGCAUAUAUUUGCAAAAUUGCACACUGAAGAAGGAGAUACUAUCAUUUGAGAAUAAGAAGUUGAUGGCUGUUCUGUGACGACCCCAUCUCCCCUUAAAGCGUACCAAGGGUUUGGCGGACCGUCUGCCCAACUCUCACCAGGACUCACUUACACUGUCACGAAAUUACAAAGUAACAACCUCAACAAUAAGAGCAAUAUUAAUUACAACCCUAAACAUAUACAAUCGUGACAUCAAAUGCCCAUACAACCUGUAAAUACAACCGAGGAGUUAAACUUAUAAAAUAAAAUCAAACAAGCCUGCGAGAGAGUUAAGAAGUGCCUACGCUAGUAACUAACAAAACUUAGACAAAGUCUAUGUCUUCUCUAAUUCCCACUCUUACGUUUUUACCCCUAUAAGGAAAAAAAUUUGGAAUGAUAUCAUUCACAGGAUAUUAAGAAAAAGUUAAACCCGAAUAGAUCAUGACCUAAUAUAUAUAUAGUAAAGUAGGUAAUCAGAUAGAUCAUGCAAUUGUGUAUGGUAAAGAACACGUUCAUGUCAAAAAGAUAUAGUCUGCUCUCAGGAGCAGGUUCUACAGCAGUUUGUCCAGGGUCCGUUGACUCUUCAUCAAUCACGAAAUUAUAAUGUCCAUAGGUUACCACUAAACGUCAAUCUCCGUCCACCAAUCAUUCUCCUACCUGAUCCGAAUGCCAAUCAAGUACCCAAGAUUUGUUAAUCUUCUAGACCAAAUCCUUGUCAGUUCGAUUCGACCAACUAGCCAUGGGUUAGGCUAUAGCCCCAAGUAUUCAAGUAUUCAUAAUCUAGGUUUCAAGUAUUCAAGAUCUAGGUUUCAAGUAUUCAAAUAUUCAUGAUUUGGGUUUAAAGCCUAAAUAUUCAAGUAUUCACGAGUGGAGUCGUUGCUGUGAUCUAACGCUCACGCAAGUAAAAAAUUGGAGACGUUAGCUGUCACCUAACGCUCUGUAUUCAAGCAUGUCACGAGUUCAAGUCAUAAAUUUCAAGUCACGAGUAAACAGGUUAGGAAUUUCGUCUCACCUAAGGUUGCCCAACUUACCUGACUGCUCUAACACUGGUCUCAACAAGAGGUCCAAUGAGGGCUCAGUUCAGUAGUUACCGACCUACAUUCACGCAUAUGCAUAAGUAACUCAAGUUCCAAUUACCCGACGUCUCGGAUAAGGGUCCAAAGGCCUAGUUCAACCGCUGCAGAAGAUAUACAGCCAGUCUACAUCAUGCACAUGUACAUGCAACAAGAUUAAGUAUUUCAAUCGAUAUAGGUCUUGUAAAUCAAAUUUCUUGUAUAUGCAUGAACAGACAUCAGAAGUUUAGUCGAGUUAGGUUAAGUACGAUAAAGUACACACUAGAUUAGAAAUGAAAUCAAGUGUCUUACAAUUUUAGCAACAGGUAGCAUGGAACAUGCAGUUGGAACACUCACGAUUCAAAAUAGAGCAACGUUAAACAUUCGUUUCCGAGUUACGCUCGUGUUCACCGCCAUACCCUAAGCAACUAGGAUAAAAAUAUUAUUGUCUAACCAUCCAAAGCUUAGGUGAACCAGUUCACAUUUGGACUCAACUAUGAGUCAUACACCUAUCAAGUUGGUCUCUUAAAUUCACAAGGGUUCAAAAACAAAUUUGAAGGUGCAAAUCAAGAAAAAAAUCCAAGUAUACAAUAGGGCAAUGAUUCAACUAUGGUUUUGGAGUAAAAGGAAUGCAUUUGGACCCAAAAACGUGAGCAGCCAAAGAGUUCCACAUUUCAUUUCAUUGCUGGAAAUGUAUCAUACGAUCCUCCAAACAAGAAGUCCAGCCACAAAAGUCGAGAUUUUCACCAUAAAAACUCACAUUCUUGCUAAGAUUAAAGUGUUUUAAGAUAUAUGGAGUCAAGAUAUAUCAAUAUAUAGCCAAAGUUUUAGAUGUAAUGUUCGAAACAUCUCAGCUUCUCUCCUACGAGUUCUAACAAAAAAUUCCAGCAAGCAUCAUUCCUUUGAAAAAUCAUACCUUGAGUUAUAAAUAUCAAAAAAUCAUACAACUUGCCCAUUAAAACUAGACUCGAAGCACUAACAAUCUUUGGAAGACACCUCAAAGAGAUUCAAUUCAUAAAUUGGUCCAAAUUGAGCCGCAAUCUACUACACACAUUUCCAGUUUUAUACUUGUGCAGGGCAAAAUUUUCAGUCAACUUUGUCAAUUUUCUGGGUGUAUAUAUAAAAUGAACCUAGCUCAAAUUUAAAAUGUUAGAAAUCUCUUGAGUUUAGUUUCAAACGCAAGAAAUGAAAUUCAAUUUCAACUUUUCUAUACGAAAUUAUAGCAAAUUUUCCAAAACUGCGCAGAGCUUCCUGCGAAAUUUCCAGAUUGCUAAUAAUGGUGAGAAAAUGCUGCUUUCACUAACAAAACCUCACUCCCUUGACUCAAGUUCAACAUACACUUGUAGUAUAAAGUCUCAUAAGGUGUUUUAAGUAAAAUUGAACUUUAAAUCAUCAUGAAAUUUUGGAAAUCAAGUCUAAACAUUCAGCCUCUAUUUUCGGCCAGCAAGCACAUGGUUUCUUAAUUGUUUUUUCAAUCAUUUCCUCAACCAAUUUAAAAGCUUAAUUUCAAGGCAAAAUAAUCUCAAUCAAAAUACAUGUUAUAGGGAACAAAUGAUACAUGUUCUAAGUCACAAUAGCUCAUCAAAUUUAACAUAUAUAUGGUGCAUAACCAACUAUGUCAAGGCUAGAAAUUUUUUUACCCUAAGUUGAAAAUUACAACUAAAGUUGGAAAAGUCUAUAACAAAGCUAAAAAUUUGUACUAAAACUGGAAAUUUCUCAAGGCAUGACUAAAGUUUCAUAACAAAGCUGGAAAUAAUAUCUCAAAGCUGGAAAUUUCCAAUAAAAGAUGGAAAUAACAAACUACUACAAAAAACUAUAAAAUCUUCCAUAAAAUUUACUACAAACAAGUCAUAAUCUCAUUCAAAUGCAGGAUUAAAGAGAAAGAGAAGUUCCUUGCCAAGAGUACCUUCAAACCUUAAGGUGAAUAGCAAACUAUAGCUUUUCUUUCCCCAAAAUCAUUCCACACCAGCCACCUUCGUUCCUUGUUGCAGUCUCCUAUAGAUUGGUUUAGGGUUCUAAGUUGAUUCUCGCACAAAAUCUUCUUGGAAUCAAGAUGAAACUUGAAGAAGUUUUUCCUCUCUUCUCUCUUCUCUCUCUCGGCCAAACUAGCAGAAAAUGAAGUGUUUGUUUGGGUAAAAAUGGAAGAUAAAUGUUAAGGAAGUCUUGGUCAAGGUUGGCCUUGAUUGCCGACACUUGGCACCUAACGAUUUCUCCCUUUUUUGUUUUUCUUUCCUCUCUCUCUUUGUUCCUUAAAUUCGGCCAUGAUGAUGAAAAAUGGAAGGAUAAAUGGUUAAAUUUGUAGGAUAACUACUAAGAAAAGUCUUGGUCAAGAUUGACUAAAAGUGUGACACUUGGCGGCAUGAGGUUUCAUUCCUAUCCUUGGUCUCUCUUGUGCUUCUAAUAACUAAUCCAUCUUGUUCCUCUAAUUCACUCUUAACACUUCUAAUCACAUAAUUCUUCUAGUACCACAUCCAUUCUCAUCCACCAAAUAUAAUGUGCACACCUCACUAAUCGGUCACACUAUCUUAAUGUACUACGAAACUUAACAUGUACCAAAUUAUAAAAGAAAAGAUAAAACUCUCAACUCUAUCAUUAAAGUAUCUAAGAAAUUAAUGCAAGUGAUUUAAACCAAAAGAAAAUAUAAAUUAGCUUAUUGAAAAAUAAGAGAAAUUAUAAGAAAAAUAUAAAAUAAUUUUCGGAUCUCACAUGUUCUCUAUAAGAAUAGAAUCAAAGAAGUAUAAAACCAUUAGGGUCAUGUAUUAUUUAAGUAACUUCUUGUCUUGCUAAAUUUUGCGGUGGUUGUGGAUCUUGAAAUUGAAAUUGUUGAGGGAUAGUUAUUUCAUUCCAUUUGGGUCUUUUAGAUGUAGAUACAGUAGACGUUCAAUUUCAAUAUGUAAUAAAAUAGUUUCAUCUUUUGAAGUGGGAGUCAUAUUAAACUUUGGAUUUAACUGAGAAGAUAAUAAUCUAAAAUAAACUCGAUAAAUAAUAGCAAAUUUUUUAAUCUUUCGAGUUUUUCUCUUUGUAAAUGCAUAUCUAAUACUAAUGAAUCAUUUAUUAAAGGGUCUGUAAAAUCAACAGAAAAAUUUAGAGCAGCAUUAAAAUAGAUUGGACCAUUAUAAACAUUUUGUUUGAAUUAUAGCAAGCAAUAAAGAUUUAUAUUUUUUAAGUCUUUUAUCUCUUAAGGCCAAAUAAAUAGGAGCGUCUAAUCCCAUACAAACUAGUGGCUUUAUAGCUACUUGAAUUAGGCCAAAAUGAAUAUAUCUAAAUCCUUUAUUAAUAUAUUUUUGUGAUGACAUUUCACAAAACAAAGCAAUUUAUUGAAAUUCUUCUUGAAUCGAAAUGGUUUCUUCUUGAGUUUUUGUUAAAAAUGUUGUUUUUGAAAUCUAAUGAUCCUAUUUUAUAUAUAGUUUCUACUCUUUCUUCUGGUAUAGACCAAUUUGGAUAAUUAAUUGGCAAAUGAAUUUCAUUACUCUGAACUAUAUUUGAUUCUUUGAAUUAGAUCCUAAAAGCAUUCUUCUAAUCUUUGCAGCCGUAAUCAAUUGCUUAUUAUAUUAGAUUACAUAUGCAGUCAUGUUCUAAUUGGAACAACGGGAACACUAUGUUUGGAACACCCUAUUUCAUAAGGGCUUACCAAGGGCCUUACAAAUUUAUCAAUGUUUUACCAACAUUAAAUCAUGCAAAUAGUAUGCAAUGCUAAUAAAAAUAAACAUGAUUGAAUAUAGAGGCAAAUUUCUAAAGGAAUGUAACCCAACUAUUUUUCGAUUCUAACUUGACUUUGAUACCAAGUCGAGUCUAGUAGAUGAUGAUGACAUUUUAAUGGAUAAUGGAAUGAUAAUGAAAAUAACGUAUAAAGAGAUUGAAUCAAAAAACUUACUUCAUUAAUCUUGAAUCCUUGAUACAAAAUCUCUUUUGAAGCUUGAGUACAAAGAAAUUAACUUUGUGAAAGAAACUUAGAAAGAAAACUUCUUACAGGAAACAACUUUCUCAAAUUCACUCUGUUUCUCUCUUUGAAUCUAUUAACUAUUUAUACAACUAUGAAUUACAACUGAAUUUUCAUUUCACCAGCAUUUCAUCUGAAUUUCAACAGUAUAUUUCAUUUAAAUUUCAUUUGAACGUGACUUUUAUUUGUUUUUGUUUGAUAUCUCUGCUUUUUCAAAAGUUUGAGUGUCGUCACUUUUAUUGUUCACAUGGGUCUUGAAUUUUGUCAAUCAUUAAAUUUUACAUGGUCUUGAGCACAUGGUCCUCCAAAAGAUCCGAUUUGAACCUGCUGAAGAUUCUGCUUGUUCUUUAUCUUUUUAUUUUAUCUUUAGAAAUUCUACAUAUUGCUAUAAUAUGUCAAGGUUUUCCAACAUUUUGAAUAAGGUACAAAAGCAUGAAUCUAUAUCACAAAACCAUAUGAAUAAGCAAAUUAUUAGUGUAAAAGCAUCAACUUCUUAUUCGUUUGGAUACCAACUACUCCUGUCAAAGAAGACCCAAGGUGUAAAAGCAUCAAUUUCUUUAUACUCAAACUACCUGCUCUUGAAUUCUUAUUUAAAAUGAUGGAAAACCCUAACAUAUUAUAGCACUAUGUAAAAUUUCUAAAGACAAAACAAAAAAAUAAAGAACAAGUAGAAUCUUCAACAGGUUCCACCUCGAAUCCUUUUGGAAGACCAUGUGUUCAAGACCCAUGUUAAAUUUAAUGGGCGACAAAAGGUGAUAGCCUCAAGACCCAUAUGAACGACAAGAGCAAUAAUUCUCAAACUUUUGAAAAAGAAAUUUUGUAGGAUAUAUAUUUUAAUACAUAAUGUAAAUCAAGCAAUACUCAGAAUUAAAAUUAUCAUUUCAUAUGUGUGGUUUUCAUAUAAGACCUAUUAUAGAAAAAAAAAUUAUACAUGAGUCAAUCUUAAAAUGAUUAAUAAAAAAAUGAUCAAAAUGUCUAAAAAUUCCCUAUGCUAUUUUCUUAGCAAAGAUAAUGUCCAUUAUUAGCAAUAGUUGUAUUUCUACAAAAUUACUCAUUAUUGCAUUUAUAACUACUCAUAUUUUUACAUUUACUUUUUUACUUUAUUUUUUUAUAUUGUUGUAAGCAUCAUAAAUAGGAAAACAUAAGGUUAAGAUUGGAACUAAAAUUUUAUCCCUCUUGCUCUUCCUCAAUACAGACUAAAAUGUUACAAAAUGUCAAUUUAAGGUAGGUAAAUGAGAUUUUGAAAACUUUGGAAGAAUUAAGUGAUAUUAUGAUAGAGCCAAAGGAGGUUUCAGAAAUUAGGUAUUUCUUAUUAAAAAUUACUCAUCAUAAGAAAUUAAAAAGUACAUAUUUAUUUUAAGUAAUUACUAUUUUAUUAACAAAAUCUUGUUAUGCAUUAAUUGUUACAAAAAAAAAUUAAUAUUUAGAAUAAAUAUUUUACUUAUAUUUUCUCUUUUUCUUUUUCUUCUUUUUUAUGCUUAGUAAUAAUUUAUUUGACACUUAAAUAUAUAUUGUUAUUUUUUAUAUAAUAUUUAAAUAUCAUAAAUUUUUAUAAGAAACUAAAAAAUGUAUACUCAGUAAUAGCAUUUUAUGUAAUUUCAAUUCUUGCUAACAAUUAGUGCAUCAUAAAUAUCUUAAAAAUAAUCAAUGCAUACUAGUGCAACUUCAACAUUUUAUCAACAACUAAUGCACAGCAAGAAGCGGUUAAAAAAAUGGAAACUAAUUAAGUUACUUGUAUUUAAUAUACACUUUCUCAAUUCGUAUAAUAAUUAUGAUAAUUAAAUAUUUUACAUAACUAAAAAAUGAUAGAUAUAUUUAUGAAUAAAAAAUUGAUUACAAGAAAACAACAAUGCAUGUUAAACCACAAAAAGAAAUUCUUUAGCAUAUCAUUAUCAAAAUUUAAAUAUCAUAGUCGAUAUGGAGGAAGAGUAAAAAGAAAUCUAUACAUAAUAGGGAAAAAGAUAAAGAAGAAUAGGAAAAGAAACAAGAUAACCUGAGAAUGUCUAAUAAUGAAGGCAUACUGUAUUUUUUUUGCUAGAUACAUACAUUUAGUUGUUGGUGAGGGACAAUAGGUUUUGUGAAUACGGGGUAAUUUGCUACUUGAACUUAAUUACACGGGGUACUUUGCUGUUUGACCCUAAUUACUAGAGUGAGUUGGAACUCUUUUUUUAUUUUUAUUUUUUGAGGUCGACCUCAAGUACUUCUAUAUAUUAAUUGAGUCGAAUUCGUGAUACGAAUCGUAGGAGGUGUUCGUGCUCUAUUUCUAAAUCUAAUAAUGAUUCGUUGGGGUCUAAUGAAUAGAGUUAAAAACAAAUCAUUUGAAAUUCUAGACUUGCUUCCUAACCAUGGCUUAAAACCCACUUGAAGGUCACAGAAUCUUAUAUGUUUUAGUCUUAGUGUUUUAGUCCAUUUUAGUAAGUUGUUUGUUGGUCCAAUUAGCUCAUGUUGAGCAUAGGUCCAUUUAGUAGCUUGAUUAUCUGUUAAGUUUGAUUGGCUAAUUGGUUAUUUGAUUAGUUGGUUAGUUAAUUAUGCUAUUUAGUUAAUUAUCUAGUAGGUCUAGAAGUCAUGUUUGAUCAGUUUAGAUUUCUAUCAGUUUCCUUAUUCUUUUAGGUUUCUAAGUUGAGUCUUUGUAAGCCUAUAAAGAGGCAUCCUUUUUUUUUAUUCAAUAAGGAAUAAGAUGGGUAGGCGAAUUUUCAGAAAUAUUUAUGUGUGAUUGAGAGAGUUUUUCUCUUGACUUCUUUGAAACGACCUUGAACACCUUAAAGUUGAUCUCGAUGGUUCAAUCCGACUUAUCAAUCAAAGAAUACGUUUGAUUGUGGCGUCGUUCUACCAAAUUCUAAUAAUUCUUGAAUGAUCCAAGAUUGAUUACAAAUUCCAUCCCUAAACAUUGAUCCUAAUCUAGGUCCAGGGCUUGUGGCUCAUGUUCUUGAUUCGUCUUGGCGUAUUGAGAAUUGUAUCAGUUGGUAUUAGAGUUUUGGCUCUUGAUCUAGGUUAAUAUCCUUUUCUUUUCCUAUUUUCCCCUUUGUUCUUCUACCAAAUCCUAUCGAAUUCAAAAAAAAAAAGUCUUGUUCAUCAUUCUGGAGUUUGAAUUUUGUGUGAUUAUUUUGUGUCAUUUGUUUUGUUCCUAUUUUUUCAAGUGUCGUUUGUCUCCCUGAUCAGAUUCGUGUGUGUCUUUGUCAUGUCAAAAAAAGAGAGUACUGUAGCAGUACUGUUCGUCGUUACUGUAGAUGUACUGUUCAUCCGAGUCUAGUUUCAUCUAAGGUUUCAUUUUCAUGUUUCUUGUGUUAUUGAGUCAUACAAAAAAAUUCUAUUUGUUAUGUCUUGAAGCAAUUCGAAAUUACCUCUAGGGUUUCUUGGAGUUUCGUUUGGAUUCUUGAAAAUUUGUGGGUUGUCCAAUUUGUUGUGUAUUGUUUCUUGAAGUUCUUAAUUGCCACAACAACAAUCUUGAAGUUUCUUGGAAUCAUAAAUUUGUUUCUUGGAAGUUGUUGAAAGAAACUUGGGAAUCCUUGAUUGUCCACACAUUGUGGAAGAAAGUUAUUGAACAUUCUUAUCUAUUCUUGAAAUUUUUGUUAAAAUAGAAAAUUUUUGGAAAAAAAAAUCUUGAAUAUCUUGCUGGGUUCUUGGGUUCUUGAACACAACUAACCACUACAAGUUAAAUUUUCUAAUCAGAAUGGAAAGCAAGUCUAACCAAUCCUAGUUUCCAAAUCCGUGGCUGCCUUGUUCUUGCGAAAAAAAGAAAAAAAAUUUGCAGCCUUGAACAUUGAAUGUCCAACAUCUUAACCUUCAAGUUUUGAUUCAGUUUUGAGGAGUGGAAUGACUGAACAAAUAAAAGAAACCAGCCACUGCAUCAAAAUUCUUGUCCAAAUUGGAUUCCUUGUCCAACACAGACAUUUCUUGUCCAACACAGAGACGUGUGUUUCCUUGUUGUUGCUGCCUAGUCCAAAUUUGCCUUGGAAAAACGGCCAAUUGGAAAAUCAAUUCCUUGUUCAUUUUGGAAAAGGUUAAUUUCCAAAAUCUUGAGGUCCAUUCCAGCCGCACUUACAAAUUCCUUAUUGUCUAGAAUUUUUUUUGCAUCAGGUAGUAGUCAGUCAUAUUGUUUCUUGCCUAGAAAAUUUUCCAACUUUUAUUUUCCUCUUGAGUUGUUAAUUCCAAUAGAUUUGUAGCCAUAAAUUUAGUCUUUUUUCUGGACUGAAAGUUCAGUUUAAUUGAGUCCUUGUUGAGUCCAAGUUGGGUGAAUUUUAGUGUUGUCAGUUAAGACAUUGUUCUUUCUUUUCUUUUUGUCGUUUGUUUCCAUAUUGUAGUUUGCUAUAAUCCCUCAAAUUCGUGAGCUUCUUUGCUAUACUUACGUGGGUUUUAAUUGACAAGUUGGUUGCGAUUCUUGAGUAAAUUCUAAUUUAUUCAAGGAACGUGAAUAAAAGGACUUGGGAAAUUUGGUGAGAUCAUUAUAGUGUUGUACACUUGAGUGAAAAUAUGAGGAUCGAAUUUUUACUUACUUUAAUUUUAUUUUACUGGCUUAAUUAAUUAUUUAUUCACCCAUUUUCUCCGAAUAAUUUAUUUCAAUCAUUUUAAAUCUAUUUAUAUGGAACAAUGCCUUACUUAUAUAUUUUUUAAAAAAAGUCCCGUUAGCAAAAUUAAUUUUCUGCGACUCGUUUAGCCAGAAAAAAGUGAAUGCACAUUUUUUGAGGUAAUAUUCGGUCCAAGAGUGCAAUAAUCUUGGAGAAUUAAGAAUGAUCAAUAGUAGACUAAGAAAAGUUAAUUGAGAGAUUAGAUGUGAGUUAGUUAAUUAUAUUUUAGUUGCAUGAAAUGCCCUUAAAUUGCCGCGCGUUGCAAAUUUUCGAAAGUCACACCACGCGACUAAUUAGAGAUUUGAAAAAUUAAUAUUAGACUAGUAAGAGUGAGUAAUUAUAGUAUUAAAGGAAUUACAUUGAGGAUUUGUGCAUGAGUGUAACAAACCCGAGAGAAAUUGGUGGUACGAAACCCUAUUACGGCAACUAUUCAAAGUUGACUUUGGCAAGCUUAAUGCCUACUUUUUCCUCCAAUCUUCCAAGACAAGCCGUAACACUCAAACACUCAUUUCCCUUUCUCCAUUUUCGGCCAGCCCUCAAGGAAGAACAAAGGGAAGGAAAAACUUCAUCUUCUAGCUUCCAUUUCACUCACAAAUCCUCCACCAAAUCACUCACAACUUGGAGUACCACUCUAACUAGAAGCAAGGAGCAAUCUUGUGGAUUUUCUUGGAGAAUUUUCGGUGUGAAAAAUUUGCUAUUCAUCUAGGGUUCCAAGGGUAAUCACUUUCUCUCUUUAAUCUUUCCAUUUCUCCAAAGUUUAGCGGUUAAUCUUCAUGGGUUUGAAACCCUAAUCGUGUUGUAGGCUAGCGGACUUGGGGAAACCAUUUAUUUCGCUUUAAAUCAUAGGAUAGCUGUCUUGAUGAGGCCUUUAGGUAGCUGAAUUGAUGCUUUAAUGUUUGAUUAUGGUUGUUUAUGUGAUGAAUGAGAUGAUUUCGGUUAGAAAGUGGAGAGAAAUCGAAGGAAAGUUGUGAAGGCAAGCUGGCCGAAAAUUCUGUCCAUGUUGUUCUAUUUUUAUUUCGAAAUUUUGAUGCUUGGUUGGCUGUGAAAUUGAUGGAUAUAUGUUGUAUAUUGUGUGUACAUAGUGCCUUUCAAAAAUCGUAUUGAAUGGUUGUGCAAAACUUGAGUUUUGGUAAAGAUUCAAAUCUGGAAAACACAUAAACGAGUACUCGGACAGUGCUUCUUUGUCCGAACAUAAAUCUUUGUACAAAAGUCGAAAUUGAGUGCCUUUUGUGGCAUUCAAAACUAGACAUUCAUAACUUUUCAACAGUAUAAAAAUCCCUGCUAGUUCAUUUUGAGUGAACCGUAGUGAAUUGGCAAAUUUGGCUGUUCUGUUUUGACUGUCUAUUCGAAUGAAACUGGGAAGCUGCAUCUUGUGGCUCGAUUUUGUCCCAUUUGUGAAAUGAUUUUUGAAACGAUGUCUUCUGAUAAAUUGUAGCAUUUUGAACCUAGUUUCCAAUGCCAUAAACCAUUCUCAAUUUGGAGUUAUACAAAGCUAGAUAUGGUUUGAUUUCGAAAAUGCGACAAAGCUAGAAAUUGGAAACUUUUCCUUCCUUGCUGACCGAAUGGUCAAACCUGUUUUGGGAUGUUAUAUUUCAAAAAUUUUAGUGUCAUUUAACCAUAAAUUACUUAUUAAAUGUUUCUGGGAUCUUGGUUUAAAAAAUGGAGCGAAUUGGAGCUGAUUUCGUUGGACAAAACGUUUGAAAAGAAAGAGAAGUAGGAUGGCAGAUUAGCUUUGAACCGUUUUACAAACUUUGGUCGUUUCGUUAACUGCCUUCCCGUACGAGUUUCUAUCUAAAAUUUGAUAGAGAUAUAGUCCAUAUGUGGAGGUUUAAGUGUACCAAAUUUGUGUGUAAUUUCAAUACCAUUUUGAUGCCCAAAUAAUGCCCAAAGAUUGCUCUUCAAAUCUGGAAAUUCACUGCUCAGGUCGUGAAAAUCAACCGACUUUAAACUGUUAUAACUUGUUGCUCAAAACUCCAAAUUUUUUUUCGUUUGUUGUGUUUGAAACUUUGUUUGGGACUCUUAUUGUGUUAUAAAUUUCAGAGACUGAUUCAUUUUCUGUGAAUUUUGCCGAAUUUUCAAAUAUCGCCGAAAACCAAGACUGGUUCUGUCUCGCCUUCUUGAAUCAGCAACUUUGAACUGAAAAAUGAAUGCUUUCUGUUUGGAACCUUGAAAAAGUUCUUCUGGAACUUUUAGUACUUUGAAUCUAGUUUCCAACGUAUAAAGUUCUCUAUUUUUGGACGUACCAAACUCAAUAUCUGAUUUUACCAAGUUUAUCGCGCAAAGCUAAAAAUUCAUGAUUUCUUGGGAAAUGAGUUUUUGAGAACCUUUCAUUGUCUUUCGAUAUUGAUCAUCUGUUUUAAACUCAUUUUCAUGGAGGAUGCAAGUUUUUUUUGUGAUUUUAAAUCCUCACUUUUGAAUCUCGAUUUUCGAGAUAUUAAAACUCUUUUAAGACAUUGUCUUAGUGUUACGCCUUUGUACAUUCUUCCUUGUUUGGCAAGGGGUUUGUAAGUAAUUGUGAGUGAUAGUUAAUUGUUAUUUCUUUAGCGCUCAAGAGGAUCUUGAAGAGAAUCUCGGAGCCGACCACUAAAGAUCUUAUUUGCACUUGCUCACUUAUUUGAAUUGGUGAGUGUCAAGUGCAUGAAUAGUUGCCAAUUAUGUGAAUUGCUUCUUAUUGAUUAAGUGAUUUACAAUUGUCGAGUCGAGUGUGUACUUUAUCGCACUCGUUCUCUUUAAUUGAUUAUACAAUUGAAUUGCUCAUAGUUGAAUUUAUAUUUGUGAUUGAACAUGCCGAUUGGAGUGAAUCUCAGUAGCAUAUAAUUGUAUUUGUCGAUUGAGUGAAUUUCAUUGACUUAUAAUUGUUAUUGGGGGACGCCCAAAUCUCAAUUGGCUGACCUUACGAUUCGAGCUAGCAUGGGUUUGGUCGAGAAAUUCGGUGAAUCAUGAGAUAAUCAAAAACUUGAUCUAUUAAGAGAUCUCGCUUGGCAUACUCGUGGAGUAGUGCCUUUAUAAAAGAAAGUGCGGGCCCGGAGCAGGGGGUGUAAUGUGAACAGGAGAGAAGAGUAAGUGGAGUUCUACGGACUUAAUACCUACCCGGUUGACGGAGUGUCAUCGCGGGGAAGUAUUUGAUCGAACCUUGGUGAAGCAAGUGGAAUCUAGCUCCUGAGAGCUUAUGCAUCCUUAUUGAAUGUGUGUUAUUAUUAUUUGUGAAUUAUUUGAACUUUCUUGUUUUAAUUCUCGUACAAAUGCCAUGGUUAUAUGAACUAUGUGUUUGCAUGUUUUCUUGGCCUCACUGAACGUCAGCUUACCCCAUUAGUUUGUUUUCCUUAACAGGGGCUUGAAAUGGAAAGAAUUUGAAGAACCCGACUUAAUUACUUUUGAUUAGAAUCUUGGAAUAUAAUUGAUUAGUCGACUCCUAGUGGUUGCAUUUUGGGAAAAGUUGAUGUUUUGGUGACUUAUGAUGUAAGAUUUGAAUAUUCCAUUAAGGAAGCGACUUUUCUACAUUUCGACUUUUAUUAUUGGUUGUGUACUUUAAGUUUAAGUUUAACUUGUAUCGAGUCCUGGCGAGAGUUGGACAGGCGUUCCGCGGAUACCCUUGGGUUCGCCCUUGAGAGAAGUGGGGGUGUCACAGAAAACAUGAGUGUUGAGUGUAAACACUAAAGGAGUACGCGAGAAAUUUCUUUUGUUCCACUAAUCAUUUUUUUGCAAGUUACCUCAAAAUGUCAAAUCAAUGUGUAAGGAGUUUCCAAUAAGCUGAAUUUCAUCUUAACAUGAACGAUAUGCUGGGUGAGCUUAAACAAAUUUUGCAUGAGGUUUUCGAGUCCUUGACCGAUUAGAGAAUAAGGAAUUUAACGGGAGGGAUUCUACAUGAUUUAGUUUCGUGCAAUCUAUCUCUUCAAAACCAACUUAUUCAAGGAGUGAUAAGAAGGUUCAUUCAACAUCUUCUAGGCUUAACUUAGAGUUGAACCAUCUCAUGGGGAGUCAUUUUGGGAGAUAUAUCAACGUCUUCUACGUAAAAAAUAAAUGGAGUCAAAUAGAUGCCAUCAUUGUGAGUCUUCUAAGAAGAGGUAGUUGAGUCUAUUCCUAAUGAAGGAGCAUCGCAUUCCAUUAAACCAUUUGUUGAGGAGGUUGGCAAUGAAUUGAAGUCGAGCAAUGAACAUGCGCUUGAAAAUCUUGGGCCACAUCCACAUUAUAUUCUAGUCAUGAACUAGUUAGGAAAGUAUGUGAUUGUUGUAACAUAUGAGAGUGUGAGCAAUGUUGUAGAGCUUGAACAUGAAAUAAAAACCGAGGGUAUUGAGUUAGAAAAAGAGAUGAAAAAUUCUGAUGAUAUGAGUGCAAAAUCGAGUUAACUUUGAGUGAGAAUUUGAGAGCUUAUUGUUUUCCUAACAAGUUUACCUUUGCUUUAUUUGGUGUUUUUCCUUUUGUGCAGAUUAAGUGAAGUCGAGUGGAGUUAGUCAUGCAAUGUUCCAUUCCAAACUCACUUGUAUAAUUCACUGGUUUCCAUGGAGUGUGUCUUCUAGGAGUUAAAUUUAUUCAGUGUCAAUUCAAGGAACAAUUUCAAUUCAAAUCUAUCCACACUAAUGGAGAAUUAAUUAGAACUUAUCAUGAAGGGAGAAUUCCAGAUUUUGAUUCUUGUUUGUUAACUUUGGUUAUUCAUCAUCUUUACCCUAUUUUGAGCAUAAUUUCAGUCCUAAUUCUUGUAUUUCUUAUGUGAAUUUUGAUGGAGAGUGUGACGAACCAGCAAUGACUAAUCUAGUUGAAUCAGUUGAUGGAAGGAAUAAUGAAGUGUCAAAGGGAGUUUAACAUUUAAAUCUUGUUCUAAACCUUCUUGCCACUUAACUAAUGAUGUUCCAUUGCUUAUAUAUUUAAUUUCUAGUUCAAAUUAAGCUGAGGUUUAUUUUGUUUAUGUUGGUUGUAAAGUUGUCCGUGAACUUCUAGCUAUGAUUAAAGGUGCAACUUGAUUUUAUGAUUGUUCCAGUCGCAUAUGAGGAUCCCAAACCAGCUACAAUCCACGGCUUUUUCAGUCUCAAUCAGUCAGUGGAUUUGAGUAGUCUUCCUUUACCCUUGAAAUCUUCAUUGUUUGCCUGUUCAUAUGAACAACUGAUUGCUGAUUCUAUCAUGUUGCUACCAACAAAAGUUGAGUCUUACGCCAAUUGAGUUCGUGAGCAUCAAGAGGUUGUCUAAACAUCAUGCGACUAGGAUCGUAAUCAUUCACGUAUUUCCAUCAUUGUUGCAAUUUAAGCAAUCCAAUGAUUUGGGGAAUGAUACGAAUCUUAGGAGGUGUUCUUGUUCUAUUUUUAGAUCCAAAAAUGAUUCGUUGGAGGUCCAAUGAAUACAAUUAAAACAAACCAUCCGAAAUUCUGGACUUGCUUCCUAAUCGUGGCUUAAAACCCACUUGAAGGUCACCGAUUCUUAUAUGUUUUAGUCUGUUUUAGUAAGUUAUUUGUAUGUCUAACUAGCUCAUGUUGAGCAUAGGUCCACUUAGUAGCUUGAUUAUUUAUUAAGUUUGAUUGGCCAGUUGGUUAGUUGAUUAUGCUGUUUAGUUAAUCAUCUACUAGGUUGAGAAGUUAUGUUCAGCUAGUUUAGUUUUCCAUUAGUUUCCUUAUUCUUUUAAGUUUUUAAGUUGAGUCUUUGUAAGCCUAUAAAGAGGCAUCUUUUUUUUCGCUCAAUAAGGAAUAAGAUGGGUAGACGAAUUUUUUAGAAACACUCAAUGUGUGAUUGAGAGAGUUUUUCUCUUGACUUCUUUGAAGCGACCUUGAACAUCUUAGAGUUGAUCUCGAGCGUUCAAUCCAACUUAUCAAUCAAAGAACAACCUUUCUACUAACCUUAAUUCGUUUUUGAGCAGUUCCCUGAUCGAAUUAGGUUCCAUUUCUUAUAACGAGAUUUGUUGUUCAUGCGAACAACGAGUUGAGAUCCUCUUGUAUCCAUAAUCUGAUCAAAAUAGAUCCUUCCGUUAAUUGAUCAAUUUGGUAUUUUAAGACAGUUUUUGCCAAGUUCAGUGUCAGUUCAGAGUAGUGUUGUAGAUUACACCUAUACUAAUUAUUACAAGGGAAAAACAUGUAAUUAAGCCUUUUGUAGAAAAUACCCUUGGUAUGGACAGAAAAAUUCCCAUUGAUCCUGCCAACGUAAGGUAUGUGAAUCAGAAUCGAAAUCGGUAAUUCAAAACUUUAAAAUCCAAAAUUUUUCAAAAUUUUGGCAUCAAAUUUUCGAUCGAAUUCGAUUUCGAAUUCACCACUCCGAAUUUGAAUUCAUUCCGAAUUCAAUUCAGAAUUCGUAAAUUCUUAUUUCACCGAAUUCAGGAAUAUAAAAUUAUUAUUAUAAUAUAAACGUUUUAUUAAUAUAUAUAAAUAAUAUAUAUGUGAAAAACAAAUUUGAAAUCAAAUAGGAAUUCCGAAUCAUCAAAUUCAGGAAUAUAAAAAUCAUUAUUAUAAUAAAAUGUUAUAUUCUAUAUAUAUAAAUUAUAUAUAUGAAAAAUGAAUUUGAAAUCCAAAUAGGAAUUCCGAAAUGCAAUUUGAAAAAUCCCAUUAUCGAAUUUGAGCCAAAUUCACAUAAUUCGAAAUCAAAAAAUUGAAUUUCAAUUCUAAAUUUAAAUUUUAAAUAUAUUAAUUUCAAAAAUUCCAAAUUCAUUUCGAAUUCAAUCGACAAAUCGAAACUUUUCGAUUUUGCAUGCUCCUGUGCCAACGUGACAAAACGGCAACAUAGCUGUGAAGUUAGGAGCGGUUUUUAGUAUAGGGAGGAAAAAGCCAAAAAAAAGAAGAAAAGAAAAGAAAAGAAAAGAAAAAGAACAACGAUUAAAAACACACAUAUAGAAGCCCCUUUCUUUCCUCUGGUCGUUUCUGUUUCUCCUUAUCGUUCUUCAUGCCAACCUAACCCAAAUCUGACUCGACAAAACUCCUAAAUCUGUUGGAAUGAUAAGGGACUAGAGCGAGAAAGGCUCGGAUUCAGCUUUUGGAGAGGAUCGCAGCCGAGAAAUUGAAGUUUUUAGAAGAAGAAAUUAGGAAUUGAAUACGAGGUUUAGUAUUGAUUUAUUAAUUCUAUGCUUUUAGCUUAUAGUUUGUGGUGAAAGUGAGGGAUUUUGGUUUUCAUAGUUGCCAUAAUGGCGGUUGUCAUCUUCUGCCGUGUGUUUGGUGAAAUUUUUUACUGAAAACGAUGGGUGUUGACUUAUAUUUUUCAUUUUAUUUCAUUUCUCCAUGAUUUGUUUAAGUUGUGUACUAUGCAGUAUUUCAAGGUAUGGUGUUCAGUUUAGAGUUUCUUUGUUCUGUGCAUGUCUCGUUACUGAUACUCGAGUAAAGUUUCAUGAUUUAGAGUUGUUUUCUGCGGGAUUAAAAUGGUAUCUUGUAUCCUUGUUUGUAAGUUGUAACAGAAUAAUGUCUUUGGCUUUCCAAACAUGUGUUAGAGGUGCAUCAUGGAGGGCAUUUUUUUUUUGUUCCGGAACCACCGCUACAUUAUGUUUUUUUCCCGGAAGGGGGGGGGGUUGAUGUGUUUGAGAGGAUGUCAACCCUGAUUUAAUGUUGAUAUUUGAGCUGAGCUAGGGUUUGAGGGAACUGAAUAUUCCAGAUUAACUCCCUUUAUACUACAAGAGAGGUUGUACUGAUUUUCAAGUUGGUCUUAUAUUGUUGUAUAGUGACCAGACUGUGGUACAGAUGCUUGAGAUGAACAGAAAUCAUAGCUCCAUAGAACUUUAUGUCGGUGAACUUCCUCAACUAGUUAAUGAUGCUGGUGAGCUUCAUGUUGCUCCUUGGCGAGUUUGAAUUUCGCCAUGAGUUAGCCCUAUAAUCUUUGAAGUUCUUUGAGAGUUCCAUGAAUAUUUAAGAGAUGGAAAUAGUUAUCAGUAAUUGCAUAAACUGCUAAACUAGAAUUUUAUUUCCCCUUAAUGCCUUUGAAGUGCUACAAAGAUGCUUCGAGAUUUAACAAUGUAGAGUUACAUAUUUCCCACAUAUUCCUUGUUAUCAAUUUGUACUUUCGAUUUUAUGGUAACAAUCUUUCUUCUCUCCAGGAUUAUAAAGAAAAAACAUCUUAUUAGGAAGGAUGAGCGACGAUGACUUUAAUGGGCAGACUUUGGCUGAGAAGUUGGCUAAACUUAACAGUUCACAGCAAAGCAUUGAGUGUAUCCUUCUUCAGUGUUUAUAACCCCUUUAAUUUUAGGUGUAUACAUAUAUUCAAAUAGCAAACACAUUUAUUUCCUUGUGAUUUUUGUUUGGAGCCCUUGUUACGCUGCUUGGAAGACAAUUAUAGAUGCAAUGGUACACAUUUGUUCUAACUUUUAUUCUAGAAGCUAAGAUGAUUGGUCUAUGUACCUAUUUAUUGUUGCUGAGGCUAGGGAAAAAAGGUCAACUAUUGUUGAUGAUGAGUUUCCAUGUGCAGGCUUAUUUGAAGGACUUGUUCAUUUCUUUUCUUUGGUUUAAUCAUUUUUUUUAUAGUUAUUAACUGUAUGUUGAAUUAAUCUGAAUCUCAAUAUACAGUUGAACAUUUAUUUAUUACUGCUGCACAAUUCAAUAGCAGAACCAGUCAGACCUUGGUUUAUUGGCUUUUUUUUUUUAAAAAUUACGUUUAUGUCUAUAUUACACUAUAUUCUCUUAACUCAUGCUCAGCAUUGUCUCGUUGGUGCAUUACUCACCGGAAGAAAGCUAAACAAAUUGUUGAAACAUGGGAAAAAAUUUUCAAAUCUGCACCUCGGGAGCAGCAUGUUUCAUUUCUAUAUUUGGCCAAUGAUAUUCUGCAAAAUAGUAGGCGCAAGGGCAGUGAGUUUGUAAAUGAAUUUUGGAAGUUCCUUCCUGCAGCUCUCAAACACGUCUAUGAGGGUGGUGAUGAAAAUGGAAAGAAAGCAGCCUCCAGGCUGGUUAGUUUUCAUCCAUAUGGAAGAUCAUAUUUGGUAUUUUGUUUUUGACUUUAGUUUUACCAGCACAUUACGAAGUGAUGCUUUACCCAGACAAGAUUGAAAAAGUGAUCUCAUUUAAUCAUAUCCUUUUGGCUCACCAUUCCCAAAAAAAAAAAAAAAAAGAAGAAGUAUGAUUGACUGCCUGUAUCCAUAGUACACAGAUUAACAAGAAAAUUCUGCAUAUGGUUGAGUUGAGCGAUCAAUCUUGAUUUGUCUUCCUGAAACUAGAUCGCCAAGUUUCUCCUCCUUUUUUUUAUUUUUUUUAAAAAGAAAGUUUUUAUCUUCAUUUUAUGUGCAUGUUUUUAGGUCUGUAAGCCAUCAUGUUCCCCAAUUUUUUGCAGUUGCAUAUAGGCUCUUUAAGACUCAUUGGAUGAGUUAUGGAACGAACAGUUAUUUUAUUCCUGAUUUGAAAUUUCUCUGUUUUUGCAGUUAUUUUAAUUCCUAAGGUGAAUAGCUAUCACAGUGUCUUCUGUGCUGGAGCUAAAUUUCUUCAUUGCUUUUGCUAACCUUAUUUGUUUUUGUCUUUUUAUUAGUUUUUCGAUUCUUACUUUUGUUCCUAAUCUGAUUGCUGUUUUGAAUGUCUUUUGUGGUAGAGCUAAGAUUAUGUUCUUUUUUUUUUCCCAAAUUGUUUUGAUGAACAACUUGAUCGUCAUCCGAGAGUGCAUGUAAUGGGAACUUGUUUGCUCAUAAUAUCAGUGGCAAAUGUUACACCUUUUGCGUCACAAAGUCCAUCUUAACCUGGGUUAGAGAAAAUUUUCCCCUUUCUGUAAAUGGUGAACAACAGGAAAGAACAAUCAAUUAAAAGUAAAUCCUCUUCAUCCUGCUUACAUGAGGGGUUGCUUUGUUUAAUGUAGAAAACCAUUUAUUUUGCAUGGCCUUUUGCUCAUUUUUCAUAUUGCUAUUUGCUUCUGAUGUUGGGAUCCAGAAAUUACAUGUUGGUAACGUUGAUGCUAAUGUCUGAAUUGUUUUCCCCAUAAUUUCUUCACUUUAUGACAUCUUUUAUAUACACUGUUUGUGAAACUGCUGUUGAUUGAUGCUUUCUGCAUUUGUGGAACUUUUAUCUUCUGAGAGUUUCUGUAAUUUGAAUAAAGCUCUGCAUCUCAACUUUGAUUGUCAUAUAUCGUAAGCUUGAAGUAGAUGGCUCAAACGUGCAAGUGAUGUAUUAACUUGUCAAGUCCCGCUUAAGUAUGUUCUGUACUAAAAUCAUGUUUGUAGUAGAAAGUUCAUUUAUUUGGUUUUGUACCAAAAACAUGAUUUCACUGAGAAAGAUUUGCUGAGAUGAUUCACUUCUUUACUUCAAGGACAGUGGAAACACAUUAACUUGUUUCUUGCUUCUAUGUUCAAUGAUGGAUGAGAAUGUACUUUCAAGUUGAACUGUGGUGAUAAACCAUCUGGUACUGUAGACUUUGGGUUUACUGGGAAACAUUUGCCUAGCAUCUUAUUUGUUGCUGUAAUCGUAAUCUAAGAAAAUUCUUUGCUCUCAAUUACAGGCAAUUAAUAUGGAGGAUUACAAUGUGGCCUGCUCCAUUAGUCUCUGUUUAUCUUUUCCGUUUUAACUUUUAGCAUUUCAUUGGAGAAAACUGCAUGAGAUUAAUAUUAAUACUGUCUGAUAAGUAGCGACGACUCUGCUACUAUGCACAUUUUACUCAUGCUGCUUUUGGAUUUUUGCUGCUCUGCUUCAUCCCCAUGUAUUUGUUUCCCUGUCUUUGAGGGUUGAUUGGAUAUGCUCCUUACACUAGGUUGACAUUUGGGAAGAAAGAAAAGUUUUUGGAUCUAGAGGUCAGAGUCUUAAAGAUGAAAUACUGGGAAAGAAUCCUACUCCCACAACUGCCAGCAAUGGAAAGAGCUCAAACCCUAUCAGAGUCGUGAAGAGAGAUGCUCAAUCAUUAAGAAUUGUAAGUCUUAAGUCCAUGUUGUUGCUUGCUUUAGUUUUGCUUAUAUUGCAAACUCUCUGAUGACAGUGAUGUUUAUUUUGAUAAUUGUCGUCUCUUUUUCUUGAAACAUCAGAAACUGGCUGUUGGGGGUUUGCCAGAAAGGAUAAUAUCCGCAUUCCAUUUGGUCCAUGAAGAAAGUGUCAAUGAAGAAGCUGCUUUUAGCAAGUCCAAAAGUGCUGUUUCCUGGUUUAAAGAACUUGGAAAAGACAUUGAAAGCUCUUCACAUGCGGGUAAGAUGUGAAACCAGACUUGAAACCAGUAUCUAAUAGACUGAAAAAUUAAGUGGUAGAAGUAUGUCUUUGAGACUAUUGCUUGAAAUAUUCAUUUUGGCAUUAUUCAUGAGUAAAAUUUUGGUUCUUCUUGGUGGAUGCAUCUGAAAAGUAUGAAGAGAGUGUAGGAUUUUGAAUUUGUAGGUGGUGUUGGCUGGUUUAGUGGUGUAAAGCAUUAUCUGAUGAAUUGAAUUGAAAGUUCUGGAGAUAAAUAUUCCAUUCAUUCAUUAGAUGGUCUUUAUUACUGCCCACCUGUUUAUCUUUCAUUUAGUGGUUAGUCGUGCUGCCAGAAUCAUUACAUAUGAUGAAAUGGAUUGCUUAGGAGUCAUACCUAAAUUUAUUUAAUGGUGAAAUGGAUACGUAAUCCUUCUAUCUCAAAAAUUAAGGGCAAAUGCAUACUUUUGGAAUUGUUUUUUUCCCCCACCUCCUGGCAUUACAUCCACAUCCAUCCACUCUUGGGCUUUUGCAAUCCAUAUCCAGUGACCAUCAAAGGGUACUUUGCCCAUAUCUAUACACUUUUUUGCUGUUUCCUUUGAUGUAAAUCUGCUUAAGAUACUCAAGUGUCUAAAAAUGAUAUGAUAUUUUCCUUUAACAAAAGAUACAAAAUAUUCUUCCCACAUUAUGUUUCUAAUUUUCUUAUAACGUAACUAAUCCCCUUUGUGGACUUUCAUCUACUUACGGGCUAUCCAAUAAGAAAAAACUUGAUGAAUUUGGCAAUUGGGUACUAAACAAUCAUUGAUUUUCAUCCAUUGAUAAUUUUGGCUUUUUCUCCUUCAGUGAAGAUAUUUUGUGGGCAGAACUUCGGUAUUCCUCUUAUUAAGUUUUUACUGGAUAUAAGGGUUGAACGGUGUCUAUGCAACUUGGCAAAUUGAGAAAGUUUGCAGCUUUAAGCACAUGGGAUCAAAUUUAAGCUUCCUAGUCCAACUAAAACUCCUGGUUUGGUAUGUCCUACGGCUGCAAAUGCUUGUUGUCAAACUUUAUGUUUCCAAGUUAACUUUUGUUGCCUAUCAUUUUAGCUUUUAGUUUUGUUUACCUAUGAAGUUUGCUUGGUCCUUGAGAAAUCUUGGUGUGAGUGGGAUGGAAGUAUGUUGAGCUUGGUGAUGGUUGUUUCUGUAUUUCUAGAUUUGCUAGCUUGUCUUGCUAGAUCUUUCUUGUGCUGAUAUAGGUUGGAUUCCUAGGCUAUCUAAGUUCUGCUUCUAUUUUUUUUACCUUCUCUGUCAAUGUUUGGGUGUUUGAUAGCACCAAAUCAGCAACUAGCUUCAUUAAUCUUCUGCUGGUAACUGAUGGAGAUUUUUUUUUAGUAGUUAAAUUCGUUCUGCAUCAAUCAGUCUCCUGACAAGAGGAGGUGAAUACAUGCGCAAGCUACAUAAUUUUGUUGAAAAUGAGUUUGUCUAGGGCGAAGCUAGAGAAAAGUAAUCAGUUAAUUUGCAUAAAAGUAGAAAGAGCUGGAGAGCUGGUGUGGGAGGACAUCAUUUAUUUGUGACGUGGAGAGCAUUUUAAUGCACUUUGAGAGUGGUAAAGUAGACUCUGUUUGUUAGUUUAAUGUGAUGUCAUUUAAGCCCAGCGUAGUCUUCAUUACAGAAAGGUGUUUCUAUGUGCUUGAGACAAGUUUUGUGGGUCCUCCGUCAUUUAAAUUAAUCCCACCUCUAGUUUCUUAGUAUUGACUCCUAAGGUUAGGUAGCUUUUAAUACUAAAAUGUACAACAAAAUAUCAUAGACGUAAGAUUGUUUGUUCCGUUCCAUUCCCAUUGAACGUGAUAUGAUUGAUUGUGUAUUGUAAAUUAUAAGCUAAGUUAUGGAGAGGACUGAGCAAACUUUACAGCAUAAGCUUAAGGAUAACAAAAUAUAGAUGAACUCCUGAGGUAAAGGUAGCUUUUAAUAUUUAAAGCACAACAAAACAUCACAAACUUUAACAUUGUUUCCUUCCUUUCCCAAUGAAUAUGUCACAACUGACGUGUAUUAAGACUUAUAAGCUAACUGAUUUAUAGGACAGAAAACUUUACAGCUUAGAAAGCUUAACAAUAAGAAAGCUAAAAGGGUGUGCAAAAUUAUCUGAAAUAGUUUAUAUUCGUUGAAUCUUAUCAGCCUUUUUGAAAAUUCGAUCCAGCAGAUUUUAACAAUGGGGGUGGUGGAUCAUAUAGGAGCAGCAGAUUGGGCACGGAUCAUAACUCCUGUUAUCCUGCAUCUAGAAUGCCACUGGGUAUGUUUGGUUAUCAAAAUUUGCAAAAAAAAAAAAUUUCGAAUUUGUUCUGCUUACAUCAUAAACACAAUUUCCAACUACCUUUUUAUCUCACAUAUAUCACAUCACAAAAAGUGCUACAGUAAUUAUUUCAAAUAAAUAUUUCAAAUAACCUCCUAUCCAAACAGACUCACUAAUUAUCUGUUUCUUCAGUACCUCCUUGUUCCCCUGACACAUGGCCUAGCCCAAGUCAAACUCUCCUUGCAGCCAGGAAGAAGCUAUGUGAGAAAAAACUGUGUCCUACACCCAAGUUAUGCUUUUAAUCAGCUCAUUCUCUUAUGUUUUAAUCAGCUGAUCAUAUGCUCGUUAAGUUACCGGCUAUUUUAAGAUGUUUUCAACUGAUAUUGGCUUCAGCAUUUUUCUUAGUUUAAGUUGAAAUAAGCUGAUUUGAGAUGUAGAACUGGGUUGCUUUUAAAACAGCUUUUUAACCAAUCCAUGCUUUCAUUUUUGCCUACAAAACUUUCACUAAUCAGCUUAGGAAAGCAGAGCAGAUUAGUCAUUUAGAGCUUUGUACUCUUCUUAAAGAUUGACACAAGAAUAACAAGAAAAUAGGAUCACUUUUUUAGAUGGUUGAGUGAUGCAUAUUGUUAUCGAAUAGGGGAGUGCCUAUAUUGAUACAGUUAGUGGUUUAUGGUGUUAUUGGCAGUAUGUUUUAGAUGUUGUUUUACAGGUGUGAAGUAAUAAGAAUUACGAACGAGGAAAGAUUCAGAAAGGGAAAAAACAGAGAAGAUGAGAGAACUGAGCCAAUGGUUUAAUUUAGUUAGUGCAUCCACGCUUGCAUCUCUCGGGUAUCAUUUUUAUUUCAUUUCUCGGAAAAUGUAUUCUUCUUUACUUUUGAACCAGAUAUCUGGCAUAUCCAAUACUCUCGAACAGAUAUCUGAACAAGUGGAUAUCCAUUUCCGAAGUAGGAUACCAGAUCAGCAAAUAACUGGCUGGAUGGUUGGAUUUCAACGCUUAAAAGUUUUUCUUGACUCCGUAACUCUUCCCUGGCUAACAUGAUGAUGCAGACAAUAAAUGGCUGAAGGAAAUCCGAAGUCAAGGAUUUACAGAAUUUCGCUUAAGCUUAAAAUAGGCACACCUUCAAAGGGGCUAUUGUCAUAAUUUAGUUUGAGUCUUAAAGAGGCUUUAUAGUCAGUUUGAGUCAGUCAUUAGUGGUCUAUUGUUCUUCAGAUUCUCUGGUUUGGUAUUUGGGGGUAUUUUAGUAAUUUUGCUUCUCACAGGAAUGCUUACAUUUUGGUAAUUUUUGAUUUUUUUUAGUUUUCUAUUUGGUAAUUACUCAUUUUAGUUGUCAGUCUUAGGGUCAACAAGGAAGUUUUCUUCCUAGUCUAUUCUAGUUGAGAGUCUUAAAUAGAGUUGGAGUUGAAUUUGUUUUAGGAAUCUAAAAUGUUGUACUUCUCCACAAAGGGAUCACAGAUUUCCUUUGUUAAUAAGAUCCCUGCAGACUUUUGUCUUAUUGAGAUUGUCUGAUGCAAUCUAGCCUUGGGUGUUUCCAGGAGUGAUUUCUUGAUUGUCCUAAUUUGAUUCACUCUUAUUUGCAUGUUUUCUCUGUUUUUUUCCAAGUUCUUUGAUCUGACUUUUAGUGAAUUUUGGUACCUGCUAUUUGCCUAUAAUUUUGCUAUUGACUGCGAGUUUUAAAGCCCUAGGCCUAUCUGGCCUCCAAGCUAUUGUGCUGUGUCAUGUGACUUUAUGUGCCUGUAGGACUAUCUAUUCAGCAUUUGCUGCAAUAAUAUAAAUGUCCUUUGAAUCCUGGAAUUCUAAGAAGACAUGGCACUAGAAUUAUUAUUUUAGAAUUUAAGAAUACAUCAAAUUUAUAAGUGAAACUGCAUGAAAAUCCAUAAAAUCCACCAUUCCAAAUCGUCAAACUUAAUUAUUCGGAUUUAUGUACUCUGCACAAUUUGCUAAUUAAACAGGUUGGAGUAGUGUAUCUGUCUGGAUGCAAAACUGGUGAUAAAGAAUUACUUCCUGUAGGUUAACUUAAUGACUGCCAUUACUGUGUUGUAUGCUCUGUUUUGAGGAACUAAUAGCUUGUUAGUAAUAUAUUUGACAAAAUGAUGAUUAGGUUGAAUAGUUGGAAUAUUGUUCAUUUGUUAUCAUUUUAUAAUGUCCAAGUUUGAUUACAUCUUGUUACAUGGUAAGUACUUGUAACACUUUUAAAUUGAGGACAAUUUUAUUCCAUUAUACUCAUUUAAACUUUAAUCCUAGAGUAACUGGUUUUUAGAAUCGAUCUUAACAUUAUUUUAUAAUGUAGUGUUAUAGUUCCUUUUGGGUUUCUAUUCUUACACUAGUAAGGUUUGGAUGGGCACAGAGUUGUAUGUUGGUCAUGUAAAUCUUAUAAAGAAGUUUUUGGAAUGUAUUUUAAAGUAAAAGUUCUAUGUGUAUGGGAACUUGAAUGGGUUCUGGGAAUUGUGGAAGACUCAAUAUGGAACGAGUGAACCCCUUGAGUUCAAGUGGUAAAAUGGAGAAAUGAUACCCUACAUCUACAAAUUAUUUGAAAGUACAAUUGAAAAAAUCUAGGCCCAGAAAAGUUGGUAGAACAUCAUGAUCCUUAGGGUUACAGAAAGGAACUUAUUGGUGAUCUUUGAACAAUUCCUAUAAUGCACGUAGUCAGGCUUCUGGCCUCUGCAUUGCUAUUUGAUAAUCCUGUGGGAAGUGGUUUAAACUUUUCCUGAUCUUCCUACAGUUUGAACCGGUAAAGUAUCUAAUUUUUUGUAAGCUCUUUUACUUGAGCCUGUUGACCAACUUCCUUGCCUGUUUAAUGUUGUUCUUAGUUACCUUCAGUUGUUGAAAAUUCUCGAUUUGACACAGCACUAUGACAAUACUACAACAAUGUGCUUGUCGCAGACCAGCUUCCUCGUCGUUUAAUGUGGCUAAAUGAAACUGACCUACCAAAGGAUUCCGUUCUCUCUCUCCCACUCUCUCUUCCUCUCUCCCCCUCUUGCCAAUAUAACCUUUUACCACAAUAAUGAAGUUGAUAGUUAUUCCACCAUCAUAAGGGGAAUGGCAAAGGCAUCCUUGCAGCUUUUUCAGCAGCAAUGAGAACAAGUGCCAAAUUUGUGAACUACACUUAUUUGAAGCCGUAAAGGCCAAACAACAUUAGGGCCCAAAAUUUGUUUGGCAUAUGCUAAGCUCAAGUCAAUUGGGCACAUGCAAUGAUUGGAUCAUCCAAGGUCCAAAUCCAUCAUAUUCCAAGAAACACUUAUAUUGUAAAUGAGUUGAAUAUUUUUUUGGAAAUUCAUUUAGUCCUGACUGUGAAUCAGUUAAAUUUUUUAUGGUUACAUCCUUUUGGAUGCCUACAUAGGAAGAGGAAGACUUCUGGGAGUGAUUGGUCAUGCAUCACUGUUUACUCAGUGUGACACCAAUGAGUUGUGUUUAUCAGUUUUUGACAUUCAAUUUUUUUGUUCUAUUUUUGUACUAAUUUGACUUUUCUGAGUGCACUUAAGAGGGUUGAUUAAGUACAUGUUGAGGAUUUGAGUUUCAUGCACAAUCUAGAAAGUGGGUACGUGGUGUUACGAGUUUUCAGACUGCUCUCUUGUUUGGUUGCGAUUCUGCAAGGUUUCAAUUAUUCUUUUCCCUUCUGGUUUCUGGUCAAAAACUGAUCUAGUGUGUAUUGAAUAUAAUUAUGGUAGUUAGGUUACACAGGCAUCGUAAUGCGUACCUUUCCCUUAUCAAGCAACGGAAAUAUUUGCUUGGUGUGCUUCUGGCAUGGUUAAGAAAAUCUUGCUAGUUGGAGUUACACCUGAAAGAGCUGAAAGUAAAUGCGUGCCUUGUGAAUUUCCACAUGUAUGUUCCCAUUGUGUAUCUUUUGGAAACUAAGGAGAGAGGUAAAAUACAUUUUUCUAUGGCGACCAUCAAAAUUAGGAACAACGCAAAUGUCAACUCUGGCCCUUACCUUUGGACUACUCAGCUUAUAGUAUACCUUUUGUUUUAGAUGGGGCUCAUAAUGUGUAAGAAGAUUACUAGUUUAUCUUUAACUGUACCCUCGUGGUGCAUCUUAAACAUAUCAUUAACUUCUCCAAAAAAAAAAAACACUGGUAGGUUUUUCACCAAAUAACUGAAGUUGUUAGGAGGUUACCAAACACUGCUUCUGAUCAUUUCCGUGACAAGAACAGGUACACUUUGAAGCUUUAGCUGCGCUAGCAAUUUAGCUGUCAUACUACUGUGGAUGGCUAUGUGGUGCUUUGUAUGGGCACGAAACUUGGCCUUUACUUUUGUUUGGCCAGUUUGCUUCUUUUGGUGAUUAUCGCGUCCUGAUCUACUGGUUUUUCUGGAUAUACUUCAUAAUCCAAUUCCGAUUAUAUAAUGAUUAUCUUUUCUCUAUAUGAAGCUUAACUUUCUGGAAAAAGAUUAGAAAAGGGGAAGUUGGAUUAGUGUGAUCAAGGUUGCCUUCCUUUUUUAUUUUUUUAUUUUUACUUUUACCUCUUUUACUCAUUUUUUACAUGUUCGGGACCCCUGGAGCUGUGGCUAAAAAAGAAUCAGAAGCUGAAAGCUUGCAUUUGUGAAGAACCAAAUGGUAGUUGCAAGUAACAUUUGAUUAUCAAUUAGCAAGCACCAGUGCUUAGAAUCAUGGAGGAUUAUGGGUUAGAGAAUGUUGUAGUUAUCAACCAAGACUUCACCAAGACAUGGUUUGUCAGGUUCCUUCAGGGAGGAAGUCAGAAGUCAUUUCUAGUUUUAAGUAUGAAGUAUGAAGAAUGAGAAGUCAGGUUUACAAAUCCAUCAGUGGAAUCUAGGUGUCGCAGUGCAGAUAAAGUAUGUCAUGCAAGAUGAAGGAAUUGAAUGAACUUGUCGUUUGGAUUAUGGGACAGUGUUUAGCAGAGUUUCAGUAUCACAGGAUAUCCAGGAUAAGAAUUCCUGAUAUGAUGGUAUAGGAGAAGUGACUGGAUUGUGGCAUCCCAUGUUUGAAAGAGAGUUUGAUAGUGAUGGAAGGAAUCUGAAUUUGCGAUCAGUGCUAGAUUCAGUGGCAGUCCACUGAUCAACUGCUGUAGAUUUUGGAGUUAGGGGUUUUUGGAUUGUUUAGAACAUGUGAUUACAUGAUAUCAUGGACAACAUUUGUGCGAGUGACAGUCAAAGAUUUCUUAUGCUAGAUUUCCUAUAGAAGGAAAGAAAAAAGAUGCAAAAGGUGCACCUCUCUGAUGUUGAAAAUACUAGAAAAGAAACUGUGUUUUUUUUUUUUUUUUUUUUUUGGGGGGGGGGAAGGGGGAGGAGGAGGAGGUCACAGCUCAGGUGUUGAAGGCAUUUUGUCUAAGCAGCUAACUUAUAUUUGUGGAUGACCUGAGUCCUUUUGAGGGGCUUUGUCUAAGCAGCUAAAUUACAUGGACAUAGCUUCUGACUGAUUUGACAAUCCUCUUUGCUCAUUGAAGAACAAGAAAAUUCAUAAGUUGUUGAAUUUUGUUAACGUUUACUCUCUACCUUUGUGCCUAUUCUUUUUCAAUCUUUUUAUUAAAUCCUAAAUUAUGAAACUGUUAACCAUUUCUCUAAUACAUCAUCUAUUAAGUAUGCUAUGCCAUAAGCCAAAACAAAAUCUCAGAAUUUCUUUCCACUUGGAAUGUUCAUAGCUGAUAUUUUUAUUAUUCGGUUUCUGAUGUGGGAGGUGCAAGUUUGCAAAUUGAUUCAUAGUGGAUCCGGACUUUGACAUGUUGGCAUUAAAUAUAAUGAAUUACAGAUCUUCAUGUAAAAUACAAAUGGGGAGCAAAUUAGCCACAAAUCCUAAGGAAAAUAUCAGUUAUUCCUACUGUCAUUAGGCUGGGGUGAAGCUAACAUACUGCUGUAGCAGCUGAGAACUCAUCCUAAUAGUGUUAGGGGCUGAUUUGAACUUAAUUAUGGGCUUGAAACUGUAAGCAUAGAUGAACUUUAGCAAAGCAUGUGUUGUCAGCAGGUAGAGAAAACUAGAAGAUUUCUGCCAUAUUUAUGCUACCAUAUUUCGUUUUGGCAUAUAAAUAUCUCAACAUAAAUUCCAUUAAAUUUCAUAACAUUCUAAAGUAGUAAACAUGUUCGUACAUGACCAGAAUGGAUUUUUAAUGAUGUUGUUGGUGAUUCAAAGUGUCAAAAUGUUGUUGGUGAUUCAAAGUGUCAAAAUCUAAACUUGACUAGCAUAUGAAAAUGAAAUAACCACGAGGGUACUCUUUUAAUCAUCAAGGUCGAUCCCUCUAGACAAAAUAGAGUUUCAUGCUUGUCAUUAAGCUUCUGUUUUGGGCUUUGAAUGACUUGCAAGAUGUUGCUGAGCCAGUUGAUAGCUAUUGCAUUGUGUGAAAUGUGAAAUCUAGUCUAGAUUGUACAGAGGAUCUUUUUUUGCAUCUUAAAGUAUUGUAGCUUCACCAUUAUAGCUCUAAAUUACAUAUAUCUGCAAAGUGUGUAUCAGCUUAUCAAUAGAAAUUAGAUGUACCAAUCAACUGGCAACUUGUUCACUGUUGAUAAAAUUUGACUAUCUUGCAUCUGUUUUUCUGUAUUGGACAGGAAGCCUGCAAGGUUCAGAGUUGGUAGAAAAGAUGCAAGAACACGAGAAUGCCCUUAGGCAUUGUGUUACUCAACUAGAAAAUUUUGAAACUACUAGGCUUGCAUUGGUUUCACAGCUUAAUGAAGCACUUCGAGAUCAAGUAUGCCUUUUAUAGUUGUCUAGUGUCAUUGGAGUGUAAUAUUUCCUGACUGCUUGUUGCUUUUCAGGAAUCAAAGCUGGAGCUGAUACGCAAUGAAUUGGAGGUAAGACUCCCUGUUACUUCCUAAGCUGGGUUUUGUUACUAGGUCUUCCUUUAUUCUCCUAUCUGAAAAUCAGUUUAUUUAAUUAUACUCUUGACAACCAAUAUUUUCUCCUAUAUUCGGCAAAUCUGUUUUUAUCUCUAAAUCCAACUAAUGGCUGCAUCAUGUUGUUGGGGUGUCUCUUAAAGGAGGAAUUAAUAUUUUUUUGGGUGGUCCAGAAUUUUUUUUCUACAUAUUUGUGAAUCAAGCUUGUCUUCUGUACGAGUCAAUAAACUGAAUUUCAGAAAAAUAAAAGAGGAAGAGGGGUGUGGAUGAAAUGUUAUAAUCUGGUAAAUUGGAUUUAACAUUACCUUAUGACCCCAACCCCCCCCCCCCUUCCCCCUCCCCGAAAAAAAAGGUAGUGGGUUAGAUGAAUUACUUCGAUGUUCUGCGCUAGCUAAAUAGUGAUGUUCCACUUUUUAAGUUUGUGAAUUGCUCUUUUAUAUUUGUCUCGUUUUUGUUUAGCUACUGAUCGUCAAAUUUCUCUAGUUUCUGUGACAUGGUUUCUAGUUUAAAUUGGGAGUGCAUCAUCUAUUUGAUUGGGUGGUGGUUUUGUUGGUUAACUACUAUUUUUUCUAUAAGAUUUAUAUUUGAAAAAUGUUUAGAACAUUAAAGUUCUCGUAACCUACACACCUAUAAUGAGUAUUUACAAGUCAAUAUUGGGAAGAAUUGGAUUGGUGGGGCAGGUACAUGUAUUAUGGUUGUUCACUGCCGUUGUUUUUUUUUUUUAUUUUUUAAUCUAAACUGACCUUUGACAUCUGCAAGUGUAACAGAAAAUGUACAUAUGGUUGAAAAUUCAUCAUGUUGUGUGUAUGAUAGUGCUCAUAUUAAAGAAAAAUUGAAAAUUACUAAAAUGCUGAUUGCCUAUAUUUUAGAGCAUUCCCUAGGUUACAUUUUGGCUGACACCUCCUGUGCUGCUCAAAACUUCUAUUCAGCUGAGUGGUAUAACAUGUUUUUGUUGAAUGGAGGUAACAUGUUCUGUUAAGUGAUAUAGUUUAGUUAUCAUGCAAUAUUCAACAAAAAAUUGGCUGUUCAUUUUUGGUAUUCUAGUGACAGUUGUAUUUCACAUACAGGUGGCCCGCAGUCAGAUAGAGCAAACUUUAUGUGUAAAGCAGAAGCUGGUAUCAUCAUCUUAUCUGGCUUCCCAAUCUAAUGCUGGUAGCCAACUUAUGGAGGCUGCAAGGGUUGCUGAAGCAAACUUGCCUUUGACCCAGUUAUCAAGCAUGCCUAUCCUUCCGCCAACCCCUCUAUAACUUUUACUUCUUCAAAACUCAAUGAAGAGGAGAAUAAGAAGGCAGCAGCAGCUGCUGUCGUGGCAAAACUUGCUGCUUCCACAUCCUCUGCACAGAUGCUUACUUCUGUUCUUUCAUCCCUUGUUGCAGAAGAGGUUGCCUCUAUGAGUAAUGGUUUAACUUCAACUGGAUUCUCUUCUAGUUUACCUUUUGGAUCCCCAGAGAAAAGGCCAAAGUUAGAGAACCUGUGCGUUUUUCUGAGGUGAAUCAUUCUGAUGGCAGUCAUGCUGCAUUCUUUGCUUCUGCACAGCAGACAGUAAGUAACAUGCCGGUUGGUGCAGCCAAUGGGAUGCAGCUUAUGUCCCAGGGAAACCAACUUCAGGCAACAUUCCCACAACCCCCACCGCCGCCGCCGCCACCGCCCAAUCUGUAACUCCUGGAAAUUCUUCUGCAACUCAGUUAGGCCAAUCUGCUGCAAUGAUGAUAGGGGUUCCCUAUGGAUAUGGUUCAAGCAACCUUCCACCUCCACCUUUACCUCCACAUAUGCCAAUGGGAUUUGCUAGGCCAGCUCCUUUACCAACUCAGCAACCACCUCCUCAGCAGCUUCAGAACCAGCAGUCUCAGCAGCAGCAGCA